rnacentral:lncRNA from 1 species
AGUCACGCAACUUAUAAGAUUUUUCACAAAAAUAAUAAAAUCAAGUAUUAUUUUUGAGGUUAUUACAUAAUUAGAUCGUAAUACGUUUUAAGAAAUAAUUUUAAAAAAUAAUAAGUAUAAAAAAUAAAAAUAAAAAUCUUUUUAAGGGAUGGUAUGAAUAAAUAUGCAAAUAUUUGGUGAUGUGUUCAAGAAAAGCAUGAUUAUAUUUGGUAGUACGAUUAUGUUUCGUGGUAUGAUUAUAUUUUGUGAAGUGAUAUGUUGUUCAUCUUAUUUAUAUAUAUAUAUAUAUAAUCUAUAAUUGUUGAAUUAAUAAUUGACACAAAUUAAUGUUUAAUAAUCCAAUUAUAAACUAGGAAUGAGUAAAGAAAAGUAAAUGAAAUGAAACAAAUUAUAUAUGUGAUUUAAGUGAUAUAAUCCUAAACCUAAACUCUUAUUUAUACAUAAUUAUAUAUGUAUGCGAGCUUAACGGGCCGGGCCAGGCCAUCUCAAAGCCCAUAACAGGCUAGGCCAGACUUUUUUUCGAUGGGCCGGGCGGGCCCCCAUAUGGCCCAUGAGCCCGAGGGCCAAAUGAUGAGGCCUAUCCCAAACCACCAUAUUAUCCACCCUUUAGCACCUAAAAAGUGAUACUACUUUUUCCUUCUUCUGACCCAACAAAUUAUAAUGUAAAUUUCUCAGGCACACUACAAGGUGCUAUAGGAGUUCGAACCUAAGACCACUGGUCUGAAGGUUAAGGCCCUUUUCCACUGAGUUAGACACUGCUUGUAUUAAAAAAUAUAUAUUAUAAUGUAAAUUUCAUUAUAAUGUCCAAAGUUCAACCUUUAAAGACAAACCCAAGACGUAUGAAUGCAAUUUUCCCAAAUCUUAAAACAACAUACUUAGAUGCUAAUUAUGUCCCAAACCACCAUAUGGUCCACCCCAUAACACCUAGAAAGUGAUGCUAGUUUUUCCUUCUUCUAAAGUGAAAGUACAGGAGGCACAAAAAAUGCAUGUUCUUGAAGAGUAGCAGUUAAAGAUCAAGAUAGAGGAAUAAGAAAUUCUAAACAAUUGGGUGGUUGCUGAGAGUGGCAGCUAGGACAGUUUAUUUGUGCUUAAGCUAAGACUAGGCUUUAGCAAUAAUGAGAGCCAUAAGCACAGUCAAGCCCCACUAUAACCAAUUCUCCACCAGAAACAGGCAAAAAGACAAAAAAAGCAAAACACAUGCUUGUGGAAGUGGUCAUUUCCUGGCUAACUAAUCCUCAAUUUCACUUUAUUCCCAAGCAAGGUAUACUGUAAAGUACAGCACCCUCUAUUAUUUUAGCAACAAUGGUUUGUUUUCUUAUCUAGUAAAUAGGCUUGAAAGUUGAGCAGUUUUGUUUGAUUCCAUAAUUCACAUCAGAGUGGUUGUAUGUCUGAAAUUUGAAAUAGGUCCAUUACAUUUUGUCUGAUACUUCUAUAGUUUAAUUUCCUUGCAUCCAAUUAUUUGAAACACCAUUUCUCCUCCUGCAUUCUUGAUUUUAUAACAAGGAUGUGCAGAACCAUGUUGUACAAAAUGGUUGUUCUUUUUGUCAUCCUCCUCAACAGCUAUGUCACUCGGGCUUCUGAUCCGGAUCCAGUUCAGGACUUCUGCAUAGCCAACACAGAAUCUGCAAGCCAUGCCAAGCAAUGCAAGAACUCAUCCCUUGUAACAGUAGAAGAUUUUGUAUAUGCUGGCAUUAAGGUUCCUGGAAAAUUUGGUCCAACAGGGCUCUCUGCAGUUUCAGUGAACUCAAAUGUCUUCCCAGGAUUAAACACACUUGGCAUGUCACUUGUCCGAGCUGAUUUUGAAGUUGGUGGUGUAAAUGUGCCACAUUUCCAUCCAAGGGCCACUGAGAUUGCAUUUGUGCUUGAAGGAACGAUUUAUUCGGGUUUUGUUGAUACAAAUAACAAGGUUUUUGCUAAAGUGAUUAAGAAGGGUGAGGUGAUGGUGUUUCCAAGGGGUCUCGUGCACUUUCAAAUGAAUGUUGGUGAUACUCCAGCAACUAUAUUGGGGAGUUUUGACAGCCAAAAUCCUGGAUCGCAGAGAAUUCCAGCUGCAAUUUUCGGAUCUGGGAUUAAAGAAAAGCUCUUGGAGAAGGCUUUUGGAAUGAGUUCUAAGGAAAUUUCCAAGUUGAAAAAGAAGCUUAGUCCCCAUUGAUACAGCUAGAAGGGUGCUUUCUUUUUACCUUGUUUUAUUAAUUUGUAUGUUUGCAUAUUUUAUGAGCAAAUUAGAUUGCUGAAAUAUAUGAGUCUAAAUAAUAUAUAUUUACAGGCCAAAUUUCUUAGCCAUUGAACUGCAACGUGUAUCCUAAUCAGUAGGAUAAAUUUUGCUGGUGAGGAGAUGGUGGGCAGAGUGCAAUGCAAAAAAGUCUUCUUUGGCAUCAGUUUUCUUUACUGUAUCCAGAAAUUGCCUCUACUUACCUGCUAAAUCCUUCCAAUAUUGGUUUUAUUCUUUUUUAUUUGCAAACCAACAGAGGGAAGAAAAAUAAAAAAAAGAAUUUUACUUGCUUCUAAAUCCAUAAUCAACAUGCUGUUACGAAAUUUUUUUAAGUUCUAGCCAUUUUUCCUUAUAUUUAGAUAAUAAAAAAAGGAAAUAAAAAAAGAGAGGUACAUUUUGAUUUAAAAUACUCAAUGAAAAUUUGAACAACUUGAUCAUAACAUUAAAUUCAAACAGUCUGCCUGUUCUUGAUUUUUGCAUGGUUUUUCAAUUUUUCCUAAUUUCCAUACCUGGGAUUAUGCAAUCAGCAUCUAAAAUGCACAAAGCUGAGUAGCAUUGUAAAAGUUCACUGCUCAAACAAGCUUCAUUGUAUUUCCUAUUGCUGUGCUAAUUAGUGAAUGCUCUAGUGUUGUCAGAAAAUGAGGUUUCAUUUCAGCUUAUCUUUGUCCAUUUUCUUGAGCUUCUACCUUCUGUGGUAUUAUCUCUUACAGCAAAGACAAUGGAAAGAAGUGCUAACUAUUACCAGACAUCAUCAUUCAAGAAGGUCAUGCACUCAUGGCUAAGAGUGAAGAUCAUGUCUUUUGCUUUUUCUAAAAACUGUGGUUCCUCAACCUUUAUAAUUAUAGCUGCAUGCUUACCUGCCCCAAGGAGUCAUAUUUUGAAUGCUGAAGCUAAAAAAAGCUUUAUAGCAUCUUCUCUGAUAACUAAUUUAAGAAGCAAAGACUGCAACGUGAGACACAUAGAUGAGUGCAAAGAGACUUUGCUACCUCACAUAAUAUCACCAUCUCACAUUGUUGCAGCAGAACAUCACCACACAGCAUCAUGACUUAUCAUUACAAACUUCAAUAUGCAGGGAAAAAAAAAGAAAAAAAAAAAAGAGUUACUCUGACGAACUUUACCUAGAAGUUCAUAUUAAAGUCAUACUCAGAGCAAGGCACUCAGAAUCUCAUUCCAACUAUCAGGCACCCCAGGUAGGCACCAGUGGCUGCAGUCAGAGGAAAAGUCCCUCGGGUGCUGCCUCUCUUCCUGGCCCAUUGCCCUUCUGUACACAGAAGGGUGCCCGUCUCUUCGAAAAGCUGACAUUGUAGUUAUGUCCUGAAGAUAUACUGGAAAUCUCAUCUUUCUCAAUACACCUUGCAAUACUAGCAAUGGUUCAGGAACAUGUUGGUGACUGAAAUAAGCUAGAGGCUGCUUCUGAUUAUAGCAUCUCCAACCAUUCUCUCUGCCCAACAGAAAGAAAAACAUUGAAGUAUAGAGAAAUGGUCAGAGUUAGAAUUUCAUAAUGCAUUAGAGAUUGUAUCUUACCUGUUAUGCCUAGGUGACAUGCUUCGAAAAAUUACUCGGGUUUUACGAGGGUCUAGGUUUAAAUCAACCCAUUUAGCCCAUGUAGUGAGUCCUUUUUGGUAUGCGACCAUUGGGUUCAUAUUUGUAUAGAGAGAGUGUCCCUCCAUGUAAUAAUCCCACCUGAAAGUAGUUAGAAUAACUCUCAAUUAUGAUCACAAGGACAUCCACAAUACUACCACUUCUGGAAACAAAGGAAAUGAUGAAAGGUCAAUGUGAAUUUUCUCUUACGAACUCGAUUGAUCAGAAUGAGUCCACCAGUGAGCAGAAUCAAACACAAGAACAUCAACUCCUCUCCAAUACUUUGCAUUCUCUUCUAUCAAGUCCAAAUGCAAAAUUCUCUUCUUUUCAGCUCCUUUGUUCAAUUCUACUAGGAGUGGAGCCCAUGAAAACUCAAUUGAUGUCUCAAAGUCCUGUAUAUGAGAACAUUUACUACUGAUGUCAAUGUAAGAACAAGGAUCGAAUUUAAUCCUGGAUUAAAAAAUAAAAUCGUACCAUUGCAUGGAAUGCCAUGGAAGGACCAUUGUAGGUCACUCUCUUUCGACCAGUUGGAACAACUCCUUGUACCAAGCAGACUAGAGACUCCCACUGAUUCCUCAUUAUAGAAUCACCCACCAGCAUUAUCCUUUUCCUUCUCAUUUUUCCAAGAAAUUUCAAUGCAUCAAACCUGUAUAUCAAAAAAACAAAGAAAUAACUACCAAAACCUUUUCAUAGCAUCCAUUUCACAGAAGGUUCAUAUCUUGUAAUGUAAAAUGAACAGCUCUAGCAUAUACGUGGAUUGGGCAAGUUGGUUAAGACAAUGUGGCGGCUCCUUGUACCCGAUUAGAGUAGUUUAAAUGAUCACUUUGUCAAAAAAAGAAAAAAGAAAAAAGGUAACAGCUCCAAGUUUAAAUUGAGGAGUACCUAGGAAUGGAGCAGCUGUUUGGCUUCCACCUCCACUUUUCGUAGUCAGAAUCCGGCCUUCCAUUUUUCUGACAAGUCACUGCAGUGCUCAGAUAUGGACAACCAGAGUCAUAGAGAGGAUACGAUUGAUCGUAAACCCACUUGCCAACCGAAAAAUCACAUCUGCUCCUUGAAUUUUGUUGGCUCUGAACCAUGUUAACUUCAUCAUCUUCAUCAUUAAGCCAAGAGUCAUCCUCCAGCUCAAAAUCUGAUGACUUCCCAAGAGAGAAGCACAGAAAGACAAUGAAGAUGCUAAAGAGGAAGAUGAGUUGAAGCUUUGUUUUCAUCAUUUGAAGCCAAAGGAGAUAGCUGAAUUGGAGUAGUGAAACUAAGGGUCCCAAAGAAGAAGCAUUUUGUAAGCUGCAAUGGCCUUAUGAUGAAAUUGUUGUGUCAAGGCAUGACUUGCGGUGUGGUGGACCAUAUGCAUGCAAUGUUCUUUCUACUCAUUGCCAUUAAUGUUUCUUUUUCUUUUUCACUGUUGUGGAGAGGUUGGGGGUGGUGGAAAGUGGAAACAAGGGAUAAAAAGUGAGAAAUUUGAUCACCGUGACUCACGGAUGUGUAGGCCAUGCACAUCAUUGGUAAUGUUUUUCAAACGUCAAAAAGGUUAAAGAGAUCUUUAGACCAGUUAAUUGUCUGAAAAUUAAGGAGAGUUGCACCAAUUAAUUAACAGAAAAUGAUGUAUGUUCUUUUGCUAAAUACUCUAGCUGUUGUUAGAAUGCUAUAUUAGGUAUCAAUUAUACAGUUGGGAAAAAAAUUUGGAAAGUUGAAACUGGUCUAAACACUGGUUUGGUUCCGCUUUUUGGGAGAAAAUAUGGUUGAGACAUCUAGUGCAUAAUCCAGGAGGUUUUCACAAUUUGAAUCAAUAUGGUCACGAUGACUAUGAUUCAAAAUAUAAUGACGACGGCAAUGUUUGUUGGCCAAACUAUGACUAUUAUUCUGAAUAAUAAUAACAACAACAAUAAUAAUAGAUAUGGCUACAAGAAAUUUGUUUAAAUAUGAUGUAAAUAAUUAUUCAAGUAGCAAAAAUAACCAACCAUAAGCCGAAUUUUGGCUAUGAAUAUGAGCAAAAUUUAAGCAAAAAUGAUGUUCUACUUGAGAUUUGCAAAGCCUUUUUAAAGUGUAAACUCCGUGUUUUGCUAGUGUGUGUUGAGUCUUACACUGGUAAAAUGUUGGUCAAUAUGCACUUCAUAAGAGCAUCCAUAAUAGGCUCUCUAGAUCACCUUCUUAGACAAAUUUUAGGGAGGAAUUGGAAAAAUACAACUUCAACCAUGUUCCUUAUUCAUCUCCUAAAAUAAGGAGACCUCUAAGAGCUCCUAAAUCUAAGGAGAGAGAAAGCACUCCUAGUGGCUCCCUAUAAUCUAAUGUUGCUUUAUUUUAUGAGUAUUUUAAACCCUUAUUUAAUACUAACUAUUUUUUAUAAGUCACUUUUGAUCCAUAUAGUUUGGAACUUCAACCACUUUUGACCAUGUAGUUUCGUAUUUGUAUCAUUAAAGAAUUUGACGAAAUUGCCCCAUGCAUCGUUAAAGAAUUUAACAAGAAUACUAAGAUGUCCUUGAAUUGCUACACAUAUGAAACUACAAUGGCAAAAUUGACGGAAUUGAAACUAUAUGGUCAAAAGUGGUUUAGGUACCAAAUUACAGGGACCAAAAGUGCCAUUUGGCCUAUUUUUUAAUAGAGAUGGACCGAUUAAAAAAGAGUUAUAGCAUUUAUGACUCCCUAAACUAAAGAGCAUGAUUGGAGUUUAGAUUUAAUAAAGAACUCUUAAAAUAGCUUUUAUAUAUUUUAAGCUAAAUUUUAACUAAAAAAUAGAGAGUAUGAUUGUGGAUGUUCUAAGUGAUUACAGACUCAUCAGUGCCAUCAGUCCUUCUGGGUUAUAACAGAGCAGUGGCAUGCGCUUCCAUGUGUUUUGAAAAAUGAUAAAAUGUGGGCUCGAGGGCACAUGUGUGGAUCUGACUGUGGGCCCUAAUGAUGACGUCAAGCAUUUAAGUGGGAGAGAAUGUAACACCCCAAGUUCUGUUGGUGUGUGUUGAGUCCCACACUGGUAAAUUACUGGGUCGAUCUGGACUUUAUAAGCAAAUUACAAGAGGAGCCUCAUUAGUGACUAGUCUUGUGAUAUAGCACUAAGGUGGCGUGGCGUGGGCUUCCCUAGCUUUGAUAGAAAAGUAUAUACAGAAGGUUGUAUUCGAGAGCAACUAUACUACUCAUAACCCUUGAGAACAAUUGCAAUCGUCUUAUGCUUAUUAAACGAAAAGAAAAAUUAACACUAACCUGGCCUUGAUCAAGCACGAAGAAGUUGUCUUGGCGGCUAUCUGAAAACUGGCCAUCUCAUUCUUCACCUACUAGGGAAAAUUUCAUUGGCCAAAAGGAGAAGGAUGAAGAAAAUUUCAAGCCGAUUAUAAAAAAAUUGACAAGAGCUCAAGUUGCCCCAUGAAUAUUUUGAUGAAGAAGUCAAACAAAACAUGGUCAAGCAAGGCCGAGAAAUGGCCUCAAGUGAAGAAACCAAGGAAGUUGACAUGGUUUUUACCCAUAAAGCCGAUUUGUGGAGUCAAAAUUGGAUGUACUGUUAGAUUUGAAGGUAGCUCAGUGGAAAAGGGCUUUAAUUUGAAUAUAAGUGAUCUCAAGUUCGAAUCCCCAUGACACAUGACACUUUGGGUAGUGUGUAGACCUGUCAAUGGAUCGGAUUUUGAUCCGAAUCCGAUACAAAUCCGGUGUAAUUAAUAGGAGAUGGAUUGGACUUCUCCAUCCGAUAAUAUAAUUGGGAGCAUUUUUGCUCACCACUUUAAUCAAAGGUGUAGCCUCAUCACUCUUUUAAAAACUUGACACAUGUCUAUAAGUCUAAUAAUAAUUAACCUUUUGUUUUUUAUUUUUAUUUUAUAACAUUAUUUUGAAAGAGAAAAACUUAAUAGUUCUUUUAAUAAAAUUAAAAAUUGAAAACUAAUUAUUAAAAACAAAAAAACAAAAACCCAACAACACCCCGGAUGCCCCCCCCCCCCCCACACCCCACCCCAGCGGCGACAACACCUCCUCGCCGCUAGAAACACCUCAUUUUAUACGUAUUCAAUGAUUUUCUCUUUACGUGAACUCUGGCAAAUCCAAAACUUAUGCUCAGCUCUACCCUCAAUCUCCAGGUAACCUCAAUCAAAUUACCUCUCGAUUAUGGAGCAAACAUCCACCAAUAGAAUGAGUUCACAGUCUCACCCAAUUACCAAAAGGAAUUUUCAAUUUUGAUGCUUUAAAAAGGUUCAACCAGCCACUCACCAAUUAGGUAUUUUGCAGAGGUUUGAAUUUGCUCAAUCUCUGCAAAACCCAACAUUUUCUAUCUCCAAAACCCUAAAACCCUUUUGCCCCAAAUCUCCCGCCCAAGUCUCCAUUCUCAAUCUUUACCAACCUUAACCAUCCAUUGCGGUCCGCGUGAAAUCCGAGUUCGAAUUGAUUCUAUAAAGAGUACCCAGAAAAUCACUGAUUCUAUAAAGAGUACCCAGAAAAUCACUGAAGCCAUGAAGCUCGUCGAGUCUGCCAGGUCGAAGAUCCCAAGAAGCAGUCAUCAAUGACCAACCUUUUGCCGAGACCGUCGUGGAGGUCCUAUAUGACAUCAAUGAGAGGAGAGGGGGUUUCCGGCAGCAAGAAGGAAAGGGGGUUGCCACCAGUGGGGGUGAGUUGGCUGAACAGGUUGGUUUGGUGGGUGGUGGUGCGUGGUGACUGUUUGGGUUUUUUAUUAUUAUUAUUAUUAUUAUUAUUUUAAUAAUUAUGUUUUAUUUUAAAUUUUAUGAAAAGCAUAGUUAUGUUUUUCUCUCUCAUAAUGUCAUAAGAAAAUAAAAAACAAAAGGUUAAUUAUAGUUAGACUUAUAGACAUGUGUCAAGUUUUUAGGAGGGUGGUGAGGCUACACCUUGAGUUAAAGUGAUGAGCAAAAAUGCUCCCAAUAUGAUUACAAUCCGAAUCCGAUAAUCCGAUUACAAUCUGAAUACGAUAAUCUGAUUAUAAAUGAAUCCAGAUAUGGAUUAUAGUUAAUCCAAUCUGACUUAGUAUGAAGUAUAAUUUAAUUUUUUUUAUGCUUUAUAUUAAUACUUUAUAUGUGUAAAUGAGUAAUUUUAGUUUUAUAUGCACUAAGAGUACACUUAAAACUAAUUUGUAUGAUAACCACAAGGUGUGGUGCAGUUGGCAAACUGCCACUUCUAGUUGGAGGGUUAUUUGUGCCUCAAUGGCAGGAGUUUGAAACUCGUUGGAAGCACUCUGUGGCCAGGAGCAAGCCGAAUCCUGAGCGGGGAUUAAUCCCACCCUUCGGGAGUGGAGACACCUCGUGGUAUUUACCAAAAAAAACUAAUUUGUAUGAUAAAAUAGCAGAAAUUGAUAUAAAAAGCAGAUAAAUACAAUAUAAGAAUGAGAGGGUACUAAUGAAAAUUUGAUUUUUUGUACAUUACAAAAUAAAUCCGAUAAAAUCCGAUCUGAUCUGAAUCCGACGCGUAACAGAUAUGUAUUGAUAGGUGCAAUCUGAUAGUCCGAAUACAAUCCGAAUCCGAUAAUCCAAUUAUAAAUGAAUUCAUAUUUGGAUUGAGAUAUAUUCGGUCCAAAUCAGAACUCGUUUACGAGCCAUUGUAGUGUAGACUAUCACUUACAUUUUUUUAUUUUGUUUUCAAAAAGCAAGAUCAUCUAAAAAAUCUAUGUUCCACCUUCAAGGCUGAAGAAGAGUGAUAUUGAUUCCAGCCGAAAGUAGUUUAAGCAAAUGGAAGGAAGGAAUACUUCGGAUUCAGUUUUGUGACAUUGAUUCCAGCCAAAAGUAGUUUAAGCAAAUGGUUGUAAGCAUACCCUAUAACAAUUUGGCCUUACAUUGACUAAUGUUAAAUGUAAAUCAUUAUUGUCUUAAUACUUUUGAGUGUGUUCUUCUAAUCAUCUAAGGAAAUCUAGAAAUUUUAAAUUGUUUUAAUUAUUAAUUUGAGAAUCAAUAGUGUUGAACCAUGUGAAAGAAUGUAUUGAUGGAAAUUAAUAUUAGAAUGGUCACACUUACACACACACAUAUUGUUGUGAUGGUUGUGUUGAUGGAUAGAGUUAACAUUAUCCCUUAAAUAAUAUUUAAUGUGAAAAUGACAUUUCAUUGUUUUGGGAUGGAAUGAUUUGUGUUGAUGGAUAGAGGUAAGAAUAUCUUUAAUCCUCAUGAGAGUGUCAAGAGGGGUAAAAGACACAAAUUCAGUUAGAGCUCUAGUACGUUGUCCACUGGAUCUUGUGUGACUGAUCAUGAACGUGUACUAUACUCAAUUCAUGUGUUGGUGUACUACGUACUCAGUUUAUGUGUUGGUAAUUAUUAGGUAGUGUGAUUAUAGUGCAACACUGUGUACUUGUGUGGUUAAUUAAGGGGUAGGCAUUUGAACAGGUGAACCGGACAAACAAAGUCAGCUUAGGCUCAAAAUCGAACUAGACUGCUUUGGAUCGGUUUUCGUCCGGGUUCUUAUCUUGAAAAACCUAGUAUAAACUGAACCAGAACGAUCAAAGUAGAAAUUAUUAAAGCUUUUAAAUAUCAACUAUCAACUUUUAUGCAAUCUGCAGCAUACAAAAUCUAGCCUUACCAAACUCGCAAUUGAAUUGUUGCAAAUAUUAAGAUUUAACAAGAAAAAGAAAAGGCAAACACCAACCAAAGAUGUUAAAUCAUAAUUGAAGUGGGAGGAAAGUCGGUUAUUCCUAUUUUUGAUCCGUUAAUUCUGUUAACCACCCUUGCCUUUUAAGGGGGGUACUGAGUUAAUCAACUGUUAGUACUGCACAGAAUGCAAUGGUGCCAAAGUAAUUUAUAGUUAGCUGUCAGUCCCAACUACAAAUCAACUCUUGGCGAAGCUAGCUACGUACUAGAUAUACUAGCCUCUCAUCCACUUGCAUGCAGUCAUUUACUCAAAGCAUCCCUUUGGGCCGAUUAACACAUAGUUGACUAAAGGACCAAAGCAUCCCUUUUGGCAGAUUAACACAUAAUUGACUAAAGGACCAAAGCAUCUCAACAAUCAUAUGCUUUGGCUAAUCACUACAGCAUUUCUUUCACUUCCAUAACUACGGCUUACAUUUUUAUCUUGAAGGGCUUGCCAGAUUAUUCAUCUCAUAUAACACAGAUGAACUCACGGGAGACCAAAAUUCGUUUACAUGCAGAUUCUUAAAGGGUAAAAGACAAAUUUUCUAUAUAGCUAUGUGAACAGGAACGCAAUUGGUAAGUAUCUGAUUAAGCACAAAUCCCUUUGAUGUAGUGCCUCAUCGCAAUUGAAUCAUCACAUUACCAAACUCAAUAAUUUUCCAAGCCUAUAUACACUAACCUUUGAUGUAGGCUCAAAGUGAAUUAACGAUAUUAAAUCAUAGCACUUUGGAUAGGGCUCAAGAGUUAAGUCAGCAAAAUCAGAAUUGAAAUUUUAUAAAUAUAGAUGAAGAAUAAAGGAAGAAACAAAGAAGAAAUUGACGAAGAACCAAGGAAGCAAAACCAUAAUUGAAAUUUUAUAAAUAUAGAUGAAGAAUAAACGAAGAAACGAAGAACCAAGGAAGAAUUGCAUUCACCGUUUGACUAUUGUGGCAAUACGUCUGCGAACAAACUCUACGUACAAAGAUUCCCAAUCUAAUAGGGUUUUCUUUUUUAGGUUUUAUGUGGGUUUUAAAUUUGAGGGUAUUUGUGUCUAUUUAUUUUCUGCUAUAUUUGAAAGUUUUUACAAAAACUGACAUUUUUGAAAUUAGGGGUCAAGUUUUGGCUAUUUUUGAUAAAUUCUGGAGAGAGGGGAGAGAGAGAGAGAGAGAGAGAGAGAGAGAGAGAGAAUCUGGUUUUUUUUUUAAAAAAACUGACUUCGCAAAAAUUACGAUUGUGCCACUGAACUUCUUUUGAUCGUAACUUCUUCGUUAUAACUCCGAUUUGAGCGCACUACGUGUCUACGGACUCAUCUCGACGUGCUCUACACAAUGGUGUAACCGAAAUCCCUAGAUUCCUUCCCGAACAAAGCUCAAAAUACUACCUAUUUUAUAAUUUUUUGUGAAAAUACCACCCCUCCCUUAAAAUUUUAAAACUACCACCUAUAAAUACAUGUUUAUUGUCAACUGAUUGUACCCAUAUCACUUUUUCAAAAAUUGGGUUCUCUCUUAACUCUCUUAGCUCUGUCUCUCUCUUCGGCCCGUCUCUCUCUGUCACUCAGCUCUCUUGUGCAGCUCUCUCCCUCGUGUAACUCUCUCUCUUUCCGACGUAGUCGUCUUCUUCCCUCAGCAGUGUUUGUUCAUCCAAGCUUAACUCCGUGGUUCACAUCCACUAGGUACUGUUCAUCUUCCUUUUCUUAGAAAUUUGGGGUUUUUGUGAAUUUGGUUUAUGGUGUAUGGAUUUGUAUGAAAUUGGUUUAGGGGUUUCUUCGAAUUUGGUUUAGGGUUUUAGGGAUUAGGGGUUGCUCUGAAAUUGGUUUAGGGUUGAUGGGUUUCUAUGAAAUUGGUUUAGGUUCUCUAGGGUUUAGAGUUUAUGUGUUUCUAUGAAAUUGGGGUUGAUGGGUUUCUAUGAAAUCGGUUUAGGGGUUUCUCUAGGGUUUAGGGUUUAUGUGUUUCUAUGAAAUUGGUUUAGGGGUUUCUUCAAAAUUGGUUUAGGGUUUAGGGGUUCCUUGGUACACCACUUCUUUCUUACUCUUUAAUUCUGCUGAGCAGUGGUUUUUAGAUGCUUGUAUUAAGCGUUCUCUUUCGUUAAGUGGAAUGAAUUUGAGACGUGUGCUAUAUUUUAACCCAAGCAAUGACAUUCUCAGCCUGUAUAACUAUGUAAUAAUAUCUAUUAUAUUAUCGCAUGGGUUCGUCCGAGUGCUUAACGAUGUUUAUCAUGUUUACAGUCAGCUGGGUAAUAACGGACACCCACUCUCACUCACUCACAGCCACUCUUCACAAAAAUCAAACUCUUCAUUUUGUCACAGAACGUUUGGGCUUCGUUCACCUCUAUCUGGGUAAGUCCCAACUAUCUUUAUUUUUUUAUGAGAUUUUAAGCUCCGGGCUCUGUGAUUUCUACAAGAAUUAAUUCCACAAUAUUCUGAUUUUACUUGUUCAAAUCAAAGCAAAGGAAGGGAUGUUGUUUUUGGAUGGGUAAUUGUCAAAAACGACUUGUGGAAUCUGCGUGCUUAUAAUCAAAUUUUGAAGAUUGUCAAUGGUCCACAGUCCACAUUUGACACCGAGAAUGCCUCAGUCACUACUGCCAUCACUCUCCAUCUCUCAAUAGCUUGUUUCUUCAUAAGACAAAUCAUUAUCUCAAGCUCCUUUCAAAAUUCUAUCAUUUGGUCAGUUGAUUCAGUUCUCUUUUAAAAAUUUAUUUGAAGUCUUAGACAUAGUUUUUGAUCUAAUUUUUCCUUUUGAAUUAUUGGUUAAACUUUAUUUAUUUAUAAUUUUGGAAUUGAUGAGAUAUCUGAUCUGGGCUUCAAAUUACCCUAAUUUGUUUUUCUUUAUUGUGAUUGUGAUUUUAGCUAAGGAUUGGGUGAUGGGUUUUUGUUUUGGGUCAUCUGAUAUGGUUUUGAGAUUGGUUUCAUAUAUAUGAUUUUGGUUAGUGUUAAAGUAAAUAAAUCGGUAUUUCAUUCCUGCGGUUUUUGUGGAGGUACAUCAUUGUAUCAUGCUUAUUUUCUCUUUUGAUUAUAUGGUUCUAUAAUCUAUUUGUUUGGUCAGUGCUGGUUUGAUGAGUGCAUGACCUGUGCUGAAAAGUGGCAUAAAAAACUUCAAAUGCAGAGCAAUAGGCUCCUUAAAUACACAACUUUGCAGAGCAAAAUGUUCUUUUAGAUAUAAAAAAAAAUGCUCGUUUGAAUACAAUAGUGGGUAGUAGGAUGUUUGAAUACAAUCAUAUAAUAAUAGCCUCUUGAUAAGUGCUAACUUUGUUUUGUUUUUUUUUUGUUUUUAAUAUGUGAGCUUAAUUAUGAAUUUCAAUGCAAUAUUUUUGAACAAUUGAUUUAUAAUAGAAAAACAACAUGCAUACAUUCUCAAUAGCUACUCUUUGAUCAUAGGAUAUUGGUAUUGCUAGCAGCUAGUUAUUAGUCUUUGUGUCCAAGAAGACCCCAUUCUGAGCACAAAUUUGACAGAGUGGUUAUAGAGAUAAAAGGUGCUAAGAAAUUAGAUAUUCUGAUUUGUUCAAUUACAUUGCACCUAUCCUAUUAUAGUUACAGCUAACCUCAACUAGCUUACUGAACAGUUCUAACUGAUAUGAGAGUUAUAACCAGUACUAUUUCUUUGCAUACUACCAUUGAAUUAGUAGGUGAGUUGUAAAUAGUUGUGUUUUUGUUUAUGCUCAGUAUUGUUUGUUUAUUUUUCGCUUAAUAGUCUAUAAUACUGAUUUCUUCAUUUAAAAUGUUGUACAUUGUGUGACAUAGGAGAUGAGUUACUUGUAAAUGAGGGAACAUUGACAUUUUCCUUCCUAUUUCUACUUUGUUUAGCUAAACAACAUAACCGAGGAGAGUUUGCUUGCUUAUAAAAUACCGACUUCUGUCUUUAUUCUUUGUCUUUCGCCCUUUGUACGUUUCUUCUUAUUUUUCCUGAUCUUGUUUGGUUUCAUGAUCAUAUGUUCCUUUGGGAUUUGGCAAUAUGUAUCUGUGAUAUGGUUCUCUCUUUUGUUAAUAUUUGUGAUAUGGUUCCAUCUUUUGUCUAUAUUGUACGUGUGUGACUGAUAUAUCUUCUGCCUAUUAAUCAACUAUGCCUGUGUAUUGUUUCUUUAUUGCUUGUUAUUGUCUAGAUUUCAACGGCUUGAAAUUAUUUGUAUAAUAUUGGCCUGCAGGGAAAUAUGGUUUCUCCAAUUAAGUUGAUGAUUGCUGAGGAAGAAAAGUUCCAGGGAAAGGCGUUGUCCCUUUCCUAUACAAAGAUCGCAAUUAGUACCAUAAAGGACAAAUUCAGUUCGCAACAGCUACGAGGGUUUGAAGAGAGUUGUUUUGGUCAUCUCUUACUCAUUGAGGACCUUAAGUGGACUUCGCCAAUUGUCCACGGCUUGUUGCUGAGGAAGGCUGAUCCGAAGACAGUUUCCCAAGUGAACGGGAUAAAAUUCAACGUUGGCAAUAAGGUGACCCAAUUCACGGCUCAACAAUUUUGCGUCAUCACAGGGCUAAGGUUUGGAAACCUUCCUUUCAUUCCGAUUGCCACUAAUGAGAACUGCUCAUUGAAAAGGAAGUACUUUUGCAACGAUAAAACUGUCAACCUUUUGGAAUUAGAAAAAGCCUUCCUCGACUGCGCUAAUGAGGAUGAUGUAUUCAAGCUUGGAUUUGUAUACUUUGUUGUUUUUGUGCUGUUGGGCAGUAAAAAAACAUGUCCACAUUGACAUGCAGUAUUUGAAGUUGGCGGAAGACCUUGAAGAGUUUGUGAAGUAUCCAUGAGGUGCUAUGUCUUAUGCGAAGACAAAUGCGUCACAUUUGAGGGCACUUUGUGCAAAUUACCAGCGAGUACAAGUGCCCAAAAAAGCUGUGAAAACAAAAAACUCUGAAAAGAAAGCAAAGACAACGACAACUAGUAGAACAAGAGAGUACCACAUCAAAGGUUUUGCCUUUGUAUUUCCGGUGAGCAAAUUUCCAUUCAUGUUUAAGUUAAAUUUCAUUUGUUUACAGUGAGUGAUGUUUUCUUCUUCAAACCAGAUUUGGGCUUAUGAGGUCUUCCAGCGUUGGAUGCACUGUAUUUGGUCGUGCACGAAGAGAAUGCCUACAUCCCUCGUAUACUACAUUGGAGGAGCAAUACUUCGGAUCGUUUUCAUGAGCUAAUGAGCCAAGUAUUCGAGAACCAUGAGGUUAGUUAUGUUUUUUUAUGAUAAUGUUAGGCAUAUGAAAAUAUAAUAAGUUUACUGAUAUGUAUAUUGUAUGUGUAAAUUGCAGGUUGAUGUGCAACUUCUCCGGCCAACUGUAAUUGACAAGCAGUAGCCCUAUUGGCCUUGGGGUGACAGUGUUAAUGACACUGAAGAAAUUGUUGAGUUGUUUGGCAAUGACGUCGAAGAAAAAACCAGCACAUCUGCCUCUGUAGAAGAAAAAGAUGAUGACAUUGACGAAAUUGCUACCCUUUCGUCGUCGUCUAAGGUAAGCAUUACCUUUUUCCAAUACAUAUGUCAUACUACAAUAGGAAAACAGUAGCUGUAUUUGGGUUAUAUUUUGGAAAUAUUGUAACUGUUGCAUUAUAAUUGAAUGGAGGGUAAAGCCCCGUCCACUGAGUUACGCACUUUGAAGCGUGACUUUCAAAGGACAAAGGAUGAAUUAGCCAAUGUAGUCAGUUCAAAUCGAGCGCUUCGAAACAGAGUGCAUGCCUUGGAAGAAAUUGUAUGGAAGGAGCCGUUGAAACUUGAAAAAGAGUCUGCAAAAAAUAGAAAGUGUGUGGAGGAUUUCGGCAAGACCCUCUUUUCAAUCGAACACUAUUUUAAGCUGGAGAUAGAGGAGUUGAAAAAACGAAAUGGUGGGUUGAAUGAAGGUGGGGAAGGACAUGAGGAACUCGGUAGUCCUCAUAUGAAUGAAGGAGGCGACAAUGACAUGCCGCUAUUACAUGAAUAUGUUAGUCCGCCUACAGCACCGGCAGCAAUGGAAGCACAAGUCCCCGGUGAUGGAGCCGAACCCUUCGCAGCCAUGGUAGUCGAAGAGGCAGAAAUGGCCGCUUCAGUUCUUUACAUACAAGUGCAUGAAGCAACUAAGCAUGCAGAAUCCGAGAAGCUGCCUACCCCAGAAGAUGUGGCCGGGUGCAACAAAAUCUGCAAAAGACUGUUGUUUUUGUUAGAAGAUUGGAAAAUAACCGACAGUAUGCCAUCGGGAGGUCCGAUGAAUCCUCCAAGAAUACCCAAAGUUAGUGUGGCUGGUGAUGAAGAAGGUAGUGCGAGUGUUGAAAAACAAGACGUGGAAGCUAAAGGGUGCAGAAAGAAGCGCCCAGCGCAGACAUUGUUGAGUCCAUUUACUGAUCCUUUGAGGAAGAAAAGGACGACGACUGUGUCGGAUGCGGCUGCAACCCCGCCAUGUUUUGAUCCAACAAAACCCCUGCCCAUUGAAGAUGUGAAGGCAGUAAUAGAGUUUUGCACUGCCUGGAAAAACGAUAUCAUAUUAGGAUUCUUUACCUUCGAAAUCCAAUCUUCAUGUUAUUGUAGUAUGUAGUCAUAUAGCAAUGAGAAAAUGUAGAGUUUGCUUUAAUAUACAUGUGUGUAUUUGUCAUCAUUUACCAAGUCAGAAUUAUGAGAUGAGUACAAAAUUCACUGUUGCAAGUUUGCCUAUUGUAGUGUGGAGGUGCAGCAGGAAUCAUGUUCAGUGGGCCCUGAGUUUUUCUACAAACUGAUCGAUGAUACGGAAUGGAUUAGCUCAAGGGUAAGAAUACACAAAGCUCUACUUCAUUACGAUAAUGCAAUUGUUUUCUCACCUUUGUUAAGUGUACAUUUGUAUGAAAUUGUGCUCAUAUUAUAUAUGUCAACUUCCAGCACCUUGACAUGGUAACCUUUCUUAUCCGGAAAAGGUAACUCUCUCAUCCGUCGAUAUUUGGAACUCACCGAACAAUGGCAGAUUAUUGCUUGCAGGUAAACAUGUUACCAUGUUACAUUCACUGCAUCAUUUGCUUCUGGUUGUCAUUCUGUAAUAUGUCUUCAUUUCAAUGUCUGCAGCAAUUUCUAGAGCCGGUCAAGGGCCUGCCAAGAAACGAGGAUCGAAUAAGGCAGCUGCUUCAAACACCAUUGACCUUCCACCUAGCAACUUGAACAAUAUACAUCACUAUGUGCGCAGUACGUGGCAACACGGGUAUGGGCAAGCUUGGACAAAAGUCCGGAAGGUCUAUUUUCUAUAUAAUCUUCAAGGGUCCUACUGGGUUGCAAUCGAAAUUGACUUCGUAUGACAUACUGCAACUGUGUAUGACUCCUACAUUGCUUUUACCUCCACUUCGAAGCUAGUUAAAUAUCUGCACCCUAUUAGCGAUACGCUGGCACGGGUACUGUACGAGAUGCACUUUUACAAUGCUUCUGAGGUUCAAGAGGUUAAACAAAAGGGGAUGAAGAUGUCGACGUUUACGCCAUUCACAGUUUGCAGCAUUGGAGAUGUGCCACAACAACGGGAUGGGCAAGCUUUGUGAAUUUAGUGCAGUUUAUCUACAUAACUGCAGUUCUAAUUUCCGAACUUAUUUCUCGACAGUACCUCUUACGGAAUCUUGACCGUCAAAUUCAUCGAGUAUCUCAGUGCUGGCAUUUCAUUGGAUAAAGUUGACCCUUUGAAGAUCAAAUAUUACCGACUCAAGCUUGCAAUCGAGAGUUUAAAGGGAGAGGCAUAUAUAUGAGGUAAAUGUCAUAAUGUCUGUGAAUUGAGUUCAGUCUGGACUUAUGACUUGGUAAUUCACUUUCUUCAUGAUUUUCUUCGACAGAUUGAUUUGUGGUCUUGAUUUGUGUGUUAAUUGGGUAUUAUAGCUAUUGCUAAAAAAUUAUGGGUGAGGUUUCUUUCUGGGUUCAAUUCAAAUGAACAAGUGCAUAUGUGGUGCAACAGGGUCUUUAAUUUUUGUAGAUGUUUACUAGUCCUCUUAUGUGAAAAUAUAGGUUCUUUACUUUGUAAGAUGGUGCAAAGUUUCAAAUCUAAAUGAAAUCAAUUCCAUUCAUAAUUAAGGUUGGAAUGUAUAUUUUUUUAUUCACUAGGUAGAUGUGUUAGAUGGACUGGUAUUACUGCAUGACAUGACAAACUAGGCAACCCCUCACUUUGACUGUCAUCAUAUGAUGGUUUUCUAGUACAGAGUUCUUCGACAGAGCAGUGACUCUGCUACUCUCACUAUGAAGUUAUUUUUGCUUGUGAUCUAGCCUGGUUACUUCUUCGUCAUGUUUUUUGGCUCAGAAGGAAUUGUUUUAACAUCAUUCUGUUUUUGGGUGUCAUUCGAGCAUGGUUCGAAUGGGUAAUGAGGAGACUUGUUUUUGUAGCUUGUUGAUACUGCUCUAUGACUGAUCAUGUCAUGGGUGCAUGAAUAGGGAUAGAAUUCAAGGCAUGGAAGGAAAGAAAUUUGAGGAAGGGGAUGGUUAAGUAUUAAUGUAUUUCUUCUUCUUAAGAACUAAGUUGGCUAACGAUGAAUGAAGAAAUUCUACCUCAGCCUAUUAACCUAUAUGUUGUUUAUUCAAUUUACCCAUUAAAUGCUUCUGUGAUUGAAGAAAUAGAUUUGCCCAUCCUGGUUUCAUUUAAUUUCCAGCUCCUUUGUUUAUUGCAUAUGUAUCAUGUAAGUAAUUAUUCCUUUAGCUGCAAAGUUCUAUUUGAUGAGACAUCCACUUGUUAUGCAUUAUUUCUCAGUGAAGUCUGACACAACUGAAGUAUUUAAGAUAACUAGUGGGGAGAUGAUAUCUGUUCUUUCUGAGUUCAUGGAUACUAGUGAAAAUAAAGAUAUUAGGGUUGAAGAAUAUUUAGAUUUCAUUGUUAAGAAGUGAUCAGUUGCAAGCAAGGAAUCUAGAAAUUUCCACUCUAAAGCAAUCAGAGAAAGCAUUUCAGCCAAAUUCAUAUAAAAAGGAUAGGAAGUUUCCACUUUUAUCCGCAGAGAAAAAGGAGCUGGACAAACGUUUCAGCACUAUUUCUCAGCGCUAUCUUUUUGUUUUGUUUUACAUGUAGUAUUUUAUUUAAUUUUUCGCAGAUUUUGUUUGUCAUUCCAUUCUUGAGAUGUUAUAUGCGUACUUGCAGGCUUGAGAAAUUUUCCCAUGUUUGGAGGUCAAAACAACUUGUGUAGUCAACCAUGCAUAUAAUUUCAAAGUUGAAGCUGAUGGUGUCUUUUGAGCCAAUGGAUUUUCCUAGAUAUCAGAAGUGCAAUGGAAAAUUAACGAGUUGAUCUAGACAAAGAGUCAAACAUUUUUUCUGUUGGAUGCUGGAAAUGCCUCAUAUAAUUAUUGGCUAUGUUGCAAGAUGUGGUGUCAUCAAAUGCUGAGAAGAGAGACCUCAAGUGAUACACAUCGACCAUUUUCUGUGAGCUAAUUCGAUAAAUAGAAAUUGUCUGGUGCUUUUUUGUCUUAAGAAGGGUGGUUUAACUUUGCCUUGUUUGCUUUUGGUCUGUAACAUUAUUUCUCAUUGGUUGUUCUUGGAAUUUUUUUUUCUUUCUUUCCUUAUGUAUCUCUUAGAACUUGCCUUUUGCCUUAUGGAAUUGUGGAUGUUUAUUUGUAUGUAUUAAUGGUGGAUUUGUGUGCAGUGAGAAUUUCUAAUUUCGAGUCAUGUGGUUGACUUUUGCAUAUAUGAAGAAUUAUUUGUUAUUGAUACAUUAAUCGAAUUCUUUGAGUUUGCAUACACUCAAUUAUUAUACAUAAACUUUGUGGAAUUUUUAAAAACCUUUGGUUUGGGGAAAAGAAAUGUACAUGUCAAUUUGAUAACUAUAAAGUAUGUUCAUAGUUUUAAGAUCUUCAAUUACAUUUAAUUAGCUAAAAAUUAUUAUAUUUAAAUAUUUAAAUAAAUUUUUUUAUAGUCCGACUUAGUACCAAACAUAGGUCUUCAUUAUUUUUACAAUCCAGCUUCUUAGUCCGACACAGCACCAAAAGUAGGUCAGUAUUUAAUCUAGCUUAGGCCAAUCUGAACUAAUCCAAGACAGUCUCAGGAUUUGGUCUAGUCCAUAAUAGACCGCCGUACCAAACGACCCCUAAGUAUAGAGAUGGUUAGCAAAUAUCAUGUUGAGCACUGUGACCCGUGCAAAGUUAAACUGCAUAAAUUAGUUUACUAGUUGUUCUUUAUCUUUUUGAAGAUUCAUUACUUGUUCCAAAAAUUAGUUAUCUGUAUUAGAUCGCAUAAUGUUUGAACUAAUGGUCAUCAACUCAAUCCUGCCUUUGCUUGCUUGGAGAAGCUCUACUAUUUACUUUCUUUUUUUUGUGAAAAGGUUUAAUGGAAAGCUAUCUAUCCAUUCCAAAUUAAGUUCAUGUGUUCUUUGUUUUCCUUACAGGAAAAUGGAGGUCAAACAAUGAACAUAUGUAAAAAAUGAAAAACAGAGGAAGUGCAUAAUUCGUUUCUGGCUAAAACGCAAUAAACUGGUGAUAGGUUGGUGAUACAGUAGUGAUACAGAAGCGAUAAAAGGGUGCUAGAAAUUGCUGUUUCUGUUUAUUUUGGGCUUCUUCUUUUGUUUCAUUUCAUUUACUUAGCUUUAAUAAUUGGAUGAUUACGAGAUCAAUUUGUGUGAAUUAUUAAUACAACAAUUACAUAUAUGAAGAUUAAGACGAACAACAUAUCGUAUCACCAAACAUAAUCAAACACCAAAUGUAAUCAUCCUUUUUUUCAACCAAUCACGAAGCAUUUGCAUAUUUAUUCAUACCUUCCUUUUCGUGUACAUUAUUUUUUAGUUGUUAUUAUUUUUAAAAAUAAUUUCUUACAAUGUCUUAUGGUGCAAUUAUAAUGCACCUGACUGCCUGUUUUUGAAAGGCACAUCUUUCUCGUCGUCGUCUUCUUUUUUAAUGAAGUAGGGCCUAAACCAUAAACCUAUUGAUGAGCCGUAGUCAAUAUACAUACAAUAUAAUAGCAAUAUUAGGCCAAUAUACAGGCACUAGAGAGUCAAUAUUAGGGCAAUAUAACCGCAAUGCAAUAGCAAUAGUAUCACAAUAUACAUGCAAUAGGGUGGCAAUAUGCACAACAAUAUCUAUACAAUACACGGGCAAUAUUAGUACAAUACACAUGCAAUAGGAGAGCAAUAUUAAGUCAAUCUACAUACAAUACACACACAUCCAUUACAAACUACAAUUUACACAUGCAAAAUAAAUUGCCACCGAACCCUAACAAUACUAUCCCGCGAAGGGAAAAGGAAGGCAACACUUUGACAUCGCAUCACCCAGCACCACAUGAACCGAACCAGCAUUGACCCUUACUAGUGGUCCAUCAAAAGAUCCAUGUCUUUGGCCUUCCUCCUCGCUGCAUGCACGAGGCUAUAAUGAGCCAUUCCCUAUCCACCCAUAUUCAGCACCUACCAGAUACCAACUACAUCAAUUUCACUCCAAUUGUAGUCUGGUGAGAUGACCGAAGCAUAAUCUCGGAACAUUUCGAAGCCGUUGUUGAAACAUUCAACCAUGUCAUGGUUAUAUUCUUCAGAUUUUGUGAAUUUUUCGACAACAUAUUUCUUUGUCUCUUCCAAUUUUAACUUGAGGGACUCUAACUCUUUGCUCCGACUUAUUGCUUUUAGAGUUUGCUUCACUUCUCCAGCAUAUGCUUUGUUCAACUUGUUGGCCAAGUUUCCCAUCACUUGGCCAUGAAUAUCACAUUUUCUCUCCCACCAAUCUGUUGCCUUAGACAAAUAUUGGAGGUCAUGCAUGACGGCGGAGAUGUUGUCAAGUGGAUAAUUGCUCUCAGUCUCACUUCUAGAUGAAGUAGAAUCGUGAUUGGGAGUCAGAUGUGGAGAUGGGAACGGCACACCCCACAGCUGGUCUCCCGGUUAACUGACAUGCUCGUUUGGAGGGCGUACAUCCGACAUCUUUAAGUAUUGGUGGGACAAUUCACAGCUGCAGACUGCAUAAAAACAAAUAAAGGUACAUUCAAUCUCCAAUUUGACGUUAUGAACACUUGUACACAAAAAUAACAGCAAGAAUAAUUACCUUAGUUGUUAAGAAGGUGCAUAUGAUGUAGAAAUGGUAGGAAGCCUUAGUUAUAUGUAGGAACUUGUCUGAACUAUAUUGGGUAUUUAGUUGGUGCAUUAAAUUGAUGGGAUUGCAAACUACACCAUUUACUACUUGGCUGUCAUUUACAGCAGUACAACAUUACAAUAACAACAAUAAAAGUGCCUUGGAAACGGAAAAAAACCAAACCUAAAUGAGAAAAUGGAAAUUGUGGAUUUCAUGCCAAAAAAGGACUAUGUAACUAACCAAUUAUUGGGAAAUUGGAAAACGAAAAUUGGAACAAAGGAAAUUGGGGAAAAUACGAAAUUUGCCACAAAGGGAAUUGGAAUAUAGGAAAAAGGAUAUUAGGCAAAUACGAUUAUUACCGUACUAAACAAAUUGAAUAAGUUGGUACUUUUGCCAAAGUAGGCAAUUUCUUUAAAUACAAAAAUUGGGAAAACUAGGAAAUUGGGAAUAUUGGAAAUAAGGAAACUUGGUACAUAGAAAAAGUAAAUUAGGCAAAUAUGAAAUAGGCAAAUUAGAAAAUUAGAAAAUUGGAAAAUUGGAAAAUUGGAAAUAGGGCAAAAGGAAAAUUGGAAAACAAGAAAAUUGGAAAUAAGGAAACUUGGAAAAUAGAAAAAUUGGAAAAUUGGAAAUAGGACAAAAGGAAAAUUGGAAAAUUGGAAAUAAAGAAAGUUGGAAAAUAGAAAAAUAGAAAAAUUGGAAAUAGGACAAAAGGAAACUUGGAAAAUAGGAAAAUGGGAAAAUAGGAAAUAGGAAAAAAGGAAAAUUGGAAAAUUGAAAAAUUAGAAACUUGAAAAUUGGAAAAUUGGAAAUAGAAAAAAAAAAAAGGAAACUUGGAAAUUUGGAAAUUUGGAAAUAGAAAAAACAAAAGGAAAAAUGAAAAAUUAGAAACAAGAAUAAAGGAAACUUGGAAAAUUGGAAAUAGGAAAAAAGGAAACUUGGAAAAUUGGAAAUAGGAAAAAACGAAACUUGGAGAAUAGGAAAAUAGGAAAAUAUGAAAAUUGGAAAAUUGGAAAUAGGAAAAAAGGAAACUUGCAAAAUAGGAAAAUAGGAACAUUGGCAAAAUGGAAAAUUGGAAACUUGGAAAAUUGGAUAAUUGGAUAAUUGGAUAAUAGGAAAAAUGGAAAAUUGGAAACAAAUUGAAAUUGUGGAAAUGGGAAAUAAGAAAAUUACCAUAUUGGACAAUUUGUAUUAGUUGGUCAAUUUGGCAAAUUAGGCAAAUUAUUUAAAUUACAUAAUGGGAAAUUUACCAAAUUCGGAAAAUCCAAAAUCCCUAUGUAUUAAAAAAAGGCAUACAGCCAACUAGGCAAUAACUCCCGCCCAAGACUCCCGCCAAUCCCUCCUCCCGCCAAUUACUCCCCCCAAUCCCUCCCGCCAAUGACUCUGAUUUACUCCACAUCAUUAAUGCCUGCCUAUAUGAAUCAACCCAGCUGUAUGAUGGGAUUUGGACCACAAAAAAAAAGAUGUCUGAAGGGAAAACUUGCAUGACAUUAACUCCUUGCAACCAUUACCUUCCCCACUGAUUUCACUCACAUUGCAUUUAGUCCCAUUUUUCUCCAAUUAAGUCCUACACCAGCCAACAAUAAAUAUCCAAAAUCAUGGACAAUAAUCUCACACCAAACCCAACGCUUUCAAUUACUGAAGGAAGGGAGACUGAAACACAAGCCAAGUCGCCCAAUUCACUCACUGCAGACUUGGUCCAUGACAUGCAGCAAUGUCGAGACAAUACCAUGUUUUGGAAAAAUCUCCAUGCAGACAUGUUCACCCGUUUUAUAUUUGUUACUGUGAUGGUAGGGUAAAGUUCUCCAUUGUCUCGAAAACCCUUGACUAGUCAACAAGUCAACUUUCUUUUGUGUGCGAAAGUGCCACUACUAGCGAUGAAAAUCCUAGAAGACUUCUUAAAAAUAGAUAACCUGAGCCCCAAGUUACUGAUUUCUAAACAAGAGAUUGUGAAUUUGGGUGAGGAAUAUCCCCCAAGUAAGUUCUUUUCUUGCCUCAGACUGGUGAGGACUUCACAAUUUUUCACAGUACAAAACUGGUAGUUCUGGCCAUAAUAAAUGAUAAGAAAGUGGACUUUUUAGGCAGAACUGUCUUUUACAAAGUUUAGAAAGGAAAGACCAACUCUUAAAAGUGACAAAAGAGCGUUGGACUUCAAUUUUUGCCUGGAUAAAUGCUUCUGAUCCGGGCUGGACUGGGUAUGUCUGUGCUGGAUUGGACUGUCAACACCUUCAACUGUCAAGUUUCAACUAUAAAUCGAUACCAACGUUCGAGUUUGGCAGAGCAUUAAUCUAUUUCAAGCCUUGGAAGGCUUUUGGCAUGGGCAGAAUUGGAGCCUCCUCAGUCUGAAAGGGGCAGAAGUGGCUGGAUUUGCUUAUUACUGAGAUGGGGCUGCACUGUAGUACCUGUUCUGCUUUAUCAAGGCUCUCCAUAAAUUUGUUGAGGUUUUCAUGUUUGUAAAAACAGAACUCUGCUUGAUUUGGCUUAUGCUGAACCAAAUUUGUAACGAGAGAAAUCUCGCUUUGAAUGACUAUUUCUCUGAAACUGAACUGAAGUUAGAGAUUCUGGAUUAUAGCUGACUUGUUUUUUGUGGCUCAAUGAGCUUUUGGUUGCUUCAGUGUUUUGAAGGUUUUUAAGAUCAAGUGAUCAUUUUUGAGUUUUUGUCUUCGAUUAAUUUUUUGGCUGUCUGUUGAUCUAUUCACCUCCUCUCAUAUUUAUAGAAAAUGCUGGAGUGGGAUUUCUAAUCUUUUAAUAAUAGGCGGCAGAUUUUCCAAAAGAAAGAUCUUUUAUUUUAAAUGCAAAGAAAAAAGGGAAGUUAUCUGUUCUGGCAGAAAAGAACCAUCAAUAAUCAGUUUUCAUGGAGAUCUUUUCCUUGCUUUUCUGAAAGAAAGACCAACUCUUCUUUGUUCUCUGUUUGUUCUUGGUAAAGAGAAAGAACACAAUCUGACGUGAUGGUCAGUUUGCUUUUCUAGAUGAACAGCUCUCUGCUCCCUACUUAUCUCUUUAGAAAAUAUAGCUUGCUUAUCCCUUGGCAAUGACACCUGCUUUGGAGCAGAAUUUUUCUGAAUAUAGAAAAGGAUUUUGGUCUUCUUUCUUGAUUGUAAAGACUGGAGAAAUCUUCCUGUAAGGCCUGCCUUCAUUAAUUCCCCAUCAACUCUCUUGUGACUAGUUGAAUUUGCUAACUUUUCAAAGUCAAGUAGUCACGUGGGUUUUGCUUCAAUUUUAGGCUCUUCUCUUAUUUUCAUUUGAUCACGCCAAGCCCAGGUUGAGUUUUGGGAUUUGUGGGCUGAUUCCUUUUCUCUGUUUUCCAAAGCCCAAGUCUAUUCUUGUGGGCUGACAGGUCUUGAGCUAGGCUUUCUCGAUUUUGGGCUGCUCUCUCAGUUUCUUUAAAUCAAGCCCAAGUUGUGCUUAUGUUUUGUGCAUUUCAAAAAUGGGCUAGGCUUCGCACAAUUUUUAGGCCCAAACAGGACAUAGUUUCAAAAAUUGUGGAGGGCCAAGCUAGGUGAGGUGUCAUAAAAAAGCGCACAAUCCGCACUCGUUAUCAUGCCCACAUGCAUCUCCUCCAUAUAAAGGGUAUGAAAGCCAAAAUUGAAAUUGCCCCUGCCACUGCAAUUAUGGUAUUCAAGGAAUCUGAUGAAAUGCCCCAGUUGAAGCAACAAGAAGUGGAAACCGGAUUCGACCUAUUUCGUAAGUUUGCAAAAAUAGUGGAUCCAGAAGGAAACUGGGACAACAUCAUUGUGGGCGAGGUCAUGAAUUUCAUGGGUCGUAGUCGCCGCAAUUGAAGAGUAUGCAACUUUGAAUGUGUCAACAGCAAGAAAUUUGUGACACAUUAAUAUGACUCUGGACUGGGUGUAAAAUGUAGUCGAAACAACAUGUAAAAUGGAAUCAUGUUCAGGUGGCCUCUUUUUGUAUUAUGUAACUAUGGGGUGGCCUCUUGUUGUAUUACGUAAGUUUCGAAAUUAGAUUUUAUGGAUUUAUGAUGCUUCUUUUUGUAUUUCUGCAUAUACAGUUUAUCCAUGUCCAGUUCAGUGGCGAUAUAGAGGCAAUAACUCCACAAUAAGCAUGUGUAUAAUGGCAAUAUGAUGUCAAUAAGAGUGCAAUAGAGUUAUAAUACGAUCCUAUUGCAGUAGGUACUGCAUCAACAUGGUUUUAAAAUAUCUUAGAUGAAAAAAUUACAAAAAAUUAAACCAAAAUUAAAUUAAAAAUUGGAAAAGGGAUGAAGUAUACAUCCCUUAAAAGACAUAUGGCCUACAUUACACACCUUCUAUAUGGACUCUAUAUAUACAAAUCAUGCCUUGCAUCACCAUCACAUCCCCCCCUAAAUUACAGAAACAUGACACCACAAAACCUCAUGCUCCUUCCUCUUUCAACCCCUAAAUUAUCCAUCGGAUGCCCAAUACUAGAUGGCUGCUUGGGUAGUGGGAUACCCUGCAACUCCAUAACAGAAUUAGUAGGGGAGAGCGGUUCCGGAAAGACGCAACUUUGUCUCCAACUUACGGUUAGAGCUCAGCUCCCACCCUCACAUGGCGGACUAGGGGGCUCCUCCCUCUACAUAUUCACAGAAUUCAGCUUCUCAUUUCAUCGAUUGCAACAACUAGGCAACCUUUAUCAUGCAUCAUACCCCAACUUAAUAGGGAUGGAGCCAUUGGAAGACAUAUAUGUUCAUGGCGUUCAUGAUGCUCAACAACUCAUCCAUGUCCUUAGAGACAUACAAGCAUUCAUUGCCAUUGAUCACACCCGGUUACCUGUGAAACCAUUGAUUCCAUUGCUGCAUUGUUCAGAUCACAAUAUCAGACAACACCGGCAGAUUUGAAACGGCGGUCUGAAAUGUUCUUCAAGAUAUCUGGGACAUUGAAGGCUUUAGCAAAUAAGUUUGGGUUGGCCGUGGUUGUGACCAACCAAGUGGUGGAUUUUAUUGGUCCACAUGAUGGAGUGAAUAGGGUGAGGUUGGGAAACUUAGAGUGCCUGCACACAUCAGGUAGACGGGUGAGUUCAGUUUUGGGACUGGCUUGGGCACAUUGCAUAAAUUCAAGGGUGUUCUUAGCAAGACAUGAGCAAUCUGUUGGGGUUAACAGUCGUAAUGCUCAUUCACCAACUAUAUCAAGUCAAACACAUAGGACAUUUGACAUUGUAUUUGCCCCCCAUUUGCCCUAUGCAUUGGCUGAAUUUGUAAUCAUAAAAGAAGGUAUAGUAUGAGUAUCACAGUAACUAUGUAAUAAUGGAAUUCUAAGAACUUUAAUGUUUUGGAUCCAUUUGGAGUUACAUUCCAGGCCCUUUAAUUUCGUACUCAUAGUUUACAUUGCAAUAGCAAUACCAGUACAAUAAAUGUACAAUAUAAUGACAAUCUGAAGGCAAUACAAGUACAAUGUGAUAGCGAUACUGUCGCAAUAAAUAGGAAACACAACAUGCUGUAUAACAUUGUAACCCAAAUGAUGCAAAUUUAACACAAUUCACAUUCAACAAACACGAAACCCAUGUCAAAUAAAAUUAAAGUUGAUAUUACCUAACAAAGCAACAGAAAUCAUAUUGUCUAAGAUACAUUGCACAAUGGAAUAUUGUUUUUACAGGUGGUUUUAUUGUGGCCUGUGGAACCGCACCUUGAGCACUUUCAUGUAAUGGUGCCCUUUCCUUGCGAGGGAAUUCUUAGCUUCUUUUGUCUGCCUGGCAUGACCUUUGCCAUGGGAGGAAGCACAACUCGACUUCGAACAUGUUCAGGAAUAACUCACAUUGCGUGAGGCUGUACCGGGUAGAUGCUAUCCAAAUAAGCAUCCAACCAGGUAUUCCGAGUGUAAUACCGAGAAGCCUUCGAGUAUACAUUUAGUUUCAAGAAGCGGCAAACUGCAACUACAUGCUUGCAAUUUAGCUGCUCAAGCUAAAAAUUUCUACAACUACAACUGUUGUUCGUCAAAUCCACGAGGCCGUCCAUAUCACCGUCCAAAACAUUAAACUGUACAUUAUUUAGUUUAACGAGAUUCAUCCUUGCAACAUCCUCCAACCUAUUCCUCAACUUUUUCUCACCAAAAUUGGGGCACAAUGUUGUUGUGCAAUUCAUAGCCAACUCACGACGUUCGGUGAACCAUUUCAAAGGGAGAUUAAUAAUUUCCCCUAUCAAAUGAACCACUGGCAACAUUCUUGCAUACGUAAGGACUGAGUUUAUUGACUCCACAAUAUUUGUUGUCAUUACAUUGUAGCGGCAUCCAUCCAUGUGAGCUCUAGACCACUUAUGUAACCCUGCAUGUUCAAGAUAUUGAGCAACAUGUUCCUUUCUCUUGAUCUUCCGAAAAUGACAAUCAAACUCAGCAAUGGAAUAAGAUUUCGCAGCCUGCUCAAAGUGCAUAAGUAUUUGAUCACGCUUUUUCAACUUGCAAGUGCGUUUCAUGUUCCCUUUCAUAUGAUAAAAGCAUAUGCCAUGUUGCACUGUUGGAAAAACUUUGUUCCACACAUUCUCCAUGAAAAACCAAUGCCAUGAUGCAUCCGUCUCCAAAUCCCUGAUCCCAAAAGCAAGAGGAUAUGUAUUUCAAUUGCCAUCGAAUGCAUUUGCUACAAACAUAACACCCUUGUACUUGGAUUUUAAAUUAGUGGCAUCCAUGGCUAUCACUGGACACAUGGAAGAACGAAACCCUCUAAUACAUGGGCCAGCUGCCAUAAAUAAAUACACAAAGUGAUUGUUUUCAUCAGUUUGGAUGUGUGUCUUUGUGCCGGGAUUCAUAUGCUCCAAUUCAUAGGAAUAGGCUAGAAGGAUAUAAUAAGCCUCCUCGGUUGAUCCUCUAAUGGAUAAUAGAGCUAACUCCCUUGCUUUCCAAGCUUUCGAAUAAUGGAUGGUGAAACCAAAGUUGUGUUUCACAUCUCUCAUUAUGUCACUUGGUGUGUAUAUUGUCCGAAAAUCCUUCAACUUCCUUUUAAAUGAAGUGGCUACAAGUGCUGCGGUUGCUUGACGAUGGUCGUCAUGUACGAACCUCAAAUCACCUUCAUGGACAGUUGUACACCUCACAAUCAUGAAGUUGUAUUCUCCAAUUCUCGAUGCUCGGACCCGCCAUGGGCAUGGAUGGUGACAACAAACCAUAAGCAACCUCUUAGUCCAAGCUAAUUGCACCUUAAAUUUAAAGUGGCCUCUCAAUGCCGUCAACCGUAACUCGGUCAACAAUGCUCCCUUACUAGAGAAAAUUUCCCCAAUUGUAAUUUUCGGAUUCCAAUCACUUCGCGAAUACACUGUGUCCAAAUAUGCUUCUCCAUCAUUUACACCGGCCACAUUGUACCGGUUCUAUUCACCCAUUUGACUCAAAUACUGUUCAAGAAUGGGUUCAGAUUCUCCUCCUAAACGCAUUAUUGGAAAUUGGGCAGAUGUGUUCAAGGGGCCCAAAAUAGGAGAGGCAGAGUACACUAACACUUCAUUUCUUUCAGUACUAUUAUCUCCACCAUGCAUCUCCUCCACCUCACCAAAAUCAAUCAUGUCAUUAAAAUCUUUCCCAACAUCACCUCCCACAUCAGUGACAUUUGUAUUAUUCCGAGUUACUUCAUUGCUUUCAACAAUGGCAGCUAAAGAACGACCCAUCCGACUACUAUCUGUCGUGAUAUGCAUACUAACAACUACAUCAUUUGUUAGUCCAUUAUCUUCUAUACUCACGAGUAAGUUACGUAACAAUUGUACUUCAUAAAAAAUUUGACAUCAUCAUCAUCCUCUAUCUUUAUAUGCUUCUACUCAUUCGAGGCCACCAAAACUGAGAACUUUAAGCAAACCUUGUCUUCCCUGCUGUUUGUAUUACCAAUCUGAUGCACACAAUCCAAUAUUUCAGCAAAUGUGAUGGUCCGUGGAACUAUUAAGCCUUUUGAGUCACCCUCUUCGUAUUUGCACAUCUUCUUUGAGGUUACCCAUUUUCCAUUGUAACAAACCAGAAUAACAAUUGUCUCCAUUUCUGACCAUGAAAAAAAUUAUUUCAUUAACACAAUACAACCACAAUAACCAAGCAAUACAAUGGCAACAUAACAGCAAUAUAACAUCAAUAUAUUAGCAAUAUAACGGCAAUAUAACAGCAAUACCACAACAAAAUAAUAGGAACACAAUAGCAAUACAACACUAACACAGCAGUGAACAAGGAAUCAUCACAACUAUACAAAUCCACUACAUCAAAUGGAAAAUCCAAAGUUUCAAGAUUCACAUAUCCAGAGCAAUCUAAAUGCAAUUAGUAAAAACCCAGAUGGAUGAGCAUGAAGAUUCAAAAAAACCUAACCCAAAGCAAUUACAGCCAUAACCAAUUUAACAGAAGCCCAAGCGAAGAAAAUAAAACCAAUUUCAAAGAAUCCAACAGAUAUUAAGAAAAUAACCAUCAACACUACCUAUUUGAGGUCGACGAUCCAGUAGAGCUUCAAGGUUGUAAGCAGUUAUUCAGAAGACAUACCUAAAAUAUGGGGUCGAGGGUGGGGUUCAUGAUUCAGAAGAGAGAGUGAGACAGAGCUACGUGAGAGAGAGAGAGAGAGAGAGAGAGAGAGAGAGCAAAGAGAGACAAAGAUCUGCGCUAGAGCAAAGAGAGAGAUAGAAAGCUGCGCUAGAGAGAGAGCAAAGAGAGACACAGAGAGAUAGACAAAGAGAGAAAAGGGGGCUGAGCGAGCUGAGAGAGAACCAAAUUUCUGAAAAUGUAAUAUGGGUGCAAUCAGUCGACAAUGAAGGUGUAUUUAUAGGUGGUAGUUUAAAAAUUUUAGGGGAGAGGUGGUAUUUUCAGAAAAAAUUAUAAAAUGGGUGGCAUUUUGAGCUAUUUCCCUUUUUUCUCAGAGUAAAAUUGUCUUUUACUUAAUUAAAUUAAUAAUUAAAUAUUAAUUUAAGUUCGGGUUAUUACAGCAUACAUAUGAAUCGAAGUUCCUUUUCUAACUUUCCAAGCUAAAGGCAUUCUCUUGGUUACCCCAUCCUCAUCAGUCACGGGUUGAACAAUGCAAAUAAUUGUCAUAUAGGUUUGCUUUAAGGGACCAUCAGUGAACUAAAAAAAGUAUUGUGCCAAAAGUUGGAGUCGUAUCUCUUUAAGUCCCAAGGGCUCCAAGAAAUAAACGACAUCUUAGAUGACAUUUGGUAUGUUUUGACGACCCACCUUUUCUUCAUGGGCACAUAUCUAUGUGCUUGAAUAGAUGUAGACGAUCAUUCCUCCCCACCAUUUUUUUUUAAUAGGUUUGCAUGUGAAUUAUAUUUAUACAAAUUUAGUUAUAUAUCCAAUCUUAGACAUAUUCUUAUAAAGAAACCUUAUAUCAUUUAAAAACUAUAAACACACCCGUCAAUUUUUUCAAUUUAAUAGCCAUUUUUAAGUUUAUUUGUGUGUGUAAAAUACUUAUAUUGCCCUUAUACUAUGGAUUUGAGAGAGAAAAAUCAUAUCUACCCAGAUCUGCCAAAAAAACCAAAUCAGCCAAAGAACCAAAUCAGAUUUAUUUUCUCCUUUCUCGCUGGUGCUUUCUCGGUAUUGGCGCAAGAAGAGCUUCCGUUGAAGCUCAGUCUCAAGUCCAACUAUAUUCUUUAUCUCUGAUCUACAAUUUACAAUAUUUCACCUUUGAUUUCUUGUUCUAAAAUCGUGCUUCUAUUGAUAUUUUUUAUUGGAUUGUUCGGAACCUCGAUUAGAUGCUCUUAGCUAUACUCCUCAUCUUUAAGCUAUACCCGUCUUUCAACACGUCAUCGUCGUUGUUGUCAUCAUCAUCAUCAUCGUUGUUGUCGUCGUCAUUGUCGUUUGGUUUGGACUUGAGAUUUUUGAUCUUUUGCUUCAAUUAUGUGUUUCUCUUCGAAUUUUAGUUGAUUUUCGAAACGUAUUUUAAGCUUUGAUGAUCGAUUUAUCUUUUGUUACUAUUUCAGUUAUGGAUCUCAUUUUUGUUUAACAAUGUACUUCUAUAACAGAAUAGUAACAAUGUACUUCUAUGACAUAGUAGUAUUAACAAUCUGAGCUCGGCUUGUUUUGAGUUGGUCUGGUUUGUUCUUUCUUCAUCUUUUCUUUGGUGGACAUGUAUUAGAAAUAGCAACAUAACAAGCAUUAAUUAACAUGACAGUAAACUAGCAGUGUUAUUACCCUAGACUGGAACAUUACAGGGGUAUACAUGCAUUAGAAAUAGGAUGUCAUAGGAAACUAGUAGCGUCAUUAUCCUAGACUGGAACAUUACAGCCAUUAAUCAACAUGACAAUAAAAGUGUGGAACAUUACAGUCAUUAAUCAACAUGACACGUAAUGAAGCUACGGUUUUCAAGACAUUUUGUUUGUAAUGAAUUGUUUGCGUUUUUUUAUAAAAUUGGGCUGGGCUUGUUUUGGGUGCUAUUUAAGUUUUUUGUGUUGGGCUUCUUUUAAGUUGAUCAAUGGUAGUCAAUAAUUUAGAGGAACUUCAACACCAAUUUCUUAUGUAGUAAAUGAGUUUUGAGUGUGUUUCUAAAGUGCAUUCCAUGUGGGGCUUUUUAUAAUUUCAGCCCCUAUUUUAGGUAUAUUAGUGAAGCUCCCUUAUAUUUAUAAUGCAUGUGAUUACUUUCAAUGAUUCUGAAAUUGAAGUUGACAUAUGUACAUAUGUGUACAAAGAGACACAUAUCAUGAACAGUCUAAAUGAUAAUAUGUGAUUGGUGGCCGAUUUAUACUUUCAUGUAUAGUAUUACUAUUAAUAAAUAACAUGUUCUUUAUUUUCAGUUUUUUUGUUUUAGUACAAGCGAUAUUCUAAACAUAAACCCUAAACAGUUGUGCCUCUUCAUUUGAUCGCGUUGAUCUUACAUCCCGCUAUUCUCUACUACUUUUUUCUCAUAAUAGACCAUAGAAGAAAGUAAUUCAUCAGUCUCGUUCUCCUGGACUCUUGCAGUUCAAGGAAACCCUUGAAUUUAAUCUAAGGGUUUAAAAAAGACCUAAUUUAAAAUAAUAAUUUAUCUUUUUACAGCAGGAAAAUUGAUUAUUAAAAGUAAAUUUAAAAAAAUUGAUUUAAGAUAAAGACACCAAACCACCACCACCACCUCUGCUCUUUUAUAUCGUUCCCACAAAACUUCAUAUUUUAUUUAUAAUUUAUUUCAAGCAUUUCAUUUACUGCCAUAAUUGUAAUUAAUACUCCGUCUUAAUAGCAUAUCAAUCAACCCAUUUCUUUUGGUUGUCAUUCCCUUUCACAUAUCACCCCUAAAGUUGCAAACCCAAAAAAACAAAACAAAAACAAAACAAAAAAACCAAAAAAAAAUCUGUAAAUUAUAUAUCCAAUAAUGUACCUAUGAAAAAUAUAAAUAUAAAUAUAUGCGUAUAAAAAUAAAAUAUAGGUAUAUUAUUUACCAAGAAAAUUUUAAAAACACCUAAGUCAGUUACUUUGUAACUGAAAUUUCCACACAUUUUUCAUAAGUUAAAAAUAGGUGCACAAUAAUUUAUAAAAAAAUAUAGGUAUAUUAUUUACUCAUAGUAAAUUAUUUUAUAAUAUACCUAUAAAUGUGGAUUAUUUGGAGAGGAAAAAUAGGUUCAUUUCACCAAAAAAAAAAAAAAAAGUUAAGUACACUGUUUUACUAGGUACAUUAUUAGAGGAAAAAAAUAGGUACAUUAUUUGGAGAGAGAAAAUAAGGUCAUUUAAAAAAAUGAUUUUCAUAAAACAAAUAAUAGGAACGUUAUUCAGAGAAAAAAAGGCAUAUUAUUUAUAUAAAAAAAAAAAUAGGUACAUUAUUUAGAGAAAAAUAAGUUCAUUUUAAAAAAAAAGUUUUUCACAAAACAAACAAUAAAUAGAUUAUCAAAAUAUUUUUCAACAUAAUUAGUAUUUACACUAUUAUUCAUAAAACUAUAAUAAAACAGAUUACUAGUGACAGGACUCGGCCCAAAUUCCUUGGAAGCCGGGACGACUUCUGUGGUUAUUCCGACGUCAUACUGAUGCCGGGCUCACUUGCUAAGAAACGAGACUUUCUACUGAAAUUUCAACAGGGUCUCUACUGAAAAAUGGACAUUUUCCAAAUUUCUCAACAUGUUAAAGCCACAUUUAAUAUCACCAACCGGUAGCAAACACAAGAUAAAUUCAUGCAGUUUACAUAAAUGAUCUCCAACCUCACAAUCAAACCCUAACGGGGCGACAUCAGAGCAUAACUACUAGAAUUCAGUUUACAAACAGUGGUAAAGUUUAAUGGGAGAGAAACGAAUAAAAGAGUCCUACGAAAGCUCGAGGUUCGGAAGUUCGGGGGCUUGGUUCUGCUACUCAGCUUGGUCAAAUACUGUAUGGGGGGCGCAAAACAGAAUAGUGUGAGUGGACAAAAACAAAGUUGCCAUUAGUUGAAAACAACGUAUAAUAACCCCACCGUUUAGAAGUAUACAUAUAUGCAUUCAAACCAUCAUAAAUAUAUACAUAUAUAUAGUCACAUCAAGACCAUGGUGAAAUCCAAUCCUCAUAAAGAUAUCCAAAUACCCAUCUCAUACAAAACCAUUUUCCCAAACCACUCUCUCAAAAUGAGUAUCCGUUGGCACGGCGAACGAGGAAGUAUCCCCACCGAUAAACAAGAAGGAAUGUAUAGGUAUAUAUAUAUAACAUAAUAUAUCUAUAUAUAUAAGUAUGACCACUACGAAGUUUGCAUCGGGGAAGCAAUCCAGCUGGGGGAUUGUUUGACUAGUCCACAUGGAAGAAUCAUCAAUUGACUAUGUGUGGCUAGGGAACGAACCGUCCAACUGGGACUAAGCUCACCAGCACGUAUAGAAGAAUCCUCAAUACUCGUACGCCUGUGAAAAAGUCCUACGUGCGCAGACUACCCCGCUAAAGGUCAAUGAAACACCCCGCUAAGGGUGUCUGGGUUCCAUCAUAUCCAAGUAUCACCAAUCAUUCCAAUCAUCCAAUCCAUAGUUUCCAUAUCCGAAGAGGUACAUAAGGUAGUGCUUAUAGCACUUCAAACUGAUAUAACUAUAAUCCACUCUCUUUCCAUAAUUCUCAUUACCGACACCCAGGUGCCCCACACAUGACCAAGCAUAGAUAGAAAUUCUCGAACUCAAUAUAUAUAAACUCAAGACACUCGAAUAUGCCAAAACCCGAACAUAUUGCAAAUACUUUACAAAAAAUAUCAAGUUCAACAAUUGAUUAUAUAAUAAAUUCAAUAAACCAUUAAAUCAAUAUCCAUAGAUUUUCCGUCAUAAAAUAAUACUUAUUAUUUGAAAACAAAGUUCACUCAGAGGUAGUCCCACGCUGCUUGACCCUGAGAGGGUCUCGCCUGCUGAGUACCAGUAGAUGGAGCACCUAUUUAGAAAUACGAGGGCGAGAUUAAUAUGAAGUGCUUCAAAUGAGAACUUUAAAAUAAAUUCCUAAUUUCCAGGGACUAAAGUGUGUAUACGACGAACAAGGCAUCCUAAGGUCCAAUUACGUGUUUCGAAUGGUGGAAUAGCCUUAGAAGACGCUCGGUCGACCGAGUGGUUAAACUUUCCAAAGUUGGUCAACCGGGCCCACAGGGCCCACGACCUCCGAUUUCCGAUCCGAAAGUUCUUGUGGGUUCAACAAGGUAUAAUAUGCAUGUCCCGCAAGUUUGGUCCAAAAUCAAAAAGUCGAAUCACUCGCGAUCACACGAUCGGACAGUUACCGUUAAUCCUAAUUUUUGAAUCAUUGAAUUGGAGCAUUCGGAAUUCUGAUUCAUGAUCUGCAAUAUCCUACACGAUCCUAAAGAUGCCUAAAUCAACAUAUAUGAAAAUGGAGUCGAUUCAACGGUCCAAACAUAUCGAACCCAGAUAACGCCCAAUAUGCGAUAUCCAAUUGAUAGUCAAACGAUAAUCAAAUUCAUAUCCGAGCUUACCGUUAUGCUCAGGACAACAUAGGGAUCAUUUUAGGACCAAGAGGGACACCCAAACAGUGCCCAUGCGCCGCCACAUGUGCCAACAGAGCAUAGGUGCCCAAAGUAAUUCCGGAGAUCGUAAUAUCUCCAAAGCGCCAUCAAGACCUAUACUCACAUGAUCAGAAUAAUGAAUAGAGCAACUUUUGUUCUUGGACUAUGGCCAAAAAGUGGCUGGAGAUGGCCGAAAUUGCUAGCGGAAAAACAGCCAAAAGGGUUUAGGUCAAAAUUGCAGAAAUCGUCUAUCCAACCAUCAGCUUGAACACAUUCAGAGGAUGAAAAAGUAUACCAAGAUUGAAGAAAUUGGUGGCCGGAAUAGCCAGAACGAGCUCCAGAAGUUUCAAUCAAUAUAAUUAUUUAACCAUUUAUUUAAUCUAUGUAAUUAUUUAAUUUAUUUAAUUAUGAAAUUACAACUUUGCCCAAGGAAUAGGGUCAUUUUUGUCCCUUUUUAAUUUGGUAGGAUUUGGGGAAAAUGAAUGGCACCGUUGCGUAGAGCGCAUUGAUACGAGUUCAUAGAGACGUAGUGGGCUCAAAUCGGAGUUUUAACGAAGUUAGAUUUUAAAAACUCAAUCAGAUUCUUCUCUCUCUCUCUCUCUCUCUCUCUCUCUCUCUCUCACGAAACCCCCCAACCAUCCACUGUUUUGGCAUACAGUUUUUUCCUCCAACCCCCUCCGGAGACGAGACCAGUCCCAAAUGAACUAGCCCACCUUCCUCUCUCUGUCCCACCCCACCUCUGGCAAAACCAGUUGUUAUCGACGAUUCUGGCCACCAAAUUUAUCGAUCUAGGUAUGCUUUCUCAUUCUUUCAACUUGAUCUAGCUGAUGGUCGGGUUGGUUAGGAUCGAUUUUAAAGUUUUUCAACUCGUUUCACGAUCUUUGUUUUCACUGGUUUUUGGCUCGAAUUUCCGGCAAGCUCCGGCCACUUUUUCAAAGUGGCCCAAGAACAAAAGUUGCUCCACUAGUUGUCAUGAUCACAUAGGUAUGGAUAUUGAAGGGUGUUUUGAGAAUUUUUCGGCCGCCAGAAUUUUCUCAAGUCACCCAAGUGAUGGCGAUGCUUGUAGCGGCGCGGGGGCCAUGGUUGGGUGGCCCAUUUGGUUCUAAAAUGUUCCUCAUGUUGUCCCGAGUACAACGGUAUGCUCGAAUUGAAAUUGGUUAUCAUUUGACGAUCGAACAGAUUUACGCAUAUUAGGCGAUAUUCGGGUUCAAUAUGUUCAAACGGUUGGAUCGACUCCAUUUCCAAAUAUGUUCAUCUAGGUAUCUCUAGGAUCGUGUAGGAACUCAAGGAUCGAGAAUCGACUCCAUUUCCAAAAAUUAUGUAAAACGGUGAUCGUCUGAUCUUUCGAUCACGAGCUAUCCGACUGCUCAAUCUGGACCAAAUUUGCAGGAUGUGUUUAGUAAACUUUGUUAAACCCGUAGGAUUCGGAUCGGAAAUCGGAGAUCUUGGGCCCCACGGUCCCAGUUAACCAAAUUUGGGAACACGUAGUUGGAUUAUUUUGAGGUUAUUUCACCUUUCGAUUGAGGAUUCUUCCAUGUGGUCUAGUUAAACAAUCCCCUGGUUGGAUUGUUUCCUCGAUACAACUUUAGUAUAUAUAUAUAUAUAUACAUAUACCUUCAUUCUUAUUUAUUGGUGAGGAUCCUUCCUCUCUUGUUGUGUCAACAGGCACGCGUUUUGGGUGAGAGUGGUUUGGGCAAAGUUUUCAGUGAGUUUGAGCAUUAGUAAAUAAGGUACGGGAUAUAAGUUCUACCUUGGUUCUAGCUUAAUUAUAAAUUUAGUAUCGGCUUUGAAUGCUUGUUUUUUAGAAUUGUUUUUCCAAACGAUGGGGUCAAUAUGUUGUUUUUAAUUAUAACAAAACUUCAUUUUUGUCCACUCACAAUUUUCUGUUUUGCGCCCCCAGGCAGUAGUUGACCUGAGCUGAGCGGCCGAGCUGAGCCCUGAACUUCCUAGCCUUGAAACUUCAGUAGGGCAACCUUUGUUCGUUUCUUUUGCAUUAAACUUGUUUUCGUUUGUAAACUGAAUCCCUUUAGAAUUUCUCGGUUAUUGCCCAUGUUAGGGUUGAUGUAAAGCCGGAGGCCUAUUAUGUAAAUUGUGUGUUUAUACAUUGUGCAUGCUGCUGGAUGGGAUUUAUUAAUGUGCUUGCCAUGUUAAUUUUUUUUUGGGAAAGUCCGUUUUUCAGGGGAGAUUUUGCCGAAAUUUCAGUAGAAAAUCUCGUCCCUCUUUUCCUUAAUUUGGAAAAGAGGCUUUGAUGUUAGUAAGCGGGCCCGACAUCUGUUUGAUGUCAGAAAUAUCACAGAGUCUGUCAUGGAUUUCAAGGAAUAUCACAGGAUUCAUCUAGAAGCAUCUCACUGCCCAACUCGACUGAGAAUUGGUCAUCAUCUUAGGAAACUCGCCCCUAUUCCGACUAAGAAUUGCUCGUCAACCAAUCCAUAUGCAUCUCACCACCCAAGCUCUCUUGUUGCACUAGGAGCGUGUUUUGCUCUCUAAUUUUAGUUUUUUAGUUUUUUAGUUUUUUUUCAUUUUAGUUGUUGUUUAAUUUUUAAACAUGUUUUUUAAAUAACCCUUAUAUUAUAAUUUAUAUCCAAGGGUGGGUGACCACAAUUUCCUUGGACCACAGGAAUUCAGAAGAACGAGACUGAGUAAUUCAUAUACUAAUCCUUUAACGAGCAACAAAACAAAUCAAAUCAAACAAUCCGAAUGCAAAGUGAAAGAAGCUGCUCAGAAACUCUAUGAUCAAAUAUCCAACACUAAAUAUACUUAAGUGUUUCGUGUUCAUCACUAUAAUACGAGAAACUUUCGUGUGUAUUUGUAAGACACUACUACAAAAAGUGAAAAAGACGACAAGAAAAAAAACGACGGUUCAACAAAAAACCGUCGUUGUGUUUGAAAAGACAAUGGUUUCAUAAAACCACCGUGUAUGAUUAACUUAAACACCUAAAAAUGGAGAUUCCAAUGGGUUUUUAAAAAAAAAUGACACACCUAAUUAAAAAAGCGUCGUCAUAUUGAAAAGGCAUUCCUCAGAAUAAACUCUGAGCCCACAAACAACUGCAGAAGGUAUGAAUCCACCGACGUAGAAAGUAAAGACGAUGGUUUACAGCAACAGCCGCCGUUUUUACUCCAUAAUAAACACGACCAAGUUUUCGUAUCAUGCACCAUAUAAAUUCAAAACAAUCCACGGCGGUAUAUUAUAAAUACCACCGUAUUAAAUAAAUAUACAACGACGGUAAAGAUAAAUUUAUCGAUUUAUUUUUGUUAGUGUACUACGACGGUAUCUAUAACUCUAACCACAUUGGUUUGUUCAAUUAACGCUGUAUAAUAAAAUUUACCACGUCGUGAAGGUAAAAUUACCAUCGUAUUUAUUCAAUUUAUAUGUCUACCCUUAUAUCUAAACCGUCGUCUUAAUAUUAUUAUUGUUUUACAAUUUAUUUCUUGAAUUUUGGUAUCCUACGACGGUAGAUCAACUUAAUGACAAGAAUUUAGAAUAACCACGAUGGUUUAUAUAGAAAACCGCCGACAGAAUCAUAUUUUUCUGAGAUCCCAAGAGAUAUGAAAUCUUACCAGAUGGAACUCUAUUCCUCAUCAUAAUCGGACCAUCAAUGUGAGAGAAAGACAAUAUUUUAGACGUUGAUGAUUUAUGUGUCUUUGUGUCUUUGAGAUACACAAAGGCACAUACACAUCAACAUCCAAAAAUUUGCCUCUAAAAUUUGAAGACGGCAGCCACAUAUUUGCAUUCAGAUAGACAAUUUUUUGGAAGUUGAUGAUGUGUGUAUGUUUGUGUCUUUCAGAUACACAAACGCACACACGCAUCAACAUCCAAAUAAUUGCCUCCAAAAUUUGAUGACGGCAGAAACGGAUUUGCAUUCAGAGAGACAAUUUUUUGAACGUUGGUGAUGUAUGUAUGUUUGUGUCUUUCAGAUACACAAGCAUACACACACACCAACAUCCAAACAAUUGCCUCCUAAGAGGUGAGACAGAACCAAGGGCAAGAAGAAGUUUGAACCCUAAUUGAAAACUGAAACUGAAAGAACUCGUGAAAAAAAACUCAAUUUAUUAUAUAAAAAAUUUCAUAUCCACGCCGGUUUUAUUACACCUAACGCCAUUUAACAAAUGGAAUCGACGUCAGUUCUUACCAACCCUUUAGACGUAUAAAAGAAUAACGACGUCGGUUAUGUUAGUUUCACAACGUAGUAAAGACAUAUUAGGGCGGUUUUUUAGAGAUACCACGACGCGAAUAAAUAAAAUGCGUCAUCUUAUUCUCAGAGGGAAAAACCAACGCCAUAAGCUAUUAAGUAACUGACGUAGAAAGUAAAGACGUCGGUACUAGUAAACUUACCGACUUAGUACUUGAAAUAUACUAUGACGACAUCUGUAACACUACUGACGCAUAAGUUAAACUAACCACGUCGGAAUUGUGUGUGUCGUUUAAUAUAUGUAUCAGGGCGUAAACAACAUAUUUACCGCCGUGUAAAAUCAUUUACUAGGGCGGUAAAUUAAUAGCGUCGUGUUAUGAAACGGUUCGUUAAUAUUUUAAACUUUUCGCCUUGACUGACCUAUACUUAUACUGUUUCCAAACCAGAGAAAAAAUUUCAUGCUGUCCUCAUUUUUACUUCCCAAAGCGCCGUGUCUGAAUCUCAUCGGCUUCCUCUCCUCUUCGUCUUCGUCCCUGAAAAAUAAUUUUUGUUCCUGUUUUGCAACUCCAAGCGAAAACUUUCAUUGCAAGCAAAAGGUAAGCAUUUCUCAUCUUUGUUCAUGUUUUGCAUAUGCAUAUAAUCUGUUUUACAUUUGUCAUCUUUGUUCCUGUUCAUGCGAAAAUCAUUUUACUUUUUGGAUAAAAUCUACUGACAAAGAACAAAGUGUCAUUGACCACGAUGAUAAAAUGUACUCUGUCUUUGUGUGUUUGAAGUAGUAAACCAAACGGUCUUGGAACAAUUUAUGAAUUUCAUAUUAUUACUAACGUCGGUAUUUUAUUACUAACGUCAUUGUAAUUGAAAACCACGACGUUUGUUGAAAAAUAUAUUUACUUUUUUCCCUCUUGAAAAUCAUUUUAAGUUUUUAAGUUUUUCCAAAUAUAAAGACAAGAAGCAAAAAGUCUGGAAACACUGCUUUAGACAACUGUGUUUUAUAUAUUACGUCGUUUGUAAUGUAAAACCACGACGUUUUCUUUCCACAGUAGUGAAAAUUUAAAAUUUACAUCGUUUACUAUCAAACCACAUCGGUAGUUAACUACUGUCGUUAUAUAUAUCUUAUUGCAUCGGUUGUUUUUAUAUUCCGUCGUGUGAAAUCUUAUACUACGUCGUUUUUUUAAAUAAGCGUCAUUUUUUUAUUGACUUUUAUUUUAUUUUUUCUCUGCUUGCAGGUCUAAUUUCUCUGUAACCAUGGUUUCUCAAGCGCCAAGUAAGGAUUCUAGCUUGAACAAAAAUGAAUGUAAGGAGCUUAAAGUUUCAAAACCUCAAACCAAGCCCUCAAAGAAGAUGAAAUUUGUUUCAUCUGCUGAGACAGAACCAGGCAGCAUGACAACAUUUUCUGAGGAGCCAAAGUCUAGUCGUGGUAUAAACACAAUGCCCCGUGUUGUGAAGAGAAAAUUGCAGAAAAUCAAGCCAGUUAUUGAGUACAACAAAAGGGGGAAACCAUAUGGCCCUGCACAUACUGAGAUGCAGUCCUACAUUGGUGUGCUGGCACGAUCCAGAGUCCUAAUUGUGGACAAGAAACGAACUGAAAUCCCUAAGGAUAUAAAAGAGCAGAUUUGGGAAGCCGUUGACAUGGCUUAUGUGGUAGGGCAAGGGGGUAAAAAAAUGGUGUUAUCAUCUGCUGGCAAGAAAUGGAAGGAUUUGAAGUCUACAUUAACGAGGCAUCAUAUUCUUCCAUUCAUCAAUGAGAAGGAGAAGUUAAGACAACCCCCUGAAUUAUAUAAAUUCAUAGAGAAAGCAGAGUGGGAUGCCUUUGUAGCUUCAAGGUUAUCCGAACAAUUUGAGUCUGUCCAUGCUGAACAAGCAUAGAGGAGAGGGAAAUGCGAGUACAAUCAUCGAUUGUCUCGAAAAGGAUAUGUUGGUUUGGAGGAUGAUUUGGAAGAAAGCAUGCCAGGGGUAGAAAUUGAUCGAUCUACCUUUUGGAAGAAAGCUAGAGAAGACAAACACGGUAACAUCCCCGAUCCAAAGUUUGCGGAGAAAGAAAAAUUAAUUGUAAGCCUAAAUUCACUUCACUCUGUUUUAAAUUUGUAUUAAACUACAUUGGAAUUUUAAUUAGACUUGCAUAUGGAACUAACUUUCUGUUUUUAUUGACUUUAAUGUGUCUUUGUGUUAAUUAGGAUGAAUUGCAAAAACAAGUCAGUGAAGGCACUCUUACUGUCUCUAGAAGUAAUGAUGUGUUGACUAUGGCUUUGGGUCCCGAGCAUCUAGGGAGAGUUAGAGGUGUCGGGGCUGGGAUUUCCACUAGGCAAUACUUCAAUUUACCUAGACAAUAGAGGGUAAAGUUUAACGAUCAAUUAAGGGAAAGUGUAAGAGAUGUCCUUAAAGAAGAGACCUUGAAGAUGGAGGCUAGAACCAAGCAAUUGGUAGAAGCUGAGAGGGAGAAUUAGCUAAAUCAGCUGUGCCAACUAAUUCCAAAUUUUGAUCCAAGCGUGCUGAAACUGACAACUUUCCAAGGUCCUGAGCAAAGUCCCAAAAAUCCAAUGUCGGAUAAAGCAAGCUGCUCUGGGGCGCUAGAUGUCAGAGCCCUCAAUUUUGCGAAUGAUAAUGCCAAAGAUGGAGAAAAGCAAGAAGAAAUGGUAACUUCUAUGAACUCUGCAUACUGCUUUUGAAAACCAAUUAGACGUCGUUAUCUUAAUUACAGACGUUAGAACCAACCCACAACGACGUCUUUUAUUUACCGUCGUCUCAAUUUAAAUUAGAUAGUGUUUUCUCGUAUUAACCGUCAUCUGUAUUCCUUACCAUGAUGGUAUGUUUGUGCAAUAUUUCAUUUUGUACAAACAGUCUUAUCUAUCUUUCUUUAUUUCUUAAAACAGAAAUCCAAGGAUACAGAACAGCAAGCUGACAUGGUAAAUUCUCUGAAAUUUGAAAUACGCUCUUUCUCUCUCUCUCUCUCUUUAUCUGCAAUUGAUGUUAUCUGCAUUUCUGCGAACGCAUGCUUUUAAAUUUGUAUUUGCAUUUGUUAAUUUUUGAGGGCUCUGUUUUAUACCGACGUAAUAAAGACAUAAGACGACGGUUUUUAGUAACCGUCGUUUUAACUUCAUAUUACGUCUGUUUUUUAAAUAAACCGUCGUUGGAAUUCUAGUACCACGACGGUGUUGUGGAUUCAAAUAGUGUUUUUUUUUUUCAAUCUUUUCUUCACUCACUCUAUUCCACUCUCUCUUUCUCUAUCUCUCUUUAUCUGCAUUUCAUCUUAUUUGUAUUUCUGCUAAAGCAUACUUUUAAAUUGAUAUUGGCAAUUGUUAAUUUUCUAGGGCUCUGUUUUCUACCGACAUGAUUGAUACAUACGACGACAGUUUUCACUUGCCGUCGUGGUUAUUUAAUUUACACGUCAUUUUUUUAUCUUCCCCGUCGUUUUAUCUCAAUUACCACGACGUUUAAGUUUGUGUAGUUUACUCUGGUUUUUUCACUUCUGUAUUAUAUAUCUUUUCUUAUUUCUUCAAGCAAAAAGACAAGUGCUUGGACGUUUCUGAGAAGGAACAACAAGUACCAGAUUACUCAAACCUAGUCUUGCCAUCUUCUUUACAAGCCCUUUGUCGUUAUAUGGAGACGACAUUAAGGGUUCAUGAGAAGGCUAUGAUAUUUACAAUUGAGAAGGAGGUGUUUGGUUUUGAGCAUCAAACCUUCGUCUUGAUUGAAGAUAUUACACAGUUUGCAGCCAUGGAUGAAAUUGGGGCUACUGUGGUUGCUGUAUACAUGAGGUUUGUCCUUAACAACUCAUUGUCAUUUCACACUCUCCUUUCUUUAAAAAAAUUAAAAAACUCAUGACAUCAUUUUAUAUAUGUAGGUGCCUAUUUGAUGUAUUGAAAACAGCAAAUAUGGUGAACAUUGUUGGCUUUGUUGACCCCGCUCAAGUUAGUGCUAACUCUGGAUCAUUAACUCAAAGAUCACGUUUGUUAGCCAAUCGACUUCAAAAGAUAGAUGGGGAACAGAUUUUCUUUAUGCCUUACAAUCCAGGGUACGUUAGUCAACAUGAUUUUCUUUGUAUGAUGCAGUGUAUAUAAAACUGUUUAACCUCUAUGUUUAUUUUGUGUAGCCAUCAUUGGGUCUUGCUCAUUGUGAGACCAAAGAGGGAGACUGUGUAUUUUCUGGAUCCACUACCCGGAAAUUGAGUGGUUGAUGACAAGUGCAAAAACAUAGUGAACACGUAAGUUGAUCUACUCAAGUGUAAUGUGUGUUUGUAGCCUUUUUUUUUUUUUUGAAAUAACACUUUAUUGUCAUGAAACAGUGCUAUCAAGAUGUAUAAUUCACACAUUGGCAGACAAGGCCGUAAAGCACCUAUUUGGAAAACUCUACAAGGCACACCAAAGCAACCUAGCAGUGUAGAGUGUGGCUAUUAUGUCAUGCUCUUUAUGAGAGACAUCAUCACAGAUCCUUCUUUGGAAUUUGAGAAGAAGGUAAAUGGAAAACUUUAGGAUUUUAAUUUCUGUGGUUUUUGUAAGUGGACGACCGAAAAUAUAAUUACCGUCAUGUGAAUCUAUAUACCACGACGGUAAUUCUAUUUACUCUGCCACAGAUCCUACGAAACCAUUCAUGAAGGCUAAAUAAUGAUGUUUUAUUGAUUUGCAGUUUGAAAAGGGCAAAGAUCAAGCACCAUACCCCCAAGAAGCCAUUGAAGAAGUGAGGAAAGAACGGGCAGAUUUUGUUUGCCUUCAUAUGGAGUAGAGGAUUUUUACAAACAACUAUGAAAAAUGUACAAUUUUUUUUUUUUCAAUAGACAAUUUUUUGUACAGGGUUUCGGGUAUAAUGUAUAUGUUUUUUUUGGCUGUCAAUAAAAAUUGGUUUUCAGUUUUUAAAACUAAAGUAACUCCUUAAACCGUCGUCUGAAGACCCUUCCAACGACAUAAUAGUUUCAACAACAGUCAUCUUAUGAAACUUGAAAAUAAACAAACGACGGUAAAUUCAUUUAAUGACAUGUAAACUCAUGUAACACGGCGGUAUAUUUUAAAAGACAAUAAACGACGUUGAUAACACAAAAAGAGCCUUGAAGCAAAUAUCACGUCGAUAACUUGAUAACAGUCGACGUCUUAUGCAAUUUCAAUGACCUUCCCUAAACCCUAAUGCCAUGUAAGCUCGUGUAACACGACGGUAUAUUUUAAAAGGCAAUAAACGACGUUGAUAUCACAAAAAGAGCCUUAAAGCAAAUACCACGUCGAUAACUUGAUAAUAGUCGACGUCUUAUGCAAUUUCAACGACCUUCCCUAAACACUAAUGCCAUGUAAACUCGUGUAACACGACAGUAUAUUUUAAAAGACAAUAAACAACGUUGAUAUCACAAAAAGAGCCUUGAAGCAAAUACCACGUCGAUAACUUGAUAAUAGUCGACGUCUUAUGUAAUUUCACCGACCUUCCUUUUUAAACACCGUCGUCUGGUCAACUUAUGAAUUUUCAAAUGAAUAUUGAAACACUUAAAACGACGUUAUUUUAUUUAAGCGACGUAUAAAGCCCUAACGUCUUAUAUUAUAUUUAGUGGUAGUUUUGACUUAUUUUCUGACUUUUGAACUUCACUACAACGUCGGUUCAUUUAUAAGAGGCUGUGUGACGUCUAUUCUCUUUAUCCCGUCAGUUCGUACCAUAGACGACGUGAGAGUAACAAAACAACAUCCCGAUCCUGCGAUGUUGUAAAUUUUUUACAACGUCAGUAUUUGUAUAAAUACCGAAGUUUAACAUUCAUACAACGUCGGUAUCUGUAUCUAAAACCGACGUGGUUUGUUGUGUUUAUAACAAUUUUUUAUUGACCUUAAUUCAUAAUAUUCAUAAUAAAUUUGUAAAUUUUCAAAAAAUACACCACAACUGCUAUGCAGUCAUUAAGAUAUUUUCUUUGUCCUAAAGCUUUCAAAAAUGUAAUUUGAGUUAUAAAAAUGAAAUAUGUCCACAUAAACAAAUAAAUCACAACAUCCCUUAUAGUUUCUUCAAGCAAUCAUAUGGCUUGUGUCAUUCAUUGGUGGGGAUAUAUAUAUAUAUAUAUAUAUUUUUUAAAUACUGGUUUUAGCAAUCUAAUUUAGAGGGCAUUGUCGUAAGGACUCCGUAGCAAUUUUCAGUUUAUUUUUCUCAAACAUUGGUAUUUUUUAAAACAUUUUAAAUAUAUAUAUAUUACUAUUUAGGGUUUAGGGUUAGGGUUUAUGGUUGAGGGUUUAGGGUUUAGGGGUUUAGGUAUUUAUGGUUUAGGGUUUAGUAUAUGACCACCCUAAACCCUAAACUUUUUUUACAAUUUUGUUUUACAAAUUUGUUUACACCAUAAUGAACCGAGCAGACCCAGCAUCAAAGCGCCUAGCACCAAGGCAGCCACGCCUUCUCCCAUGCCGAAGGAAGACACACUUCCGAGGUGCCAGACACCUGCCGAAGCUCUCAGCUGCCAAACCUAAUCUCCAGGACACGUGUCGUCACCACAACAACUUGCACAAAGUCCCACAUUGGAACUUUGUGCAAAGCUCCCACUUUCACUUCCCUAUAAAUAGGGAACAGUACCCAGGUAAAACCAAGGGCUAUUCCCCCACUUUUACUGUUACUCUGCCAGAAUUACUACCCGUAACUGACUUAGGCAUCGGAGAGCCUUCGGCCGGCACCACACCGGUGUCCGAAGCUUAACGGUUGCUUCUCCUCUUUUUACCUUCUACAGGUCUCUCACCAACCCAUUUCACCGGGGGCCUCAGCCCUCUUCCCUGCUGAAGACCCAGCACAUCUAAUCACUAAGUUGUACUCAAUAUUGGCCGGGCCAUUUUGAGCAUCAACAGUUUGGCGCCGUCUGUGGGAAUCUGACACUUGAAUCCCCUCUUUCUCUAUCAGCCCAGCUGGCUCCUUCACCCCUCAGGCCCCGUCGCCUCUUCUUCACCCCACAUUCUGCUAUGCCGACCGAGGAUAGCCGCGAUACCCAGCACCAUACCCCCCGCGAUGGUACUUCUAGAAGGCAAUCUUCGGAAGAUGCCACUCUCCAGGCAGAAGUGGAGCGCCUCCGCGACAGUGUCACUAAGAUGUCGGAGAAAUACGAGCACCUUCAUUGCAAGAAUGUUGAGCUAGAACAUGACUACCGUGUUUUAAAGCGGAACUGGGAAAGGACUCGCACCCAGGAUGCCCAGCAAGACCUCACCUAGAACGUUGGGCUUAUUCAGCCGAACCAGCCAGUACAUUCCAGCCACAGUGCCUCGGCCCAAGCUAGGCUCCGCAAGGGUAAAGACCACCUUCAUCCGGAGAUAACCCAGUCACGACCCCUUUGCGUUCCCCCACCGAGGGACCGGCCCCACGAACCAGUCAGGAUCUACCAAGAUUGCAGGGAUCGCCUCUCGGACCGUCAGCCAAGGCCGAUCCCUAUCCCUGUCAACCUCGAGGACCCACGGGUGACACACCUGGGCCCCUCGCCAGCCCCCGUCCGCAUACCCGACGAGGAAGGUGUCGGGGACUCGGAUACUUGGGAAUUUUAUAAUUCAAACACCUGGCCAAAUUACCACACCGGGGCGCUGGAAAAUUGGGAACAAUCCCCAGCCCCUGUCUGCCCCGCCCCCAGGCCUUUGGCACCUGAAACUCUUCCUCAUGCCGACCCGGCCAUGAGGCUUCUCUUUGAAAAGGUUCGGCGCCUGGAAAGCGAACAACAUCGCAGCCAUCAACCCCUCUGGGCAAAACCACGACCAGGGCCCUUUACCGAACGCAUCCUCAACUACCACCAGGAGAAAGAUAUCCAGCCACUCCGCAUCGCUUUCUACACUGGCACGGAGGACCCUCUCACCCACAUCCACUCCUUCCAGUCUGCCCUUGGGUUCAAAGGCCUCACUGAUGAAGGCAUGUGCCUCCUUUUCCCUUCCACCCUCAGCGGCGCAGCCCUGAAUUGGUUCUACAGGCUCUACCCCCGCACCAUCAACUCCUUCGAUAGUCUCAAGCAGACAUUCCUGGACCAUUUUAUGAUCCAGACUGAUCGCCUAUACUCUGCCGACGACUUGUAUAUGCUUAGGCAGGCUGAGGACGAACCCCUUCGAGAAUAUGCAGCUCGGUUCAGUCAUGAAUACUCCCGCUGCCCAGACACUGACGAUCGCGCUGCCUUCGGCGCUUUUAAGAGCGGCCUCCGCGAGUCCAACUUCCGCUACCUGGUUCAUAGCAACAGUUGGAACACAUAUGUAGAGCUGAUGAAGCAGGCGGCGAUCCAUGCUAAGGCUGAAUACUUCAAUUCCAAGCGUGGCCCAGCCAACCUGGCGCGCAACACUUUCGCUGACCCUCCACCUGCUUCAACACCCGCCCCAGCCCCACCUCAGCAUUCUACCCCUGCCCCGAGUGCCCAGGACAACCAACAUAAGCGGAAGGAUAGCUACCAGCAUCCCUUCGGUAAUAACAAACGUGGCAGACAUGGCAACCAGCACUCUAGCGGAGGCAACCCUCCUAGGCCUGGUGAUCGGGCCCCUCUUUCCUUCACACCCAAGCCCAGGUUUGAGGUUUUUACGACCCUCAACACCACCUACGAGAACGUCCUGGUGCGUGAAGCCCCCAUCAUCCCCAAGCCACCCCCCCGGAGACCAUCCAACAAGCCUAUGCCAAACACGGGGGUCUUCUACCGCUUUCAUCAAUUCAGCGGCCAUGACACCGAGUCUUGUGUUGCGUUGCGCAACAUAAUUGAAGGGCUCAUCCGGGAGGGUAAGCUGGACAACUAUGUGCGCAACAUACCAGCCCCGCCUAACCCCCACCAACGACAAAUCAACAUGAUCUCCACCAUCAGCGGAAGUCCUACCCUGGCUGGCACCUCCAACAACUCCAUCAAACAUUAUGUCCGCUCCACCUAUGCGCACCAGGUCUUCAGCACCGAGCAGGGACGCUUGCCGAAGACCCACAGGACUGGCUGGGCCCCCAUUACCUUCUGCGAGGAGGAGGAGCGUGGUGUUAUCCUCCCCCAUGACGAUCCACUCAUUAUCCGGGCUGACAUUUCUAACUUUGACGUUGGGCGUAUCCUGAUGGACACUGGCAGCUCGGUCAGUGUGAUGUUUGCCGAGGCCUUCAAUGAACUCCAGGUCCCGCCUCACCUACUCGACCGAAGCAUCACACCCCUUGUGAGCUUCUCGGGUGAUGUGGUCCAGCCCAUUGGCAGCAUUCAUCUCCCUAUAACAAUUGGGGCCGCACCCCAGCGGACGACGAUCACUACCCCCUUCCUUAUCGUCGACUGUCCCACAGCCUACAACGUCAUCCUCGGCCGCCCAGCCUUGGCCCAAAUGAAGGCUUUUAUUUCCACACAUAUGCUGUUGUUGAAGUUUCCCACUCCUAAUGGCCCAGGCACGGUGCGCGGCGACCAACUCGGAGCCCGAAGCUGCUAUGCUUCAGCCGUCAAAUCCACCAAUCGCCAACAUAGGAAUGAAGCCCUAGCAGUAACCAAGGCUCCCGCCCCUCCUCAAGCUGGCACAGAACCACCUGAAGACCCAAGGGAGGAGUCCAUCGCCCCACAGGCCGAACCUAUGGAGGACCUGGAGCUGGUUACCCUCCAUGACGAUAUCCCGGAUCGACAAGUCCGGAUCGGCACCUCCAUCUCGCCAGAGCUUCGCUCUGACCUGGUCGCCUUCCUCCGCCUCAACUCCGAAGUCUUCGCUUGGUCCUACAAUGACAUGCCUGGCAUAUCAUCAGACAUCAUAUCUCAUAGGCUUAGCGUCAAUCCUGCCGUCAGACCAGUCCGACAGAAGCGUCGCGCUUAUGAUCCCGAGCGCUAUGAGGCCAUGAGGGCGGAGGUGGAACGAUUGAGUAGCAUCGGAUUCAUCAGGGAGGUUGACUAUCCUACAUGGCUGGCUAAUGUCGUGAUGGUCCGCAAGCCAAGAAAGGGCUGGCGCAUGUUUGUCGACUACACCAACCUUAAUCGGGCUUGCCCAAAGGACAGCUUCCCGCUACCCCGCAUUGACCAGCUAGUCGACGCCACAGCUGGCCACGCCCUCCUUAGCUUCAUGGAUGCUUAUUCAGCGUACAACCAGAUCUUCAUGCACCCCGAAGAUCAGGCCCACACCUCUUUCAUUACGGACCGAGGCCUCUACUGCUAUAAGGUGAUGCCCUUUGGCCUCAAAAACGCCGGGGCUACUUAUCAGCGUCUGGUGAAUCAGCUCUUUGCCCCACUGAUUGGCAAUACCAUGGAGGUCUAUGUCGAUGACAUGCUAGUCAAGAGUCGCACGGCUGACCAACACAUCCCUAACCUCUCUGCCAUGUUCACCAUCCUGAAGCGGUACAAAAUGAGGCUUAACCCCACCAAAUGUGCAUUCGGGGUGGCUUCCGGCAAAUUCCUGGGCUUCAUGAUCAGCCAGAGGGGUAUUGAGGCCAAUCCAGAAAAGAUCCAGGCCAUCUUAGACAUGACGGUGCCUCAGACGGUCAAAGAUAUCCAAAGCCUUACAGGGCGUGUCGCAGCCCUGACCAGAUUUAUCUCCAAAGCCACUGACCGCUGCGCCCCAUUCUUCAAGGCCCUUAAAGGCACCAAAAGAAACAUCACCUGGACUGCUGAAUGCGACACGGCUUUCAGCGAGCUCAAAGAGUAUAUGGGCCGGGCCCCUUUAUUGUCAACCCCUGAGCACGGAGACAUCCUCGUGAUUUAUCUCUCCAUUUCAGCUUCGGCUGUUAGCUCUGUGCUCAUCCGAUCAAAGGAUAACGCGGAACACCCAGUGCAUUAUGUUAGCAAGGCUUUGCAAGAUGCAGAAGUUCGAUACCCAGACAUCAAAAAAUUAGCGUUCGCCCUGGUUGUCUCGGCAAGACGCCUCCGACCAUAUUUCCAAGCUCACACCAUCCAUGUCUUAACUAACCAACCGCUCCGACAGGUGUUGCAGAACCCAGACACUUCUGGGAGGCUGGUCAAAUGGGCCAUUGAACUGGGUGAGUUUGAUAUUCAUUACAAACCUCGCCCGGCUAUGAGGGGACAGGCCGUUGCUGACUUCCUAUCCGAAUUCACGGAGCCCCAAGCUUCCGCAGCUACCCAGCUCAUAACCGAACCCAAUCCCCCGCCCAGCCAGGACCAAACCCCCACCGAAGGCAAUCUCGACCUAACCCAGCCCCUGUGGACCUUAUUCGUAGACGGCUCUUCUAAUGCCCGGGGCUGUGGGGCCGGCCUCGUUCUCAUCUCCCCAGACAAGGUUGCCCUCGAGUACGCCCUUCACUUCAAAUUCCAAGCCUCCAACAAUGAGGCCGAAUAUGAAGCACUCUUAGCUGGUCUUCGACUAGCCAAAGAGAUGGACGCCAGACAAAUUCAGAUCUUCAGCGAUUCCCAACUCGUGGUCCACCAGGUCAACCAGGACUUCACGGCUAAGGAUGCCUCUAUGACGGCUUACCUCCAGCACGCUCGGCACCUGCUGGCAACCUUCCACACCCACUCCAUCAAGCAAGUGCCACGCUCAGAGAAUAGCCAUGCCGAUGCACUAGCCAGAUUGGCAUCAGCCUUGGAGCAAGGAAUGGGUCGCCACAUCCACAUCGAGUUUUUGGCCCAGCCCAGCACACAAGCCCCACUCAUCUGCACUAUUGAUCACAGCCCUACAUGGAUGGACCCCAUCCUCCAGUUCUUACAAAACCAAACACUACCGGCUAACCCGGCAGAAGCACGACGCGUUCGCCAUCGCUCCGCCCGUUACUUGAUCAUUAACGGCUCCUUAUACAAGCGUGGCUUCAGCCUUCCUUACCUUCGAUGCCUGACUCCAGAGGAGGGUCACUAUGUCCUCCGAGAAAUCCAUGAAGGCAUCUGCGGCAACCACUCGGGCGCACGCUCGCUAGCCCAUAAAGCAAUCCGCCAAGGAUACUUCUGGCCUUCACUCCACACUGACGCCCAGGCCUUCACCCAAAAAUGCGACAAGUGUCAGCGAUUUGCCAACAUCCCACAACUCCCGGCUGAACCGUUGACUGCCAUGGUCAGCCCUUGGCCAUUUGCCCAAUGGGGACUGGAUCUCAUUGGACCUAUGCCAGAGGGCAAGGGCCAAGUCAAGUAUGCAGUUGUGGCCGUAGACUACUUCACCAAGUGGGCUGAGGCCGAGGCCUUGGCCACCAUCACUGCGGCUCGCAUCGAAUCCUUUGUGUGGCAGAACAUUGUAUGUCGCUUCGGCAUCCCCAACUUCAUCGUCACCGACAAUGGCCGGCAAUUUGACAACGCCAAAUUCAAACAAUUUUGUUCCAACCUCAAGAUUCGUCUGUGUUUCGCCUCCCCAGCCCAUCCUCAGUCCAAUGGCCAGGUCGAAGCCGUGAACAAAAUUAUCAAGAAGACCCUCAAGACAAAACUUGACAAAGCCAAGGGCUGCUGGCCAGAACUACUCCCAGAAGUACUCUGGUCCUACCGCACCACCUUCCGCACAUCCACAGGUGAAACGCCGUUCUCCCUAUCAUUUGGAACCGAGGCCGUGGCUCCGGUAGAGAUUGGCCAGCCCACAUACCGAACCUCCACUUACGAUGCCACGGCCAAUGACGAGCAGUUGGCCCUCAACCUCGACUUCAUUGACGAACUCCGGGACCAAUCGAGCAUGCGCAAUGCCGCGUACAAGCAACGCAUCGCCAAGUACUAUGACUCCCGAGUCAAGCCCCGUGCUUUCAAAAUGGGGGACUGGGUCAUGCGCAAGGUUUCCUUGGCUACCAAAAAUCCUAACGAAGGUACUCUCGGCCCUACAUGGGAAGGUCCUUACGAGAUUAUCAAAAUCUACCGCCCUGGCACUUAUCAGCUUCGCGAUUCCACAGGCAAGACGCUGCCUCACCCGUGGAAUGCUGACCACCUCAAGUAUUAUUACAAGUAAACAUAUCUAGACCCUAGGACAAUACUUUGGUCUUGAUUAUUUACUGUAAGGUAGAAGUAAGGUAUCUAGACCCUAGACCACUUGUACCUUCUGCCUUUCGGCAUCUAUUUCAAUGAAAUGCCUGACUCCGGCUCAUUCUCAUGCAUUCACAUUGUUAUCAUUUUUACUAACACAAUUGAUAUCAAGCUAAGUUCAUAUCAUAAAUAAAAACAGCCUUGCUCCAGGCAAGGACAAAUGUUCAUACAUAACCAAAAUAAACAAGUGUUCCAACACAAUCACUAGAGUACAAAAUAGCUAUAACACAUCACGAAGGCAACGCCUUCAGGACUCGGUCGAAGGGGCAUCCUCAGUGGCUGGCUCAGCCUCUGGUGUCGGGGCGCUAGCAUCAGCAGGAGGGGUCUGUGCAGGAGGCUCGCCACUGGUGUCAAAGUUAAUCUCCACCGAGGGGUUGAACCUAACCAACCUAUCUUCCCAGCAAAGCUGCUCAUCAACCAGUCGAUCCAUGAUAUAGCUCUUCAGCUCCUCUGAGGAUCGGAAGGACUCAAUCGCCUCGACUCGGGCAGCAGCCACCUCCUCGGCCUUCGAUCUCUUCAGCUCCUCCACCUCCUUGACCAAGGCCGCCUUUUGGACUCUCCAUAGUUCUUCCAUAGCCCUUGCCAUUCGGCAAGGGUCUAGCCAUUUUUUUUUUUUUUUUUUUUGAGCUUCGGGAGCUAGGCCUUCGAGGGAGCUGGGUCUUGAAAAUUUUAGACUUCGGGAGCUAGGCCUUCGAGGGAGCCGGGUCUUGAAAAUUUUAGACUUCAGGGGCUAGGCCUUCGAGGGAGCCGGGUCUUGAAAAUUUUAGACUUCGGGAGCUAGGCCUUCGAGGGAGCCGGGUCUUGAAAAUUUUAGACUUCGGGGGCUAGGCCUUCGAGGGAGCCGGGUCUUGAAAAUUUUAGACUUCGGGGGCUAGGCCUUCGAGGGAGCCGGGUCUUGAAAAUUUUAGACCUUCGAGGAGCCGGGUCCAUUGAAAAUUUUGGAGACUCGCCACUUCGUCAAUGGCCCUUGCCGUUCGGCAAGGGUCUAGCCAAAAAUUUUUUUUGGAGCUUCGGGAGCUAGACCUUCGAGGAGCCGGGUCCGUUGAAAAUUUUGGAGACUCGCCACUUCGUCAAUGGCCCUUGCCGUUCGGCAAGGGUCUAGCCAUUUUUUUUUGGAGCUUCGGGAGCUAGACCUUCGAGGGAGCCGGGCCAUUCGAAAAUUCAAGACUCUCAAAAUUUUGCCAUGGCCCUUGCCGUUCGGCAAGGGUUUAGCCAUAUACAUAUAUUUUUUGUUUUGAAUGGCCGGGCCUUCUUGAGUUGGGGCUUGGGCAUGUGGAAAGAGUUGGGCCCGUGAUGGGCUUCAGCAAGUAACAAGGCCUAGGGUUUUGGGAGGAGGAGGUAUACAAAUAAGAGGGUGGCCACCAUGCCGUUCGGCAUUUCCUCAUUCGGCACCUUGGAGUAGAACAAAUUCUUGAAAUCCCAUCUUGCCGUUCGGCAAGUUCUUGGAGUCACGGUUUUGGGCUUGUAUUGAUUUUGGCUUCGGGCAAGGGAACAAUGCUUCGGCAAGCGGCACAAACUUGGAAGGGUUGGUGACGGCUGGCCAAACUUGGAAGGGGCUGGACAGCCGGUGGCGCAAAGAAACUGCUGGGGUGAAAUUGCCGUUUGGUUGGAAACGGCUGGGCUGUUUUGGCUAGGCGUCGGGGUGGUGCUUCGGCAGCAAGACUCGGCAGGCUAGUUGGGUUGUGCUGUGCCGAUCGGCAGGGUUGGUCCGAAGAGGUGUUGCUGUGCUGCGAGCACAUCGGUUGUGGCUGGACACUUGCCGUUCGGCAAGGGUGAUUGGGGAGCAGGGCAAGUGUGCGAGAUCCUUGCUGGGGCUUCGGCAUGUGGGCUGCGAUUUGAGCAGGGCUCGGUGUGAGCGAAGUCUGCGGGAAGAGAUUGGCUUCGGCAAUUGAGCUUGCCGUUCGGCAGGAGCCUUGGGGAUGGCGGGGGUUGUGCUUCGGCAGUUGUGAGCACGGCUGCGGCAGUUGUGAGCACGGGUUGGCUUCGGCAGCUGGGUUAGUGCUGUGCCGAUCGGUAGUUGUGCAGGUGCAGAUCGGCAGGCCGUGGGUGAUUGGCGAGAGGUCUGCAGGUGGCUGAGCUUCGGCAAGGCAGCUGGAGGAGUUGGGCGGUGCAGCUUUGCUUCGGCAGGGGCAAGUCUGUGGUGGUUUUUAGGUAUUCCGUCGGCAAGAAGACCUUGGCGGUGCAGCUGGGGCCUAGGCACGAGGGUGCCAAAGGUGACGUAAAGCUUGCAUGUUUGCAAGGCGAUGUGGCUAGGCACGGGGGUGCUGAAGGUGACACAAGGUGUGGUUGGGCACGAGGGUGCCGAAGGCAACACAGAGCUUGCGUGUCGCAAGGCGAUGUGGCUAGGCAAGGGGGUGCCGAAGGCAACACAAAGCUAGUAUUUUGCCAGGUAAUGUGGCUAGGCACGAGGGUGUCGAAGGCGACACAAAGCUUACAUGUUUGCAAGGCAAUGCAGCUAGGCAUGGGGGUGCCGAAGAUAACACAGAGCUUGCGUGUCGCAAGGCAAUGUGGCUAGGCACGGGGGUGCCGAAGGCAAAGGGGAUGCCGAAGGUGACACAAAGCUUGCAUGUCGCAAGGCAAUGUGGCUUGGGCACAAGGGGUGUCGAAGGUAUAAAACUUGCAUGUUGCAAGAUGGUUGCCGAAGACACUUGCAUGGCACAAGGAAAUUGCCGAAAUGCAUGAAACUUGGAAAGAUUCUGAAGGGAAGAAAUGAAAAUGUGCAUUUGGCACAAUGCUUGCCGUUCGGCAGGCAGGUGGGGGAGGUUGAUGAGCUCGGCCUUCGGGUACCUGGGGUGUGCACGAAGGGGACUUGGGGUGUGUCUGUGUGUGAGCCCACAUGGUAUGGCCAACCCUUUGUUGUUCGGCAAAGGGCCGAGAGCCUUGGGCCUGGGCCUUGGUCUUCGGUGGCUAGGGUGCGCUUCUAUUUCAUGGGUGCCGAAGGGCACUGAAGAAGGGGAGGAUCGACAAAGGCUUUUUGUGUCAAUUCCCACAGACGGCGCCAAACUGUUGAUGCUCAAAAUGGUUCAGCCAAGAUUGAGUCCAACUUAGUGAUGAGGUGUGAUGGAUGAUGGAUGAAGGUGAGGACCUACGUGGUUCACCCGAAUGAUGGGCUACGUCCACGGAGAAGGGUGUUCUCAUUAUGAUAAUGUUUGUUUACAUUUGUACAAGGGGAUUAGACCCAAAUAUAAAGAUAACAAGUGAGAAGCCCAGCCCAGAGAUGGAUCCAGAAGAGAGAGUCCAAGGCCUAAGGGUCUAGAUCCAAGACCAGGAUCCCUUCUAAGGAAAGAGUAGUCUUCUUUUAUAGGUGAGGGGGAGUCUUCACUUCUUGUAGUUUUCCGAUGUGGGACUCCUCUUGCUUUGCUUAGAGUUGUGACUUGUGGUAAUGCCUCUUUGGCUAAGGUGGUGACCUCUCAAAACAUGGUACGUGGAUGAUCUAGCCAAGCUAGUUGCUCGGUCAGUUAUGGUACAAACAAUAUGUUUAGGGUUUAGAAGAUUAUUCUGAAAUCAUUGACUGUAUUGUUGGGUUUUAGAUAUAUGUUUUGCGAUCUUUUGAUGUUUUCGUAGGUAUGUUCUUCAUCAAUCUAUGUUGUUAUGAAUAGGGAAUGGCUUCAAUAUUUGCAUGCUCUUCUUGGAAAUGGUCUGAAUAAAAGAAGAUUUAGCCUCCUUUUCUUUAAGUGUUUGACGACGGUUUUUCAUAUAACCAUCGUCUUUAUUUCAUCUACAAGGCGAUGUUUAUUUUGCUAUUUUCAGAAUCACUGUUUACUAGCUUAAAACGUCGGUUUUGGAAAAAAACCGAUGUCUGUAUAAGUACAAAACGUCAGAUGUUUUAAAAAAACCGUCGUCUUUAUGUUAAAUUACUUUCUUUCAAAGUAAUUAUAAUCUGCUAUAGUGAUGUCAUUGCUUGUCUUUUCACCUUAUUAUAAAUAAUAGGGUAUUUUUUCGGAGAUGGAUAAGUCAUGGAUGCACCCGGAUAGAAGAUCGAAGGCAUAUGAGUUAGGGGUGGAAGCAUUGAAAAUCUUCUAACCACAACACAUAUUCACUAUCCAUGUGUUAAAUGUGGGAAUGUUCCAUUGUUUGGGGUUGGAAUUAUAAGGGACCACUUAUACUUUAAUGGAGUUCACCAAAGUUAUAAGAAUUGGACAUUUCACGGAGAACCUUGGCAAGCAACUACUAAUGCUAGUAGAAAUGUGGAAGAAGAUGAUGAACAUAGUAGGUACAGUUUUGUGUCUGAAGAAAUAGAGAUGGAUGAUAAUGAUUUAGGCGAUUUUGGAUCCGAUCCUUAUAAGUUCGCCAAUUUCAUUGGCGAUGGAGAUUCACCCUUGUACCCUGGUUGUAGUAAGUACACCAAGUUGUCGGCAUUAGUAAAGUUAUAUAAUUUAAAGGCAAAACAUGGGAUGAGUGAUGUCUGUUUUAUAUAAUUGUUGAUACUUCAAGGAGAAUUGCUUCCAGAAGGAAAUACAAUACAUUCCUCUAUGUAUGAGGCAAAAAAGACUUUGUUUGCAUUGGAGCUGAGUUAUGAGAAAAUCCACACAUGCUCCAAUGAUUGCAUCUUGUAUAGGAAGGAGUAUGAACAUUCAACUCAUUGUCCUACUUGUGGAAUCUCACGAUGGAAGGAAGGCAAAGAUUCAAUCUUGAAAUAGGGUGUCCCAGCAAAGGUAGUGUGGUAUUUUCCACCAAUUCCAAGAUUUAAAAAGAUGUUUCAAUCACACAAGACAGCUAAAAGUUUGACUUGGCAUGCUAAUAGAAAAGCAAUUGAAGGUCAGAUGUCUCAUCCGGCUGAUUCUCCCUCUUGGAAACUCGUUGAUGAUAAAUGGCCCGAGUUUGGUAAUGAGUCGAGAAACUUGAGAUUGGCUCUCUCAUCUGAUGGAUUCAAUCCCCACAGUUCUCUAAGUACCAGAUACAGUUGUUGGCCUGUUAUCUUAAUUACAUAUAAUCUCCCAUCAUGGCUAUGCAUGAAACGAAAGUUCAUGAUGUUGACCUUAAUGAUUUCCGGUCUGAAACAACCCGAAAAUGAUAUAGAUGUCUACUUAGAGCCUUUGAUUGAUGAUUUAAAAUCUUUGUGGGAUGGGAUUAAAAGUGUGUAUGAUGCUCAUAUAGGAGAAUACUUUACACUCAGCUGCAUUAUUGUGGACAAUUAAUGAUUUUCCCGCUUAUGGAAACUUAUCUGGUUGUAUCGUAAAAGGAUAUAAAGCUUGUCCAAUAUGCAGUGAUGAUACACCUAGUCACAGGUUGAAAAAUGGCCACAAAAUAUGUUACAUCGGGUAUAGCAAAUGGUUACCAAUAUAUCAUCCAUUUCGGAGGCAAUGUGCAGCUUUUAAUGGGAAACCUGAAUAUGACACGCCUCCAAAGCCAUUAACCAAAGAAGAAGUGUUACAAAUGGUUGAAGGUAUUAAUUAUAAAUGGGGCUCGAAAAAAGGGGGAGAUGGAAGUGAAAAUGAUGGUGACAGAGUUUGUUGGAAGAAGAAGUCAAAAUUCUUUGAUCUCGAGUACUAGAAAUACCUUCCUGUGAGGCAUGCCCUUGAUGUUAUGCACAUCGAGAAAAAAGUUUGCGAUAGUAUCAUUGGUACGUUGUUGGAGAUCCCUGGAAAAAAUAAAGAUGGGAUUGCUGCUCGUUUGGAUUUAUUGAACAUGGGGGUGAAGACUUAUUUGCAACCCGAGUAUGGAGAAAGAUGUACUCGCUUGCCUCCAGGGCAUUGGAAUUUGUCAAGAGCAAGAAGAGACGGUUUGCAAUUCUUUCUAUGGUAAUGAAAGUCCCUGAAGGUUACUCUUCAAAUAUUAAAAAUCUUGUAUCUUUACAAGAUUCAAGACUUCUUUGGCUUAAAUCACAUGAUUGUCAUACCGUGAUGCAACAAUUGCUCCCUGUGGCAAUUCGUUCUGUCCAGGAGAAGCCUGCAAGGUAUGCAAUAACUCGAUUGUGCUUCUUCUUCAAUGCUAUAUGUGCAAAGACGGUAGAUGUUUCCAAGCUAGAUAAGUUGGAAGAAGAUGUAGUAGUAACUUUGUGUUUGCUUAAGAAGUACUUUCCCCCUUCAUUCUUCUAUAUCAUGGUUCAUCUAGUAGUACAUCUUGUCUGAGAAGUUUGUCUAUGUGGGCCAGUUUAUUUUAGAUGGAUGUAUCCGUUCAAAAGAUAUAUGAAAGUGCUAAAGGGGUAUGUUCAAAACCGAAAUCAUCCUGAAGGUUGCAUUACUCAACUGUAUAUAGCUGAAGAAGCUGUAGAGUUUUGCACCGAGCAUUUAUCUGAUGUUAGUACAGUUGGAGUGCCAUCAAAUCAGAAGAUGGGACUUUCAAAGCCCUUAUCAGGUUGCACAGUGAGUUUAGUUGAUCGGGACUUGUUGAAUCAGGCACAUCUAUAUGUCUUGGAGAAUACGGAGGAAGUUCUACCUUAUAUCGAGUAUGAGUUUUAUUCUUAAGUAGUCAUUUUAAAUUAUAGUCCUUAUGUUUAUCUGAUAUGUUUGGGACUGUAAUGCUUGAAUUUUUCGUGUUAAGUAGAGAACAUAUGAUCCACAUCAAGACCACUUAUCCAAAAUUUAGAAAGAGAACAAAGUGGCUACAAGAUAAGCACAAUACCACUUUCAUUCAAUGGCUACGCUUUAAGGUAUAUGGAAUUGAAUAACAUAUUGCACUUUUAAUUUUCUUCUUUUUAUGUUAGAUUGAAUUAAGAUAUGAUUCAUUUGCAGGUUCAAAGUCAACUUAAUGGGGAAGACAAUAAUGGUGUAUCAGAAAAUUUGAGGUGGCUAGCAGCUAGUCCAAGCAAGAGACGACCUUUAAAAGAAGAUAAAACGACCACGUAACAAAUAUACCGUCGUCUUACUUAACAAACACGACGAUACACUCUUAUUACUAAACGUCUUUACAAUAUACCACGUCAAUUUAUGUCUUUAGGACUUGGUGAGAAAAUGAAUUACGUCGUCUUUAGAAAUAAAAAUGACGUAGAAAAUGGUAACCACGUCGCCUUUUAUAUGCACACCGACGUUGUAAGGUCUUUUCACCGUCAUCAUUUAAAAUAAAGGAGACGUACAAAACCUCGUUCUUCCCAUAUUUACUGUCAUCAUUAAAUGUUUUCACGUCUCCCUAGUGACAAUGUGUCGUGCAAUACUACACACAAACGUCGUCUAUAAAAACAAAGAUGACGUAGUAGAGCGUAACCACGUCGUCUUUGAUAGGUUAUGCGAUAUUUGUAACACGACAAACAACACGGUGUUUAUAAUAACUGACGUUGUAAAUCACAUUUCACCGUCAGUGUUUAAAGUAAAAGAGACGUACGAAUCUGUUUAUUCCCAUAUUUACUGACGUAACUAACAGUUUUCACGUCUACUUUUUGACCAUGUGUCGUGAAAUGUUCUAAAACAACAUUUCCUGUGGAAAAAGAUGUGCCGUGGUAUGUUUUCCUAACGUCGACUCAGACAUACUAAUAGACGUGUGUAUGUCUUUUAAUACGUCAACUUCUGAGCUAACACUGACGUUGUACAUCAUUUUCAAUGGGAUAUCUAGAAACAAAAGUAACGUAAUAUAUCAUCACGUGUCAUGGAAUGUCUUCAUCAACAGCGUCAGAUUGAUUGUUUAGAGGUGGUAUUUUAAUAAACAACGUCAUGUUUUAUUAUUUAGACGACGGUUGUUUCCCUAAUUGAGUCAUUUAUAGGUUCACUAUUAGUUAUUUUGGUGGUCAUUUUCUUUACUUUUAUGUCGGCUUUUAUUUAUUUCGAUGUUGUUUCUCUACAAACAACGUCUCCGAUUUACCGUCAUGGUUUGUUUUUUAAAAAGAUGUCGAUCGAGUUAACGAUGGUCAGAAAACUUGCUAGACGACAGUGAAUUCCCGUCGUCUAUUGCCCUUUUUGUAGUAGUGAGACCCCAUGUAAUAUUAACCUAUAUUAUAGGAGCAUUUCAAAAUAGACUUGGUCAAUAACCAAAGUGUUAUUAUUAUCAACAAAUAUAUAGGUAAUCUAUUAAUAUUGGGUUGGACAGAGAUAUUUCCAUAUGUUUCACUUAAGUCAAGUCCAUAUUUGCAGAAGAUAUUUGUAGCCUCAGAGAAGAAGUUGGCCACAGCCACAACCACAGCCACAGCCUCAGAGAUGCUAAAGUGACAGUGAGGUGCAUAGAGAGGGAAAGGCAAGCACUAUAUCAAAUCACCAUACUAAGUCCAAGUCAAGCCGAAUUAAUAUCUGCAAGUUGGGGCACGCGUUGGAAUACAAAUCACCAUAUUAAGUCUAAGUCAAUAGUUGGUUGCAAGGCAAAUCACCAUAUCAAAUCUAAGUCACAAGUCUUCGAUCUCAUCCAUUAAUUUCUCCAAUAUUUAAUGAUUUAUUACUUGUUUACAUGGACCACUGACAAAUUUUUCUUUAAUUAUCUUUUUCCACAUAGUGACGUGCAUCAGAAUCAGUUGAACGUUGUAUAGAUUUUUUAUUCCUUUUAGAAAAUUUGGUAUAGUCCACUUCUGAUGACAUAAAUGAAAUUGGACCUAUAUCUAAGAGCUCCUUUUUCCUUUUUGUAAAUUAUAAGUAGAGAGUUCUCCUCAUUACAAAUUACAAGACACCACCCUAGAUUCUUAUUUUUUGUUGGACCCACCUUUGACUCUUAACUAUAAAAAACCUAAACUUUGUAUGACAUUAUGAUACAAAAAAUUAAAAGAAAAAUAACUUGUGUAAGAAGCAAAACCCUUCAAAGCACGAACAAUGGGGAAACAAAAAAAAAAACAUUAUACAAUUGUUAAAAACCAAUUUGGUUGCUGUUGAGAAUUAAAGUAGUUGAAUAUUAAUUUAAGUAUUGUGAUCAUCAUUCAUUUCAUCCAAGCCAUUACAAUUAAAAAAUAAAAAUAAAAUACCCAGCCCACCCCCAUCCCCUAUCCCAUGUCUCUGAUGCACCUCCCCUUUUCCCCCUUUUUGUACGCCCAUCUCUCUGUCUUCUCUCCCUCUCUCUCAUAUGGGUUGGGUAUGGUCAGAAAAAAAAUCCAGAUGCAUCUCACUACCCAACCCGACUGAGAAUUGGUCAUCGUCUUCAGCAUCUCGCCCCUAUUCCGACUGAGAAUUGCUCGUCAACCCAUCCAUAUGCAUCUGAUGACCCAAGCUCUCUUGCUUUAGUGGGAGCGUGUUUUGCUCCUUAGUUUUAUUUUAGUAAAUUUAGGUUUUAGCCACAAAAAAACUUUCACUUUUGGAAAAAGCCAAAGCUUUUUCAAAAAAGACAGAAAAACCUCUCAACUUUCAAAUCAAAGACAUGCAAAUGUAAAGGAUUCCUUAGGAAAUCCAAAAAUAAAUAAGGGCAAUUUUGUCCAUUUUAGCUUCUUUUAAAAAAUUUCUCUCUCCUUUGGGUUUUUCCAAAGUCUCCCUUUUAUUUUUUCAUUUUAGUUAUUUUUUCAUUUUAGUUGUUGUUUAAUUUUUAAAUUUGUUUUUUUAAUUACCCUUAUAGUAUAAUUUAUAUCCAAGGGUAGGUGACCACAAUUUCCUUGGACCAUAGGAAUCCAGAAGAACAGGACUGAGUAAUUCAUAUACUAAUCAUCUAAUGAGCAACAAAACAAAUCAAAUCAAAGAAUCCGAAUGCAAAAUGAAGGAAGCUGCUCCGAAACUCUAUGAUGAGAUAUCCAACACUAAAUAUACUUAAGUGUUUCCUGAUCAUCACUAUAAUACGAAAAACUUUCAUGUGGAAUUGUAAGAACCCAUGUAAUAUUAACCUAAAUUAUAGGAGCGUUUCAAAAUAGACUUGGUCAAUAACCAAAGUGUUUUGAAAAACUCUCGUAUUAUAGUUAUUGAAUAAAAACCCAAUUUUCAUUUAUUAGUAUCAAUAAAUAUAUAGGUAUUAUAUUAAUAUUGGGUUGGGCAAAGAUAUUUCCAUAUGUUUCACUUAAAGUCAAGUCCACAUUUGCAAGAAGAUAUUUGUAGCUUGUGCCUAGGGGGAUGGGAUGCAAACUCAAUGGUUGAGUGGACACGGGAAGGCACCUUACCAAGUCAAGCCGAGUUAAUACCUGCAAGUCAAUUGGGGCACGCGUUGGAAGAAAAAUCACCAUAUUAAGUCCAAGUCAAUAGUUGCGUUGAAAGGCAAAUCACCAUAUCAAGUCUAAGUCACAAGUCUUUGCGAUCUCAUCCAUUAAUUUCCCCAAUAUUCAUUGAUUUAUUACUUGUUUACUUGGACCACUGACAAAUUUUUGGGCUUCUUAGAUCAAGGUCCAAAACGAUUAGCUGUCAUUGGAUUUAGUCCUCGAGUUUUUGACAUUUAGAUGUAGGUCCUUUGACAUUUAUGGAUAAAAUACAAUUUAAUCAAUAAAAAGUAAAGACCCACAUAUUAUACCAAUCGAUCAGACAAGCACCCACAUUAAAUUAUGUAUCUGACAUACAGGUAAAUAGUGUUAUUAUUAGCAAUGAAAAAUACUUGGUGAUAAAUCAUAUUACCUAUAAGUUAGGAACGUAAAUUAGAAGACUACCUAUAAGUCAGAUACAAAAAUAGAAAAAAUAAAAUUGUAUGUUACCUAUAAAAUAAAAAAUAAAAAAAAGGUACAUAAAAUACUAUUACACAUUGUCGAAAAUAUGAAAAAAAAAAUAUAUAUAUAUAUAUAUAUAUAUACACAAUAGGCAAUAGGCAAUGUGACAUAAAUGAUUAUUACACGAUUCAAGUCAUUAUGGGCAACAUUAGAACAAAAAAUGAUUUUUAAAAUAAAAUAAUAAAAAUAUUACAUAAAAAAAUAUUUUAAAAGGAAUGUAAUUCUAUGUGGCACAAAAGUUAAAGGACUUGUAUCAAAGUCAUCAAAUCCGAGGAUUAAACCCAACUCCUCAAUAAGAAUUUGGAUCUACAUCAACUUUUCUACAAAUUUUUCUUCAAUUAUCUUUUUCCACAUAGUGACAUGAAUAAGAGUCAGUUGUACGUUGUACAGUUUUUUUCUUCUUCUUUUUAGAAAAUUUGGUAUAGUCCAAUUUUGAUGACAUAAGUGAAAUUGAAAAUUUGGUAUAGUCCAAUUCUGAUGACAUAAGUGAAAUUGAACAUAUAUUCUGUCAGCCACAACCACAGCCACAGCCUCAGAGAUGCUAAAGUGACAGUAAGGUGCAUAGAGAGGGAAAGGCAAGCACUAUAUCAAAUCACCAUACUAAGUCCAAGUCAAGCCGAAUUAAUAUCUGCAAGUUGGGGCACGCGUUGGAAUACAAAUCACCAUAUUAAGUCUAAGUCAAUAGUUGGUUGCAAGGCAAAUCACCAUAUCAAAUCUAAGUCACAAGUCUUCGAUCUCAUCCAUUAAUUUCUCCAAUAUUUAAUGAUUUAUUACUUGUUUACAUGGACCACUGACAAAUUUUUCUUUAAUUAUCUUUUUCUACAUAGUGACAUGCAUAAGAGUCAGUUGUACGUUGUAUAGUUUUUUUAUUCUUUUUAGAAAAUUUGGUAUAGUCUACUUCUGAUGACAUAAGUGAAAUUGGACCUAUAUCUAAGAGCUCCUUUUUUCUUUUUGUAAAUUAUAAGUAGAGAGUUCUCCUAAUUACAAAUUACAAGACGCCACCCUAGAUUCUUAUUUUUUGUUGGACCCACCUUUCACUCUUAACUAUAAAAAACCUAAACUUUGUAUGACAUUAUGAUCCAAAAAAUUAAAAGAAAAAUAACACGGUGUAAGAAGCAAAACCCUUCAAAGCACGAAAAAUGGGGAAACAAAAAAAAACAUGAUACAAUUGUUAAAAAUCAAUUUGGUUGCUGUUGAGAAUUAAAGUAGUGGAACAUUAAUUUAAGUGUUGUGAUCAUCAUUCAUUUCAUCAAAGCCAUUAUAAUUAAAAAUAAAAAUAAAAUACCCAGCCCACCCCAAAUCUCCCCUAUCCCAUGUCUCUGAUGCACCUCCCCUUCCCCCUUUCUGUAUGCCUAUCUCUCUGUCUUCUCUCCCUCUCUCUCGUAUGGGUUGGGAAUGGUGAGAAAAAAAUCCAGAUGCAUCUCACUACCCAACCCGACUGAGAAUUGGUCAUCGUCUUCAGCAUCUCGCCCCAAUUCCGACUAAGAAUUGCUUGUCAACCAAUCCAUAUGCAUCUCACCACCCAAGCUCUCUUGCUUCAAUGGGAGCGUGUUUUACUCCUUAGUUUUAGUUUUUUCAUUUUAGUUGUUGUUUAAUUUUUAAACUAGUUUUUUUAAUAACCCUUAUAUUAUAAUUUAUAUUCAAGGGUGGGUGACCAUAAUUUCCUUGGACCAAAGGAAUCCAGAAGAAUGGGACUGAGUAAUUCAUAUACUAAUCAUUUAACGAGCACCAAAGCAAAUCAAAUCAAAGAAACCGAAUGCAAAAUGAAGGAAGCUACUCCGAAACUCUAUGAUCAGAUAUCGAACACUAAAUAUGCUUAAGUGUUUCGUGAUCAUCGCUAUAAUACGAGAAACUUUCAUGUGUAAUUGUAAGACCCCAUGUAAUAUUAAACUAAAUUAUAGGAGCAUUUCGAAAUAGACUUGGUCAAUAACCAAAGUGUUUUGAAAAGCUCUCGUAUUAUAGUUGAAUAAAAACCCAAUUUUCAUUUAUUAGUAUCAAUAAAUAUAUGGGUAUUAUAUUAGUAUUGGGUUGGGCAAAGAUAUUGCCAUAUGUUUCACUUAAGUCAAGUCCACAUUUGUAAGAAGAUAUUUGUAGCUUGUGUCCAGGGGGAUAAGACUCAAAGUCAAUGGUUGAGUGGACACGGGAAGGCACCUUACCAAGUCAAGCCAAAUUAAUACCUGCAAGUUGGGGCACGCGUUGGAAUACAAAUCACCAUAUUAAGUCUAAGUCAAUAGUUGGUUGCAAGGCAAAUCACCAUAUCAAAUCUAAGUCACAAGUCAUCGAUCUCAUCCAUUAAUUUCUCCAAUAUUUAAUGAUUUAUUACUUGUUUACAUGGACCACUGACAAAUUUUUCUUUAAUUAUCUUUUUCCACAUAGUGACAUGCAUAAGAGUCAGUUGUACGUUGUAUAGUUUUUUUAUUCUUUUUAGAAAAUUUGGUAUAGUCCACUUCUGAUGACAUAAGUGAAAUUGGACCUUUAUCUAAGAGCUCCUUUUUUCUUUUUGUAAAUUAUAAGUAGAGAGUUCUCCUCAUUACAAAUUACAAGACGCCACCCAAGAUUCUUAUUUUUUGUUGAACCCACCUUUGACUCUUAACUAUAAAAAACCUAAACUUUGUAUGACAUUUUGAUACAAAAAAUUAAAAGAAAAAUAACAUGUGUAAGAAGCAAAACCCUUCAAAGCACGAACAAUGGGGAAACGAAAAAAAAACAUGUUAAAAAUCAAUUUGGUUGUUGUUGAGAAUUAAAGUAGUGGAAUAUUAAUUUAAGUAUUGUGAUCAUCAUUCAUUUCAUCCAAGCUAUUAUAAUUAAAAAUAAAAAUAAAAUAUCCAGCCCACCCCAAAACUCCCUUAUCCCAUGUAUCUGAUGCACCUCCCCUUCCCCCUUUUUGCACGCCUUAUCUCUCUGUCUUCUCUACCUCUCUCUCAUAUGGGUUGGGCAUGGUGAGAAAAAAAAAUCCAGAUGCAUCUCACUACCCAACCCAACUGAGAAUUGGUCAUCGUCUUCAGCAUCUCGCCCCUAUUCUGACUGAGAAUUGCUCGUCAACUAAUCCAUAUGCAUCUCACCACCCAAGCUCUCUUGCUUCAGUGGGAGCGUAUUUUGCUCCUUAGUUUUAGUUUGUUCAUUUUAGUUGUUUAAUUUUUAAACUUCUUUUUUUAAUAACCCCUAUAUUAUAAUUUAUAUACAGGGGUGAGUGACCACAAUUUCCUUGAACCACAGGAAUCCAGAAGAACGGGAUUGAGUAAUUCAUGUACUAAUCAUUUAACGAGCACAAAACAUAUCAAAUCAAAGAAUCCGAAUACAAUAUAAAGGAAGCUGCUCCGAAACUCUAUCAUCAGAUAUCGAACACUAAAUAUACUUAAGUGUUUCGUGAUCAUCACUAUAAUACGAGAAACUUUCAUGUGUAAUUGUAAGACCCCAUGUGAUAUUAACCUAAAUUAUAGGAGCAUUUCGAAAUAGACUUGGUCAAAAACCAAAGUGUUUUGAAAAACUCUCGUAUUAUAGUUGUUGAAUAACAACCCAAUUUUCAUUUAUUAGUAUCAAUAAAUAUAUAAAUAUUAUAUUAAUAUCGGGUUGGGCAGAGAUAUUUCCAUAUGUAUCACUAAAGUCAAGUCCAAAUGUGCAAGAAGAUAUUUCUUUGUAACGGCUUUCUUCCUUUUCUCCUAUAUAUAUCUGAUGCAAGCUAGCAUAUAUGGAAAAACACGGAGACAACCAUAUCUCAAUAUAUACCUGCAGUAUUUUUGCAUUAUCGAUCAAUUAACAUGAAGGGCGACGGAAGGUGCUUGAAACUCUUUCUUGCAUUAUCGAUCCUUUUCCUACAAAACGUAAAAGGAGGAGAAGUUGGCCACAGCCACAGCCACAGCCACAGCCUCAGAGAUGCUAAAGUGACAGUGAGGAGGUGCAUAGAGAGGGAAAGGCAAGCACUACUUGCAUUCAAACGUGGCCUGGUGGAUGACAGUGAGGUGGAUGAGUCCAAUCCUCUCUCAACUUGGGGUUCAGAAGCCGAGAAACAAGAUUGUUGCAGAUGGGAAGGAGUCUAUUGUAGCAACCAAACUGGCCAUGUGAUUCAACUUCAUCUUGAAUAUUCUUCCUAUGAUGAGAUGAUUCUUGGAUAUUCUUUCCAAGGUAAGAUGAUUAGUCCUAAACUGAUUGAGUUGCAGCAUUUACAAUAUUUGCACCUUGCAUCCAUUGAUUUCUAUGAGAGCCAAAUUCCUGAUUUCAUUGGUUCUCUAACCAAUCUAAGAAACCUCAGUCUCUCUUCCUGUAAUUUGGUUGGUCAAAUUCCAAGUUCGUUUGGAAACCUCACGCAAUUGCAAUAUCUCGACCUCAGCUAUAAUUAUCAGCUUCAACCAGAAAAUCUCAAUUGGCUCCCUGCCCUUUCUUCUUUAACGUAUUUGGACCUUUCAGUCAUUGAUUUCAAUGGGAGCCAAAUUCCCGAUUUCAUUGGUUCUCUAACCAAUCUAAGAAACCUCAGUCUCAGAUUCUGUGAUUUGGUUGGUCCAAUUCCAAGUUCGUUUGGAAACCUCACGCAAUUGCAACAUCUCAACCUCGGCUAUAAUCAGCUUCAACCAGAAAAUCUCAAUUGGCUCCCUGCUCUUUCUUCUUUAACGUUUUUGGACCUAAGCGAAAACUUCAAUGGGAGCCAAAUUCCCGAUUUCAUUGGUUCUCUAACCAAUCUAAGGUACCUCAGUCUCAGUUUCUGUAAUUUGGUUGGUCCAAUUCCAAGUUCGUUUGGAAACCUCACGCAAUUGCAACAUCUCAACCUCGGCUAUAAUCAGCUUCAACCAGAAAAUCUCAAUUGGCUCCCUGCUCUUUCUUCUUUAACGGAUUUGUACCUAGCCGGAAACUUCAAUGGGAGCCAAAUUCCCGAUUUCAUUGGUUCUCUAACCAAUCUAAGAAACCUCAGUCUCAGAUUCUGUGAUUUGGUUGGUCCAAUUCCAAGUUCGUUUGGAAACCUCACGCAAUUGCAACAUCUCGACCUCAGCUAUAAUCAGCUUCAACCAGAAAAUCUCAAUUGGCUCCCUGCUCUUUCUUCUUUAACGUUUUUGGACCUAAGCGAAAACUUCAAUGGGAGCCAAAUUCCCGAUUUCAUUGGUUCUCUAACCAAUCUAAGGUACCUCAGUCUCAGUUUCUGUAAUUUGGUUGGUCAAAUUCCAAGUUCUUUUGGAAACCUGACGCAAUUGCAAAAUCUCGACCUCAGCAAUAAUCAGCUUCAACCAGAAAAUCUCAAUUGGCUCCCUGCUCUUUCUUCGUUAACGGAUUUGGACCUAAGCAGAAACAAUCUCAGUACUGUUUUCGAUUGGCCAGAAGCAGUACUUAAUAAGCUCCCUAAACUAGUAGUAUUGGCCUUGGAGAACUGUAGUCUUCCUCCUCCUCCUCCUCCUCCUACUCUUUACAAAACAAAUUCUUCUACAUCUCUUGCGUAUGUUGAUCUCUCUGACAACCAUCUCACUUCUUCAAUAUUUCUUUGGUUGUCCAACUACAGUACAAGCCUUGUUGCUCUUGGCCUCUCCAACAAUCAUCUAUCUGGUUUCAUUCCCAAUUUCAUUGGAAACAUGAGCUCUCUUGUGGAUCUGGAUCUCUCCAACAAUAAUCUAACUGGUUUCAUUCCCGAUUUCAUUGGAAACAUGAGCUCUCUUGUGCAUCUGGAUCUCUCUGACAACCACAUUGAAGGAGCGAAUCCAAAUUCGUUUGCAAGGCUGUGUAAUUUGCAAACAUUGUCGCUUCAAACAAAUCAUCUGAGUGGACAAUUAUCCAAGUUUGUUCAACUAUUGCCUAGAUGUGCACAAAACUCGUUAAAGGAUUUGCAACUGUCUGAGAAUGUUCUUGCGGGGUCAUUAAACAAUCUUACAAGCUUCUCAUCUUUGGGAUUCUUGAAUCUUAGCGCCAAUCAAUUAAGCGGAAAAAUACCUGAAAGUAUUGGGCAAAUGUCCAAACUAUGGUGCAUCGAUUUCAGCAUGAACUCUUUGGAAGGGGUGGUUUCUGAAACUCAUUUCUCAAAACUCUCUGAUUUAUAUCAGUUGGAUUUAUCCUAUAACUCACUAGUUUUAAAUUUUCAUUCUGAUUGGGUUCCUCCCUUCCAGUUGAAUUACAUAUAUUUGGCCUCCUGCAAUGUCGGUCCUCUUUUCCCAAAAUGGCUUCAAACUCAAAAUGAUUCUUACCAUCUUGAUAUUUCUAAUGCUGGAAUUUCUGAUAUCCUUCCAAGUUGGUUUUGGAGUAAUUUUCGUAACGCGGAAAUUAUUAAUCUCUCACAAAACCAAAUAAGAGGAAUAGAAGGUUCAAUUCCCUCAAUUCCGUCAGAAGUCCAUCAUCUGGAUCUCUCUAAUAAUAACAUUUCAGGGUCGCUUUCUUUCCUAUGUGCAAGUGCAGAUAUGAGUUUAACAAUUCUUAAUCUUUCAAGCAACAGUUUUUCUGGAGAACUUCCAGAUUGCUGGAGCCAUUUGGAGACUCUAGUCAUGCUUGAUUUGAGUUACAAUGCUUUUUCUGGAAAAAUGCCCAUGACAAUAGGCUCUUUAUUUCAAAUGCAAACUUUGAAAUUAAGACGCAACCGAUUUGUUGGAGAAUUGCCUUCAUCGUUGAAGAACUGCGCAAGUUUAGAAGUUAUUGAUCUGGGAGAUAAUAAAUUAUCAGGACCAAUACCUGCAUGGUUAGGUGUGAGCUUCAAGAAUUUGGUUAUCCUUAUGCUUUCUACUAAUCACUUCAAUGGAAGCAUGCCCUCGCAAUUAUGCCAUCUAACACACAUUCAAAUUAUGGAUUUCUCUAUGAACAACAUCUCUGGAAGCAUACCCAAAUGCCUCAAAAAUUUGACUACUCUGGCUCAAAAAGGAAAUCCAAGUCUAUCCAGCACACGUAUUCAUGGCGGAAGUGAGGUUAAUGGGUCAAUUGCUCCUACUAAUUAUGACAAUGAUGCAAGCUUCAUAUGGAAAGGAAGAAUGCAGACAUACAAAAGCACUUUGGGCCUUGUGAAGAGAAUUGAUCUCUCAAGCAACAGAUUAACAGGGGAGAUUCCAGGUGAAAUCAUGCAUCUUGUUGGGUUGAUUUCUUUAAACCUUUCGAGAAACCAGUUAAUGGGUCAAAUAACUCCAGAGAUCGGAAACUUGGAGUCAUUGGAUUCGCUUGAUUUAUCAAGAAACCGGAUAGAUGGAAGAAUUCCGACAAGCCUUGCUCAGAUAUAUCGUCUUAGUUUCUUGGACCUGUCAUAUAACAACUUGUCUGGCAAAAUACCAACAGGCACCCAGCUCCAAAGCUUUGAUCCCCUUGAUUAUGCUGGAAAUCCUCAACUCUGUGGACCUCCACUUAAAAAGAUGUGUGCUGAUCAAAAUGAGCCAACUGACUUGAGCAAUGAAGAGGAUAAGGAUGAGUUUAUAACGCUGGGAUUUUACAUCAGUAUGGCGAUUGGAUUUGCUGUUGGAUUUUGGGGAGUUUGCGGCACUUUGAUAUUCAACAGGUCAUGGAGAUAUGCAUACUUGAAGUUCUUGAAUGGUUUAAAUGAUUGGCUCUAUGUGAAGAUAGCUUUGAGCAAGCGGCAACUGAAGCCAACAUAAACUUAAUAGAUAAGCUCGCCACGGUACUCUUUCUCUCUCAUCAUUAAUUUUGUUUUAUAAUUAUUUUUCUUAUUGCAUUUUUUCCUUUUCUCCAAACUGACGGGUAUUAAUUUGUUUACUUCGAUAUUUAGCUGCAGCAUCUAAAUUAGGAGAAAAGUAGCUGUAGCUGAAUGCUUCCUUUUAGUUCAAGUGAGGAAGAUUGCCAGUACGCGCAUGCACAGGUAUCUGGAGAAGAGUUUAUGAGUUAAUUUGGAGUGCUUAGUAGGAAUAAACGUGAUUUAUAUUGGUGUUAAUUACUUGUCAGAACAAUUAAUUCGGAGUUCUCCGAUUUAUGUAUUUUUUUUUUUUUUUGUUUAUUUAGAGAAAUAAACAGAUCCAUGCAGAUCCAAUCAUAACAUGGGCAAUUAUAAUUAUACAUGAAGAACACUGCCCCAGAGGACGGUUCUUGCAAACAAUAAAUCAUACAAAUAAGCAAGACAGUACAAUUAAAGCAAGAACAGUGAGCAAAAGCCAAGCUCACUCCGAUUAAUGUAUUAAUUCCAGCUAUAGUGUUAUUUUAAUUACCUAAGCCAAAGCCAAAGCAGACUUGAUUUCAAAUUACAAUGUGUGGCUCUGUUUUGGUCAUCUAUUUGCAACGUACAGCUUCUCCUUGUAAAUUGGGGGUCAGCUUCUCCUUGUAAAUUUGUGGCUCUGUUUUGGUCAUUCUUUCCUUUCAUAAUUCAACAUCUUGUUCUGGCCACAUGGUAGAAGAUGCCUUUUUGUAAACAGACUUUCUGUAUUUGGCCAGGCUUGCAAUGCUCUAUUUUGUGGAUUUUAAGAUUGUAUUAGGCUUACUUGUGAGCUGCAAAAUGCCUUGUACCAAAAUUUAUGUAUAAAAUGUGUGCUAAAUUGUGUGGAGUAGAAGAUUGAAGGUCUUCCUAGGCAAGCAAUCACAAGCAUUUUCUCUCUUUUCAAUUUGUAGAAAUGUUCAAGUUCUUGCCCAUUACUUGCAGAUAUAUAGUGUUGUAUAGCAUAAAGGCUCCAACAUAUGCAAUUCCAUCAAGGCCUGCAGGCCAAUCACUGCUUUCUCUUGGAUAUUACAAACAUUUGUAGAGCCAUAAUGAAAACUUGGUAGGCAAACCCAAAUACUCGCAUUGACCAUUUGCUUAAACUUGAUAGGCUAGCAAGGGGCUUGUAGCCCAAGCAAUUAAGAGCAUCUAUCUCUGAACUCGAGGUCCUAGAUGUGAUUCCGACAAACAAAAAACUUGGUAGGCCAGACCCAAAUGAACCUAGUUUUCAUAAACUUGUUUGUCAGCUUGAUAGUGGCUUAUUAGAAGUCCAAAUUGGUUGGGAAAGUAAUGUCCACCAAUUUUAGCAGAUACCCUUUUGGACAAUGUUGAACAGAGCACUUAACUUGAUUGUUAAUGACUAGGGCCCCUGAUAACAGAGAGAGAGAGAGAGAGAGAGAGAAGAGAGUUGAAGAAGAAAGAGAGUAUUUUUAGAGAGAUUUGUAUAUUGAUCUUUUCAUCAUGACUGAUUACAAUAAUGACUCUGUUAUAUACAGAGUUGAAGAAGAAACAUUCGGAUGAUCCCGGAAGCAAAUGAUCGACAAACGUCAAUGUGCAAUAUUGAACUUUGGGUUAAAGUAGCUUGAAUUCCACCAACAUCAUGACAUUGUACGACCUUUGUACUGAUGGAGCCCGGAAGCAAAUGAUCGACAAACGUCUAGAUCCAAGAACAAUCAAAUGAGAACGACAAACAUCUAGAUCCAACUUCCAAGAACAAGCAAAUGAUCGACAAACAUCUAGACCUAUUUAAUAAUGCAGUCCCGCUCACCUAAGGUCCUAAAAAUGAGGUCCUGUGAGGUCCUCUUUAAAAACGGCCCUUAAAUUAAUGUAACGGCCCAUAUCUUCAUUAUAAUGAAGGUGUUUGCUUUGAAUGUUCAACGGUAGAGUGGGAUGAGCCAGGGUGUUGUGGUAAACAGAACAGGGUUAGUUCAUGGGAAAUUGAGACUCACUGAAAAUUCAUAUUUCCUUCUCUGCCUUUGAGUCUUAAACGACCAUUACACUCUGUAUUCUUGGGUAAGUUUUUUAUUCUGUUUCCAAGCAGGGAAGUCUGUUACAUGCUUUUUUAAUGACUUUUUUGUGCUACUAGGAGCAGAAACUGAGUGGGGAAAUUUGAUUAAAAGACGAUACAUUCGGGUUCCUGAGAUUGGAAAUGGGAACUCUUUUCCUUACUCGAUUUCAAAUCUAUCUUUGGAACAGCUAGUCAAUAUGCUACUGAAACCUCAACUUGUUAAUCAUGCUUGAACUUUAGCUGCUCUACAACAGCAAUCGGCUGCUAAUGGAGAUUUAAUAGCAGAUAUGAAGACCAUGCAAGCCAAACUCAACCAAAAGAAUCCGGGUGUCUUUUCAGAAGGUAUAUCUCUACCGAAUCAAAACCCUCCCCAAUCAUCUAUGGAUCAAUCUGCUGCAAUAAACGUGAACACAUCUCAUGCAAUUCUACCAGGAAAGUUGAACAACCUAACAAAGUUUGGAAGUCAAACGCCCGUUGGAAAUAGUACUGACAAGACAAAAUUAGAUACUGAUUUUUCCGCAGAUCAAUUAAGCCAGUUGAAUUCUAGAGGACAGGGAAUUGAAGACAAAUUAGCUGCAGGGUUUGUAAGUCCCUAUAACCAUGUGAACCAGCUGACAUUUGCCAACCAAAACCAAAGUGCGGCGCAACUACAAACUAGCCCACGGCCCCUUUGGAAUCAUUACAGUACCACUCCCAACAAACUGAUAUGCCUCAUUUAGAUUUCAAUAGCACAAAUGGUUCGCUUCCAUUCCUAGACAAUGAUGAAUGCAUAUUUUUCCAGUCUUGUCAACCCUUUGCUGGGACACUUAGAUCACUGGGGCCUUUGUCUCUGUUUGAUUUGCAAGAUUCUUCAGCUGUUUUAACUGAAGCAAAUAAUUCCUCCCCAACUUCAAUUGGUCAGGAAAUGUGGGAUAAUAGCCUGAAUAAUUGUAGGCUCUUACCCCACGUGGAUCAGCUCACUUCAUCCCAUCGAGAUCCAGGUUGCCUUAAUUGUAUUUCUAACUCAAGCAGUCUAAGAGAUUUCUCAGAUGAGAGCAACAAUCAAAGUGGGAUUUACGGAACGUUGCUGUUGGUAGUGGUGUUAGCACUGUUAUUGACCUUUCUGUUUUCUACACUAAAGAAUGCAGAUUUCCACAACCCCUCAGAUUGCUUGGUUGGUAACCUGAGCUCGAGCCGGGAUCUUCAGUCUCAGUUUACCUCCGCCCGCCUAGGCGACUCCCAGGCUUUCUCCAGGCAAGACCAGGCAGACAACUCAGGCCAUGCUAACAAGCUAGGAUCAGAGGUCAUACAUAUUUGAGUGCUAAAAUACAUCAAAUAUUGAAUGCCUUAAUACAUUCAAGAAUACACUAUGAUUCCUUCAUUUCCUAACAAUUCAUUGUCCAGAGAACAGAACAGCUAAUAUCUCCUAAAGUAGAAAUCAAGAAAUAAAAUAGCUUUUAAAUUACACAACAGAUUCUACCCCCAGCUUGCUUGCAGUAACGAAAAUAAGCAAUUGAUGACGCCCUUAUUGCGACGUUGAAGGAAUUUCACGAGGAUGUUAAAAAGUAAUGAAGCCACACAAAUUUUGUGCACGUCAUGUCAAAAAUUAGCUCAAGUAAUUACAAGAUAUUCACAUUGAAUCCAUACAGAAAUACCAAAAGCAGCAGAUGACACACAUAUCAAGCACGUCGCUUACUAAGACGCCAAGAGUUAGGUUCAUGGUAUCUAUCAUAUAGCGGUUCAAUACGUUCUUGACGCUUGCGCUUGCUCAUCUUGGUGGGAUCUGCCACUUUGAAGAACCUGGGUGCCAGUUCCACAAGCCAUUUGGGGUCGACGACCGUCACCUCGCGCAUGUACUCCUUUGUGGUCAUAACCAGCUCAUGGUAGAUCACCCAAUCUGGUUGUCUCUGGAAGAGGGCGCUGCUUGGGUGUAUAUAAACUGGUUGGUUCUCCACUAGGGUUCUAUAACCCUCCUGCGGGUCCUUUCUAGCACCGUGGAAGAAAAACCCUGCUGUAAUUGCCUUCCUGAUCUUUGUAAAAUUCUUUCCAGCACUGACAACAUCUAGUUUAUACCUGAAAUUCACAAUCUAUAGUCAGAAUGCAAUUUCAUCUUCAAAUCAGAAUACUCAACUCAGAAAUUGUUGAUCACUGUUAUAAACUAAAGCAAGGGGUGCUAGUAGAGACAUUGGCAUGACAAUCUUUAUAAUAAUCUAUCCUAGAGCUUACAUGACAAUGCUAUGUCAAUCGAAGAAAUCUGUUAAUGGCGAUGGUAGGAUGUGUAAUAUGCCAUCUGAAUUUCCAUAUCAACUUAUAAAACAGUUUUGCAAUAUUUUGUACAAACAACACUUGACCAAGAAAAACAAUUCCAGUAUCAAAAUAACUAACAUGUCCGCACAAGAGAGCACAUUUGAAGAGCAUAUACUGGCAAUUUAGCUAUACACAAAAGGGUAGUUAUAAUUUAUAAAGAUACUAUACUUAACCACUGAAAAAAUGGUGGAAAAAAGCACUUCUGCUAAUAAUGCUCUGAAAACAGUGUAUGAGGUAACAUCAACAUGACAAUUCGUAAUGACCUAUUCGCUGCUCAGGUACCAUAUAUCUAGAUUUUAAAACACAAACUAGGCCUGAACAACAUUUCAGCAUUUCCGUCAAGUACAGACAGCAAAAGGCAUGCCCAAUUCACGACUACUACAAAAAUACAAUGUGCCAAACAUGAGCAAACCUAGAACAUUAAUCUACAUCUCUUAAAACCAUUCAUGCACACGUGAAACCAGAAAAAAAGAUCCAUACAACCACGAGUACGCAUCAAGAUAAAUUAGAAGAACAUACUUGUCCAUGAUGCUGAGAAGCUGUUUUCUGACAUCCUGUGCCCUCCUCAAGGAUCGAGACUGAACAAAAUUCUCAAAACACCAUGGCCCUGAAAAAUUCUUAGCUUUCCAUGCCUCAUAGACUGCAAGUAAAGUCAGAUGAUCUCCCUCUGGCUGGAAAAACUUGGCUCUCUUCUGAUCUGCCUGGGCUUGUUUUUCCCUAGGCCUGUAAAAAAUAUUACCAGUCUGAAUCAUUGCAAUGAUGAGCAAUAUGUAUAUGGCGGGAAGACGGCGUCGAAAAAUGGUUGAGAUGGGCGGAUUGUUCGUCGCUGACGGCUGGAGCGUUUCUGUUUCAAAAAUAAUCUCAACUGAGAGGAGGGAUUUUAGCGAUUAGGGUUGAGAAUUGAGUUGGAGUGCACCGGGCGUAUCGAUACGCCUAAAUUUGGAUCUGUGAAACUAGAGAAACUAAUAUAAUAAUAAUAUCAUUUAUCUUUCCAAAGGCAAAAAACUUGUAAGUAAAAAUUUAAUAAAUUACAGAGAAACUUUACUAAAUAGAAGAAUAUUAGGUUUUUUAAAAAGAUGAGGAAAAUUUUGGAAAAUAUAGUUAGUGGAGAUUUUUUUUUUUUUUUAUACAGACAAUAAUCUAGUUUUUUUAUUUUUAUAAUCAUUCUAGGCCUACUUUAAUUUUUAUUUUUUAACAGCUAAUAGGAUAUUGGCACAUGAGUUGAUCUAUAGUAUUUUUUUACUACUUUUUGUUAGGUUAUUUUUAAUUUAAAUAUUCACUAGCCUCUCUCCACGCGCUUCUGCGUCUGUGAGAGGCUUUUUUUAAAAAAAUUUGAAUUUAUUUUAGAAUUAAAAAAGAUAAUGAGUAGUUGUGUUCUAUAAAAAUAGGAUCCAUGAUCUGAUUUUUCUUUUAAUUUUAAUUUUUUUAAUAUGAAAAAGUGUGAAUUUACCAUAUUAUUCUCAUUUAAUUAAUAAUUUCAAUUCUUAAUGUUUGCAUUAAUCAAUGACAUUUUCUAGUAUUUUAAAUAUUUUAUCAUUCUCUAUCUUUUGCUUUGUAUAUAUGGAUAUAGAUAAUAAUAAAAUACUCCCUUUCAUUGAGAUAUUGUUAUGCUUAAAUCGUAUACACACCACAUUGUAUUGAAACGUUAUAGUGACUAAACUCUUCAAGUAUCUUGCAAUUAUCAGAUAAGGAGUUAGUAAUCACACAGGAAAAUAUUCAAUUUAUAUGUUUCUGGUUAUAAUAGUCAUGAUGCAUUUCACACCUUUGUUGGUCUAGUCAAUGCUGUUAUACUUCAGAAUUCAGAUAGAUAAAAAAAAAUGAAUCUUUUCACUUGUACUGUUUUUGCUCUCUUUGAUAUUUACUUUCUCAAUGAUUUUUUCAAGAAUAUCACUCACCAUGAAACGCACUGAACAAAACUCUAAAAUACAACUAUUCAUAUAUUGCUCGAACUUAAAUCGUUUUUUUCCUCCAAGCAUACAGACUCAAACACAACUUUAUUAAAUUGUUUAAAAUGGUUAAUUCCUAAUUUGUUUUGCCAUUAAGUUUUCUUGAUGAUUUUUUUGUUUAAACUUUCGUGAUUUAAUUUUCUAAUUAUUUUAACCUUAAAAAAAUUUAAAUUCCAAAACAUAAUGUAAUUCCACACUUAAUUGGGGUUUUCUCUUCAACAAGAAUGAAAGGAGAAUUACCAAAAUUAACAAAGUGAUGAACAAAAAAUAAUUUUGGUGGAUUAUUAUCGCGUUUGGAGUGAGUUUUGGUGUUUGAUUUGAUUUUGAUUAUUUAAUAAUACUAUUUUGGCCAUUGGAUUUGAUUUUGAGACAUUGGAAUUUUUUUUUUGGUACAGUUGGAUUUGCUCAAAUUAAAUCUUAGCCGUUAUAUAUAACGAUAGAAAUUAAAAUUGGAAAAGAAAACAAAACAGUAGUUUGAAGGAAGCCGUUGGAUUCCUACGAUCCUUUCAUUCCAGCUCGUUAUGUGUCCUGACGACACGGGCCCCACGUCUUCUCAUCCAUUAAUCCCAACUCAAUGAACUUCCUUUUCAAACCCAACAAAAAAGAAAAAAAAAAAAAAAAACAGCGAUCUGAUUUGAAUGCUCUUCUUUAUCAUGCAUUUUGUCCAGGAUAGGGGACUGAUUUUCCAGGCCAAGUGGGCAAAACAGUAGAGAUUUUAAAAUCAACUUUCCGAACGUAAAAUUAAAGUGGCGCGUUUAUGAAAAAGUUUCCCUCCCAUUUCCUCCCACUUUUCCCCCUCCCCUAGAAGAAUACCGGUAUAUAUUUUUCAUUUUCGGAAUUUCCAUUUUCUCUCAACUCAAACGUCAUUUGCUCGUCAUCCUCCUCCUUCAAUCCAACCACAGCCAUUUUUAGCUCGAAUCUUCUAAAACUACUACUUCGUUGUAAUUGGAUAUUAUUGAUUUUAUGGGUAGAGAGCGAGGUUAUGUUGAUGACGAUAUUGAUGAAAGUAAGUUCAAGACUUCGGAAGCAAUGAACCGCUACAAGAAAAUCUUCAGUGUUCAAGCUGUGACGGUUGAGCGGGAGGUCAAAUUGAGUGACUUCGAGGAUCUUGGGCUUCCCAGAAUCUUCAAAUCAAGAGGUUGGCUUUUGGCAAUGGGUCCUUCAGAGCCUGCUAAUAUCCAGAUUGUCCAAGAAUUCUACGCAAACAUUCCUCCUUUCUCCGCCGAGCAGAAAACCCCACCUGGGUUGGGCCCUUUUGGUUCUUGUUUGUGGGAUGAGACUCUGCAUUUCUCUAGCGGUCGAGAAUACCCUGACUCAUUUGAUGUGUAUUUGCGAGGUAAGGUGUUGAAUUUCUCUGUUUCUGGCAUUGCCCAGUUGCUUAAACUUACUAGGCCAAACCCAAAUGAAAAAUCACCUGGUUUUCCUGGGCUUGUUGUUGAUAAUCUUGACUUGAAGGUGGUGAAAUCUACUUUGGGUUGGAACAAGAAGGUCAGGGUUUUGCGUGAAAAUCGACUGAGUGAUUUGUACAAAGUGCUUAACAGCAUAGUGAGAUAUAAUAUCGAUCCUCCUUGUCACGUUAUCCCUUCUUUGCUUAGCCCUGAUAGAGCUCGCCUUCUUUAUGCCAUUGGGAACAAUGUACCUAUUGAUCUGGCCACCUACAUUUUUCGUGCCAUCUGCCGUGCUGCAUUCCCAACUUCCAUGCCCGACUCCCUGCCUUUUACUUCCUUGAUCACACGCUUCGCCAUGGCUUCUCACGUGCCAGUUGAGCCUACAGAUAAGCUUUAUUCUCCUUGGUCGCCUUUGGACAACGUGGAUGUUUUUGGCUAUAGCUUUACUCCAUCUUCUCCGGCAGUCAAGCAACCUCAAGCGGUGGUGAGCCACACGCCCAGUAUGGCCAUACUUACCAAUGGCGUUGCUGAGAACAGGGGCGAUGUGCACCCCGUUUCCACCCACUCGGUCAUCCCACCUUCUUCGAAACAGCCAUCUGCAGGUCAGUCAAAUGUUAAUAGACAGACGUUAACAACAACAAAUGUAAUUUUCCUUAGAUUACACUUGGACAUUCAGCUUAUUACUGUAAAAUGCAUAGGCCCUUAUUGUUUUUAAGUGCAGGUGGUAAAAAUUUCCGGGGGUUUUCGUUGGUAGCAUCAUAGUUAGUAACAGAGUUGAACUUAUAGUAAGCAAUUAGGCAUCAAACAUGGCACGUUUCUGUGAUUAGUACUUAUGUCCUUCAAUUGUGUAUAUAUUGUUUGCAUGGUAAGUGGAAACCUUUAGAAGAUAAGCUCUCUGUUUGAAAUCACAUCUGUAUUCUUUUAAGGUUUGGUGUGAAGGAUAAACCAUGAAGUAGUCUACUAAUGCGAUAAUGGCUUAUAUUUUCACAUUUUCCUGUCUUCGUUGCCUCUGUUCUUGAAAACGUAUAAAGUGAUGGAGAGGUCUUAUUAUUUUUGGAAAAUUUUACAAUGUUCCCACAUCCCUGUAAUCUGUAUUUGACAUUGUACAUUGAUAAUAAAAUGAACGACUCGGAUACUUCAUGUGACAAUGAGGUAUGAACUUCAUCACAUUUUGUCUCUUUAAGGUUAUAAUAGUCUCGAUGCAUUUCACACCUUUGCUGGUUUAGUCAAAGCUGUUAUACUUCAGAAUUCAGAUAGAUUAGAAUCAGAUGAUUGCUUUCUCUCUGCUUGUUACCAAAUACUCUGUCAGUUUAAUAUCUUUGUGUGUAAACAAUAUAAGAAAAACGAAUCUUUUCUCUUGUGCUGUUUUCGCUCUCUUUGAUAUUUACUUUCUCUCUGUGCUUGUGCUGAAGAAAUAAUGGAGGCUGAAGAAGAAAAUAACAGCAAUUUGAUUCCUAACUCGCAUGCUUGUAUAAAUCCGUUAACUUCAACUUCUGACUCGCAUCCAAAUAAGAAAGUGAAAAAAGAUCCAUUGGAACAUGCAGCUGGUGAGGUGUCAAAGUUACUGCAGGAGUUUUUGGCAAGUCAAAUGAAACUACUAGAUUGCAANNNNNNNNNNNNNNNNNNNNNNNNNNNNNNNNNNNNNNNNNNNNNNNNNNNNNNNNNNNNNNNNNNNNNNNNNNNNNNNNNNNNNNNNNNNNNNNNNNNNAAGACAAAGUGGAUACUCUUACUAAUUAGUCAAUCUGAAGGUAACUUUCUUGAUAAAAAUUGAGCCAAUAGCUCAGGGGAUAUAAAAUAGGUCUUAGACAUAAAGCCACUUAUCAACAUUUACUUUCUCUCAGGAAAAGAAGAAAGUUUGAGAUACGCUAUCCCUUCUGGCCAUGGUAUGGCUCUCUCUCUCUCUCUCUCUCUCUCUCUGUCUCUCUCUGUGUCUCUCUCUCUCUGUCUCUCUCUCUCACUUGUUAGCUAUGAAUUACAUGCUUCAAGAACAUAACUUAUAAUCCAUUCAAGUUUUCUUGUUUUAUGUUUUGAAAGGAGCUUUUAGGGUUCAAUUAUGUGGUUCAACUGAGAGAUUUGAACUGAAAUAUCCCAAUUGUAAAUCCUUCUACUCCAAAUUAAAGAGAAAAAGAAAAGUAUGAACCAAUUGGACAGAAUAUACUUGCACAUACUCCCUCCUUGAAUGAGUUUCAGUAAGAAAGCUAGUGUAGCCAAUUGGACAGAAUUUACUUGCACAUACUCCCUCCUUUGAUGUAGUUUCCAAGUGCAUCACCUUAUGAUACCUCUUCAUGUUUUCAAUUAGUAUUGCCUUGUGACAUGCCAAUUUUCUUCAAUGAUUAUAUACAGGGAGCAGAGUGGCCAAUUCUUUCCUUUCAUAAUUCAACAUCUUGUUCUGGGCACAUGGUAGAAGAUGCCUUCUUGUAAACAGACUUUUUGUAUUUGGUCAGGCUUGCAAUGCUCUAUUUUGUGGAUUUUAAGAUUGUAUUAGGCUUACUUGUGAGCUGCAAAAUGCCUUGUACCAAAGUUUAUGUAUAAAAUGUGUGCUAAAUCUUGUGUGUGGAGUACAAGAUUGAAGGUCUUCCUGGAAAAGCAAUCACAAGCAUAUUCUCUUUUCAAUUUGUAGAAAUGUUCAAGUUCUUGCCCAUUACUUGCAGAUAUAUAGUGUUGUGUACCAUAAAGGCUCCAUCAUAUGCAAUUCCAUCAAGGCCUGCAGGCCAAUCACUGCUUUCUCUUGGAUAUUACAAACAUUUGUAGAGCCAUAAUGAAAACUUGGUAGGCAAACCCAAAUACGUGCAUUGACCAUUUGCUUAAACUUGAUAGGCUAGCAAGAGCUUGUAGCUCAAGUGGUUAAGAGUAUCUAUCCUUACACUUGAGGUCCUAGAUGUGAUUCCCUCCUCCCAAUAUCGCUUGUAACCAAAAACAAGCAAAAAAACUUGAUAGGCCAGACCCAGAUGAACCUGGUUUUCAUAAACUUGUUUGUCAGCUUGAUAGUGGCUUAUUAGAGUCCAAAUUGGUUGGGAAAGUAAUGUCCACUAGUUUUAGCAGAUACCCUUUGGGAAAGUGUUGAACAGAGCACUUCACUUGAUUGUUAAUGACUAGGACCCCAAGGGUAUGUUCUUGGUAUGUUACCUUAGGCCUAAAACAACCCUUUUGUUGUGAUGAACUUUGAAAGGUGACCAAGAACAUACAAAAUUUUGUUCAUUAAGCCAUAGUGUAAGCUGAGAAUGAAGAAGGUGGAAAAAUAAGGCACAAAUGGAAAGAUAGCUUGCAUUCUUCUUAUUUUUAACAGACUUUUAUAUAUACCCUACAAUGUAAACUAGAAAAUAAUUAUAUAAAAUAAUGAAAUUCCAAAACUCUUUUGGAUCUGAAAGUCUAAACGUUUUCAUUUCUUCAGUUUUCCUCUCACUCUUUGGUUCUCCAUCAAUUUAUUUUUCAUCAUUCUCUCAUCUCAUCCCUCCUUUACAUGUAUGCAAUCAUUGUAUAUUAAAUUAGGAGAAGCGAGGAGAUGAGUAGAGCUGGGUUCAGGGUUGGUGACAAAGAAAAUGAAAUCAAUCAAUGAUGGAGAUAGAUGUCCAAAGAAAAAUAUUUUGAUGAAGUAGAGAAAUUGUAUUUUUGGGAAGAGUUGAGUGUCUAGAGAAUGGUGAGAAUAAAAAUAGAAACCCAUUGAAACACCGAGUGUAAACAGAAUUCUUGGUAAUAUGAAAUUUCUCUUUCACAUUCAAGCAGUCAAAUCACAUGAAAAGUUUUUGAAGGAACUAUGUUGUAACUACUCUUAACCACUUGAGCUAUACGUGUCAAGUUAGAUCUUCAAUAAUGUAGUAACACACUCUUCAAUAAUGUCUCACAAUGUUAGAUCUUUCAUAGUGAAAAUUAAAUUGAAGAGUGAGAAAGUGAUUUCUAAGAGCAACUCCACCGCUCUACACAAAACCGGGCAAAAGGCUGCCCUUGCAAGCCCAACACCCUCUAGCACGCAAGAUUGAGCCCGGGCAAUCAGUGGGUCCCACCAACCUGGGCAGGCCCAAAGGCAAUUCUCGCAUGGGCUUUAGCCCGAGGGUGGUGACAUCAGCGCACGGUAAUUCAAAUUUUUUUUACCAUUGGCGCGUGAAUUACACGCGCCAACGGUAAAAAAAAUUUGACUUCCGCGCGCUGACGUCACCAUGACGUCAGCCCUGACAGACCCCAACGGCCAUUUGACAAGUGUCGCAACCGGGCUUCUCCGAUGGGUUUUUUUCCAGAAAUUCGACGGUCAUUUCAAAAAAAUUCGAAAAAAUUCUGAAAUUUUUUUUUUUUAAAUACCAAAAUUUUUUGUAUUUUUUCACUAUAAAUACCUAACCAUUUUAUUUACUUUCCACACUAAAUCUUCAUACAAUUUCUUCUCCAUCCAAUAUUUUUUACUCUCCACUCACAUUAUUCACUUCCCACACCAAUUCUCCAAACAAACUCUUCUCCUUCCAAUAUUUUUUACUCUCCACUCAUAUUUUUCUACUACUUUCCAUUUGUAUAUAAAAAAUAAAAAAACAAAUGGCAUCUUCUGUCGAAACCAGAGGCUCGUGGUCAACUCAGGAAGAUAUUGCAUUGUGUCAGUCUUAGGUGAACGUUAGUCAUGACCCUAUCACGGGCAAUGAGAUGAAGUUCCAUCAUAUGUGGAGCAAAAUUCAUGGAGAAUUUUGUCAAAGAUCGGGUUCCAUUCGGACCGAAAUGGCCUUGUCUAGUAGAUGGAAACUUCUGAAUAAAGAGUUAGGAAAAUGGAGAAAUGCCUUGACAAAAACAAGGGAGAACAUUCGAAGCGGUCAAAAUCUAUCCGAUGAGGUAAAAUAUUUAUAAUUGUCAUUUUAAUAAAUUUAAUGUAAUUUUUUUUUAUUGCAUAUUCUAUGUCUUUUUGUUGCAUAAUCUUUUUUUUUUUCUUUUUGCAUUUCCUAUUUGUCUAUAUUUUCUUGCAUAAUCAAUUUCAUUCUUGCAUUUCAAAAUAGUUUAUAUUUUCUUGCAUAAUAAUUUUUUUUCUUGCACUUCCAAUUAUUUAUUUUUAAUAGAUCAUACAAGCACAAAUGUGGUUCGGUGCCAUGGGGCAAGGCAAAAAAAGUUUCGUGCAUUACCAAUGUUGGGAAGUUGUGAAGGAUUGUUCAAGAUUCAAAAUUAUUCCCACCGAUCCAACAGUUGUGUUGAAUGAGACGCCGCUUCACGAUUCACCAUCAACCGAUUCGCCAUUGGACUCCCCAAUGGAAACGGAGUCACCACUCCCACGUCCGCCAAGACCUAUUGGGAGAAAGGCGGCAAGGGCCAAGAGAGGGGGCACUUCAAACAAUGAAUGUAUACAAUUAUUGGAGCAAAUAGCUAAGAACACUUCACUAAGAAUUGAGAGAGACUUGAAAAGAGAUGAAGUGGACAAGGCACGAGAGGAAGCAUUUGUAAUUCAAUAGCAGCAGGCACAAGACAAAGACAUGGAUGAUAGAGAGAUGAAAAUCAUGGUCAUGGAUACGAGCCAUAUGUCUCCUGAAACAAAGGCCUAUUGGAAGCAUAGACGAAGGGAUGUGAUGAGAAGAAAACUUUUCCAUGACGACGGACCUAGCAAUACGGAUUGGUUAAAUGAUGAAAACCAUUAGGUUUUACUGAAACACCUUUGCCAUAUGUUGUAUUGUUGUAUUGUUGUAUUAUCCUUUAAUUUAUUGUAUUGUUUCCUUUUCAUUAAAUAAAAAAAGUAUUAAAUAAUAUGACUAUUUAUUAAAAACAUUUGAGCAUCAAAACAAAGAUUAAUUAAAAACAAACCUUAAUUUAUUGCAAACAAUACACAAAAUAAAUCAUACAUAAAAGCAUAAUAAUAAUAAAAAAGAUAGAGAUGGUGUAGUUUUAUAGAGGGAUUCAGAAGAUAGAAAUGACACGUUGCACAAUUUUAGAGGAUGAAAAUCUUAUCUGAAAUAUGAGAUUAUAAUUUUUUAAAAAUAUCUGAAAAUCUUAUCUAACAGAGAUAACACUUGACACAAUUUUAGAGGGUGAAAAUCUUAUCUGAAAUAUGAGAUUAUGAUUUUUUUUAAAUAUCUGAAAAUCUUAUCUGACAUGAGACAUGUGGCACAAUUUUAGAGGGUGAAAAUGUUAUCUGAAAUCUGAGAUUAUAAUUUUUUUUAAUGAAUAUCCGAAAAUUUUAUCUGGAAUAAGACAUGUGGCAACCAAGAUUCUCAUCCGAAAAUCUUUUCUGAAAAAUAAUAGACACGUGACAAUCAAAAAUAUUAUCCGAAAAUUUAAUUACAAAAGAUUAUCAAAAUUAAUAGUUUAAAGUAUAAAAAAAAUAGGAAAUAAAGUACAAUGAAUAGUAUUUGCCUUAGACUUGCCCUAGACUUAGCCCUCAUGGGUGGAACCACAAAUGGCAAGGCUGCCACUAUUCAUGCGAAUAGUGCCAGCCCUUGCUUGCCCUUGCCCUAGACUUAGCCCUUAGAGCAUGUCCACCGCAGCUCUUCUAGCCAGGGCAAGAGGCCCAUUUCUUCACUUUUGGACCUCCAGCGCAGCGCCUGCAGCCUGGGCAAGUCCUGGGUCCCACCAGCCUGGGCAAGCCCAAGGGCAGAUUUUGCCUGGGCUUCAGCCCGAGUUUGCUGAUGUCAGUGGUGAUGUCACGCUGACAUCAGCGAGUCAAAAAAAUUGAAAAAAAUUGAAAAAAAAUCAAAAAAUUUUUUUAAAAAAAACCAAAAAAAUUAUGGAUGUUUUCCCUAUAAAUACAUAACAAUUUUAUUCACUUUCCCUAUAAAUACAUAACAAGUUUAUAUUUUGUUGCAUAUUCUUUUAUUUUUCUUGCCCUUGCCCUAGCCUUUUGGGGUGGAACCAAAAAAGGCAAGGCUGCCACUAUUCAUAUGAAUAGUGGCAGCCCUUACUUGCCCUUGCCCUUGCCUUAGCCCUUAUGGGUGGAGAUGCUCUUAUGGGUGAAGUUGCUCUAGUCACGUGUCCAUUGUUUUCAGAAAAGAUUUUCGGAUGAGAAUCUCGAUUACCACGUGUCUUAUUCCAGAUAAAAUUUUCGGAUAUUCAUUAAAAAAAAAAUUAUAAUCUCAGAUUUCAUAUAACAUUUUCACCCUCUAAAAUUGUACCACGUGUCCCAUGUCAGAUAAGAUUUUCAGAUAUUAAAAAAAAAUUAUAAUAUCAUAUUUCAGAUAAUAUUUUCACCCUAUAAAAUUGUGCCACGUGUCAUCUCUGUCGUAUAAGAUUUUCAAAUAUUUUUUUUAAAAUUAUAAUCUCAGAUUUCAGAUAAGAUUUUUAUCCUCUAAAAUUGUGCCACGUGUCAUCUCUAUCUUUUGAAUCCCUCUAUAAAACUACACCAGAGGCCUCAUACCUCUCACACCAUCUCUUAUCUAUUCCUUCAUUUCUCAGAUUUUACAAAACACAUUCUACUCUCAAUGUCAAACUUGAGGAGGGUGUUAGAGAGGCAACAGAAAGAAAGGGAAGAAAUCCGGCGUAGACGUGCUGAAGAAGAUCGGGACGCCGAUGAAGAAGAGGAACAAAUGCUUGCAGUAGCGGUGUGUAUGCUUAAUCAAUCAAGACAACACCGUCGUCCUCGUGCCCCAAAUGUGGACAGACGUAGAGAGUCUCGGGGUAAGAAUCUCUUGGAGGAUUACUUUAUCCCAAAUUCGUUAUAUCCUGCUCAUAAGUUUCGAGAGAGAUAUAGAAUGCCGCCACAUUUGUUUCAAAAAAUCAUGCAUGAUAUUUAUAAUUACGACACAUACUUCAUUCAAAAGCAUGAUGCUGUUGGAGUUUUGGGUCUUAUCCCGGAGCAAAAACUUACAGCUGCUUUGUGGAUGCUUGCUUAUGGGGCAUCUGCAGAGUAGGUGGAUGAGAUUGCAAGGAUGAGAAAAUCAACUAUCCUAGAGUGUUUGGUGAGAUUCUGUGAUACAGUGGAAAAUUUGUACACGAGGGAGUACCUUUGCAAACCCACGCCGAGGGACCUGCAAAGGUUGCUACAAAAAGCAGAGGCUCGAGGUUUCCCAGGCAUGAUUGGAAGCAUUGAUUGCAUGCACUGGCAGUGGAAGAAUUAUCCUACUGCUUGGCAAGGAGACUACGGGAAUCGAAAGGGCCAAAAAAGUAUAAUCUUGGAGGUCGUAGCUUCAUUCGACUGUUGGGUUUGGCAUGCCUUCUUUGGGGUUGCCGGAUCUCAGAAUGACCUGAAUGUCCUUGGUCAAUCCCCGGUGUUCGACGAGGUAUUGCGAGGUCAUUCCCCCCAGGUCACGUACCAAAUCAACAAUACCGUAUACUCUGGUGCGUACUACCUUGCCGACGGAAUUUAUCCUAGGUGGACGACAUUCGUGAAAACAAUUCCGAAUCCCCAAUCCGAGAAGGAAAGAAACUUUGCUUCCUUUCAAGAAGGUUACAGGAAAGACGUGGAAAGGUGUUUCGGUAUCUUGCAAGCUCGUUGGGCAAUUAUCAGGGGUGCUGCUCGGAUGCUAGACGAAGAGGUGCUGAGGAGUAUUAUGAUGACUUGCAUCAUCCUCCACAACAUGAUUGUGGAGGAUGAGUAUGACUACGAUGCUCCAGAGGUGUUUGAACCCGAUCCCAUGAACACGGCAUUGACAAGAAUAUAUGAAAGGCCGAUGGGACCAAAUGGACUACCAAUGGAGCCCGAACCGUUAGUUCGGGAUGGUCGAUUCAACAACUCCAUGAUUGACCGUUAUGAAGAAAUGCAAUCUUCAUAUGUUCACGAGAGACGUCAAGUUGACUUGAUCGAGCACUUGUGGGAGAUGAAAGGCAAUCACAAUGGAUGAAGUCAAGAUUAGUGCUUUGUUUGGAAUUAUGCUUUGUUUUUUAUUAUGCUUUAUUUUGUGUGUGUUGUUUUAUUGGAAUUAAUGCUUUGUUUUUUAUUAUUAUUAUGCUUUUGUGUAUGGUUUGUUUUGUGUGUUGUUUACAAUAAAUUAAGGUUUGAUUUUAAUUAAUCUUUGUUUUGAUGCUCAAAUGUUUUUAAUAAAUAGUCAUAUUAUUUAAUGCUUUGUUUAUUUAAUGAAAAGGAAACAAUACAACAAAUUAAGGAUAAUACAACAAUACAACAAUACAACAAAUUAAAGGAUAAUACAACAAUACAACAAUACAACAUAUGGCAAAGGUGUUUCAAUACAACCUAAUGGUUUUCAUCAUUUAACCAAUCCGUAUUGCUAGGUCCGUCGUCAUGGAAAAGUCUUCUUCUCAUCACAUCCCUUCGUCUAUGCUUCCAAUAUGCCUUUGUUUCAGGAGACAUAUAGCUCGUAUCCAUGGCCAUGAUUUUCAUCUCUUUAUCAUCCAUGUCUUUUUCUUGUGCAUGCUGCUGUUGAAUUGCAAAUGCUUCCUCUCGUGCCUUGUCCACUUCAUCUCUUUUCAAGUCUCUCUCAAUUCUUAGUGAGGUGUUCUUAUCUAUUUGCUCCAAUAAUUGUAUACAUUCAUUGUUUGAAGUGUCCCCUUUCUUGGCCUUUGCCGCCUUUCUCCCAAUUGGUCUCGGCGGACGUGGGAGUGGUGACUCCGUUUCCAUUGGGGAGUCCAAUGGCGAAUCGGUUGAUGGUGAAUCGUGGAGUGGCAUCUCAUUCAACACAACCGAAGGACCGGUGGGAAUAAUUUUGAAUCUCGAACAAUCCUUCACAACUUCCCAACAUUGGAAAUGCACGAAACUUUUUUUGCCUUGCCCCAUGGCACCGAACCACAUUUGUGCUUGUAUGAUCUAUUAAAAAUAAAUAAUUGAAAGUGCAAGAAAAAAAAAUUAUUAUGCAAGAAAAUUAAACUAAUUUGAAAUGCAACAAUAAAAUUAAUUAUGCAAGAAAAUAUAGACAAAUUGGACAUGCAAAAAGAAAAAAAAAAUUAUGCAAGAAAAAGAAAUAGAAUAUGCCAAAAAAAAAAAGUUACAUUAAAUUGAUGAAAAUGGUAUUAUAAAUAUUUUACCUCAUCGGAUAGAUUUUGACCGCUUCGAAUGUUCUCCCUUGCUUUUAUCAAGGCAUUUCUCCAUUUGCCUAACUCUUUAUUCAGAAGUUUCCAUCUACUAGACAACGCCAUUUCAGUCCGAAUGGAACCCGAUCUUUGACAAAAUUCUCCAUGAAUUUUGCUCCACAUAUGAUGGAACUUCAUUUCAUUGCCCGUGAUAGGGUUAUGACUAAUGUUCACCCAAGAGUGACACAGCGCAAUAUCUUCCUGAGUUGACCACGAACCCCCGGUUUCGACAGAAGCUGCCAUUUGUUUUUUUUUUUUUUUUUUUUUAAUACAAAUGGAAAGUAGUAGAAAAAUGUGAGUGGAGGAUAAAAAAUAUUGGAAGGAGAAGAGUUUGUAUGGAGAAUUGGUGUGGGAAGUGAAUAAUGUGAGUGGAGAGUAAAAAAUAUUGGGGAUGGAGAAGAAUUGUAUGAAGAUUUUGUGUGGAAAGUAAAUAAAAUGGUUAGGUAUUUAUAGGGAAAAAAUACAAAAUUUUUUGGUAUUUUUUUAAAAAAAUUUCAGAAUUUUUCAGAAUUUUUUUAGCAAAAAAAACGAGGAUCGUCGGAUUUCUAGAAAAAAAUCCAUCGGAGUGUCCCUGGCGCGACACGUGGCUUUUUACCGUUGGUUGCUGUCAGGGCUGACGUCAGCGCGCGGAGUUUAAAUUUUUUUUUANNNNNNNNNNNNNNNNNNNNNNNNNNNNNNNNNNNNNNNNNNNNNNNNNNNNNNNNNNNNNNNNNNNNNNNNNNNNNNNNNNNNNNNNNNNNNNNNNNNNGAAAUGGAUUUUGUGAAGUAACCCAUCAUACACUGGUCAUGGAUCCGUAUGAAUCCAUGUGUGAAGUUGAUUUUCUUAAGCAUCAAAUGGGCAAAAGUAUGCUCUGAUGGAGUAACCAUUAUUUGUUUCUGAUAGGAUCAUGACAGUGUGCAUUCCCUUUUCCUUUUCUCCUGCAUAUUUUAUUUGUUUCUUUAUUGGUAAUUACUCCAAAUUGAAUGAUUUUGCGUUGGAAUUCUGUAGAGCUUGAAAGACAUUUCUGGAGAAGAGAAGCUGAAGAUCAAACCAUGCUCUGUUGUAUGGCCAUGAGGUAAAAAAAAUUUAAACUCCUCGUGCGCUGAUGUCAGCAUUACGUCAUCCAACUCGGGCUCAAGCCCAGGCUGAAGUUGCCCUUGGGCCUACCCGGGCUCGUGGGACCCAGCUGCUGCCCGGGCUGUCUUCCUCGCGUUGGAGCGACUUCGGGCUCGCCUAGGGGCCCUUUCACCCGGUUUGGGUCAUGCGCUGGGCUCGCUCUAAAGAGCUAACAUCAAAAGACCCUUAAAAGUAUGUGAUCAUUCUCAAUAUGGACCCCCAUAUUUCAAUUUCAUUAUUUUACUCCCACGGUUUUCAAAUUUGCUCAAUUUACUUUCCGUUAAAUUCACCGUUUGAUUAGACAUUAACUGCUAACGUGUCUACUGUGAGACAUAGCCACUUAUCAAUCCCCAUCCCAUCUAACAUGUAAUUAAACAAAAACUAAAUAUAUAAUAUUUAAAAAAAAGAAAAAAAAAAAAAGAGGCAUAUAGCCUUCCCCAUCCCUCUCACCGACGCACAGUCGCACCACCCGAUCCCCCUCCCUUUCUUCGUCCUUUGUAUCUCUCUCUCUCUCUCUCUCUCUCUCUCCCUCUCCGUCCCUUUCUCCCCCAUCCCAUCUUCUCGAGUUCUCUGAUAUCCCCCCCCUUUCGCGAUCUACCUCUCCUUCGAGAGGCUUCUCGAGUCCAGGCCCUGCGAUGCCGAUCAGACCGAGCUCAUCGAUCGCUCUCUCCAAUUGGGCUCUGUGCUCCUCGAGGCUGCUAAUCGUUCUGCGAGAAAACCAGCCUCCAAGCACAACUCUCUCACCUGUACUCUCCCCCCAAACCCCCCUCCAAGCACAAUUUGUAUAUAUUGAUAGGGAUGGGGAGCUGGGAGGAGAGUGGGACGGAGAGAGAGAGUGGGGGACGAAGAGAGGGAGAGUGCUCUGGUGGGGAAGAGGCAGGUGCGCCGCUAUCACGAACACAUUCAGACCACGAGCUGACGCAAGUUGAAAUCAUGCUUCUCUGUUUUUCUAGUUCUGUAGUCGCCGCUAAUCAUGCUGCUUUGAUUUUCCAUUGAUGUUUGCUUUGUUACUCUCAAAAAGUUUCCUUCCUUUAUUUAUUUAUUUAUUUCGAUAAUGAAAUUUGAAAUUUGAAUUGUGUGUUGCUUUGUUACUCUCAAUAAAUCUUCCUUCUUUUUCUUUUUUCUUACAGGAAUUGGGUUUUGGUGUUUCACCGACGAGCUGACGCCAGAGAGAGAGGGAUGGGGUUGGUGUGGGUGCGAGUGGGGGGCUGAACAAGGGGUGCUGGGUUUGUUGGGCUGAGGAGGGGCUGGGAUUUUUUAAGGUAUUUUUUUAAAUUUGAUUUAAUUUUAUCAUUUUAUAUAAAUUGUUUAGGAACUGAUUAGUUAGUGGGUGGGUCCCGAUUGCCCAUAUUGAGAAUGACCCCAAACGUUUUUUGAUGUUAGCUCAUUUCUAAAUUUGUAGAGUGAGGGAGUGACCACAGUUUUGAUAUAUUGGUGUCUAUUUUUAUUGGAGCUGAUUUUGUUUGCCUAACCUUACCAACACUCAGGGUAGAUUCCUGGUAAAUAAUAUUGCAACUCUUGCGCUUUUAGAAAUUGUGUGUAUAGUUUUGAGAAAUAGUACUAGAGAAACUAACUUUUAAGAUAUAUCAACUGAUGUGGCAGUGUUUUAAUUUUAGAACUUAUUUAUUCAUAAUAAAUAAGAUAUUGUCAUAUAUUAGUUGACACUUAAAAGUUGGUGUAUCUCUAGUACUACUGUGGAAAACAACACACAAAAUAAGAGUAAGACAAAAGAAAACUAAUAUUACACAAAAUGGGUCAUGUAAUUUUAAUAUAAAAUUGCUACAAACUCUUGUCAACCCUGGAAAGUUCAGUCCAAGUGGACGAGACAUGCUCUCUCUUAUUAAAAAUGCUAUACAUGUACACCAUGCUUUUGUCCUCAAAUUUGGACUCGUUAUACAGUAUAGACUACUUUAUUUAUAUACUUGGCUAAGAGUUCGAUUAUUUUCCUCCCCUUCUCUUAAAUGGAAAUCAUCUCUAGUUCUUUUCACCCCUAACAACAUAUGGAACUGCUGAGUUCAUAACUUUUCUAUUGUUUAUCUUUUAAUGCAUACAAUUAUAUCUUGGUUUUUUACUGGGUAAUUCAAAACUUGGAAACUCCUUCGACGACUUUACAAAAAAGGAUUUAGGUUUUUUUUGCUAAAAAGUCAGUAUAGUAUGAAUACCUAUUUGAUACGAUAUAGGUUUUUUUUUUUUUAAUUUAAAAAUUUAUUGAAAGGAUUUUUAAUUAUUUGUAUUGGCACUAUUAAUUUUGCCACAAAAUUCUCAGAGGUUUAAUAAUUUGCUUUUACAAAUACCAUGAUCGUUUUCAGAAAUCUCUCUUUCUGGAGGCAGAUUCCAGAGCCGUUUAAGGGAAAUUCGUAGUCGAGCUACCGAUGUUCAUGAUAAGGAAAAGGGAAUCAAGAUUACUGAGAAGGAUUGGGAAAAGUUGAAUGUACAAUUGCUUCAUACAACAAUUUUCCUACUGCUGCUGGAUUGGCUUCCUCAGCAGCUGGUUUUGCAUGUCUUGGUAACGGAUAAUACCCUAUUUUGGAUCAUAUUAUUGUUAAUUUGUUAUAUGAUUAGUGCCUUAACUUUGAGAACUCAUGACUCUGUUAAUAAUGUUACUUGGGUACUGGAUUAAUCAUUCUUUGCCAAUAGAUAGUAGUUAAGCAAUGAGCAUAUCAUAGCUAAGCCUCUGUUUCUACUUGCAGUUUUUGCCCUCGCAAAGUUAAUGAAUGCAAAUGAAGAUCACAGCCAGCUUUCUGCUACUGUAAUCAAUCUGAGAUUUUAAUAAGCCAUCGCAAUCUGACUAAGUUUUACAGAAUACUUAACACAAUAGUAAGUGCUGAUAUCGACCCUGAAGAACGUCUCCUUGACAGUAGCUUAAUUGAUUUUGACAGAGCAAGCCUCCUUUAUGCCAUUGGGAAUAAUAAUGUGUCCAUUGAUCAGCCCGCCCACAUUUUCCGAGCCAUUUGCCUGGCUGCAAGCCCAGACGACUACUACGAAACUCAUUCCCUGCCUUUUGGGUCGUUGAUCACUAGGUUUGCCAUGGCGUCUAAGGUGCGAAUUGAUCCUACGGAUCAGGUUAAACAACUUAUGCCACCUAUCAACUAGAUGAUGUUUCAUAAUGAUGAGACAGAUGAAACAAGUGAAGAAUCUGUUGUUGGAUUUACUCCUCCUCCUGCACCUGCUUCGGAGCCAAGUCCUCCACAGCUUAAUCAGCCUUCUCUUUCCCAGACGAAAAGCUUUGAGAAGUUUUCCAUAAAGCUGAGAAAGCGCAUGGCCCGACUUGCCAAUGAGGUCGUUAAGCUCACCGGUUGCGUACAUUGGGGCAUCCCAUUGAAAGAACCAUUUACAGGUCAUUCUAAUGUUGAGCUUGCUUUAGUUUAUAUGUGUUUUUGUCCUUUUCAGCUUUGUUAAACCCUGUCUUCAACUUUCAUUUCUAAUCCAUUGAUUAUCUAUGAAUUGUUAGGUUUUUGUUUCCAUUUGUUUAUUCAGUUGUUCUUCUUUUAUACCCUCUCAUUGGUUUCUGCUCCUCUGUCUUAUGAUUUUCCACUUCCACUUAUCACUCCCUUGUCAUACACACUUGCAGUACAAGAUAAAUAGAAUCUGAAGUUUGCCUUGUUCUGGAUGAUAAAUAGAAUUCUAUUUAGUUAUAUAUUUUCAAAGAUACAAGUUAAAUAAAGACGAUGUAGCGAGCACCAUAAGCUUCAAAAGAAUUUUCCUAGUUCUAGGCUUAAGUAUAUUUUUUAUCUAAAGGACCUCUGAGUUGACUGCAGGAACUGAUUCAGCCUAAUACUGUAAAAGAAUUGUCCCUUGAAUAUCUUUUUAUGUACAGCUGGUAAGAAAAUUUUCGGGUUUUUACUGGUGGAAGGAGAGUAAUAAACUUGAAGUUAGCAACUAGCACCGAAUGCUUCUGUGGUUAGUGAUUUAGUAUUGAAGAGAAGCUCUGUUUCUGAUCAUAUAUGUAAAAUUGAUUUUGAUUGCAUUAAUUAGUAAAAAAGAUCAGCUCUGUUUCAGAUCAUAUAUGUAUUCUUUAGUCAACUAAUGAGAUGGGGUGGUUAACAUUUAUUUAAGUGUGACUGGAACAGUUUUGAGUGAUGAAUUUUCCUAUUUUCACUAGGGAGCUGCCUUUGAAUUUGAUAUUUUCGGGAGUGAUUCGAUGCUUUUCUCUCUUUCGAAAACUUAACAAAAUUAAAUAUUCACAAUAUUCCCCAUCGUCUGUAUAAUAAAAAUGAAACUGCUUCUACAUGUGAUUAUGAACUCCAACACAUCUUGUGUCCUUGUGGUUGUAAUAGUCAGCAGUUAAUGCACUUCUUUGCUGCUUUAGUGGAUGUUUUUUAUGCUUUACUUUCUCUCUGUUAUUGUGCUGAAGAAAAUAUGGAGGUUAAACAAGAAAAUGAUGAGAAUUUUAUUCCCAACUCACAUACUACGACACAUCUAUCAACUUAAAUUUCCGGCUUGCAUCCAAAUAAGAAAGCGAAAAGGAUCCAUUGGCACAAGCAAUUGGCGAGGCGGCAGACCGAACCUCAGUAGAUUGCAAGUUUUGAAGGCCGUACACAUUUUAUUGAAUACUAAUCCAGAAGAGGUCCUUCUACUCAAAUAUCUUCCUGAUGAUGAGAAGACAGAGUGGAUAAUACUGGUUAUUACUCAAUCCUGGGUCUAACUUUCUUGAUAAAUGAUACUGAGCCAAUUAUUCUCAGGGGUUUAAACUUUUGCAUAGAGUCACUUAUCAGCAUUUACUCUCUCUCUCUCUCUCUCUCAUUGAUCCAGUAUUAGGAGUGAUCUUGCGUUUUAUUCUUUUCAUAUACAAUAUUAUUUAUAUCCUUUUAUGUCCUUUUACACACACUGAGCUUCUUGACAUGUUAUGGGCUUUUAAUCAUGCUUCGAAGACAUACUUUAAAUCCAUUUAUAUAUCUUCUUUAUCUAUUUAUUUCUCUUGUUUGAGAGGAGGUAUUAUUUCUCUUGUUCAUUAUAGGUUUCUUUGUAAUUCACAUAUAUAAAUCGAAUGAGUUUCAAUAAGAAAGUGUAGCCGAUUACUGCAAUAUACAGAAGGCUGUCUCAUCUGAAAGUAGAGCACAAGUGUGUGUGCUCCAUGGACAGCUUGAUAGGUUGAGGAAAGGAAGAAACCACAAGAGCAAUGAAGGCAAUUAUGUUUCACCACUUAUACCCCGGGAUGAUCCACAGAACGAAAUGGAAAACCACGUCUUGAUUUGUCACUUGAAGGAAAUCAUUGUAAACUAGCCAGCCAGAUGCACCAACAGAGUGCCUGUUGCGCUCCAAAAAUGUCACCCUUCCGCCGGUGAGGCAGCACAACAAAGCAAUUUUCCCUUUGCAUUUCCCUCCACUCCUGCUACAAAUUCAUGCUUACAACACAACGUAAGGUGCCGACACACCAAUUAUCUCAAAAAAACCAAAAAGAGAAUUGGCAUAGCUUGGAAGUAUUAAACACUUUGGGAUAGGCAUCAUGAUCAUUUUCUUGAAAUUAUGACAUAUUUUGGUAUGCUAAAAUCAAACACUAGUGUGUCGGGACCUUUGCCUUAAAAUAUAUAUAUAUAUAUAUAUAUAUAUAUAUAUAUAUAGAGCGUUGAAAAGGAAGCGAUAGUCUAAACUAGAUGAGAGUGUGGUUUCUCACAUACACUAUAUAUAUAUAUGGCGUUGAAAAGGAAGCGAUAGUUUAAACUAGAUGAGAGUGUGGUUUCUUACAUACACUACCAAGAUGCCAUGAAGGUUCGAACCUGAAAUCAUUAGUUUGCAAAUCAAAUUUUUUUUCUUACCAGGAACAGUUAAUCAUUAUUGUCUUAGAUAUGUCUAUUGAGAUUUUAAAUUACCUCAUUCACCUAAGUACCAAUUUCACCUUCUCUUCUUCUUUUGACUUGUAAGUCUACUUUUCUUUGUAGUGCAUUUGAGACUAGAAAAAGACGAGCCCAUAUUUGACUAAAACAAUUAAGUCAUCACUUGUCUACUUCCAUCAUGAAGAGAGUUUUUUUUUUCCUUUAAUUGUUUUUUAACCAGAAACUCUGGUAUUGACUGAGAAAGAGUCUGGAGUACGUUCUAUAACUAGAGGAUUUCGUAAGAUUAACUCCUUAUUGAAUGUUACAGCACACAAGCGCACACCCUGCAUACUGAAGGUGAAAGAUUUACACUUUGGAAGCCCCCCUCCCCUCCCCUACAUUAUUUAGUGGGAAAAAAAAAAAAAAAAAGGAAAAAGUAUAGAAUGAGGGUAACAAGAACCAAAGCUACUAUUUCUUUUUUGGGUAUACAAGCGAUAGUCUCUGAACUCAUUAAACUAAUGUAACUUACACGGAAAGGGGUUUGAAGUUCGGUGUAAGGGGUAAGCUCACCGUCCUAUCCAAUUAGCCUAACCCACAUUUGCAGAUGUAUACAAAUACAAUGAUAUAGUCCAAACUACUCUAAAUCUAAACUACUAUAUUACUUUCCUUUUAUAGUCAAUAUAUAUGACUUUUGCCCUUCAAACUAAUUAUGUCUUACCUACAAGCCAUUAUUUUAUUUUAUUUAUAAAUAAAACCCAAUUUUUAUAAGUAAAAUCCAAUGAUUGGAUCUGACUCAUCAAUUUACCUAAUUAAACUAAAAAAUCUGAUUUAUUGUACUUUUUUUAGAUUAAAAAAUAAUUAUGGAUAAUUAAUCUACCUAUACAAUGUCGGCCAAUUCUUAUACCUACAAAAUAUAGGUAAAUUGGUACACUUUUUCAAUUUUAUAAAUAACGUGCCUAUUUUUUCAUAACUAAUGUACCUAUUUAUUUUAUAGAACUAAUUCAAUAGUAACGUUUUUUUUAAAUAUAGAAAUAAUGUACCUAUUUUCUUUAAAAAUAUUUACGUAUUCAGAAUCUCGCCCCUAUUCUGACUGAGAAUUGCUCCUCAACCAAUCAAUAUGCAUCUCACCACCCAAGCUCUCUUUCUUCACUGGGACUGUGUUUUGUUCUUUAGUUUGUUUUUUUUUUUUUCCUUUCCAUUUUAGUUGUUGUUUGAUUUUUAAACUUGGGUUUUUUAAUAACCAUUAUAUUAUCAUUUAUUUCCAAGGGUGGGUGACCACAAAUUCCUUGGACCACAGAGUAAUUCAUAUACUAAUCAUUUAACGAGCAACAAAACAAAUCAAAUCAAAGAAUCCAAAUGCAAAAUGAAGGAAGCUGCUCCGAAACUCUAUGAUCAGAUAUCCAACACUAAAUAUACUUAAGUGUUUCUUGAUCAUCACUAUAAUAAGAGAAACUUCCGUGUUGUAAGACCCCAUGUUUAACCUAAAUUAUAGGGGCAUUUCAAAAGACUUGGUCAAUAACCAAACUCCCAUACUAUAGUUGUUGAAUAAAAACCCAAUAUUCAUUUAUUAGUAUCAAUAAAUAUAUAGGUAUUAUAUUAAUAUUCGGUUGAGUAGAGAUAUUUCCAUAUGUUUCACUGAAGUCAAGUUCACAUUUGCAAGAAGAUAUUUGUAACUUGUGCCUAGGGGAUGGGAUGCAAAGCCAUUGAUUGAGUGGACAUGGGAAGACACCUUACCAAGUCAAGUAAGGGCAAUACCUGCAAGUCAGUUGGAGCACGCGUUGAAGGGCAAAUCAUGAUAUCAAGUCUAAGUCUUCAUUUAUCUUUUUCCACAUAGUGACAUGAAUUAAAGUGGUGAGUCUCUCUUCCUUUUUGUUCACCUGUGUCCUUCAUAUUCACUUUUCAGUCUUUCAUUUGAAAACACUACAAUAGCACACUUUCCAAAGAGAUUCCCAAGCAGCUUAUUGACCUUUCGAGUUCGGGGAAAUUAGCAAGUGGAAAAAUAAUUUUCCGGAGCUUUGUCUCUAUGACCAGUUGGCUUUUCAAAGAAAGAAAAAACAUAAAAAUGGUAAAAUAAAGUAAUUGAGCAAUUAAAAAAGGAAAAGGAAAAAAAAAAAAUUACCGUUUGUUGACGUUUGAGUUAAAUGCGGAUGUGCAAAGUCUUAAAAUUCUAGUUUACACUCAAGUAUGUAGACUUAACAAUCUUUUUGUGGAACCAAAAAAUGGACUUGAUUUCAAAUUACAAUGUGUGGCUCUGUUUUGGUCAUCUAUUUGCGACGUACAGCUUCUCCUUGUAAAUGUGUGGCUCUGUUUUGGUCAUUCUUUCUUUUCAUAAUUCAACAUCUUAUUCUGAGCACAUGGUAGAAGAUGCCUUUUUGUAGACAGACUUUUUGUAUUUGGUCAGGCUUGCAAUGCUCUAUUUUGUAUUUGGUCAGAAUUGUGUCACCGAGAGUAUACAAUUCUCUUUAUAUUAAAAAAUUAACCAAAAUUUUAAAAAUAGUAUUUUUAUUUUAUUGAAAUUAAAAAAUAGUAGUAUGAACACUACAUCUAUCAUCCUCCUUUUUCCAGCAAAAGAAAUCCUAGUAGAUCUUUCUCAGCAAACUCUUCAUCAUUUCUCACUAGUCUAAUCGGCCAGCCAACACCUUCUUGACGUGUGAGUUACAUAUGGUUGUGGAGACUUAAAAGUCUUUGAAAAUUCUACCGCGCUCCAGGUGCAUCAAUGCGCCAUUAAUUAAACCUAAUGUGUACGUUGCGUAGGUUUUUUUCUUCUUCUUUAAAGAAAAUUUGGUAUAGUCCACUUCUGAUGACAUAAGUGAAAUUGGGUUACAAGAUGCCACCCGAGAUUCUUAUUUUUUGUGGGACCCACCCUGAACUCUUAAGUAGAAAAUACCUAAAUUUUGUAUAACAUUAAGAAACAAAAAAUUAAAAUUAAAAUAACAUGGUGAUAAGAAGCAAAACCCUUCAAAGAACGAACAAUGGGGAAACCAAAAAAAAAAAAAAAAAAACAUGCAUACAAUUGACAAAAAUCAAUUUGGUUGCUGUUGAGAAUUAAAGUAGUGGAAUAUUAAUUUAAGUAUUGUGAUCAUCAUUCAUUUCAUCCAUGCCAUCAUAAUUAAUUUGGUUUCGGUAAUUGUUAUUCCUGCAUCUUACUUUUUAGCUCGUGCAUCAUAAUUAAUUUGGUUUCUGUAAGUUAUGAUUACCUCCAUAAUAAAGAGAUUCGAAUCCAAAGUAUUAGGAAUUUUCUUUAGCAAGUGAUUUGUAUUCUUAUUUGUAAGAACUUAGAAUUACGCCUUGACAUUAUAGUCUCAGUGUGAUUUCCAUAACAUUAAUUUUGCAUUGUAUAUAGCAGAUAAUUUACUCCUUUAUAUGGCUCUGCUUUAGCUAAAUCGUGUUUUUCUUUGUAAAGACUUUCUUCCUUUUUCCCUAUAUAUAUCUGAUGCAAGUGAGCAUACACGGAGACAACCAUAUAUCAAUAUACACUUGCAGUGUUUUUGCACGUGCUUUUGAUCAAUUAACAUGAAGGGCGACGGAAGGUGCUUGAAACUCUUUCUUGCAUUAUCGAUCCUUUUCCUACAAAACGUAAAAGGAGGAGAAGUUGGCCACAGCCACAGCCACAGCCACAGCCUCAGAGAUGCUAAAGUGACAGUGAGGAGGUGCAUAGAGAGGGAAAGGCAAGCACUACUUGCAUUCAAACGUGGCCUGGUGGAUGACAGUGAGGUGGAUGAGUCCAAUCCUCUCUCAACUUGGGGUUCAGAAGCCGAGAAACAAGAUUGUUGCAGAUGGGAAGGAGUCUAUUGUAGCAACCAAACUGGCCAUGUGAUUCAACUUCAUCUUGAAUAUUCUUCCUAUGAUGAGAUGAUUCUUGGAUAUUCUUUCCAAGGUAAGAUGAUUAGUCCUAAACUGAUUGAGUUGCAGCAUUUACAAUAUUUGCACCUUGCAUCCAUUGAUUUCUAUGAGAGCCAAAUUCCUGAUUUCAUUGGUUCUCUAACCAAUCUAAGAAACCUCAGUCUCUCUUCCUGUAAUUUGGUUGGUCAAAUUCCAAGUUCGUUUGGAAACCUCACGCAAUUGCAAUAUCUCGACCUCAGCUAUAAUUAUCAGCUUCAACCAGAAAAUCUCAAUUGGCUCCCUGCCCUUUCUUCUUUAACGUAUUUGGACCUUUCAGUCAUUGAUUUCAAUGGGAGCCAAAUUCCCGAUUUCAUUGGUUCUCUAACCAAUCUAAGAAACCUCAGUCUCAGAUUCUGUGAUUUGGUUGGUCCAAUUCCAAGUUCGUUUGGAAACCUCACGCAAUUGCAACAUCUCAACCUCGGCUAUAAUCAGCUUCAACCAGAAAAUCUCAAUUGGCUCCCUGCUCUUUCUUCUUUAACGUUUUUGGACCUAAGCGAAAACUUCAAUGGGAGCCAAAUUCCCGAUUUCAUUGGUUCUCUAACCAAUCUAAGGUACCUCAGUCUCAGUUUCUGUAAUUUGGUUGGUCCAAUUCCAAGUUCGUUUGGAAACCUCACGCAAUUGCAACAUCUCAACCUCGGCUAUAAUCAGCUUCAACCAGAAAAUCUCAAUUGGCUCCCUGCUCUUUCUUCUUUAACGGAUUUGUACCUAGCCGGAAACUUCAAUGGGAGCCAAAUUCCCGAUUUCAUUGGUUCUCUAACCAAUCUAAGAAACCUCAGUCUCAGAUUCUGUGAUUUGGUUGGUCCAAUUCCAAGUUCGUUUGGAAACCUCACGCAAUUGCAACAUCUCGACCUCAGCUAUAAUCAGCUUCAACCAGAAAAUCUCAAUUGGCUCCCUGCUCUUUCUUCUUUAACGUUUUUGGACCUAAGCGAAAACUUCAAUGGGAGCCAAAUUCCCGAUUUCAUUGGUUCUCUAACCAAUCUAAGGUACCUCAGUCUCAGUUUCUGUAAUUUGGUUGGUCAAAUUCCAAGUUCUUUUGGAAACCUGACGCAAUUGCAAAAUCUCGACCUCAGCAAUAAUCAGCUUCAACCAGAAAAUCUCAAUUGGCUCCCUGCUCUUUCUUCGUUAACGGAUUUGGACCUAAGCAGAAACAAUCUCAGUACUGUUUUCGAUUGGCCAGAAGCAGUACUUAAUAAGCUCCCUAAACUAGUAGUAUUGGCCUUGGAGAACUGUAGUCUUCCUCCUCCUCCUCCUCCUCCUACUCUUUACAAAACAAAUUCUUCUACAUCUCUUGCGUAUGUUGAUCUCUCUGACAACCAUCUCACUUCUUCAAUAUUUCUUUGGUUGUCCAACUACAGUACAAGCCUUGUUGCUCUUGGCCUCUCCAACAAUCAUCUAUCUGGUUUCAUUCCCAAUUUCAUUGGAAACAUGAGCUCUCUUGUGGAUCUGGAUCUCUCCAACAAUAAUCUAACUGGUUUCAUUCCCGAUUUCAUUGGAAACAUGAGCUCUCUUGUGCAUCUGGAUCUCUCUGACAACCACAUUGAAGGAGCGAAUCCAAAUUCGUUUGCAAGGCUGUGUAAUUUGCAAACAUUGUCGCUUCAAACAAAUCAUCUGAGUGGACAAUUAUCCAAGUUUGUUCAACUAUUGCCUAGAUGUGCACAAAACUCGUUAAAGGAUUUGCAACUGUCUGAGAAUGUUCUUGCGGGGUCAUUAAACAAUCUUACAAGCUUCUCAUCUUUGGGAUUCUUGAAUCUUAGCGCCAAUCAAUUAAGCGGAAAAAUACCUGAAAGUAUUGGGCAAAUGUCCAAACUAUGGUGCAUCGAUUUCAGCAUGAACUCUUUGGAAGGGGUGGUUUCUGAAACUCAUUUCUCAAAACUCUCUGAUUUAUAUCAGUUGGAUUUAUCCUAUAACUCACUAGUUUUAAAUUUUCAUUCUGAUUGGGUUCCUCCCUUCCAGUUGAAUUACAUAUAUUUGGCCUCCUGCAAUGUCGGUCCUCUUUUCCCAAAAUGGCUUCAAACUCAAAAUGAUUCUUACCAUCUUGAUAUUUCUAAUGCUGGAAUUUCUGAUAUCCUUCCAAGUUGGUUUUGGAGUAAUUUUCGUAACGCGGAAAUUAUUAAUCUCUCACAAAACCAAAUAAGAGGAAUAGAAGGUUCAAUUCCCUCAAUUCCGUCAGAAGUCCAUCAUCUGGAUCUCUCUAAUAAUAACAUUUCAGGGUCGCUUUCUUUCCUAUGUGCAAGUGCAGAUAUGAGUUUAACAAUUCUUAAUCUUUCAAGCAACAGUUUUUCUGGAGAACUUCCAGAUUGCUGGAGCCAUUUGGAGACUCUAGUCAUGCUUGAUUUGAGUUACAAUGCUUUUUCUGGAAAAAUGCCCAUGACAAUAGGCUCUUUAUUUCAAAUGCAAACUUUGAAAUUAAGACGCAACCGAUUUGUUGGAGAAUUGCCUUCAUCGUUGAAGAACUGCGCAAGUUUAGAAGUUAUUGAUCUGGGAGAUAAUAAAUUAUCAGGACCAAUACCUGCAUGGUUAGGUGUGAGCUUCAAGAAUUUGGUUAUCCUUAUGCUUUCUACUAAUCACUUCAAUGGAAGCAUGCCCUCGCAAUUAUGCCAUCUAACACACAUUCAAAUUAUGGAUUUCUCUAUGAACAACAUCUCUGGAAGCAUACCCAAAUGCCUCAAAAAUUUGACUACUCUGGCUCAAAAAGGAAAUCCAAGUCUAUCCAGCACACGUAUUCAUGGCGGAAGUGAGGUUAAUGGGUCAAUUGCUCCUACUAAUUAUGACAAUGAUGCAAGCUUCAUAUGGAAAGGAAGAAUGCAGACAUACAAAAGCACUUUGGGCCUUGUGAAGAGAAUUGAUCUCUCAAGCAACAGAUUAACAGGGGAGAUUCCAGGUGAAAUCAUGCAUCUUGUUGGGUUGAUUUCUUUAAACCUUUCGAGAAACCAGUUAAUGGGUCAAAUAACUCCAGAGAUCGGAAACUUGGAGUCAUUGGAUUCGCUUGAUUUAUCAAGAAACCGGAUAGAUGGAAGAAUUCCGACAAGCCUUGCUCAGAUAUAUCGUCUUAGUUUCUUGGACCUGUCAUAUAACAACUUGUCUGGCAAAAUACCAACAGGCACCCAGCUCCAAAGCUUUGAUCCCCUUGAUUAUGCUGGAAAUCCUCAACUCUGUGGACCUCCACUUAAAAAGAUGUGUGCUGAUCAAAAUGAGCCAACUGACUUGAGCAAUGAAGAGGAUAAGGAUGAGUUUAUAACGCUGGGAUUUUACAUCAGUAUGGCGAUUGGAUUUGCUGUUGGAUUUUGGGGAGUUUGCGGCACUUUGAUAUUCAACAGGUCAUGGAGAUAUGCAUACUUGAAGUUCUUGAAUGGUUUAAAUGAUUGGCUCUAUGUGAAGAUAGCUUUGAGCAAGCGGCAACUGAAGCCAACAUAAACUUAAUAGAUAAGCUCGCCACGGUACUCUUUCUCUCUCAUCAUUAAUUUUGUUUUAUAAUUAUUUUUCUUAUUGCAUUUUUUCCUUUUCUCCAAACUGACGGGUAUUAAUUUGUUUACUUCGAUAUUUAGCUGCAGCAUCUAAAUUAGGAGAAAAGUAGCUGUAGCUGAAUGCUUCCUUUUAGUUCAAGUGAGGAAGAUUGCCAGUACGCGCAUGCACAGGUAUCUGGAGAAGAGUUUAUGAGUUAAUUUGGAGUGCUUAGUAGGAAUAAACGUGAUUUAUAUUGGUGUUAAUUACUUGUCAGAACAAUUAAUUCGGAGUUCUCCGAUUUAUGUAUUUUUUUUUUUUUUUGUUUAUUUAGAGAAAUAAACAGAUCCAUGCAGAUCCAAUCAUAACAUGGGCAAUUAUAAUUGUACAUGAAGAACAUUGCCCCAGAGGAUGGUUCUUGCAAACAAUAAAUCAUACAAAUAAGCAAGACAGUACAAUUAAAGCAAGAACAAUGAGCAAAAGCCAAGCUCACUCCGAUUAAUGUAUUAAUUCCAGCUAUAGUGUUGUUUUAAUUACCUAGGCCAAAGCCAAAGCGGACUUGAUUUCAAAUUACAAUGUGUGGCUCUGUUUUGGUCAUCUAUUUGCAACGUACAGCUUCUCCUCGUAAAUUGGGGGGUCAGCUUCUCCUUGUAAAUUUGUGGCUCUGUUUUGGUCAUUCUUUCCUUUCAUAAUUCAACAUCUUGUUCUGGCCACAUGGUAGAAGAUGCCUUUUUGUAAACAGACUUUCUGUAUUUGGCCAGGCUUGCAAUGCUCUAUUUUGUGGAUUUUAAGAUUGUAUUAGGCUUACUUGUGAGCUGCAAAAUGCCUUGUACCAAAAUUUAUGUAUAAAAUGUGUGCUAAAUUGUGUGGAGUAGAAGAUUGAAGGUCUUCCUAGGCAAGCAAUCACAAGCAUUUUCUCUCUUUUCAAUUUGUAGAAAUGUUUGUUGUAAAUAUGUUAGGUGGAGCCCACCUCCAAUUGGGAGAAGCUUCCUCGAAGCUUCCUCCAAUUGGAAGCUCCCUCUUCUGUUUGCCUACAAAGAAGGGAUCACCCUUCCUAUGUAAUCGGAGUAUGGAAUAAUACAAUGGAAAAGAACGGAAACAUAGAUUGAAUGAGGAGAAAAUUCUCCCUCCUCUCUAUCUCAAUUUUCUUCUCCAAUUUCUUCAGUUUAUAACACGUUAUCAGCACGAAUAUCUCUAAAAAUACCAGCUAGGAAAUUCGAUCAAAUCCUGCAGAACCAAGUUUGCUCAUAGAUUUGUUCGAUCCCUCUUGCAAAUCAGAAACCAUGCUCCGCCUAGCUCAUCGUCACCUUGAUUCCAGGUAGAACACCUCCUUCCUUCAUUAUGGACACAGGAAGCAGCCUUGUUUGGUUCCCCUGCACCAAACGCUACAUUUGCUCUAGAUGCCAAUUCCCAAACAUCAACCCAGCAAAAAUUCCAACUUUCAAGCCCAAAUUGCAACAACCCGAGUCACCACAACUGCUCGCAAGCCUGCCCAACUUACAUAAUCCAGUACGGUUCAGGCACCACAGCUGGGAUUUUACUUUCCGAGACACUCGAUUUUCCCAAGAAAAUUGUCAGAAGUGAUGAUGGAGACACUGCUGAUCAACGGGAGGGGACAGUACAACUGCUCUCUGGCAGCGCACUAUAGCAAUUCCAGUUCAAGCCAGUGCAGUCUAAGAGGAAGCGAACAAUGCGCACCCCCUAUUCUCCAUGUGCUUCCAAACAAGAUCUAUCGGCUCAGAAUCGCCAGCACCACUGCCCUUGCUUCACUCAACUUGGCCAUUGGGAAUCACAAAAUGGUGGUGGUGGAAGCCGAUGGAAACUAUGUGCAGCCAUUUGCGGUGGAUGACUUGGACAUCUACUCAGGCGAGAGCUACUCAGUGCUCAUAACCACCGACCAAGACCCUUCCAACAACUACUGGCUCUCAGUUGGAGUGAGAGGAAGAGAACCCAAAACUCAACAAGGCCUCACAAUCCUAAACUACCACCCAAAUUCAGCAUCAAAGCUUCCAGCUUCUUCCCCUCCUGUCACUCCUCUGUGGAACGAUUACAACCACAGCAAGUCCUUCACCAACAAGAUCUUCGCCUCAAUGGGGUCCCCGAAGCCCCCGAGAAACUAUGACCGUCGGAUCACCCUCCUCAACACCCAUUGACAUCCGACCAAGCCAUGAGCAUGCACUUCUCACGUGACUGCGACUCCUGCGACGGCGACGGCGACGGCCAGUGCGAGUUCUGCUCCGUCGAGUUUCAUCUUCGCGGUAAGUACCAUUCCGACCUCCCCAUACUCCACCAGGCCCAACCCAACAACGCAGCCGCCGACGACGACAACGACUCCAGUUCCGAGCUCUUGAGCUUUCCGUCGGUGUCUCCUUGGAUUGAUUGCCGUCGUCGAAAGCUCAGGAUGAGCCUCCGGUUCGAACACGCUCAGGUCUGGCUCCGAUAAGGCCAGCGACACCACAAGGCCUGGUUCCGGUCUGGACCAUCGGCGGCGCCGGACUGAUGGGUCCCAGUGACCAAGCUCGGCCGCCUCCCCGUGGCUCCACUCAGACCUUGCUCAUGGCUGCCGACACUAGCAAUGGUGCUGCUUGGGUUCCAUGUAAUGGCAUGGAGCUGGUCAACAGGUGAAGCCCAUAGUAGUUGUCGUAAAGUGGUGGAGAUUGGAAGGUUGCAGUUUUUAUCAUGUCUCAAGUUGAUCUUGCAAGGGAAGCUGCCCUUUUGUGCAUCCUGCUGUUUUGGUGGAAACUUAUUAACAACAAGGGGAGGACGCAUUCACUUUCUGGGGUACUCCAGAAGGUGAUCUGGUCCAUGAGCGAGCUCUUUGCAAGGCUAUGUCAAAAGCUUUGAUGAUGUAGUGGAUGACUGCACCAAUCACUUCACAAAAGCAGAGAAUAUGCUGUCGACAAAGUUGGCUGGACAGCACAUGUUGCCGAGUGCCCAUGUUUACAGCCCCACACACCGAAACAAUUAAAAUAAUAAUAAUAAAAAAACAAAAAAUAAAUAAAUAAAUAAAUAAAUAAUAAUAAUAAUAAUAAUAAUAAUAAAAAAAGGGGAUCACUCAGCAAGGGCAUAAGCGUUAAGUUUUCUGCUCCCUUAUCUUCUUUAUUAUUUCAUAUUAUAUUUAUCUGUUUUUCUUUUACUAACCAUUAACAAAAAUGGACCAUCGGUAAUACUAAAUAUAUUAUCAGUGGGAGACCGUUACUAAUACUAACGUUUAAUUUAUGAAUUUAAUUUACUGCAAAUUUACUUUACAGCACAUUUAUUUUAUUUACUGUAUGGUGUAGGUUUAUUACCCAUACAACAGUAUUUAUUUAAAAGGGUGGUGCGGUUUUAUCGCCCACACCUUUACUUUUAUUUAAAUGUAUGGUGCAGAAUUAGUGCCCAUACAAGCACGUUUACUUUACUGCAAAUUUACUUUACAGCACAUUUAUUUUAUUUACUGUAUAGUGUAGGUUUAUUACCCAUACAACAGUAUUUAUUUAAAAGGGUGGUGCGGGUUUAUCGUUCACGCCUUUACUUUUAUUUAAAUGUAUGGAGCAGGAUUAGUGCCCAUACAAGCACGUUUACUUUACCGCACAUUUAAUUUUAUUUAAGGUAUGGUGCGGGAUUAACGUCCAUACAGCAAGCAAUUUAAUUUAUGAAUUUAUUUUACCGCACAUUUACAUUUAUUUAAAGUGUGGUGCGGGUUUAUCGUCCAUACCAGCAAUUUAUUUUAAUUGUGCUGUAUGUGCUGUAUGAUGAGUUUUUACAGUAUGCAGAUCAGGACCAGAAGUUCCUUGAUCCUCAUCAUACAAUUACAUCAGGACUUGAAGAUCCUUGAUGAUGAUAUUAAUAUGAGAGCUGGCAGUCUCUCCGGUACUGUAUUUGUAAACAUGUGAUCGGACUUAAAAGUCCUUGAUUUCUGACAUGUAAAUAAGGAUAAUGAUGUAACAGUACCGUAUUGGUUCAUAGUGCCGUACACAUUGAUGAUAACUGUACUGGCAGAUGAAUAGAUACGUAUUCAUGACUUGAUGAAUAGUACUAUUCACAUGAAUAGUGACGUAUGCAUAAAUAUGAACCAUUUUGGGUAAACCGUCACUAUAUACAAAAGAGAACCUGCAGUUCCUUAAACUCAUGGAUGAGCAAUUAAAUGAGAUGCCAGAAAUUCCUCAAAAUAUGGGCAAUUAUGUAAGGGCUUGAAGUCCAGAAAUAUGUACAAAAAAUUGUAAAAAUGUCCAUACCAUGAGAACAUGUGAUUUUAACUUGAGGUUCAAAAUCUAAGUGUUGAGAACCUGAAGUUCCAACAAUUAAAUGGACAACCCUUGAGGUAUUAUUGCAAAUUGUGGUACGCCACAUAUUUCUUUGGCAUAAGAGAAUGAUGAAUUGAGACUCCCCACAUAUUUUGUUAUAUCUGGGUCGGAAGCUCAUGAACCCAAAUAUAUGAGAUAUUAGCGUGGCUUUUACUCAAUCCAUAUUUCAUGUUCAUUUAAAAAGGGCAAAUGAAUUCUGAGUUUGUGUUUAUCACAGGCCAAAAGUUCCAUACGUUGAAAUAUGAAAUUUGGGAGAGUCGAUGUGGUUAUUUGAACCUAUAAGGCACAAGGUUCCAAAUCGUCAUUUUGAAAAGACGUAAAAACCACAGGUGCAAGUUUAAGAAUAUGCGCAAUUAUUAUAACAGGAACAUACAACAGAUAGAUUUUUUCCUGCAAUGAAGGUGCAGGCCCUGUAAAAUCUAUAAAAUUACAUUAUGUUCUGGAAGCCUCUGAAGGAAGAGGACGGCGCCUCUUAAGCUUAGCCAUGAGCUUCUCAUGGUCUCCCAAAAUUCUUUCAUUGGAGACCUGCAGCAUGUCUAGCCUUCUCAGUGUAUCAACAGAGUAUGAACUCACCAGUUUCAACAAGGCAUUAUUCUCUCCUUUAAGUUUCUCAACCUCCUGUUGAGACUCAUGAAGCAUUCUUUGGAGAGACAAAUUUUCAGUAGCUAACCUCUCAACCUCGUUUGCUCUGGCACGCAAACGAUCAGCCAUGUUAGAAACAGAAACAGCACUCUGAAUGCUAAAAGCCAUUGAGUCAUUAAUAGCCUCUUCCUCUGAUCUCCCUGUCAACAACAUUUCAUCCAUUGGAGUAAUGAAAUUCCUAGCUACUAUGACAGCAGUAGCAUCAUUCAUCAUCACAGAAUCAUUAACUGUGAGAUGACGAUUUUUGGAUACAAAGGAUGGACGCCAAACUUGGGCGUCACUGGUUGUUGUGGGAGCAUCAUUUAAAUUGAAAUAAUUUGGGCAGGAAGAAGAUGAAGCCAUUUUUAAGAAGGUUUCGAAGAAAGCCUUAGGAAAACUAAAGUUUCAGAAAAUGAAGGAAGUUAAGUUGAAACGCAGUUGCCCCAAUCAAGGUUUGCAAAGGCAAUAUCUAUAAGAGGAAAUAUGGCUACUGUUUUUCAGGAUCCCAAUAUCUUCUCGGAUCCCCAUAUUUCUCUUUUUCUUUCCUAGAGUCCAAAACUUCACGUGGCCUCUAAUAAUGCCUGUCGGCACUUUCGGCGUUUUCAAGUAUUAUUUUCAAAGCCGAUCUUACUUUACGGAUUUCACAGAACUACUUUUUCAAAAGUAUCCCGAGAAUCUCGCAAUUUUCCUAUGGUUAAUUUGAAAUUCACCGGUUCUACCUAUUCAUUGUAUUUGUGUAUAAAUGUGUUACUAACGAAAUUUCCUUUGCAGAAGACAUCCAGUUUACUCCAUACGUAGUGAUGCGAUAUUUACUUGUUUUUCUUAUCAGUAAGCACUUAAUAUGCCUGAGAAGCAAGACUAUCUCUGAUCAUCCAUCCAGGAAGCAAGACUAUCCCUGAUCAUGUUUCUGCAAGAUCAGGGAAUUGUAAAGGCGGCCUUAUGCUCUAAUCUCCUGAGGUCCUUCUAGACUAGGAGAUAUGAGAGCUUAUUGUCUGCUCCCACCAGCUUCCUUCCCUGAUUGCUUACCUUCUCUUGCAAUCAAUAUCACAAUCUUUUUGCAUUUUUUCUCUUUUUAUAACUCUCUGUUCAUAAGAGAUUUUAUUUCUUUAGAAUGAACAUCUGAAGAAUGAAUCCAUGAAGUAAUCCUAACUAUGAGGGUUAUUUGUUUUGACAGAGGCAAAAGAGUUGUGAUUUUUGCUCUUGCAGGAUAUAACUAGAUCAUCAAGUGCUACAUUAUAUUUACUGGGCUGAUAUGAGCUUGAAUGAUACUUGAGAAAAGUUUCUCCCACCUAAGGAUGUAAGCAAUACUUGUGUUAUUUUAUGCUUAUAUACCUAUUUGAUAUUUUAUCUUGAAAGGUAACCAAAUGGGGAGAUAAGUCCGUUCCAAAAGAAUGACUUGUAUGUAUCCAUGAAUUAUUAAUGCAAAUUUUACAGAUUGCAAGUUGGAUACAUUGAUAAUACACUGCACAGAUUAAAAAUCCCAUCAGAACAUAACAUGGGUAUAGCAGUGAUCAAUAUGAUGCACGCCUGUUGCGUAGCAAAUGAUGUGGAUUGAAGUCCCAAAUGGACAAUCCUUUGACAUGUCAAUAUUGAUAUUAUGCACGCCUAAUGCGUAGCAAAUUAUAUGGGUUAAAGUCCCAUAAUACGGGUUAAAGUCCCAUAAAUUAAUUGACAUGUAUGUAUUAAUCUGUGGCAUGCCUGUAGCAUGACAGAUAUAUGGGUUCUAAAUGUUCCAACUCCCUAACUGGAGAUUUUCCACGCCAUACUAUAAAAUAACGCUCCAUUGGAGGUUAUAAUCCACAUUCUCACAUAAUAAAAGCCCCCUGAAGUGGCUUGGGUACCCAAAAGCAAAGAAAUGCUUAUAAUUGAUGCAUGCGCAUGCAAAUGAGAAUGGUGAGAUCAUGAAUUGAUGAAUGACAAUUUUUGAUUUUGGAGUAGCUACUCAAAUCAUCAAUGGGCUGUGUUGAUUGGAACCACGUUCAAUUAUUAAAUGUCGACAAUAUCAUUGGCCAAAAUGGAAAGAGGUAAUUCCAUUAUAAAUGAGAAUGAACGUGAAAGAACAAACCCACAAUACGAACCCCAAAAUUUGUUAAUACUGAAAGUUAUACUUGGGUGUUCGGAAUAAAAGGGAAUAUACCUACUUUGUAUGACACACUGUUUCUGGCAGAAACAAGGAAUGUUGGGUUUUUCUCCAUAUUUACAGAUUCAAUUGUGCCCCCCUUAUUACACAAUUACGGAGACCAACAUAUUAUCUUUAAGGGUUAUUAAAUGAACAGAGCAUAUCACCUGAAGUGAUUCCCUAAAGAUGUAUAAAAAGCUGGGUUAAAGCUAUAUAAUGUGUCAUAAAACUUAAUCCCUUUUAGACAAAAUCCGUUGAGAGGAUUAUCAUUACUCAAUAUUAAUAUGCAUAAAUUACCUCAGUGAGUACAUUGAUGUGAUUGCAACACAUUAAAAAUUCUGCAGAAUUCACGAAAUAUUUGUCUCGACUUAAGGAUCGAGCAUUGUGCCAACGAGAUUCUUGUUUAUACUAAGAAAGUAUUGAAGCAUUUUUAUGAGGAUUAUCCGUUGGUCCUUAAAUAUUUUUCCGGAAGUAUACUAGACCAGAUAGAGCUCAGCUCCACACUGUACUCUUUUUCCUUCAUCCAGGUUUUUAUCCCAUUGGGUUUUUCCUGGUAAGGUUUUAACGAGGCAGUGUAGCUCAAGGGUUUAGGGUAUACUAUGAAAAUUUUAGUGGUCGCUUACUGGACAGAAGCUAGUCCUAAAUUUUUCAGGGGAAGAUAUUCACCAGGGGGAGAAAGGUCUUAAUAAAGACCUUCAUACACUGUACUCUUUUUCCUUCAUCCAGGUUUUUAUCCCACUGGGUUUUUCCUGGUAAGGUUUUAACGAGGCAGUGUCGCUCCAGAUUGACUCACAGCAGCAGUGUCAACUACGAUAUUCAGAAAGGUGAUCAACAGUAUGACUUAAAGAUAUUUUGCCAAGCAUCAGGGGGAGCGUGCUAUCAAUAAAGAUCUUCAAACACUGUACUCUUUUUUCCUUCGUCCAGGUUUUUAUCCCACUGGGUUUUUCCUGGCAAGGUUUUAACGAGGCAGUGUCGCACGCGCGCCAAUACACUUAGAAUUUUAUGUUACACAUUAUUAUGUACUCUUUUUCCCUUUGACCAGUUUUUGUCCCACUGGGUUUUUACUGGCAAGGUUUUUAACGAGACAUAUUCCAUAUCAUUUGUGGUCUCCAAGGGGGAGUGUUGUAAAUAUGUUAGGUGGAGCCCACCUCCAAUUGGGAGAAGCUUCCUCGAAGCUUCCUCCAAUUGGAAGCUUCCUCCUCUGUUUGCCUACAAAGAAGGGAUCACCCUUCCUAUGUAAUCGGAGUAUGGAAUAAUACAAUGGAAAAGAACGGAAACACAGAUUGAAUGAGGAGAAAAUUCUCCCUCCUCUCUAUCUCAAUUUUCUUCUCCAAUUUCUUCAGUUUAUAACAAUGUUCAAGUUCUUGCCCAUUACUUGCAGAUAUAUAGUGUUGUGUAGCAUAAAGGCUCCAACAUAUGCAAUUCCAUCAAGGCCUGCAGGCCAAUCACUGCUUUCUCUUGGAUAUUCCAAACAUUUGUAGAGCCAUAAUGAAAACUUGGUAGGCAAACCCAAAUACUUGCAUUGACCAUUUGCUUAAACUUGAUAGGCUAGCAAGGGGCUUGUAGCUCAAGCAAUUAAGAGCAUCUAUCUCUGAACUCGAGGUCCUAAAUGUGAUUCCGACAAACAAAAAACUUGGUAGGCCAGACCCAAAUGAACCUGGUUUUCAUAAACUUGUUUGUCAGCUUGAUAGUGGCUUAUUAGAAGUCCAAAUUGGUUGGGAAAGUAAUGUCCACCAAUUUUAGCAGAUACCUUUUUGGACAAUGUUGAACAGAGCACUUAACUUGAUUGUUAAUGACUAGGGCCCCUGAUAACACACAGAGAGAGAGAGAGAGAGAGAGAGAAGAGAGUUGAAGAAGAAAGAGAGUAUUUUUAGAGAGAUUUGUAUAUUGAUCUUUUCAUCAUGACUGAUUACAAUAAUGACUCUGUUAUAUACAGAGUUGAAGAAGAAACAUUCGGAUGAUCCCGGAAGCAAAUGAUCGACAAACGUCAAUGUGCAAUAUUGAACUUUGGGUUAAAGUAGCUUGAAUUCCACCAACAUCAUGACAUUGUACGACCUUUGUACUGAUGGAGCCCAGAAGCAAAUGAUCGACAAACGUCUAGAUCCAAGAACAAUCAAAUGAGAACGACAAACAUCUAGAUCCAACUUCCAAGAACAAGCAAAUGAUCGACAAACAUCUAGACCUAUUUAAUAAUGCAGUCCCGCUCACCUAAGGUCCUAAAAAUGAGGUCCUGUGAGGUCCUCUUUAAAAACGGCCCUUAAAUUAAUGUAACGGCCCAUAUCUUCAUUAUAAUGAAGGUGUUUGCUUUGAAUGUUCAACGGUAGAGUGGGAUGAGCCAGGGUGUUGUGGUAAACAGAACAGGGUUAGUUCAUGGGAAAUUGAGACUCACUGAAAAUUCAUAUUUCCUUCUCUGCCUUUGAGUCUUAAACGACCAUUACACUCUGUAUUCUUGGGUAAGUUUUUUAUUCUGUUUCCAAGCAGGGAAGUCUGUUACACGUUUUUUUAAUGACUUUUUUGUGCUACUAGGAGCAGAAACUGAGUGGGGAAAUUUGAUUAAAAGACGAUACAUUCGGGUUCCUGAGAUUGGAAAUGGGAACUCUUUUCCUUACUCGAUUUCAAAUCUAUGUUUGGAACAGCUAGUCAAUAUGCUACUGAAACCUCAACUUGUUAAUCAUGCUUGAACUUUAGCUGCUCUACAACAGCAAUCGGCUGCUAAUGGAGAUUUAAUAGCAGAUAUGAAGACCAUGCAAGCCAAACUCAACCAAAAGAAUCCGGGUGUCUUUUCAGAAGGUAUAUCUCUACCGAAUCAAAACCCUCCCCAAUCAUCUAUGGAUCAAUCCAAAGUGCGGCGCAACUACAAACUAGCCCACGGCCUAUGCAGCCGCCUUUGGAAUCAUUACUCUACCGCCUUUGGAAUCAUUACUCUAAGAGAUUUCUCAGAUGAGAGCAACAAUCAAAGUGGGAUUUACGGAACGUUGCUGUUGGUAGUGGUGUUAGCACUGUUAUUGACCCUUCUGUUUUCUACACUAAAGAAUGCAGAUUUCCACAACCCCUCAGAUUGCUUGGUUGGUAACCUGAGCUCGAGCCGGGAUCUUCAGUCUCAGUUUACCUCCGGCCCAGUUUACCUCCGCCCGCCUAGGCGACUCCCAGGCUUUCUCCAGGCAAGACCAGGCAGACAACUCAGGCCAUGCUAACAAGCUAGGAUCAGAGGUCAUACAUAUUUGAGUGCUAAAAUACAUCAAAUAUUGAAUGCCUUAAUACAUUCAAGAAUACACUAUGAUUCUUUCAUUUCCUAACAAUUCAUUGUCCAGAGAACAGAACAGCUAAUAUCUCCUAAAGUAGAAAUCAAGAAAUAAAAUAGCUUUUAAAUUACACAACAGAUUCUACCCCCAGCUUGCUUGCAGUAACAAAAAUAAGCAAUUGAUGACGCCCUUAUUGCGACGUUGAAGGAAUUUCACGAGGAUGUUAAAAAGUAAUGAAGCCACACAAAUUGUGCACGUCAUGUCAAAAAUUAGCUCAAGUAAUUACAAGAUAUUCACAUUGAAUCCAUACAGAAAUACCAAAAGCAGCAGAUGACACACAUAUCAAGCACGUCGCUUACUAAGACGCCAAGAGUUAGGUUCAUGGUAUCUAUCAUAUAGCGGUUCAAUACGUUCUUGACGCUUGCGCUUGCUCAUCUUGGUGGGAUCUGCCACUUUGAAGAACCUGGGUGCCAGUUCCACAAGCCAUUUGGGGUCGACAACCGUCACCUCGCGCAUGUACUCCUUUGUGGUCAUAACCAGCUCAUGGUAGAUCACCCAAUCUGGUUGUCUCUGGAAGAGGGCGCUGCUUGGGUGUAUAUAAACUGGUUGGUUCUCCACUAGGGUUCUAUAACCCUCCUGCGGGUCCUUUCUAGCACCGUGGAAGAAAAACCCUGCUGUAAUUGCCUUCCUGAUCUUUGUAAAAUUCUUUCCAGCACUGACAACAUCUAGUUUAUACCUGAAAUUCACAAUCUAUAGUCAGAAUGCAAUUUCAUCUUCAAAUCAGAAUACUCAACUCAGAAAUCGUUGAUCACUGUUAUAAACUAAAGCAAGGGGUGCUAGUAGAGACAUUGGCAUGACAAUCUUUAUAAUAAUCUAUCCUAGAGCUUACAUGACAAUGCUAUGUCAAUCGAAGAAAUCUGUUAAUGGCGAUGGUAGGAUGUGUAAUAUGCCAUCUGAAUUUCCAUAUCAACUUAUAAAACAGUUUUGCAAUAUUUUGUACAAACAACACUUGACCAAGAAAAACAAUUCCAGUAUCAAAAUAACUAACAUGUCCGCACAAGAGAGCACAUUUGAAGAGCAUAUACUGGCAAUUUAGCUAUACACAAAAGGGUAGUUAUAAUUUAUAAAGAUACUAUACUUAACCACUGAAAAAAUGGUGGAAAAAAGCACUUCUGCUAAUAAUGCUCUGAAAACAGUGUAUGAGGUAACAUCAACAUGACAAUUCGUAAUCACCUAUUCGCUGCUCAGGUACCAUAUAUCUAGAUUUUAAAACACAAACUAGGCCUGAACAACAUUUCAGCAUUUCCGUCAAGUACAGACAGCAAAAGGCAUGCCUAAUUCACGACUACUGCAAAAAUACAAUGUGCCAAACAUGAGCAAACCUAGAACAUUAAUCUACAUCUUUUAAAACCAUUCAUGCAAACGUGAAACCAGAAAAAAAGAUCCAUACAACCACGAGUACACAUCAAGAUAAAUUAGAAGAACAUACUUGUCCAUGAUGCUGAGAAGCUGUUUUCUGACAUCCUGUGCCCUCCUCAAGGAUCGAGACUGAACAAAAUUCUCAAAACACCAUGGCCCUGAAAAAUUCUUAGCUUUCCAUGCCUCAUAGACUGCAAGUAAAGUCAGAUGAUCUCCCUCUGGCUGGAAAAACUUGGCUCUCUUCUGAUCUGCCUGGGCUUGUUUUUCCCUAGGCCUGUAAAAAAUAUUACCAGUCUGAAUCAUUGCAAUGAUGGUCAAGAUCUCAUCACUGCAUCCAAGGUCCACACUGGCCAGUAGCAUCUUAGACAAGGGUGGAUCCAGAGGAAACUCAGCCAUUUUCCUACCCAAUUUGGUGAGCAGCCCCUCCUCAUCCAGUGCUCCUAAACUGUACAAUUGUUCCAUGGCAGAAAUGAGUGCUUGGGGUGAAGGAGGAUCCAUAAAAUCAAAAGACAAGAGAUCAUUUAUCCCCAUAGCUUUCAUCGUAAGUGUAGUAGUCCCAAGAUUUAUCCUCUGGAUUUCUGGAAUUGAAGUAGGGGACAUCUCAUUGCGGUAUGCACUCUCAGUGUAGAGGCGGUAACAUUUCCCAGGGCCUGUACGCCCAGCACGCCCAGCUCGUUGCUUAGCUGAUGCUUGGGAAAUUGGAGUUAUGACCAGUGAAUCUAGCCCCUGCUUUGGGUUAUAAACAUUUUGCUUUGCAAAACCAGGAUCAAUGACAUAAAAUAUCCCAUCAAUGGUCAGUGAUGCCUCAGCAAUAUUAGUAGCCACAACUACUUUCCUCUUACCUGGUGGGGCAGGAUCAAAUAUCCUUGACUGCAUUUCACUAGGAAGGGCACUAUACACUGGUAGGAUAAUCAACUCAGGGACAUUUUUACCAAGACCUUUCAUCCUCUCAUAAAGAGACUGGCAUGCAAAAUCAAUCUCUUCUUGUCCAGUCAAGAAAAGAAGGAUGUCACCUUCAGGUUCUGUCAAGUGUAUUUGUAGAACAGUUAUUAGAGAUGCAUCAAGGUAGUCGCUUUCCGGCUGUUUAGUGUAGAGUAUCUCUACAGGAAAAGUUCUCCCAGGGAUAGUGAAGAUGUUACAGUUAAAGAAAUAACCGGAAAACUUCUCCGCAUCCAAGGUAGCAGAUGUGACAAUCAAACGAAGGUCUGGUCUCCGCUUCACAAGCUUCUUCAGUAGUCCAAAAAGAACAUCUGUGUGGAUUGUCCUCUCAUGAGCUUCAUCAAGCAUGACCACAGAAUACUGAGAAAGGUUCUCAUCAAUCAAAAUCUCCCUAAGAAGCAUACCAUCAGUCAUGUACUUGAUGACAGUGUCUGGACCAGUGCAAUCCUCAAAACGAAUUGCAUAGCCGACUUCCUCUCCUAAACGACAACCAAACUCUUCAGCAACCCUCUUGGCCACAGACAUAGCAGCCACCCUACGUGGCUGUGUACAACCAAUCUUACCCAUUGUCGUGUAACCCGCUUCUGCAAGAUACUGCGUUACCUGUGUUGUCUUACCCGAACCAGUCUCACCAAUGACGACAAGCACUUGGUUCUCAUGCACCGCUGCAAUCAAUUCUUUCUUCAGCUUGUAGAUAGGCAAGCUCUGCCUCUGUUCCUGGAUUGAGAGUUUUGACCUCUGCCCAAAACUGAUAGUUUUCCCAAAAGCAUCCUUCUUCCACUCAGGCAUAUCAUAUGCUGACAAACCAACACCUCUAAGUUCUUGUGCAAGAUGCCUCUCACCAGUCUCUGGCAUUGGAUCUUCCCAGGGACGAUUGAGAUCCUUUGGGAUAGAAUCCAACAUGGUUCUCUGCUGCUGCUCACGCACUUCUCUACGCUCCUUAAUGAGUGCGGACUGAAGUGCAGCUGCACGACCCAGUGACCCUUCUGGAUUCUUAAAGAUUUUCACAGGUGACAUAUCAACAGAAUACCUGCUCUGUCCAUUUAAAAAGGCUGGCUCGUCCUCAUUGAGCUCAAUCUCAAGCUCUUCCUCAGCUCCCUCUUCUUGAUAAAGCAUCCCAUCGGUUUCCUCAUCAUACAUAGGAUACUCUGUAACACCCAAAACACCUGAGGCAAUCAACUGUUUGGCUUCCCACUUCUCUGGCGAGCUCAUUCUCUUCAAUGGCCGACGUGAUGGGCCAACAUCAUCCUCUUCCACAAUCCUAAUCCCAGAAAGACCAGUCCUAGUCACAGGUCCAUCCUUUGAAAAAGAUGGGUUCGUCCUAAGAGCAUCAUCCUCUGAGCUCUUCUUCAAGGGGAGCAAAUCCUUCCCUGUAUGUUGAUCAACAUCCCUCAUUGAAAGGCUCAACUUCUGACCUGAAAUUGAAAUCACCUUCACAUAAACUUCCUGAUCCCUCUUCACCACAUCCUUAGCAUUGCUAAUUCGCCUAGUUGCCAUCUGUGAAACGUGAACCAGACCCUCCUUCCCUCUUAAAUCAUUCAACUGAACAAAACAACCGGUGUCCAUCACUCUCGAAACCCUGCCCUUAUAAACCUGAUACAAUUCGGGCUCAUCCGAAUGGUUCUGGCCGUUCUGCCGAUCCCUAUUACCUCUCCUAUCAUCACCAUCUUCCUUAACAUCUCCAUCGUCUUCAUACCUAUCUCUCUUAUGCUUAUUGUAUCGAUCUGUAUGCCUUCCCCUGUCAUCAUCAUCAUCAUUAUAAUGUGUAUCUCUGCGCCUCUCAUCUCUAUCAUACCUUUCCCUUCGCCUCUCCCUCCCAUCUCUAUCUCUACCUCCUCUGUGUCUAUCUCGAUCUCUAUCUCUAUCUCCUUCCCUAUAUCUAUCACUACCUCUACGCCUAUCUUCUUCUCGCUCUUCAUCUUGUUCUUCUCUUCUGUUUCGCUUUUCCUUGGUCUCCAUCUCAAUUUCCUUCUCGAUGUCCUUGACUCUAUCUUUAUUAUCAGCGACUGCCAAAGCCUUAAACUUGGUCUUCCUACCAUCAGAAGCGCUCUCUUUCUUCGAGUCCUUCUCAGGCUUUGGCUUUGGUGGAAGAAUAGCGUGAAUGAUAGUGAGGAGUGUACGGACAAAGUAAUCGGGCAUCUCGGCACCGUUUUUCUUUAAUUUGGUGUCAAACUCGUCCACCGUCUCGCACUUUCGUCCCAACUCAGUGAUGAACUCCGCCAGAACUUUGUCCCCAACCCCUAUAUGGGUUUCGAGCUCUGAACAGACCUUGGAAACCAAGGAAAGGUACUCGAGCUUCUUCAAACCAUCGUCAGUGGCAGCCAUUAUGAACUUGCAGAGGUCCUAUUCAUAUUCAAUACAAAAACAAAUCAUAUCAAUAGAAAUUUCAAAAUUUAUGAGAAGAUGCAUAAACCGUAUAAUAUUAACUUGCACAGGCCCUAUUCAUAUUCAAGACAAAAAAUUCAUAUCAACGGAAAUUUCAAAAUUUAUGAGAAGAUCAUUGCUAUAUACUUUUAAUCAGUAGCAUAAAGUUCAAAAUUCAUGAAUGAUAAAUUUAUCACAAAAAAAGAAACAAUUUCUACAACUUCAAACUCACCCAGCAAAAAAUAAAAUUUAAAUCUAAAAUUGCAUACCAGGAGGAUCUGGAGAGUUAAUUCAACUAAUAAUAAAGUAAACUUGGAAUGCCAAAGCAAAUUCAACUAAAACCCUGUAGAACCCAGGAAAUAAGAAACGGAAGAGAAUAAAAAAGAAAUAUGAAACAAAAUCAAGGAAACUGAUCGUUGCUAAAGGGUGGAUCUUAAAUAUGUGAUGGGAUGGGGUCCAAGAUUAGAAUAUAUUGCAGUAAGACAUCAUACUUGGGAUGAGAUGAGAUCAAAGAUGGUUGCGCAUCAACCGUUGUCGCUGUCGAGAGAGAGGAGAGAUGAGCAAUAUGUAUAUGGCGGGAAGACGGCGUCGAAAAAUGGAGGAGUUGACGGUUGAGAUGGGCGGAUUGUUCGUCGCUGACGGCUGGAGCGUUUCUGUUUCAAAAAUAAUCUCAACUGAGAGGGGGGAUUUUAGCGAUUAGGGUUGAGAACUUGAGUUGGAGUGCACCGGCUGUAUCGAUACGCCUAAAUUUGGACCUGUGAAACUAGAGAAAAUAAUAUAAUAAUAAUAUCAUUUAUCUUUCCAAAGGCCAAAAACUUAUAAGUAAAAAUUUAAUAAAUUACAGAGAAACUUUAGUAAAUAGAAGAAUAUUAGGUAUGCAAUAAAAAGAUGAGGAAAAUUUUGGAAAAUAUAGUUAGUGGAGAUUUUUUUUUUUUUUUUAUACAAACAAUAAUCUAGUUUUUUUAUUUUUAUAAUCAUUCUAGGCCUACUUUAAUUUUUAUUUUUUAACAGCUAAUAGGAUAUUGGCACAUGAGUUGAUCUAUAGUAUUUUUUUACUACUUUUUGUUAGGUUAUUUUUAAUUUAAAUAUUCACUAGCCUCUUUUCACGCUCUUCUGCUUCUGUGAGAGGCUUUUUUAAAAAAAAAAUUGAAUUUAUUUUAGAAUUAAAAAAGAUAAUGAGUAGUUGUGUUCUAUAAAAAUAGGAUCCAUUAUCUGAUUUUUCUUUUAAUUUUAAUCUUUUUAAUAUGAAAAAAUGUGAAUUUACCAUAUUAUUCUCAUUUAAUUAAUAAUUUCAAUUCUUAAUGUUUGCAUUAAUCAAUGACAUUUUCUGGUAUUUUAAAUAUUUUAUCAUUCUCUACCUUUUGCUUUGUAUAUAUGGAUAUAGAUAAUAAUAAAAUACUCCCUUUCAUUGAGAUAUUGUUAUGCUUAAAAUCGUAUACACACCACAUUGUAUUGAAAUGUUAUAGUGACUAAACUCUUCAAGUAUCUUGCAAUUAUCAGAUAAGGAGUUAGUAAUCACAUAGGAAAAUAUUCAAUUUAUAUGUUUCUGGUUAUAAUAGUCAUGAUGCAUUUCACACCUUUUGCUGGUCUAGUCAAUACUGUUAUACUUCAGAAUUCCAAUAACGCUACGGGCACCAACUUAUUUACCAACUUUUGGAUACCAACACAUGUGGCACAUGACAUGGCAACCCAUGUCAUCUGCCAUCUCAUCUAUUUUAAUUACAAAAUUAACAAAGUGAGAAUGAACAAAAAAUAAUUUUGGUGGAUUAUUAUCGCGUUUGGAGUGAGUUUGGGUGUUUGAUUUGAUUUUGAUUAUUUAAUAAUACUAUUUUGGCCAUUGGAUUUGAUUUUGAGACAUUGGAAUUUUUUUUUUUUUGGUACAGUUGGAUUUGCUCAAAUUAAAUCUUAGCCAUUAUAUAUAACGAUAGAAAUUAAUUGGAAAAGAAAACGAAACAGUAGUUUGAAGGAAGCCGUUGGAUUCCUACGAUCCUUUCAUCCCAGCUCGUUAUGUGUCCUGACAACACGGGCCCCACGUCUUCUCAUCCAUUAAUCCCAACUCAAUGAACUUCCUUUUCAAACCCAACAAAAAAGAAAAAAAAAAAAAAAAGCGAUCUGAUUUGAAUGCACUUCUUUAUCAUGCAUUUUGUCCAGGAUAGGGGACUGAUUUUCCAGGCCAAGUGCGCAAAACAGUAGAGAUUUUAAAAUCAACUUUCCGAACGUAAAAUUAAAGUGGCUCGUUUAUGAAAAAGUUUCCCUCCCAUCUCCUCCUACUUUUCCCUCCUCACUCCCCUAGAAGAAUACCGGUAUAUAUUUUUCAUUUUCGGAAUUUCCAUUUUGUCUCAACUCAAACGUCAUUUGCUCUUGUCAUCCUCCUCCUUCAAUCCAACCCGCAUCCAUUGUUAGCUCGAAUCUUCUAAAACUACUACUUCGUUGUAAUUGGAUAUUAUUGAUUUGAUGGGUAGAGAGCAAGCUUAUGUUGGUGACGAUAUUGAUGAAAGUAAGUUCAAGACUUCGGAAGCAAUGAACCGCUACAAGAUAAUCUUCAGUGUUCAAGCUGUGACGGUUGAGCGGGAGGUCAAAUUGAGUGACUUCGAGGAUCUUGGGCUUCCUAGAAUCUUCAAAUCAAGAGGUUGGCUUUUGGCAAUGGGUCCUUCAGAGCCUACUAAUAUCCAGAUUGUCCAAGAAUUCUACGCAAACAUUCCUCCUUUCUCCGCCGAGCAGAAAACCUCACCUGGGUUGGGCCCUUUUGGUUCUUGUUUGUGGGAUGAGACUCUGCAUUUCUCUAGCGGUCGAGAAUACCCUGACUCAUUUGAUGUGUAUUUGCGAGGUAAGGUGUUAAAUUUCUCUGUUUCUGGCAUUGCCCAGUUACUUAAACUUACUAGGGCAAACCCAAAUGAAAAAUCACCUGGUUUUCCUGGGCUUGUUGUUGAUAAUCUUGACUUGAAGGUGGUGAAAUCUACUUUGGGUUGGAACAAGAGGGUCAGGGUUUUGCGUGAAAAUCGACUGAGUGAUUUGUACAAAGUGCUUAACAGCAUAGUGAGAUAUAAUAUCGAUCCUCCUUGUCACGUUAUCCCUUCUUUGCUUAGCAUUGAUAGAGCUCGCCUUCUUUAUGCCAUUGGGAACAAUGUACCUACUGAUCUGGCCACCUACAUUUUUCGUGCCAUCUGCCGUGCUGCAUUCCCAACUUCCAUGCCCGACUCCCUGCCUUUUACUUCCUUGAUCACACGCUUCGCCAUGGCUUCUCACGUGCCAGUUGAGCCUACGGAUAAGCUUUAUUCUCCUUGGUCGCCUUUGGACAACGUGGAUAUUUUUGGCUAUAGCUUUACUCCAUCUUCUCCGGCAGUCAAGCAACCUCAAGCCGUGGUGAGCCACACGCCCAGUAUGGCCAUACUUACCAAUGGCGUUGCUGAGCACAGGGGUGAUGUGCACCCCGUUUCCACCCACUCGGUCAUCCCACCUUCUUCGAAACAGCCAUCUGCAGGUCAGUCAAAUGUUAAUAGACAGACAUUAACAACAACAAAUGUAAUUUUCCUUAGAUUACACUUGGACAUUCAGCUUAUUACUGUAAAAUGCAUAGGCCCUUAUUGUUUUUAAGUGCAGGUGGUAAAAAUUUCCGAGGGUUUUCGUUGGUAGCAUCAUAGUUAGUAACAGAGUUGAACUUAUAGUAAGCAAUUAGGCAUCAAACAUGGCACGUUUCUGUGAUUAGUACUUAUGUCCUUCAAUUGUGUAUAUAUUGUUUGCAUGGUAAGUGGAAACCUUUAGAAGAUAAGCUCUCUGUUUGAAAUCACAUCUGUAUUCUUUUAAGGUUUGGUGUGAAGGAUAAACCAUGAAGUAGUCUACUAAUGCGAUAAUGGCUCAUAUUUUCACAUUUUCCUGUCUUCGUUGCCUCUGUUCUUGAAAACGUAUAAAGUGAUGGAGAGGUCUUAUUAUUUUUGGAAAAUAUUACAAUGUUCCCACAUCCCUGUAAUCUGUAUUUGACAGUGUACAUUGAUAAUAAAAUGAACGACUCAGAUACUUCAUGUGACAAUGAGGUAUGAACUUCAUCACAUUUUGUCUCUUUAAGGUUAUAAUAGUCACGAUGCAUUUCACACCUUUGCUGGUUUAGUCAAUGCUGUUAUACUUCAGAAUUCAGAUAGAUUAGAAUCAGAUGAUUGCUUUCUCUCUGCUUGUUACCAAAUACUCUGUCAGUUUAAUAUCUUUGUGUGUAAACAAUAUAAGAAAAACGAAUCUUUUCUCUUGUGCUGUUUUUGCUCUCUUUGAUAUUUACUUUCUCUCUGUGCUUGUGCUGAAGAAAUAAUGGAGGCUGAAGAAGAAAAUAACAGCAAUUUGAUUCCUAACUCACAUGCUUGUAUAAAUCCAUUAACUUCAACUUCUGACUCGCAUCCAAAUAAGAAAGUGAAAAAAGAUCCAUUGGAACAUGCAGCUGGUGAGGUGUCAAAGUUACUGCUGAGUGGUUUCAAAGAUACCUAACGUCAGUAGAUUGCAAGUUUUUAAAGCUGUACGCAUAAUAUUGAAUGGUAACCCAGAAGAAUUCUCUCUACUGAUACUCUUCCUGAUGUUGAGAAGACAAAGUGGAUACUCUUACUAAUUAGUCAAUCUGAAGGUAACUUUCUUGAUAAAAAUUGAGCCAAUAGCUCAGGGGAUAUAAAAUAGGUCUUAGACAUAAAGCCACUUAUCAACAUUUACUUUCUCUCAGGAAAAGAAGAAAGUUUGAGAUACGCUAUCCCUUCUGGCCAUGGUAUGGCUCUCUCUCUCUCUCUCUCUCUCUCUCUGUCUCUCUCUGUGUCUCUCUCUCUCUGUCUCUCUCUCUCCCUCUAACUUAAUUUCUAGUUCUGCAUUUGUUGUUUUAAUUUUAUGCUUUUAACAUGUCAAACCAAUACUUCACUCUGUAAGAUUACUACUUAAUAUCUAGAUAGAAGAGAGAUUUGAACUGAAAUAUCCCAAUUGUAAAUCCUUCUACUCCAAAUUAAAGAGAAAAAGAAAAGUAUGAACCAAUUGGACAGAAUAUACUUGCACAUACUCCCUCCUUGAAUGAGUUUCAGUAAGAAAGCUAGUGUAGCCAAUUGGACAGAAUUUACUUGCACAUACUCCCUCCUUUGAUGUAGUUUCCAAGUGCAUCACCUUAUGAUACCUCUUCAUGUUUUCAAUUAGUAUUGGCUUGUGACAUGCCAAUUUUCUGAGCUUUUAGGGUUCAAUUAUGUAGAUAGAAGAGAGAUUUGAACUGAAAUAUCCCAAUUGUAAAUCCUUCUACUCCAAAUUAAAGAGAAAAAGAAAAGUAUGAACCAAUUGGACAGAAUAUACUUGCACAUACUCCCUCCUUGAAUGAGUUUCAGUAAGAAAGCUAGUGUAGCCAAUUGGACAGAAUUUACUUGCACAUACUCCCUCCUUUGAUGUAGUUUCCAAGUGCAUCACCUUAUGAUACCUCUUCAUGUUUUCAAUUAGUAUUGCCUUGUGACAUGCCAAUUUUCUUCAAUGAUUAUAUACAGGGAGCAGAGUGGCCAAUUCUUUCCUUUCAUAAUUCAACAUCUUGUUCUGGGCACAUGGUAGAAGAUGCCUUCUUGUAAACAGACUUUUUGUAUUUGGUCAGGCUUGCAAUGCUCUAUUUUGUGGAUUUUAAGAUUGUAUUAGGCUUACUUGUGAGCUGCAAAAUGCCUUGUACCAAAGUUUAUGUAUAAAAUGUGUGCUAAAUCUUGUGUGUGGAGUACAAGAUUGAAGGUCUUCCUGGAAAAGCAAUCACAAGCAUUUUCUCUUUUCAAUUUGUAGAAAUGUUCAAGUUCUUGCCCAUCACUUGCAGAUAUAUAGUGUUGUGUACCAUAAAGGCUCCAUCAUAUGCAAUUCCAUCAAGGCUUGCAGGCCAAUCACUGCUUUCUCUUGGAUAUUACAAACAUUUGUAGAGCCAUAAUGAAAACUUGGUAGACAAACCCAAAUACGUGCAUUGACCAUUUGCUUAAACUUGAUAGGCUAGCAAGAGCUUGUAGCUCAAGUGGUUAAGAGUAUCUAUCCUUACACUUGAGGUCCUAGAUGUGAUUCCCUCCUCCCAAUAUCGCUUGUAACCAAAAACAAGCAAAAAAACUUGAUAGGCCAGACCCAGAUGAACCUGGUUUUCAUAAACUUGUUUGUCAGCUUGAUAGUGGCUUAUUAGAGUCCAAAUUGGUUGGGAAAGUAAUGUCCACCAGUUUUAGCAGAUACCCUUUGAGACAAUGUUGAACAGAGCACUUCACUUGAUUGUUAAUGACUAGGGCCCCAAGGGUAUGUUCUUGGUAUGUUACCUUAGGCCUAAGAUACUCUGUCUGUCAGAAGAGAAGAAUGGAGAAGAGGGUGAACAGUGCACGAGAUUGCUGGGUUUUUGCAAGUUAGAGAGAUGAAGAAGGUGGAAAAAUAAGGCACAAAUGGGAAGAUAGCUUGCAUUCUUCUUAUUUUUAACAGACUUUUAUAUAUACCCUACAACGUAAACUAGAAAAUAAUUAUAUAAAAUAAUGAAAUUCCAAAACUCUUUUGGAUCUGAAAGUCUAAAGGUUUUCAUUUCUUCAGUUUUCCUCUCACUCUUUGGUUCUCCAUCAAUUUAUUUUUCAUCAUUCUCUCAUCUCAUCCCUCCUUUACAUGUAUGCAAUCAUUGUAUAUUAAAUGAGGAGAAGUGAGGAGAUGAGUAGAGCUGGGUUCAGGGUUGGUGACAAAGAAAAUGAAAUCAAUCAAUGAUGGAGAUAGAUGUCCAAAGAAAAAUAUUUUGAUGAAGUAGAGAAAUUGUAUUUUUGGGAAGAGUUGAGUGUCUAGAGAAUGGUGAGAAUAAAAAUAGAAACCCAUUGAAACACCGAGUGUAAACAGAAUUCUUGGUAAUAUGAAAUUUCUCUUUCACAUUCAAGGAGUCAAAUCACAUGAAAAGUUUAUGAAGGAACUAUGUUGUAACUACUCUUAACAACUUGAGCUAUACGUGUCAAGUUAGAUCUUCAAUAAUGUAGUAACACACUCUUCAAUAAUGUCUCACAAUGUUAGAUCUUUCAUAGUGAAAAUUAAAUUGAAGAGUGAGAAAGUGAUUUCUAAGAGCAACUCCACCGCUCAAGAUUGAGCUAGGGCAAUCAGUGGGUCCCACCAACCUGGGCAGGCCCAAAGGCAAUUCUUGCAUGGGCUUCAGCCCGAGGGCGGUGACAUCAGCGCACGGUAAUUCAAAUUUUUUUUACCGUUGGUGCGUGAAUUACACGCGCCAACAGUAAAAAAAUUUGACUUCCGCGCGCUAACGUCAGCCCUGAUAGACUCUAAUGGCCAUUUGACACGUAUCGCAACCGGGCUUCUCCGAUGAGUUUUUUUCCAGAAAUCCAACGGUCUUUGUUUUUUUGGCUAAAAAAAUUCCAAAAAAAUUCUGAAAUUUUUUUAAAAAAUACCAAAAAAAUUCUGUAUUUUUUUUUCCUAUAAAUACCUAACUAUUUUAUUUACUUUCCACACUAAAUCUUCAUACAAUUUCUUCUCCAUCCAAUAUUUUUUACUCUCCACUCACAUUAUUCACUUCCCACACCAAUUCUCCAUACAAACUCUUCUCCUUCCAAUAUUUUUUACUCUCCACUCACAUUUUUCACUUCCCACACCAAUUCUCCAUACAAAUUCUUCUCCUUCCAAUAUUUUUUACUCUCCACUCACAUUUUUCUACUACUUUCCAUUUGUAAAAAAAAAAAAAAAAACAAAUGGCAUCUUCUGUCGAAACCGGAGGCUCGUGGUCAACUCAGGAAGAUAUUGCAUUGUGUCAGUAUUAGGUGAACGUUAGUAAUGAUCCUAUCACGGGCAAUGAGAUGAAGUUCCAUCAUAUGUGGAGUAAAAUUCAUGGAGAAUUUUGUCAAAGAUCGGGUCCCAUUCGGACCGAAAUAGCCUUGUCUAGUAGAUGGAAACUUCUGAAUAAAGAGUUAGGGAAAUGGAGAAAUGCCUUGACAAAAACAAGGGAGAACAUUCGAAGCGGUCAAAAUCUAUCCGAUGAGGUAAAAUAUUUAUAAUUGUCAUUUUAAUAAAUUUAAUGUAAUUUUUUUUUAUUGCAUAUUCUAUGUCUUUUUGUUGCAUAAUCUUUUUUUUUUCUUUUUGCAUUUCCAAUUUGUCUAUAUUUUCUUGCAUAAUCAAUUUCAUUCUUGCAUUUCAAAAUAGUUUAUAUUUUCUUGCAUAAUAAUUUUUUUUCUUGCACUUCCAAUCAUUUAUUUUUAAUAGAUCAUACAAGCACAAAUGUGGUUCGGUGCCAUGGGGCAAGGCAAAAAAAGUUUCGUGCAUUUCCAAUGUUGGGAAGUUGUGAAAGAUUGUUCAAGAUUCAAAAUUAUUCCCACCGGUCCAACAGUUUUGUUGAAUGAGACGCCGCUUCACGAUUCACCAUCAACCGAUUCGCCAUUGGACUUCCCAAUGGAAACGGAGUCACCACUCCCACGUCCGCCAAGACCUAUUGGGAGAAAGGCGGCAAAGGCCAAGAGAGGGGGCACUUCAAACAAUGAAUGUAUACAAUUAUUGGAGCAAAUAGCUAAGAACACCUCACUAAGAAUUGAGAGAGACUUGAAAAGAGAUGAAGUGGACAAGGCACGAGAGGAAGCAUUUGUAAUUCAACAGCAGCAGGCACAAGACAAAGACAUGGAUGAUAGAGAGAUGAAAAUCAUGGCCAUGGAUACGAGCCAUAUGUCUCCUGAAACCAAGGCCUAUUGAAAGCAUAGACGAAGAGAUGUGAUGAGAAGAAAACUUUUCCAUGACGAUGAACCUAGCAAUACGGAUUGGUUAAAUGAUGAAAACCAUUAAGUUUUAUUGAAACACCUUUGCCAUAUGUUGUAUUGUUGUAUUGUUGUAUUAUCCUUUAAUUUAUUGUAUUGUUUCCUUUUCAUUAAAUAAAAAAAGUAUUAAAUAAUAUGACUAUUUAUUAAAAACAUUUGAGCAUCAAAAUAAAGAUUAAUUAAAAACAAACCUUAAUUUAUUGCAAACAACACACAAAAUAAAUCAUACAUAAAAGCAUAAUAAUAAUAAAAAAGAUAGAGAUGGUGUAGUUUUAUAGAGGGAUUCAGAAGAUAGAAAUGACACGUGGCACAAUUUUAGAGGAUGAAAAUCUUAUCUGAAAUAUGAGAUUAUAAUUUUUAAAAAAUAUCUGAAAAUCUUAUCUAACAGAGAUAACACUUGGCACAAUUUUAGAGGGUGAAAAUCUUAUCUGAAAUAUGAGAUUAUAUUUUUUUUUUAAAUAUCUGAAAAUCUUAUCUGACAUGGGACACGUGACACAAUUUUAGAGGUGAAAAUGUUAUCUGAAAUAUGAGAUUAUAAUUUUUUUUAAUGAAUAUCCGAAAAUUUUAUCUGGAAUAAGACAUGUGGCAACUAAGAUUCUCAUUCGAAAAUCUUUUCUGAAAAAUAAUGGACAUGUGACAGUAAAAAGUAUUAUCCGAAAAUUUAAUUACAAAAGAUUAUCAAAAUUAAUAGUUUAAAGUAUAAAAAAAUAGGAAAUAAAGUACAAUGAAUAGUAUUUACCUUAGACUUGCCCUAGACUUAACCCUCAUGGGUGGAACCACAAAUGGCAAGGCUGCCACUAUUCAUGUGACUAUUCAUGUGAAUAGUCACAGCCCUUGCUUACCCUUGCCCUAGACUUAGCCCUUAUGGGUGGAAUUGCUGUAAAAAGUUAACAUCAAAAGACCCUUAAAAAGUAUGUGAUCAUUCUCAAUAUGGACCCCCAUAUUUCAAUUUCAUUAUUUUACUCCCACGGUUUUCAAAUUUGCUCAAUUUACUUUCCGUCACAUUAACUGCUAACGUGUCUACUGUGAGACACAGCCACUUAUCAAUCCCCAUCCCAUCUAACAUGUAAUAAAACAAAAACUAAAUAUAUGAUAUUAAAAAAAAAGAAAAAAAAAAGAAGAGGCAUAUAGCCUUCCCCAUCACUCUCACCGACGCACAGUCGCACCACCCGAUCCCCCUCCCUUUCUUCGUCCUCUCUCUCUCUCUCUCUCCCUCUCUCCCUCUCUCCGUCCCUUUCUCCCCCAUCCCAUCUUCUCGAGUUCUCUGAUUCCCCCCCCCCUCUUCGCGAUCUACCUCUCCUUCGAGAGGCUUCUCGAGUCCAGGCCCUGCGAUGCCGAUCAGACCUAGCUCAUCGAUCGCUCUCUCCAAUUGGGCUCUGUGCUCCUCGAGGCUGCUAAUCGUUCUGCGAGAAAACCAGCCUCCAAGCACAACUCUCUCACCUGUACUCUCCCCUCAAACCUCCCUCCAAGCACAAUUUGUAUAUAUUGAUAGGGAUGGGGAGCUGGGAGGAUAGUGGGACGGAGAGAGAGAGGGGGGGACGAAGAGAGGGAGAGUGCUCUGGUGGGGAAGAGCCAGGUGCGCCGCUAUCACGAACACAUUCAGACCACGAGCUGACGCAAGUGGAAAUCAUGCUUCUCUGUUUUUCUAGUUCUGUAGUCGCCGCUAAUCAUGCUGCUUUGAUUUUCCAUUGAUGUUUGCUUUGUUACUCUCAAAAAGUUUCCUUCCUUUAUUUUUUAUUUAUUUCGAUAAUGAAAUUUGAAAUUUGAAUUGUGUGUUGCUUUGUUACUCUCAAUAAAUCUUCCUUCUUUUUCUUUUUUCUUACAGGAAUUGGGUUUUGGUGUUUCACCAACGAGCUGACGCCAGAGAGAGAGGGAUGGGGUUGGUGUGGGUGCGAUUGAGGGGUGAACAAGGGGUGCUGGGUUUGUUGGGCUGAGGAAGGGCUGGGAUUUUUUAAGGUAUUUUUAUUUUAUUUUAUUUUAUCACUUUAUAUAAAUUUUUUUAGGAACUGAUUAGUUAGUGGGCGGAUCCCGAUUGCCCAUAUUGAGAAUAACCCCAAAUGUCUUUUGAUGUUAGCUCAUUUCUAAAUUUGUAGAGUGAGGGAGUGACCACAGUUUUGAUAUAUUGGUGUCUAUUUUUAUUGGAGCUGAUUUUGUUUGCCUCACCUUACCAGUGGGUAUAUUCCUGGUAAAUAAUAUUGCAACUCUUGCGCUUUUAGAAAUUGUGUGUAUAGUUUUAGAAAAUGGGUCAUGUAAUUUUAAUAUAAAAUUGCUACAAACUCUUGUCAACCCUGGAAAGUUCAGUCCAAGUGGACGAGACAUGCUCUCUCUUAUUAAAAAUGCUAUACAUGUACACCAUGCUUUUGUCCUCAAAUUUGGACUCGUUAUACAGUAUAGACUACUUUAUUUAUGUACUUGGCUAAGAGUUCGAUUAUUUUCCUCCCCUUUUCUUAAAUGGAAAUCAUCUCUAGUUCUUUUCACCCCUAACAACAUAUGGAACUGCUGAGUUCAUAACUUUUCUAUUGUUUAUCUUUUAUGCAUAAAAUUAUAUCUUGUUUUUUUACUGGGUAAUUCAAAACUUGGAAACUCCUUCGACGACUUUACUAAAAAGGAUUUAGGUUUUUUUUACUAAAAAGUCAGUAUAGUAUGAAUACCUAUUUGAUACGAUGUAGGUUUUUUUUUUUAAUUUAAAAAUUUAUUGAAAGGAUUUUUAAUUAUUUGUAUUGGCACUAUUAAUUUUGCCACAGAAUUCUCAGAGGUUUAGUAAUUUGCUUUUACAAAUACCAUGAUCGUUUUGGGAAAUCUCUCUUUCUGGAGGCAGAUUCCAGAGCCGUUUAAGGGAAAUUCGUAGUCGAGCUACCGAUGUUCAUGAUAAGGAAAAGGGAAUCAAGAUUACUGAGAAGGAUUGGGAAAAGUUGAAUGUACAAUUGCUUCAUACAACAAUUUUCCUACUGCUGCUGGAUUGGCUUCCUCAGCAGCUGGUUUUGCUUGUCUUGGUAACCGAUAAUACCCUAUUUUGGAUCAUAUUAUUGUUAAUUUGUUAUAUGAUUAGUGCCUUAACUUUGAGAACUCAUGACUGUUAAUAAUGUUACUUGGGUACCGGAUUAAUCAUUCUUUGCCAAUAGAUAGUAGUUAAGCAACGAGCAUAUCAUAGCUAAGCCUCUGUUUCUACUUGCAGUUUUUGCCCUCGCAAAGUUAAUGAAUGCGAAUGAAGAUCACAGCCAGCUUUCUGCUACUGGAAUCAAUCUGAGAUUUUAAUAAGCCAUCGCAAUCUGACUAAGUUUUACAGAAUACUUAACACAAUAGUAAGUGCUGAUAUCGACCCUGAAGAACGUCUCCUUGACAGUAGCUUAAUUGAUUUUGACAGAGCAAGCCUCCUUUAUGCCAUUGGGAAUAAUAAUGCGUCCAUUGAUCAGCCCGCCCACAUUUUCCGAGCCAUUUGCCUGGCUGCAACCCCAGACGACUACUACGAAACUCAUUCCCUGCCUUUUGGGUCGUUGAUCACUAGGUUUGCCAUGGCGUCUAAAGUGCGAAUUGAUCCUACGGAUCAGCUUAAACAACUUAUGCCACCUAUCAACUAGAUGAUGUUUCAUAAUGAUCAGACAGAUGAAACAAGUGAAGAAUCUGUUGUUGGAUUUACUCCUCCUCCUGCACCUGCUUCGGAGCCAAGUCCUCCACAGCUUAAUCAGCCUCCUCUGUCCCAGACAAAAAGCUUUGAGAAGUUUUCUAUAAAGCUGAGAAAGCGCAUGGCCCGACUUGCCAAUGAGGUCGUUAAGCUCACCGGUUGCGUACAUUGGGGCAUCCCAUUGAAAGAGCCAUUUACAGGUCAUUCUAAUGUUGAGCUUGCUUUAGUUUAUAUGUGUUUUUGUCCUUUUCAGCUUUGUUAAACCCUGUCUUCAACUUUCAUUUCUAAUCCAUUGAUUAUCUAUGAGUUGUUAGGCUUUUGUUUCCAUUUGUUUAUUCAGUUGUUCUUCUUUUAUACCCUCUCAUUUGUUUCUGCUCCUCUGUCUUAUGAUUUUCCACUUCCACUUAUCACUCCCUUGUCAUACACACUUGCAGUACAAGAUAAAUAGAAUCUGAAGUUUGCCUUGUUCUGGAUGAUAAAUAGAAUUCUAUUUAGUUAUAUAUUUUCAAAGAUACAAGUUAAAUAAAGACGAUGUAGCGAGCACCAUAAGCUUCAAAAGAAUUUUCCUAGUUCUAGGCUUAAGUAUAUUUUUUAUCUAAAGGACCUCUGAGUUGACUGCAGGAACUGAUUCAGCCUAAUACUGUAAAAGAAUUGUCCCUUGAAUAUCUUUUUAUGUACAGCUGGUAAGAAAAUUUUCGGGUUUUUACUGGUGGAAGGAAAGUAAUAAACUUGAAGUUAGCAACUAGCACUGAAUGCUUCUGUGGUUAGUGAUUUAGUAUUAAAGAGAAGCUCUGUUUCUGAUCAUAUAUGUAAGAUUGAUUUUGAUUGCAUUAAUUAGUAAAAAAGAUAAGCUCUGUUUCAGAUCAUAUAUGUAUUCUUUUAGUCAACUAAUGAGAUGGGGUGGUUAACAUUUAUUUAAGUGUGACUGGAACAGUUUUGAGUGAUGAAUUUUCCUAUUUUCACUAGGGAGCUGCCUUUGAAUUUGAUAUUUUCGGGAGUGAUUCGAUGCUUUUCUCUCGUUUGAAAACUUAACAAAAUUAAAUAUUCACAAUAUUCCCCAUCGUCUGUAUAAUAAAAAUGAAACUGCUUCUACAUGUGAUUAUGAACUCCAACACAUCUUGUGUCCUUGUGGUUGUAAUAGUCAGCAGUUAAUGCACUUCUUUGCUGCUUUAGUGGAUGUUUUUUAUGCUUUACUUUCUCUCUGUUAUUGUGCUGAAGAAAAUAUGGAGGUUAAACAAGAAAAUGAUGAGAAUUUUAUUCCCAACUCACAUACUUCGACACAUCUAUCAACUUCAAUUUCUGGCUUGCAUCCAAAUAAGAAAGCGAAAAAACAUCCAUUGGCACAAGCAAUUGGUGAGGCGGCAGACUCACAAAAGGAGUUUUCGGCAAGUCAAAUGAACCGCAACUCAGAGGAGAGGAUGUACUUGCAGUGGUCUCAAAGAUACCGAACUUCAGUAGAUUGCAAGUUUUGAAGGCCGUACACAUGUUAUUGAAUACUGCUUAUUAGUAAAUCCUGGGUCUAACUUUCUUGAUAAAUGAUGCUGAGUGAGCCAAUUAUUUCUCAGGGGUUUAAACUUUUGCAUAGAGAGACACUUAUCAGCAUUUACUCUCUCUCUCUCUCUCUCUCUCUCAUUAAUCCAGUAUUAGGAGUGAUCUUGCUUUUUAUUCUUUUCAUAUACAAUAUUAUUGAUAUCCUUUUAUGUCCUUUUACACACACUGAGCUUCUUGACAUGUUCUGGGCUUUUAAUCAUGCUUCAAAGACAUACUUUAAAUCCAUUUAUAUAUCUUCUUUAUCUAUUUAUUUCUCUUGUUUGAGAGGAGGUAUUAUUUCUCUUGUUCAUUAUACUAAUGUAAUUUACACGGAAAGGGGUUUGAACUUCGGUGUAAGGGGUAAGCUCACCAUCUUAUCCAAUUAGCCUAACCGCAUUUGCAGAUGUAUACAAAUACAAUGAUAUAGUCCAAACUACUCUAAAUCUAAACUACUAGGGCAUGUUUGGUAGGGUUCACUAGAUAGGACUAUGCUAAAUUGAACCUGAAACCCAUGUUUGGAUAGAAAGGGGACUAAUUUAAAUGGGAUUGUAGAGCCCAACAGUAACAAAAACCCCUCACUCGUUCUCCUUAUACAGAGAAGCUGAAAAUGGGUUCACAAAAUAAGCGCUUCGUUAUAUUGAACACGCGACAACGCCUCUCUCUCUAGUUCUUGACUUCGCCCUCUAUCUAGUUCGCGACUCGACCUCUUCUUUGUUCAACAUCGACUCCUCUUCUUCGAAUCUUGACCCAGGCAAGUUUUUCUGGUCUUUCCCUUUGGAUACCUCUCUUUUCCUUCUUCCACCUCUUUGAUUUUUGCAAUUGUCCUCAACAAUUUUGACUCUGUGCUCUGAAUCUCUCCUUCCUUUUCUCUGUUUUUUGUUAUUCUUUUCUCUAAUUUUCGUAGAAUCCAUAUCUACUGUAGCGACAUAUAUAUAUUUGAUGUUAAUUGACAAUUAAUUUGCAAUGGGUAUUUAAGAAAGCCUAGAAAUUCAGAAUCUUGAGUUUAGAGUAGACUUUUGGCAUGAAUCUUGAGUUUAUUGAACUUACUGGUUCAUGUGGGAUGAUGCAUCUUUGUGGUUUCAGUUUUUAAAUAAGAUGCUCUCCUUUCAUCUUAUUUAAUCUGAAUAAAAAUAAGAUGUUUCUUUUCUGAUGUACGCAAUUCAUACCAGUCUCAUGUGUGACUAUAUUCAAUAGGAUUUGAGACAUGAUGACUAAACCUUCUGAAUAUCUUUCUAUGGCACUUGGUGGCUGGACUGAGGAUUUCUUGUAUUUUCAUGAGUUGUAUUCAUUGGAGACUUUUAAUAGGUACCUUAACAUGUAAAAUGGCUGCAUCUUGCCUACCAUCAUCUACUUUCAGACACCACAUAUAUAAUCUCACAGUUGAGGUGUAAGUUUUGAAGUGGAGCCUCAACUUAGGCUCUCUGUUAGAACGUCUCCUUUAAGUUCUCAUUUUGGGUAAAUGAGAUUCUGUAUUCACUCUAACUGUAUUCAAUUAGAUUAACUAACAUAAGAAUGUCUCUACCCUUUUUUUCUUUCUUUUUUAUAUUUUCCCUAUUUCCCCAUGGUCAUAAUUUACAGGCCUUUGUCUUAACUCUGGCACUACCUAGGUCUGCCAAUUUUCUUUUUUCUUGGUUGGUGAUUUAGUGCUAAAAGAUUACACAGAGGAAGAUUAGUAUUUGUUUUAUGCUUGCUGUUGAGUUUCUUUUGUAGCUAUGAGGUUGCCAUUUCUUAUAAAAUUUUUGCCAAAAAGUCAUACUAGGUUACCAUUUGGAUAGAAGGUACAUCAAAUCUUGAUUUGGGCCUUUUUGUUUGCUCAUGUCAUUGUGGUAAUGUUAUAGGUAGCUGGUGUGAAAUUAAAAAGAAAAAAACAGAGUUUGCAUUGCUAUUUUAUUAUUCAGCAUUCCAUCAGUUGUUUUAUGCUUGCUGUGGAGUUUCUUUUGUAGCUAUGGGGUUGCCAUUUCUUAUAAAAAUUUUGCCAAAGGUUACCAUUUGGAUAGAAGGUACAGCAAAUCUUGAUUUGGGCCUUUUUGUUUGCUCAUGUCAUUGUGGUAAUAUUAUAGGUAGAUAGAAUCUAACAAUUCUUUACAGUUGACUCUGGUGUGAAAUUAAAAAGAAAAAAAACACAGUUUGCAUUGCUAUUUUAUUGUUCAGCAUUCCAUCAGUGAUGGGCAGCUUGCAACUUUCUUUUAGUGAUUGGCAUGGGCAAAGUCCUUCUAAUGUCCUCUCACCACAUGUGGACAUUAUACCAGUAGAGCAAUUUCUCCUUUAUAUGAGAUAGAGAGACCAAUUACUCAAAAAUGAAUAAAAUACCAACAACAAAUUAAAGAAAACAGAGCAUCUGACACUGUUGGCCAUGUCAAAGCAAAGUCAUGCUAUGUUUUUUCUUUUUGUUUGGAGAAAGAUAUGUAGUUUUGGAGUUUGCAAUUGUGACAAAUCCCCUGUGAUUGAUUGUAUCUGUCAUUUGACAGAGCAAUUUGCGUCCUACAUGAGUAUCAAUUGAUUUUGGUCUCUCAAAUAAGAAAAUGCAAUAAAUAACAUGGUGUUCAUUAGCAGCAGCAGCAUCUUUUGGCCAAAAGUGAAAUAAUUCUGCGAUUUUUUUCUUCAUAUUUGUUGUGGUAUUAGGCACACGUUGGUUGAUAAUUUGGUCCAUUUGGGGCAAAUUUUCCAUACUUUGCAAUGGUAUUAAUUAUGGCUUUGUAGUAAUUGUUCUGUUUCAUAGAAACAUAUGAAACUGUUCGUUUUCAAUUUUUGGGGUUAUUUCACUUUCAAUAGAAUUGGUUAAGUGCAAUAAUUCUUUUCUUUUUUGAUUAAUAGAUAUGGAUCAUGCUUAGAAACAAAGUUACGCUUUUUUGGCAGAUUCCAAUUAUUGAUUAUGGUAUUAUUUUAUUUGUGCUGAUUAUUCUUAGGAAAGGAAAAUAAAGGUAACAGUCAAAACUUCGAACAAGGAAGAAAGGGACUAGGCGGUCAUGGUCCACAAAAUACAUCUAUAUUCAUGUCUUUGGAUGAUGAUAUCAAGAAAGUGUUUGUUGAGCAGUUGCUUAGUGACAAUGCUUGAGGACAUGGCCUAGCUAAAUUUAAUGCAUCUAUCUUUUUGGAAACACCAAAAAUGAUGCAUUGAUAAGAUUGGCUUCAUUUUGGAAACACCACAAAUUGUAUAACAUAUUGCUAGCAUUAAAGCCAAAUGGUUCAUGGUUGUGAGGUUUAUUAGUUCAUUUUGAAAUUGUGGAUGUUUAUUUGUAUGUAUUAAUGGUAGAAUUGUGUGUAGUGAACUGGACUUCUAAUUUCUGAGUAAUGUAGAUGACUUUGGCAUAUAUGAAGAAUUUCUAACUUUUGCAUAUAUGAAAUGUAUAUGUCAAUUUGGUUUGGAGAAAAAGAAAUGUAUAUGACAAUUUGGUAAUUCUAAUAACAAAAAAAACUUACAUUUAAUUAUUUAAAAAUAUUAUUUUUAAAUAUAAAAUAAUUAUUUUUUAGUCCUACAUAGCACCAAACAUAGGUCUUCGCUAUUUUUACAAUCCAGCUUUUUAGUCCGACACAGCACCAAACGUAUGUCAGUACUUAAUCCAGCUUAGUCCAAUCUGAGCUAAUCCAAGAUAAUCCUAGGAUUUAGUCCAGUCCAUGACAGUCCGCCGUACCAAACGACCCCCUAUAUUACUUUCCUUCUAUAGUCAAUAUAUAUGACUUUUGCCCUUCAAACUAAUUAUGUCUUACCUACAAUCCAUUAUUUUAUCUACUAUAUUACUUUCCUUCUAUAGUCAAUAUAUAUGACUUUUGCCCUUCAAACUAAUUAUGUCUUACCUACAAUCCAUUAUUUUAUUUUAUUUAUAAAUAAAACCCAAUGAUUGGAUCCGACUCAUCAAUUUACCUAAUUAAAUUUAAAAUUUUGAUUUAUUGUACUUUUUUUAGAUUAAAAAUAAUAAUUAUGGAUAAUUAAUCUACCUAUGCAAUCUCGGCAAAUUCUUAUACCUACAAAAUAUAGGUAAAUUGGUACCCUUUUUUAAUUUUAUAAAUAACGUGCCUAUUUUUUCAUAACUAAUGUACCUAUUUAUUUUAUAGAACUAAUUCAAUAGCAACGUUUUUUUAAAAUAUAGAAAUAAUGUACCUAUUUUCUUAUAAUUAAUGUACCUUUUUUUCUUUAAAAAUAUUUACGUAUUCAGAAUCUCGCCCCUAUUCUGACUGAGAAUUGCUCCUCAAUCAAUCAAUAUGCAUCUCACCACCCAAGCUCUCUUUCUUCACUGGGACCGUGUUUUGUUCUUUAUUUAUUUUUAUUUUUUUUUCAUUUUAGUUGUUGUUUAAUUUUUAAACUUGUGUUUUUUAAUAACCAUUAUAUUAUCAUUUAUAUCCAAGGGCGAAUGACCACAAAUUCCUUGGACCACAGGAGUUCAGAAGAACGGGACCGAGUAAUUCAUAUACUAAUCAUUUAUCGAGCAACAAAACAAAUCAAAUCAAAGAAUCAGAAUGCAAAAUGAAGGAAGCUGCUCCGAAACUCUAUGAUCAGAUAUCCAACACUAAAUCUACUUAAGUGUUUCGUGAUCAUCACUAUAAUAAGAGAAACUUUCGUGUGUAAUUGUAAGACCCCAUGUUUAACCUAAAUUAUAGGGGCAUUUCAAAAUAGACUUGGUCAAUAACCAAACUCUCAUAUUAUAGUUGUUGAAUAAAAACCCAUUAUUCAUUUAUUAGUAUCAAUAAAUAUAUAGGCAUUAUAUUAAUAUUAGGUUGAGUAGAGAUAUUUCCACAUGUUUCACUUAAGUCAAGUUCACAUUUGCAAAAAGAUAUUUGUAACUUGUGCCCAGGGGAUGGGAUGCAAAGCCAUUGAUUGAGUGGACACGGGAAGGCACCUUACCAAGUCAAGUCAAGUCAAUACCUGCAAGUCAGUUGGAGCACGCGUUGAAGGGCACCAUAUCAAGUCACAAGUCUUCAUUUAUCUUUUUCCACAUAGUGACAUGAAUUAAAGUGGUGAGUCUCUCUUCCUUUUGUUCACCCGUGUCCUUCAUAUUCACUUUUCAGUCUUUCAUUUGAAAACACUACAAUAGCACACUUUCCAAAGAGAUUCCCAAGCAGCUUAUUGGCCUUUCGAGUUCGGGGAAAUUAGCAAGUGGAAAAAUAAUUUUCCGGAGCUUUGUCUCUACGACAAGUUGGCUUUCCAAAAAAUCGAAAAGACUUUACAGUCUUUUUGUGUGAGUCAGUCAUCAUGAGUUUGCAUACGAAGACUUCAAAGUCUCCUUGAUGAUAGUCGUCCACAGCAAGCUCCCAACGUUAUAAAUUACUAAGAUGGACAAAUGCUCAAUAAAAUUUAAUUAGGAUAAUUAGUUGAUUUAAGGAAUAUCUCUUUUUCUGGUGUCAUUUUUUAUUGACCGGAGAAAUAUGUGUAUCCGCAUAUCCUACAUUGAUUGUCUUAGUAAUUUCCUUUGCAUCUAAAAAAAAUUUAUUUAACCCUAAAAAAAAAAUAUUACUCCAUCUUGAAAUGUUUCCCCUUAACCUUUGCCACACUAAUCACAAAGUAUACUAGUAAAUGUUUCAAACCACGUAGGAUAAUUUUUUGGGAGAUUCACUAUUAUACCCAAUAUAAGAGUUCAAAUUUUUUUUUUAAAAAAAACCUAUAUGAAAUGGGCUUUAGAACACACCCAAAACCCAUUUACAACAUAACAAAAAAGCUUUUAACUUCUUUUAAAGUACAAAACUGUCAUUGAUUUCUUAAAACAAACUCAACCCAAAAACCUCAUAAAAAAGCUUAAAACACUCAAUAGGGUAUCAAAGUAAUUUAAUAAUCAAAAUUAAAUUAAAUAGAUCCGGCUGUCAUUUUUUGAGUUUAUUUACAAAAAUUAAAUGGUGUGGGGUUAAUUUAUAAUUUUAGUGCUAAGAAUGGGUAAAUAUUUAUAAUUUUUUCAAGCAUUAUUGUAGAGAUAGCAAUAUAGUGCUAUUCCCGUUACAAAAAAAUAUUUUUCCUUUUGAAUGAUACAUUCAUAUGUAUUUGAAAUUGAACCUACAUACACAGGGUGGUUGUCCACAUGGCAUGGUAUGAGAGCAUCAUUGAGCUAUGUCACUAUUCAGCAAAACAGUAUGUUGUGUCACCGAGCGUACACAAUUCUUUUUAUAUUAAAAAAUUAACCAAAAUUUUAAAAAUAGUAUUUUUAUUUUAUUGAAAUUAAAAAAUAGUAGUAUGAACACUACAUCUAUCAUCCUCCUUUUUCCAACAAAAGAAAUCUUAGUAGAUCUUUCUCUGCAAACUCUUCAUCAUUUCUAACUAGUCUAAUCGAACAGUCAACACCUACUUGACGUGUGGUUGUGGAGACUUAAAAGCCUUUGAAAAUUUUACUCCUUUAUAUGGUUUUGUCUUAUAUGAAUGUGUGGCACUGUUUUAGCUAAACCAUGUUUUUCUUUGUAAAAGUUUUCUUCCUUUUUUCCUAUAUAUAUAGUUAGUGUGUAAUUAUAAGACCCUAUAUAAUAUUAACCUAAAUUAUGGGGGCAUUUCAAAAUUGACUUGGUCAAUAACCAAAGUGUUUUGAAAAGCUCUCGUAUUAUAGUUGUUGAAUUAAAACCCAAUUUUCAUUUAUUAGUAUCAAUAAAUAUAUAGGUAUUAUAUUAAUAUUGGGUUGGCAAGAGAUAUUUCCAUAUGUUUCACUUAAGUCAACCUCACAUUUGCAAGAAGAUAUUUAUAACUUGUGCCCGGGGGAGGGAUGCAAAACCAAUGGUUGAGUGGACACUGGAAGGCACCUUACCAAGUCAAGUCAAGUCAAUAUCUGCAAGUCAGUUGGAGUACGCGUUGGACGGCAAAUCACCAUAUGCAGUUUAUGUCACAAGUCUUCAAUCUCAUAUAUUAAUUUCUCCAAUGUUCAUUAAUUUACUACUUGUUUACUUGGACUACUGACAAAUUUUUCUUCAAAUAUCUUUUUCCACAUAUCGACUUGAAUUAAAGUGAUGAGUCUCUCUUCCUUUUGUUCACCCGUGUCCAUAUUCACUUUUCAAUCUUUCAUUUGAAAACACUACAAUGGCACACUUUCCAAAGAGAUUCCCAAGCAGCUUAUUGGCCUUCCAAGUUUGGGGAAAUUAGCGAGUGGAAAAAAAAUUUCCGAAGCUUUGUUUCUUCGACCAGUUGGCUUUUCAAAGAAAGAAAAAACAUAAAAAUGGUAAAAUAAAGUAAUUGAGCAAUUAAAAAAGCAAAAAGAAAAAAAAAAGGAAUUACCGUUUGUUGACGUUUGAGUUAAAUGUGUAUGUGCAACGACUUAAAACUCUAGUUUACACUCUUUGUGGAACCAAAAAAUUGAAAAGGCUUACCAGUCUUUGUGUGUGUCAGUCAUCAUGAGUUUGCAUACGAAGACUUCAAUGUCUACUUGAAGAUAGCUGUCCACAGCAAGCUCCCUACCCAAAGUUACAAAUUACUAAGACGGACCAAUGCUCAAUAUGACAGGACCCACCCUGAAUUUCUCGGAACUUGAGACGAAUCCUGUGAAAAACUAGUACAUCCCUCCAAUGUCAUGCCCACUUACCAAAACUAUAGCCUCUUUUCCAAAUUAAGGAAAAAAGGUACGAGACUUUUUGCCAAAAUUUCGGCAGAGUCUCCCCUGUAAAUUGGACUUUCUCCAAAUUUUUUUAACCUAUUAAAAAUACAAUUAACAUCCACAACUAGUAGCAUGCACAACUAGUAGCAUGCACAAUUUAACCUUUAAGCAGUUUACGAACUAGGCCUCUGGCCUUUAACAAUUCAGUCAGUUGGGGCACGCGUUGGAAGACAAAUCACCACAUUAAGUCUAAGUCAAUAGUUGCGUUGAAAGGCAAAUCACCAUAUCAAGUCGAAGUCACAAGUCUUCGCGAUCUCAUCCAUUAAUUUCCCCAAUAUUCAUUGAUUUAUUACAUGUUUACUUGGACCACUGACAAUUUUUUCUUCCAUUAUCUUUUUCCACAUAGUAACAUGAAUAAGAGUUGGUUGUACCUUGUACAUUUUUUUUCUCCUUCUUUUUUGAAAUUUGGUAUAGUCCAGUUCUGAUGACAUAAGUGAAAUUGAACCUAUAUCUAAGAGCUCCUUUCAAAGAAAAAACAUAAAAAUGGUAAAAUAAUGUAAUUGAGCAAUUAAAAAAGCAAAAGGGAAAAAAAAGGAAUUACCAUUUGUUGACGUUUGAGUUAAAUGCGAAUGUGCGAAGACUUAAAAGUCUAGUUUCCACUCAAGUAUGUGGACUUAAUAGUCUUUUUGUGGAACCAGAAAAUUGAAAAGACUUUACAAUCUUUUUGUGUGAGUCAAUCAUCAUGAGUUUGCAUACGAAGACUUCAAAGUCUACUUGAAGAUAGGUCCACAGCAAGCUCCUUGCCCAACGUUACAAAUUACUAAGAUGGACCAAUGCUAAAUAGGAUUUAAUUACGAUAAUUAGUUUAUUUAAGGAAUACCUCUUUUUCACGUGUUAUUUUUUUAUUGACCGGUGAAAUAUGUGUUUCCAUAGAUCCCGCAUUGAUUGUCCUAGUAAUUUCCUUUGCAUCUAAAGAAAAUGUAUUUAACCCUAAAAAAAAUGUUACUCCAUCUUGAGACGUUUCCCCUUAAACUUGUUUGCCACACUAAUCACAAGGUAUACUAGUAAAUGUUUCAAACCACCUAGGAUAAUGUUUUCAAGCAUUAGGAGAUAGCAAAAUAAUGUUAUUCAUGUUAUAAGAAAUAUUUUUCCUUUUUGAAUGAUACAUUCAAAUGUAUUUGAAAUGGAAUCUACAUAUACGGGGUGGUUGUUCACAUGGCAUGGUAUGAGAGCAUCAUUGAGCUAUGUCACUAUACAACAAAACAGUAUGCUAUGUCACCCAAUGUACUCAAUUCUUUUUAUAUUAAAAAAUUAACCAAAAUUUUAAAAAUAGUACUUUUAUUUUAUCGAAAUUAAAAAAUAGUACUUGUAUUCCUGCAUCUUACUUUUUAACUCAUGCAUCAUAAUUAAUUUGGAAUCUAAAGUACUUAAUUUAAUUACCUCCAUAAUAAAGAGAUUCGAAUCUAAAGUGUUGAUGCUCAAAAUGGCCCGGCCAAUAUUGAGUCCAACUUAGUGAUUAGAUGUGCUGAGUCUUCAGCAGAGAAGAGGGCUGAGGCCCUUGGUGAAAUGGGUUGGUGAGAGACCUGUAGAAGGUAAAAAGAGGAGAAGCAAUCGUCAAGCUUCGGACACCGGUGUGGUGCCGGCCGAAGGCUCUCCGAUGCCUAAGUCAAUUACAAGUAGUAAUUCUGGCAGAGUAACAGUAAAAGUGGGAGAGUAGUUCUCUGUUUUACUUGGGUACUGUUCCCUAUUUAUAGGGAAGUGAAAGUGGGAGCUUUGCACAAAGUUCCAAUGUGGGACUUUGUGCAAGCCGUUGUGGUGACGACACGUGUCCUGGAGAUUAGGUUUGGCAGCUGAGAGCUUCGGCAGGUGUCUGGCACCUCGGAAGUGUGUCUUCCUUCGGCAUGGGAGAAGGCGUGGCUGCCUUGGUGCUAGUCGCUUUGAUGCUGGGUCUGCUCGGUUCAUUAUGGUGUAAACAGUAGUCCCCCAAGUUCGCGGUCGAGAAGUAACUUCUGGGUUGGGAACUUGUGAGUUUUUGUAAUUGUAACCGAGCAUUCCAGCUUCAUUGGGAGUCGCAGGGCACUCCCUAGUCCCCCAAGUUGGCAAGCUAGGAGUUGCGUCAACACAUGGUAGCUGGGUACCUGGGUACUUGGGCAUGUUGCAGAUAGGAUGGGAGCUGGGUCCCUAGGGGAGCCAGACCUUCGAGGGAGCCGGGUACUUUGAAAAUUUUGGAGACUCCAAUUCUUUCAUGGCUCCUGCCGUGCGGCAAGGGUCUAGCUCACUUUUUUUUUUUUUUGGGAAUGGCCGGGCCAUUUGGGAUUUUUGGACCUCCCCACAAAGCCUCCAUGGCCCUUGCCGUUCGGCAAGGGUCUAAAUUAUUAUUAUUAUUUUUUUUUUUUUUUUUGCAAAUUUUUUUUUUUUUUUUUUUGGGAAUGGGAGCUAGGCCAUUUUGGAUUGGGCCUUCCACAGCUUCUCCAUGGCCCUUGCCGUUCAGCAAGGGUGUAGCCAUUUUUUUUUGUUUUGGAUGGCUUGGGAGCUAGGCCUUCAAGAGAGCCGGGUCGUUUUGAAAAUUUUCGACUCUCCAAAAUGUCUCCAUGGCCCUUGCCGUUCGGCAGGGGUCUAGCUAUUUUUUGGAUUGGGAGCUAGGCCGUGUUGAGAGAGAUUGAAGGCUUAGCUUGGAUUGGGCCUUCGGCAAGUAAGAAAGGCUUGAGUUUGGCCAAAGUGGGCUUCGGCAUGUAAGAAGGCUAGGGUUUGGCCAAAGUGGGCUUCGGCAUGUAAGAAGGCUAGGGUUUUGAUAGGGGUAUAAAAAUGGGAUGAUGGUGAUGCCGUUCGGCAAGGAUCCAUUCGGCAGGUUGAGGUAGAACAAAAUUUUUUUUGAAAUCCAAACUUGCCGUUCGGCAAGUUCUUGGAGUCCCGGUCUUGGAGUCACGGCUGUGGAGUUGCUGUCCGAGGGCUCUGCAGGUGGCUGAGCUUCGGCAGGGCAGCUGGAGUUCUUGGGGGCUGAGCUUCGGCGGCAGCACGGGGGUUGUAGAACCUUCGGCAGGGUCUGGUCGAGGUGCAGUUGAGGUGCUGCGGAGAUCGAAGUGGAGCUGCGACUGAUCUUGCCGUUCGGACGAAGGGGCUGGGCAGUUGUCUAGGCAGGCUGUGCGGCGCAGCAGCUUCGGCAAGGGCUUUGCCGAUAAGACAGCUGCUGGACAAGUGGAUUGGGUGCUGGCCGAGGGGGCUGGGAAGUUGAUUCGGCAGGCGGCAGCGAGGCUGUGCUGUCCGAGGAGGUUGAAGAGCUUCCGACUGGGCUUGCCGUUCGGCAAGGGACUUGGCAGCGGCCAAGGUGUCCAGCGGUUGGAGGCUUCGGCAGGGUUUCGUCGCGGCAGCUGGUUCUGCCAGCUGGGAGAGGUGCUUGGCCAGGUCGUGUGCUUCGGUAUGUCCUCCUUUCCCUCUGAUUUCAUUCUUGCAUAGCCCUUGCCGUUCGGCAAGGGUGCCCUGAGCUGAUUUUUAUUUUUAUUGAUCGUUGUGUUUGAUCAAAGGUGAUAGGCCCGAGCAAAAUUGGAGCUAGGCCAUUGGCACGAGCGCGGCCAAAAAUAACUUGGCUGAAAAAGUAGCUGGGCCGAAAAUAGUUGGGUGUGGAGAGUAUUUUGACCGAAAAGGUGAGUCCCCCCUUUGUUGUUUCUCGGGCCUUGCCGUUCGGCAAGCCCAUUUAUAUUAUGUGGUGGAAUUGGCUUGGGUGUCUUGAUCAAAUUUGGGCCUAGCCUUGUAGUAGGUUUGGGCUUAUGGAGUAGGCUAGCAAACUUGAAAUUUGGGACUCCAUUUUGUUUUUGCACGGGCCUUGCCGUUCGGCAAGGCCCCUAUUUCCCUCAAAAUUUUUGUGUUGGUUAUUGUGUAGUUUGAAAAUUGAAUUCAAAUGUACCUUUAGGAGGGAAUAUGAAAGGGUACUAGGGUUUGCUCGUGAAAUUGAGGCGUGGUACCCUUAGUUGGCUAUAAAAAGGAACUUGGGUGGUGAAGGCAUCACACUUGGCUUGAGUUGAGAAAAAUUGUGAGAAUUUUGAGGAGGAGGAGAAGAGAUUUCCGGCGAAGGUUUUGUGGUGGUGCUUGUGGCUGAGGUGAUUUCCGGGGACUUGUACGUGGUGGUACGAACAAGGUUAGACCUUAUUUCGCUUGAACUUUUGAAUUGAAAUGUCUUGUUUUGCAUGAACAUGUUGAAGGUUAGGAAGAACACAUUGAACAUGAGCAUGAACAUGAUGAACAUGUUGAACAUAUGUAUGAACAUGUAGAAUUCUUGCCUGGCAUGAAGAUUUGGCAAAUUGUUGUUGUUGUGGUUCGAUCCUCUCUGCAUGUGCAUUUAGUUCCUUCUCUUGUUUUUCCAUACUUGUAGAUGUCUGAAAGUUCUGAUAGGGAAAGUCUUGACCCCCCUGCCUUCGGCGGGGAUGAUACUGAGAGUCAAGAGCCGAGUCAAUAUAUAUGUUCUGAAGAGGAAAGUUCAGAGACAGAGGGUAUGGUGGAAGGAACCAUAGAAAGUAGGAUGAUAGGGCCUGGGGGUGAGAGGGCUGAGCCAUCGGGAGACUCUGGGUCGGCUGCAUAUAGGGAGAUGCAGAGAAAUUAUAUAGAGUUAGAGGCUAUAGCAAAUCGGGUUCUAGCCUUGCCUCAGACGCAAGAAGUGGGUUCGAGCAACCAGGCAUCACCAUCAGGGUCUGUGGGUAUAGCCGUGGCUUCGGUGUCAGAGGGAUUAGACAUCCGGGUUGGUGUCCCGUUGCCGAGGCGGAAUACACUUACAGAAGCGAAAUUGGCCCAGCUACGAACAGAUUUUUGUGUGCCAGCCUAUGUGGGCUUGAGGUUACCCACGGAGGUUGAUGUAGUCAGAUAUCCUUCGGAUGGCUCCGUGAUGAUUUUUACAGAUAUGUAUCGGCAUGGCUUCAGACUACCGUUUCAUCCGUGGGUUCAGAUGAUGUUGGCCAAGUUGGGGUAUGCACCGGGGCAGUAUAAUCCCAACUUUUGGAUUCUUCUUCAUGGGGUGUAUAUCGCCUGGUGGUUGGCUGGGUUAGGGGAGCCAACGUUUGAGCAGUUCAUGUACCUGUACUCCAUUUCGAAGCAACAGGGGAAUUUUGGCUGGGUACAGGCCAAUUGCCGAAAGGCGAAGGAGAGGGGCUAUUUUAUUGGACACAAGCCCACAACGCAAAAGUCCUGGAGGAACAGGUGGUGCUUGGCCUAUGGGGACUGGGAAUGUCCUCCAGGGAAGAGCGUUGUCCAGCACAUUCCUACCCACUUCCAGUCUAUAGGUCCUUGCCCCAUCCCUUAAGAUUGUCAAAUGCCUGAUUGUGUUGUUUUGGCUCCUAUUUUUGGUUCUGUACUUCCUUUGUGCCAGUGUAAAUGGCUAAGUAGUUUCUAACUCUUGAUGCAGGUUCAGUGAAGUGGGGCCCUAUCUCCAAGGAGCAAGAAGACGAAGUUGAGUGGGUGAGGGCGCAGCUAUCAGAGACUGAGCGUGAGUGCGGGAACCUAGUCACGCAGAAGAAUUUGUUUGAGUCCGGACUGCUGCAAGGAAGUAAGUACCUGGGUUAUCUUUUUGUUGUGUGCUAAGCCUGUUGUAAGUUUGAGUAAUAGAGUUGCUUUGUUUGUUUUGACAGUGGCUGGCAUCAUAAGGGGGAGCACGAAGGUGGCCGUAGACAUUGAUGAGGCCGAGAUGCAGAAGCGGCUGAGGGAGUCUCGGGCCAAGAAAGCUGAGAAAAUUGCUGGGAAACGACCCAGGGAUGAUGAUGAGGGUCGGGUCGCGGACGUGCUGGGGAAGAGGAAGGCUUUGGAGGAGGCUCAUCAGCAUGUGAUGGGGUCAGGGCCGAGGCUUCCGCCCUUUGAUCUGCAGGCACCGCCGAAGCUACCCUUCGGCAUGGAGGAUGUGUUCGCUGAAGGGGUAGAGAAGGUAGACUUCGGCAGGCUACGCCAGCAGAAGAAGGAGGUCAACCUGGCUAUGCACCGGCAGGAGGUGCCCUUAGUGAAAGUCUUCCUGGAAGGCGUGAAGAGCGACCCUGAGGCUCUGGCGAGGACUCCAGCUGCUUCCUUCAUUGACCGGGCCCAAAAGACGAUCCUCACCUCUGCCUAUGUAAGUGUUUAGGCCAUUUUUGAAUGUAUUUGUGUUGGAUUAUUUGUGUGGAUUGACUAACAUGGUUUUGGUUUUGCAGGCCUUUGGCGAGAUGUACGUCAGCAUGGCCAAGGCUGACAAGGAGAUCCAGAGGCUGAAGAGGCGGGAUGAGCUAGCCAAGAGCAAAAUGGCAGAGGCGCAGGAGGCCAUCCGAGAGAAGAACACCUUGCUGGUUCAGAAGGCGGCCCUGGCCAAGGAGGUGGAGGAGCUGAAGAGAUCUAGGGCCGAGGAGGUGGCUGCUGCCCGAGCCGAGGCGAUUGAGUCCUUCCGAUCCUCAGAGGAGCUGAAGAGCUAUAUCAUGGACCGACUGGUUGAUGAGCAGCUUCGCUGGGAAGAUAGGUUGGUUAGGUUCAACCCCUCACUGGAGAUUAACUUUGACACCAGUGGCGAGCCUCCUGCACAGACCCCUCCUGCUGAUGCUAGCGCCCCGACACGAGAGGCUGAGCCAGCCACUGAGGAUGCUCCUUCGACCGAGUCCUGAAGGCGUUGCCUUCGUGAUGUGUUAUAGCUAUUUUGUACUCUAGUGAUUGUGUUUGAACACUUGUUUGUUUUGUUUACUUUGGUUAUGUAUGAACAUUUGUCCUUGCCUGGAGCAAGGCUGUUUUUAUUUAUGAUAUGAACUUAGCUUGAUAUCAAUUGUGUUAACAAUGAUAACAAUGUGAGUUCAUGAGAAUGAGCCUGAGUCAGGCAUUUUAUUGAAAUAGAUGCCGAAAGGCAGAAGGUACAAGUGGUCUAGGGUCUAGAUACCUUACGUCUAACUUACAGUAAAUAAUCAAGACCAAAGUAUUAUCCUAGGGUCUAGAUAUGUUUACUUGUAAUAGUACUUGAGGUGGUCAGCAUUCCACGGGUGAGGCAGCGUCUUGCCUGAGGAAUCACGAAGCUGAUAAGUGCCGGGGCAGCAGAUUUUGAUAAUCUCAUAAGGACCUUCCCAUGUAGGGCCGAGGGUACCCUCGUUGGGAUUUUUGGUAGCCAAGGAAACCUUGCGCAUGACCCAGUCCCCCAUUUUGAAAGCACGGGGCUUGACUCGGGAGUCAUAGUAUUUGGCGAUGCGUUGCUUGUACGCGGCAUUGCGCAUGCUUGAUUGGUCCCGGAGUUCGUCAAUGAAGUCGAGGUUGAGGGCCAACUGCUCGUCAUUGGCCGUGGCAUCGUAAGUGGAGGUUCGGUAUGUGGGCUGGCCAAUCUCUACCGGAGCCACGGCCUCGGUUCCAAAUGAUAGGGAGAACGGCGUUUCACCCGUGGAUGUGCGGAAGGUGUUGCGGUAGGACCAGAGUACUUCUGGGAGUAGUUCUGGCCAGCAGCCCUUGGCUUUGUCAAGUUUUGUCUUGAGGGUCUUCUUGAUAAUUUUGUUCACGGUUUCGACCUGGCCAUUGGACUGAGGAUGGGCUGGGGAGGCGAAACACAGACGAAUCUUGAGGUUCGAACAAAAUUGUUUGAAUUUGGCGUUGUCAAAUUGCCGGCCAUUGUCGGUGAUGAUGGAGUUGGGGAUGCCGAAGCGACAUACAAUGUUUUGCCACACAAAGGAUUCGAUGCGAGCCGCAGUGAUGGUGGCCAAGGCCUCGGCCUCAGCCCACUUGGUGAAGUAGUCUACGGCCACAACAGCAUACUUGACUUGGCCCUUGCCCUCUGGCAUCGGUCCGAUGAGAUCCAGUCCCCAUUGGGCAAAUGGCCAAGGACUGACCAUGGCCGUCAGUGGUUCUGCCGGGAGUUGUGGAAUGUUGGCGAAUCUCUGACAUUUGUCGCAUUUUUGGGUGAAGGCCUGGGCGUCAGUGUGGAGUGAAGGCCAGAAAUAUCCUUGGCGGAUUGCCUUAUGAGCUAACGAGCGUGCGCCCGAGUGGUUGCCGCAGAUGCCUUCAUGGAUUUCUCGGAGGACAUAGUGACCCUCCUCUGGAGUCAGGCAUCGGAGGUAAGGAAGGCUGAAACCCCGCUUGUAUAAGGAGCCAUUAAUGAUCAGGUAACGGGCAGAGCGAUGGCGAACGCGUCGUGCUUCUGCCGGAUUAGCCGGUAGUGUUUGGUUUUGUAAGAAUUGGAGGAUGGGGUCCAUCCAUGUAGGGCUGUGAUCAAUAGUGCAGAUGAGUGGGGCUUGUGUGCUGGGCUGGGCCAAAAACUCGAUGUGGAUGUGGCGACCCAGUCCUUGCUCCAAGGCUGAUGCCAACCUGGCUAGUGCAUCGGCAUGGCUAUUCUCGGAGCGCGGCACCUGCCUGAUAGAGUGGGCUUGGAAGUUUGCCAGCAAGUGCCGAGCUUGCUGGAGGUAGGCCGUCAUAGAGGCAUCCUUAGCCGUGAAGUCCUGGUUGACCUGGUGGACCACAAGUUGUGAAUCGCUGAAUAUCUGAAUUUGCCUGGCGUCCAUCUCUUUGGCUAAUCGAAGACCAGCUAAGAGUGCUUCAUAUUCGGCCUCAUUGUUGGAGGCUUGGAAUUUGAAGCGAAGGGCGUACUCGAGGGCAACCUUGUCUGGGGAGAUGAGAACGAGGCCGGCCCCACAGCCCUGGGCAUUAGAAGAGCCGUCUACGAAUAAGGUCCACAGGGGCUGGGUUAGGUCGAGAUUGCCUUCGGUGGGGGUUUGGUCCUGGCUGGGAGGGGGGUUGGGUUCGAUUAUGAGCUGGGUAGCUGCGGAAGCUUGGGGAUCCGUGAAUUCGGAUAGGAAGUCAGCAAUGGCCUGGCCCCUCAUAGCCGGGCGGGGUUUGUAGUGAAUAUCAAACUCGCCCAGUUCAAUGGCCCAUUUGACCAGCCUCCCAGAGGUUUCUGGGUUCUGCAACACCUGUCGGAGCGGGUGGUUGGUUAAGACAUGGAUGGUGUGAGCUUGGAAAUAUGGUCGGAGGCGUCUUGCCGAGACGACCAGGGCGAAUGCCAAUUUUUCGAUGUCCGGGUAACGAACUUCGGCAUCUUGCAAUGCUUUACUAACAUAAUGCACUGGGUGCUCCGCGUGAUCUUUUGAUCGGAUAAGCACAGAGCUAACAGCCGAAGCUGAGAUGGAGAGAUAAAUCACGAGGAUGUCUCCGUGCUCAGGGGUUGACAAUAAAGGGGCCCGACCCAUAUACUCCUUCAGCUCGCUGAAAGCCGUGUCACAUUCAGCAGUCCAGGUCAUGUUUCUUUUGGUGCCUUUAAGGGCCUUGAAGAAUGGGGCGCAACGGUCAGUGGCUUUGGAGAUAAAUCUGGUCAGGGCUGCGACACGCCCUGUAAGGCUUUGGAUAUCCUUGGCCGUCUUAGGUAUUGUCAUAUCUAAGAUGGCCUGGAUCUUUUCUGGAUUGGCCUCAAUGCCCCUCUGGCUGAUCAUGAAGCCAAGGAAUUUUCCGGAAGCCACCCCGAAUGCACAUUUGGUGGGGUUAAGCCUCAUUUUGUAUUGCUUCAGAAUGGUGAACAUGGCAGAGAGGUUGGGGAUGUGCUGGUCAGCCGUGCGACUCUUGACUAGCAUGUCAUCGACAUAGACCUCCAUGGUAUUGCCAAUCAGGGGGGCAAAGAGCUGAUUCACCAGACGCUGAUAAGUGGCCCGGCGUUUUUGAGGCCGAAGGGCAUCACCUUAUAGCAGUAGAGGCCGCGGUCCGUAAUGAAAGAGGUGUGUGCCUGAUCUUCGGGGUGCAUGAAGAUCUGGUUGUAACCUGAAUAAGCAUCCAUGAAGCUAAGGAGGGCGUGGCCGGCUGUGGCGUCGACUAGCUGGUCAAUGCGGGGUAGCGGGAAGCUGUCCUUUGGGCAUGCCCGAUUAAGGUUGGUGUAGUCGACACACAUGCGCCAGCCCUUUCUUGGCUUGCGGACCAUCACGACAUUGGCCAGCCAUGUGGGAUAGUCAACCUCCCUGAUGAAUCGGAUACUACUCAAUCGAUCCACCUCCGCCUUCAUGGCCUCAUAGCGCUCGGGAUCAUAGGCUCGACGCUUCUGUCGGACUGGUCGGACGGCAGGAUUGACGCUAAGCCUAUGAGAUAUGAUGUCUGGUGAUAUGCCAGGCAUGUCAUUGUAGGACCAAGCGAAGACUUCGGAGUUGAGGCGGAGGAAGGCGACCAGGUCAGAGCGAAGCUCUGGUGAGAUGGAGGUGCCGAUCCGGACUUGUCGAUCCGGGAUAUCGUCAUGGAGGGUAACCAGCUCCAGGUCCUCCAUAGGUUCGGCCUGUGGUGCGAUGGACUCCUCCCUGGGGUCUUCAGGUGGGUCUGUGCCAGCUUGAGGAGGGGCGGGAGCCUGGGUUACUGCUAGGGCUUCACUCCUAUGUUGGCGAUUGGUGGAUUUGAUGGCUGAAGCAUAGCAGCUUCGGGCUCCGAGUUGGUCGCCGCGCACCGUGCCUGGGCCAUUAGGAGUGGGGAACUUCAACAGCAGUAUAUGCGUGAAAAUAAAAGCCUUCAUUUGGGCCAAGGCUGGGCGGCCGAGGAUGACGUUGUAGGCUGUGGGGCAAUCGACGAUAAGGAAGGGGGUAGUGAUCGUCGUCCGCUGGGGUGCGGCCCCAAUUGAGAUGGGGAGAUGAAUGCUGCCAAUGGGCUGGACCACAUCACCCGAGAAGCUCACAAGGGGUGUGAUGCUUCGGUCGAGUAGGUGAGGCGGGACCUGGAGUUCAUUGAAGCACUCGGCGAACAUCACACUGACCGAGCUGCCAGUGUCCACCAGGAUACGCCCAACGUCGAAGUUAGAAAUGUCAGCCCGGAUAAUAAGUGGAUCGUCAUGGGGGAGGAUAACACCACGCUCCUCCUCCUCGCAGAAGGUAAUGGGGGCCCAGCCAGUCCUGUGGGUCUUUGGCAAUCGUCCCUGCUCGGUGCUGAAGACCUGGUGCGCAUAGGUGGAGCGGACAUAAUGUUUGAUGGAGUUGUUGGAGGUGCCAGCCAGGGUAGGACCUCCGCUGAUGGUGGAGAUCAUGUUGAUUUGUCGUUGGUGAGGGUUAGGCGGGGCUGGUAUGUUGCGCACAUAGUUGUCCAGCUUACCUUCCCGGAUGAGCCCUUCAAUUAUGUUGCGCAAGGCAACACAAGAUUCGGUGUCAUGGCCGCUGAAUUGAUGAAAGCGGCAGAAGACCCCCGUGUUUGGCAUAGGCUUGUUGGAUGGUCUCCGGGGGGGUGGCUUGGGGAUGAUGGGGGCUUCACGUGCCAGGACGUUCUCAUAGGUGGUGUUGAGGGUCGUAAAAACCUCAAACCUGGGCCUGGGUGCGAAUGGAAGUGGGGCCCGAUCACCAGGCCUGGGAGGGUUGCUUCCACUAGAUUGAUGGGGGUUGCCAUGUCUGCCACGUUUGUGAUUGCCGAAGGGAUGCUGGUAGCUAUCCUUCCGCUUAUGUGGUUGGUUGUCCUGGGCAAUCGGGGCAGGGGUAGAAUGCUGAGGUGGGGCUGGGGCGGGUGCUGAAGCCGGUGGAGGGUCGGCGAAAGUGUUGCGCGCCAAGUUGGCUGGGCCACGCUUGGAAUUGAAGUAUUCAGCCUUAGCGUGGAUCGCCGCCUGCUUCAUCAGCUCUGCAUAUGUGUUCCAACUGUUGCUAUGAACCAGGUAGCGGAAGUUGGACUCGCGGAGGCCGCUCUUAAAAGCGCCGAAGGCAGCGCGAUCGUCAGUGUCUGGGCAGCGAGAGUAUUCAUGACUGAACCGAGCUGCAUAUUCCCGAAGGGGUUCGUCCUCAGCCUGCCUAAGCAUAUACAAGUCGUCGGCAGAGUAUAGGCGAUCAGUCUGGAUCAUAAAAUGGUCCAGGAACGUCUGCUUGAGACUAUCGAAGGAGUUGAUGGUGCAGGGGUGGAGCCUGUAGAACCAAUUCAGGGCCGCGCCGCUGAGGGUGGAAGGGAAAAGGAGGCACAUGCCUUCAUCAGUGAGGCCUUUGCACCCAAGGGCAGACUGGAAGGAGUGGAUGUGGGUGAGAGGGUCCUCCGUGCCAGUGUAGAAAGCGAUGCGGAGGGGCUGGAUAUCUUUCUCCUGGUGGUAGUGGAGGAUGCGUUCAGUAAAGGGCCCUGGUCGUGGUUUUGCCCAGAGGGGUUGAUGGCUGCGUUGUUGUUCGCUUUCCAAGCGCCGGACCUUUUCGAAGAGAAGCCUCAUGGCCGGGUCGGCAUGAGGAAGAGUUUCAGGCGCCAAAGGCCUGGGGGCGGGGCAGACAGGGACUGGGGAUUGUUCCCAAUUUUCCAGCGCCCCGGUGUGGUAAUUUGGCCAGGUCUCCGAAUUAUAAAAGUCCCAAGUAUCCGAGUCCCCGACACCUUCCUCGUCGGGUAUGCGGACGGGGGCUGGCGAAGGGCCCGGGUGUGUCACCCGUGGGUCUUCGAGGUUGACAGGGAUAGGGAUCGGCCUUGGCUGGCGGUCCGAGAGGCGAUCCCUGCAAUCUUGGUAGAUCCUGACUGGUUCAUGGGGCCGGUCCCUCGGUGGGGGAACGCAAAGGGGUCGUGACUGGGCUAUCUCCGGAUGAAGGUGGUCCUUACCCUUGCGGAGCCUAGCCUGGGCCGAGGCACUGUGGCUGGAAUGUACCGGCUGGUUCGGCUGAGUAGGCCCAACGUUCUGGGUGAGGUCUUGCGGGGCAUCCUGGGUGUGAGUCCUUUCCCAGUUCCGCUUUAAAACACGGUAGUCAUGUUCUAGCUCAAUGUUCCUGCAAUGAAGGUGGUCGUAUUUUUCCGACAUUUUAGUGACACUGUCGCGGAGACGCUCCACUUCUGCCUGGAGAGUGGCAUCUUCCGAAGAUCUCCUUCUAGAAGUACCAUCGCGGGGGGUAUGAUGCUGGGUAUCGCGGCUAUCCUCGGUCGGCAUAGCAGAAUGUGGGGUGAAGAAGAGGCGACGGGGCCUGAGGGGUGAAGGAGCCAGCUGGGCUGAUAGAGAAAGAGGGGAUUCAAGUGUCGAUUUCCCACAGACGGCGCCAAACUGUUGAUGCUCAAAAUGGCCCGGCCAAUAUUGAGUCCAACUUAGUGAUUAGAUGUGCUGAGUCUUCAGCAGAGAAGAGGGCUGAGGCCCUUGGUGAAAUGGGUUGGUGAGAGACCUGUAGAAGGUAAAAAGAGGAGAAGCAAUCGUCAAGCUUCGGACACCGGUGUGGUGCCGGCCGAAGGCUCUCCGAUGCCUAAGUCAAUUACAAGUAGUAAUUCUGGCAGAGUAACAGUAAAAGUGGGAGAGUAGUUCUCUGUUUUACCUGGGUACUGUUCCCUAUUUAUAGGGAAGUGAAAGUGGGAGCUUUGCACAAAGUUCCAAUGUGGGACUUUGUGCAAGCCAUUGUGGUGACGACACGUGUCCUGGAGAUUAGGUUUGGCAGCUGAGAGCUUCGGCAGGUGUCUGGCACCUCGGAAGUGUGUCUUCCUUCGGCAUGGGAGAAGGCGUGGCUGCCUUGGUGCUAGUCGCUUUGAUGCUGGGUCUGCUCGGUUCAUUAUGGUGUAAACAUAAAGUAUUAGGAAUUUUCUUUAGCACCUUGACAUUCAAUUUUCUCUAGUCUCAUUAUGAUUGACGUGUGAUUUCCAUAACAUUAAUUAUGCAUUGUAUAUAGCAGAUAAUUUACUCCUUUAUAUGGUUUUGUCUUGUAUGAUUGUGUGGCUUUCUUCCUUUUUUCCUAUAUAUAUCUGAUGCAAGCUAGCAUAUAUCAAUAUACACUUGCAGUGUUUUUGCAUGUGCAUGUGCUUUUGAUCAAUUAACAUGAAGGGCGACGGAAGGUGCUUGAAACUCUUUCUUGCAUUAUCGAUCCUUUUCCUACAAAACGUAAAAGGAGGAGAAGUUGGCCACAGCCACAACCACAGCCACAGUCACAGCCUCAGAGAUGCUAAAGUGACAGUGAGGUGCAUAGAGAGGGAAAGGCAAGCACUACUUGCAUUCAAACGUGGCCUGGUGGAUGAGUUCAAUCUACUCUCAACUUGGGGUUCAGAAGCCGAAAAACAAGAUUGUUGCAGAUGGGAAGGAGUCUAUUGUAGCAACCAAACUGGCCAUGUGAUUCAACUUCAUCUUGGAUAUUCUUUCCUUGAUGAGAUGUUUCAACCUGCUUUUGAAUAUUCUUUCCAAGGUAAGAUGAUUAGUCCUAAACUGAUUGAGUUGCAGCAUUUACAAUAUUUGCACCUUGCAUCCAUUGAUUUCAAUGAGAGCCAAAUUCCUGAUUUCAUUGGUUCUCUAACCAAUCUAAGAUACCUCAGUUUCCAUUCCUGUCAUUUGGUUGGUCAAAUUCCAAGUUCGUUUGGAAACCUCACGCAAUUGCAAUAUCUCGACCUCAGCUAUAAUUAUCAGCUUCAACCAGAAAAUCUCAAUUGGCUCGUUGCUCUUUCUUCUUUAACGGAUUUGGGCCUUGCAUCCUUUGAUUUCAAUUGGAGCCAAAUUCCAGAUUUCAUUGGUUCUCUAACCAAUCUAAGAAACCUCAAACUCUCUUCCUGUAAUUUGGUUGGUCCAAUUCCAAGUUCGUUUGGAAACCUCACACAAUUGCAACAUCUCGACCUCGCCAAUAAUCAGCUUCAACCAGAAAAUCUCAAUUGGCCCCCCGCUCUUUCUUCUUUAACAGAUUUGGACCUAAGCGGAAACAAUCAAAAUACUGUUUUGGACCUUGCAUCGAUUGAUUUCAAUGGGAGUCAAAUUCCAGAUUUCAUUGGUUCUCUAGCUAAUCUAAGGUACCUCAGUCUCAGUUCCUGUAAUUUGGUUGGUCAAAUUCCCAGUUUGUUUGGAAACCUCACGCAAUUGCAACAUCUCGACCUUAGCGGUAAUCAUCUUCAAGCAGAAAAUCUCAAUUGGCUCCCUGCUCUUUCUUCUUUAACGUAUUUGGACCUAAGCGGAGCCAAUCUCAGUACUGUUUUCGAUUGGCCAGAAGCAGUACUUAAUAAGCUCCCUAAACUAGAAGAGUUGACCUUGGUGAACUGUAGUCUUCCUCCUCCUCCUCCUCCUCCUCCUACUCUUUACAAAACAAAUUCUUCUACAUCUCUUGCGUAUGUUGAUCUCUCUGACAACCAUCUCACUUCUUCAAUAUUUCUUUGGUUGUCCAACUACAGUACAAGCCUUGUUGCUCUUGGCCUCUCCAACAAUCAUCUAUCUGGUUUCAUUCCCAAUUUCAUUGGAAACAUGAGCUCUCUUGUGGAUCUGGAUCUCUCUGAUAACCAGAUUAAAGGAGCGAAUCCAAAUUCGUUUGCAAGGCUGUGUAAUUUGCAAACAUUGCAGCUUCAAAGAAAUCAUCUGAGUGGACAAUUAUCUCAACUAUUGCCUAGAUGUGCUCAAAACUCAUUAGAGGAAUUGUACCUCUCUAAUAAUGUUCUUGCGGGGUCAUUAAACAAUCUUACAAGCUUCUCAUCUUUGGAAGUCUUGCAUCUUAGCGCCAAUCAAUUAAGCGGAAAAAUACCUGAAAGUGUUGGGCAAAUGUCCCAACUGUAUGACAUUGAUUUCAGCAUGAACUCUUUGGAAGGGGUGGUUUCAGAAACUCAUUUCUCAAAACUCUCCAAAUUAGAAUAUUUGGAUUUAUCCUCUAACUCACUAGUUUUAAACUUUAGUUCUAAUUGGGUUCCUCCCUUCCAGUUGAGAUACAUAAAUUUGACGUCCUGCAAGGUCGGUCCCCUUUUCCCAAAAUGGCUUCAAACUCAAAAACAUUUUUCCCUGCUUGAUAUUUCUAAUGCUGGAAUAUCUGAUAGCCUUCCAAGUUGGUUUUGGAGUAAUUUUCGUAGCGCAGACAUUAUUAAUCUCUCACAGAAUCUAAUCAGAGGAAUACUUACAAAUUUGACAGCAGAAUUUCCAUUUUACGCAGAACUACAUUUAAGUUCGAACCAAAUAGAAGGUCCAAUUCCCUCAAUUCUAUCACAAGCCUCAUAUCUGGAUCUCUCUAAUAAUAACAUUUCAGGGUCGCUUUCUUUCCUAUGUGCAAGUGCAGAUAUGAGUUAUCUUAAUCUUUCAAGCAACAGUUUUUCUGGAGAACUUCCGGAUUGCUGGAGCCAUUUGGAGAAUAAUCUAGUCAUGCUUGAUUUGAGUAACAACGCUUUUUCCGGAAAAAUUCCCAUGACAAUAGGCUCUUUAUUUCAAAUGCAAACUUUGAAAUUAAGAAGCAACCGAUUUGUUGGAGAAUUGCCUUCAUCGUUGAAGAACUGCACAAGUUUAGAGGUUAUUGAUCUGGGAGAUAAUAAAUUAUCAGGACCAAUACCUACAUGGUUAGGUGUGAGCUUCAAUAAUUUGGUUAUCCUGAUGCUUUCCUCUAAUCACUUCAAUGGAAGCAUGCCCUCGCAAUUAUGUCAUCUAACACGAAUUCAAAUUAUGGAUUUUUCUGUGAACAACAUCUCUGGAAGCAUACCCAAAUGCCUCAACAAUUUGACUACUCUGGCUCAAAAAGGAAAUCCAAGUCUAUCCAGUAGACAUUCUUAUACGAGACUUAUGGGUAAUAACACAGCUGCUAGUGCUAAUUAUGAGGAUGAUGCAAGCUUCAUAUGGAAAGGAAGAAUGCAGACAUACAAAAGCACUUUGGGACUUGUGAAAAGAAUUGAUCUCUCAAGCAAUAGAUUAACAGGGGAGAUUCCAAGUGAAAUCACUCAUCUUGUUGAGUUGGUUUCUUUAAACCUUUCAAGAAACCGGUUAACAGGUCAAAUAACUCCAGAGAUUGGAAAUUUGCAGUCAUUGGAUUCUCUUGAUUUGUCAAGAAACCAGAUAGAUGGAAGAAUUCCGACAAGCCUUGCUCGGAUAGAUCGUCUUAGUUUCUUGGACCUGUCAUAUAACAACUUGUCUGGCAAAAUACCAACAGGCACUCAGCUCCAAAGCUUUGAUCCCCUUGAUUAUGCUGAAAAUCCUCAACUAUGUGGACCUCCACUUAAAAAGAUGUGUGCUGAUCAAAAUGAGCCAUUGAGCAAUGAAGAGGAUAAGGAUGAGUUUAUAACACUGGGAUUUUACAUCAGUAUGGGGAUUGGAUUUGCUGCUGGAUUUUGGGGAGUUUGCGGCACUUUGAUAUUCAAUAGGUCAUGGAGAUAUGCAUACUUGAAGUUCUUGAAUGGUUUAAAUGAUUGGCUCUAUGUGAAGAUAGCUUUGAGCAAGCGGCAACUAAAGCUAGCAUAUGCUUAGUAGAUAAGCUCGCAACGGUACUCUCUCAUUCAUCAUUAAUUUUGUUUUAUAAUUAUUUUUCUUAUUGCAUUUUUUCCUUUUCUCCAUACUGACGGGUAUUAGUUUGUUUACUUUGAUAUUUAGCUGCAGCAUCUAAAUUAGGAGAAAAGUAGUUGUAGCUGAAUGCCUUCUUUCAGUUCAAGUGUGGAAGAUUGCCAGUAGCCGCACGCACAAGUAUCUGGAGAAGAGUUUACGAGUUAAUUUGGAGUGCUUAGUAGGAAUAAAUAUUAUUCAUAUUAGUGUUAAUUACUUGUCAGAAUAAUUAAUUCGGAAUUCUCCAAUUAAUGUUUUUUAAUAUAUUUGUUAUAGAGAAAUAAACAGAUCCAUUUUAAUCCAAGCUCACUCCGAUUAAUGUAUUAAUUCCAGCUAUAAUGUUAUUUUAAUGAACUAAGCCAAAGCCAAAGCGGACUUGAUUUCAAAUUACAAUGUGUGGCUCUGUUUUGGUCAUCUAUUUGCAACGUACAGCUUCUCCUUGUAAAUGCGUGGCUUUGUUUUGGUCAUUCUUUCCUUUCAUAAUUCAACAUCUUGUUCUGGAUUCCUUUUUGUAAACAGACUUUUUGUAUUUGGUCUAUUUUGUGGAUUUUAAGAUUGUGUUAGGCUUACUUGUUAGCUGCAAAAUGCCUUGUACCAAAACUAAAUGGUUUAUCCAUACUCUUCUUGGCUUCAAGCUGAUAUCUCCUAAAGUAGAAAUGAAGAAAUAAAAUAGCUUCUAAAUUACACGAGAUUCUACCCCCAGCUUGCUUGCAGUAUAUGAUACACAUAUCUAGCACGUUGAAUCCAUACAGAAAAACCAAAAGCAGCAUAUGAUACACAUAUCUUGCACGUCUCUUGCUAAGACGCCAAGAGUUAGGUUCACGGUAUCUAUCAUAUAGCGGUUCAAUACGUUCUUGACGCUUGCGCUUGCUCAUCUUGGUGGGAUCUGCCACUUUGAAGAACCUGGGUGCCAGUUCCGCGAGCCAUCUGGGGUCAACGACUGUCACCUCGCGCAUGUACUCCUUUGUGGUCAUAACCAGCUCCUGGUAGAUCACCCAAUCUGGUUGUCUCUGGAAGAGGGCGCUGCUUGGGUGUAUAUAAACUGGUUGGUUCUCCACUAGGGUUCUAUAACCCUCCUGCGGGUCCUUUCUAGCACCGUGGAAGAAAAACCCUGCUGUAAUUGCCUUCCUGAUCUUUGUAAAAUUCUUUCCAGCACUGACAACAUCUAGUUUAUACCUGAAAUUCACAAUCUAUAGUCAGAAUGCAAUUUCAUCUUCAAAUCAGAAAACUUAGAAAUCUUUGAUCACUGUUAUAAACUAAAGCAACCGGUGCUAGUAGAGACAUUGGCAUGACAAACUUAUGCUAAGUUUUUAUACACAAUCUUUAUAAUAAUCUAUCCUAGAACUUACAUGACAAUGCUAUGUCAAUCAAAGAAAUCUGUUAAUGGCGAUGGUAGGAUGUGUAAUAUGCCAUCUGAAUUUCCAUAUCAACUUAUAAAACAGUUUUGCAAUAUUUUGUACAAACAACACUUUACCAAGAAAAACAAUUCCAGUAUCAAAAUGACUAACAUGUCAGCACAAGAGAGCACAUUUGAAGAGCAUAUACUGGCAAUUUAGCUAUACACAAGAGUAGUUAUAAUUUAUAAAGAUACUAUACUUAACCAUUGAAAAAAUGGGAAAAAAGCACUUCUGCUAAUAAUGCUCGGAAAACAGUGUAUGUAACAUCAACAUGAGUCAUGACAACUCGUAAUGACCUAUUCAAUGCUCAGGUAUCAUAUAUCAAGAUUUUAAAACACAAACUAGGCCUGAACAACAUUUCAGCAUUUCCAUCAAGUACAGACAGCAAAAGGCGUGCCUAAUUCACGACUACUGCAAAAAUACAAUGUACCAAACAUAAGAAAACCUAGAACAUUAAUCUACAUCUUUUAAAACCAUUCAUGCACAUGUGAAACCAGAAAAAAAAUCCAUGCAGCCACGAAUACACAUCAAGAUAAAUUAGAAGAACAUACUUGUCCAUGAUGCUGAGAAGCUGUUUUCUGACAUCCUGUGCCCUCCUCAAGGAUCGAGACUGAACAAAGUUCUCAAAACACCAUGGCCCUGAAAAAUUCUUAGCUUUCCAUGCCUCAUAGACUGCAAGUAAAGUCAGAUGAUCUCCUUCUGGCUGGAAAAACUUGGCUCUCUUCUGAUCUGCCUGGGCUUGUUUUUCCCUAGGCCUGUAAAAAAUAUUACCAGUCUGAAUCAUUGCAAUGAUGGUCAAGAUCUCAUCACUGCAUCCAAGGUCGACACUGCCCAGUAGCAUCUUAGACAAGGUGGAUCCAGAGGAAACUCAGCCAUUUUCCUACCCAAUUUGGUGAGCAGCCCCUCCUCAUCCAGUGCUCCUAAACUGUACAAUUGUUCCAUGGCAGAAAUGAGUGCUUGGGGUGAAGGAGGAUCCAUAAAAUCAAAAGACAAGAGAUCAUUUAUCCCCAUAGCUUUCAUCGUAAGUGAAGUUGUCCCAAGAUUUAUCCUCUGGAUUUCUGGAAUUGAAGUAGGGGACAUCUCAUUGCGGUAUGCACUCUCAGUGUAGAGGCGGUAACAUUUCCCAGGGCCUGUACGCCCAGCGAACCCAGCUCGUUGCUUGGCUGAUGCUUGGGAAAUUGGAGUUAUGACAAGUGAAUCUAGGCCCUGCUUUGGGUUAUAAACAUUUUGCUUUGCAAAACCAGGAUCAAUGACAUAAAAUAUCCCAUCAAUGGUCAGUGAUGCCUCAGCAAUAUUAGUAGCCACAACUACUUUCCUCUAACCUGGUGGGGCAGGAUCAAAUAUCCUUGACUGCAUUUCACUAGGAAGGGCACUAUACACUGGUAGGAUAAUCAACUCAGGGACAUUUUUACCAAGACCUUUCAUCCUCUCAUAAAGAGACUAGCAUGCAAAAUCGAUCUCUUCUUGUCCAGUCAAGAAAAGAAGGAUGUCACCUUCAGGUUCUGUCAAGUGUAUUUGUAGAACAGUUAUUAGAGAUGCAUCAAGGUAGUCACUUUCCGUCUGUUUAGUGUAAAGUAUCUCUACAGGAAAGUUCUCCCAGGGAUAGUGAAGAUGUUACAGUUGAAGAAAUAACCAGAAAACUUCUCCGCAUCCAAAGUAGCAGAUGUGACAAUCAAACGAAGGUCUGGUCUCCGCUUCACAAGCUUCUUCAGUAGUCCAAAAAGAACAUCUGUGUGGAUUGUCCUCUCAUGAGCUUCAUCAAGCAUGACCACAGAAUACUGAGAAAGGUUCUCGUCAAUCAAAAUCUCCCGAAGAAGCAUACCAUCAGUCAUGUACUUGAUGACAGUAUUGGGACCAGUGCAAUCCUCAAAACGAAUUGCAUAGCCGACUUCCUCUCCUAAACGACAACCAAACUCUUCAGCAACCCUCUUGGCCACAGACAUGGCAGCCACCCUAUGUGGCUGUGUACAAUCAAUCUUACCCAUUGUCGAGCUCAUUCUCUCCAAUGGCCGGCGUGACGGGCCAACAUCAUCCUCUUCCACAAUCCUAAUCCCAGAAAGACCAGUCCUAGUCACAGGUCCAUCCUUUGAAAAAGAUGGGUUCGUCCUAAGAGCAUCAUCCUCUGAGCUCUAAUUCAAGGGGAGCAAAUCCUUCCCUGUAUGUUGAUCAACAUCCCUCAUCGAAAGGCUCAACUUCUGACCUGAAAUUGAAAUCACCUUCACAUAAACUUCCUGAUCCCUCUUCACCACAUCCUUAGCAUUGCUAAUUCGCCUAGUUGCCAUCUGUGAAACGUGAACCAGACCCUCCUUCCCUCUUAAAUCAUUCAACUGAACAAAACAACCGGUGUCCAUCACUCUCGAAACCCUGCCCUUAUAAACCUGAUACAAUUCGGGCUCAUCCGAAUGGUUCUGGCCAUUCUGCCGAUCCCUAUUACCUCUCCUAUCAUCACCAUCUUCCUUAACAUCUCCAUCGUCUUCAUACCUAUCUCUCUUAUGCUUAUUGUAUCGAUCUGUAUGCCUUCCCCUGUCAUCAUCAUCAUCAUUAUAAUGUGUAUCUCUGCGCCUCUCAUCUCUAUCAUACCUUUCCCUUCGCCUCUCCCUCCCAUCUCUAUCUCUACCUCCUCUGUGUCUAUCUCGAUCUCUAUCCCUUUCCCUAUAUCUCUAUCUCUAUCUCCUUCCCUAUAUUUAUCACUACCUCUACGCCUAUCUCCUUCUUGCUCUUCGUCUUGUUCUUCUCUUCUGUUUCGCUUUUCCUUGGUCUCCAUCUCAAUUUCCUUCUCGAUGUCCUUGACUCUAUCUUUAUUAUCGGCAACUGCCAAAGCCUUAAACUUGGUCUUCCUACCAUCAGAAGCGCUCUCUUUCUUCGAGUCCUUCUCCGGCUUUGGCUUCGGAGGAAGAAUAGCGUGAAUGAUAGUGAGGAGUGUACGGACAAAGUAAUCGGGCAUCUCGGCACUGUUUUCUUUAAUUUGGUGUCGAACUCGUCCACCACUUUCGUCCAAACUCAGUGAUGAACUCCGCCAGAACUUUGUCCCCAACCCCUAUAUGGGUUUCGAGCUCUAAACAGACCUUGGAAACCAAGGAAAGGUACUCGAGCUUCUUCAAACCAUCGUCAGUGGCAGCCAUUAUGAACUUGCAGAGGUCCUAUUCAUAUUCAACACAAAAAAUUCAUAUCAACGGAAAUUUCAAAAUUUAUGAGAAGAUCAUUGCUACAUACUGAAUAAUAAAUUUAUCACAAUAAAGAAACAAUUUCUACAACUUCAAACUCACCCACCAAAAAAUGAAAUUUAAAUCUAAAAUUGCAUACCAGGAGGAUCUGGAGAGUUAAUUCAACUAAUAAUAAAGUAAACUUGGAAUGCCAAAAAAAAUUCAACUAAAACCCUAAAACCCAGGAAAUAAGAAACGGAAGAGAAUAAAAAAGAAAUAUGAAACAAAAUCAAGGAAACUGAUCGUUGCUAGAGGGUGGGGGUUCAGUGGAUCUUAAAUCUGUGAUGAGAUGGGGUCGAAGAUUAGAAUAUAUUGCAGUAAGACAUCAUACUUGGGAUGAGAUGAGAUCGAGGAUGGUUGCGCGUCAACCGUUGUCACUGUCGAGAGAGAGAGGAGAGCUGAGCAAUAUGUAUAUGGAAGGAAGACGGGGUCGAACAAUGGAGUAGUUGACGGUUGAGAUGGGCGGAUUGUUCGUGGCUGACGGCUGGAGCGUUUUCUGUUUCAGAAAUAAUCUCAACUUGAGAACUUGAGAUGCAGUGCGCCUGGUGCAUCGAUACGCCUAAAUUUGGGACCUGUGAACAGAAGAAUAUUAGGUAAGAAAUAAAAAGAUGACGAAAAUUUUAGAAAAUAUAGUUAGUGGAGAUAUUUUUAUUUAUACAAACAAUAAUCUAGUUUUUUUUUUUUUAAAUUUAUAUAAUCAUUCUAGGCCUACUUUGAUUUUUAUUUUUUAACAACAACUAGGAUAUUGGCACCUGAGUUGAUCUAUAGUAUUUUUUAUACAAAUUUAGUUAUAUACCCAAUCUUAGACAUAGUCUUAUAAAGAAACCUUAUAUCAUUUUAAAAUUAAAAACACACCAAAAAAAAACUCAAAAAUCGACAGCUGUCAAUUUUAUAAUUUAAUAGUUAUUUUUUAGUUUAUUUGUGUGUGUAAAAUACUUAUAUUGCCCUUGUACUAUGGAUUUAAGAGAGAAAAAUCAAAUCUGCCAAAAAAUCAAAUUUGAUUUAUUUUCUCCUUUCUCGCUGGUGUUUUCUCGAUGUUGGAGCUUCCAUUGAAGCUCAAUCUCAGGUUCAACUAUAUUAUUCAUCCUCAUCUUCGAGCUCUACUCCUCUUUCACCACGCUGUUGUCGUCAUCAUCGUCCUCUUUAUUGUCGUCGUCGUUGUUUGGUUUGGACUUGAGAUUUGUUAUCUUUUGCUUCAAUUAUGUGUUUCUCUUCAGAUUUUAGUUUAUUUUCGAAAUGUAUUUUAAGCUUUGAUAAUUGAUUUAUCCUCUGUUACUAUUUCAGUUAUGGAUCUCAUUUUUGUUUAACUAUGUACUUCUAUGACAGAGUAUUAACAAUGUACUUUUAUGACAUGAUAGUAUUAACAAUCUGCGCUUUGCUUGUUUUGAGUUGGUCUGGUUUGUUCUUUCGUCUUUUCUUUGGUGGACAUGUAUUAGAAAUAGCAACAAGACAAGCAUUAAUUAACAUCGUAAACUAGCAGUGUUAUUAUUUUAGACUGGAACGUUACAAGGGUAGAUAUGCAUUAGAAAUAGGAUGUCACUAGACUGGAACAUUACACAGGGUAGACAUGAAUUAGAAAUAAGAUGUCAUAUUAAACUAGCAAUGUUAUUACCCUAGACUGGAACAUUACCACCAUUAAUCAACAUGACAGUAAACUAGCAAUGUUAUUACCCUAGACUGAAACAUUAUAGCCAUUAGUUAACAUGACAAUAAACUAGCAGUGUUAUUACCCUAGACUGGAACAUUAUAGCCAUUAAUCAACAUGACAGUAAAUUAGCAAUGUUAUUACCCCAGACUGGAACAUUACAAAAUAGCAGUGUUAUUACCCUAUACUGGAACAUUACAUGGGUAGACAUGCAUUAGAAAUAGGAUAUCAUAGGAAACUAGCAGUGUUAUUACCUUAAACUGGAACAUUAAAGGGGUAAACAUGAACUAGAAAUAGGAUAUCAUAGGAAACUAGUAGUGUUAUGACAUUAGAAUGGAAGUGUUAUUACCCUAGACUGGAAUAUUACGUGGGUAGACAUGCAUGAGAAAUAAGAUGUCAUAGGAAACUAGCAGUGUUAUUACCCUAGACUGCAACAUUACAGCUAUUAAUUAACAUGACAGUAAACUACAGUGUUAUUACUCUAGACUGGAACAUUACAGCCAUUAAUCAAUUUGACAAUAAAGGUAUGGAACAUUACAGUCAUUAAUCAACAUGACACGUUAAUGAAGCUAUGAUUUUCAAGACAUUUUGUUUCUAAUGAAUUGUUUGGGCUUUUUUUUAUAAAAUUGGGUUGGGCUUGUUUUGGGUGCUAUUUAAGUUUUUUGUGUUGGGCUUCUUUUAAGUUGAUCAAUGACAAUCACGUAAUUUAUAGGAACUUCAGCACCAAUUUCUUAUAUAAUAAAUGAGUUUUGGGUGUGUUUCUAAAAUACAUUCCAUGUGGGGUUUUUUUUAUAAUUUCAGCCCAUAUUUUGGGUAUAUUAGUGAAGCUCCCUAUUUUUUACUCCUUUACGUUAGGUUAUUUUUAAAAAAAAAUUAUUUUAUUUUAGAAUUAGAAAAGAUAAUGGAUAGGUGUGUUUCAUAAAAAUAGAAUUCAUUAUCUAAUUUUUCUUUUAAUUUUGAUUUUUUUAAUAUGAAAAAGUGUGAAUUUAUCAUAUUAUCCUCAUUUAAUUAAUAAUUUCAAUUCUUAAUGUUUGCAUUAACCAAGGACAUUUUCUGGUAUUUUGAAUAUUUUACCACUCUCUGCCUUUUACUUUAUACAGUCCUGAUCUCUUGAACUACAGAGGUCCAAAAGAUUUGUGGUCACUCACCAUUAUAUAUAAAUUCAACGGUUCCCUCACUCUUGUACGCCUUUUAAGAAACUUUUUUGAACCAUAGAUAAUAAUAAAAAUACUCUAUUUCAUUGAGGAAUUGUUAUGCAUAAUAAAAUCGUAUACACAUCACAUUGUAUUGAAAUGUUGUAUGGCUAAAAAAAAUAAAAAUGUUAUGUUUCAAGAAUGAUAAAUAAAUAUCAUGCAUAAAAAUGGUGUGUAUGGAAGAAUCCCAUUGUGGAGGCGCAUGACCAACUAUCAUUUGUAUGAAAUUACUAUUUCGAUUAGGAUAAUUGAUGAUCAUCGAUAUCAAUCAUAAUAUUAAAUUUUUUUUUUCUUUUGGAUAAUAUUAUGUUUCUAAAGCAUCAACACUGUCAUCAAACAAUAUUAACCAUUCCAGCAUAUAUUAGUGACUAAACUCUUCUAAGUAUGUUGCAAUUAUCAGAUAAGGAGUUAGUAAUCAUAGAGGAAAAUAUGCAAUUUAUAUCUUCUGGCUUGACAAUUGCAUUUUACAUACGUUGUUUUUCCUGUGAUUACUACUUAUGUCCUUCGAUUGUGUAUAUAUUGUUUGCAUGGUAAGUGGAAACCUUUAGAAGAUAAGCUCUCUGUUUGAAAUCACAUCUGUAUUCUUUUAAGGUUUAUGUGAAAGAUAAAUCAUGAAGUAGUCUACUAAUGUGAUAAUGGCUCAUAUUUUCACAUUUUCCUGUCUUCGAAAAUUAGUUGCCUCUAUUCUUGAAAACGAAUGAAGUGAUGGAGAGGUCUUAUUAUUUUUGGAAAAUUUUACAAUGUUCCCACAUCCCUGUAUUUGACAUUGUACGUAGAUAAUAACAUGAGUGACUCCAAUACUUCAUGUGACAAUGAGGUAUGAACUUCAUCACAUUUUGUCUCUUUCUGGUUAUAAUAGUCACGAUGCAUUUCACACAUUUGCUGGUUUAGUCAAUGAUGUUAUACUUCAGAAUUCAGAUAGAUUAGAAUCAGAUGUUUGCUUUCUCUUUGCUUGUUACCAAAUACUUUGUGUGUUUAAUAUCUUUGUGUGUCUAGUUAUCGUGGUUCAAUGAAAAAACAAAAUAAGAAAAACGAAUCUUUUCACUUGUGCUGUUUUUGCUCUCUUUGAUAUUUACUUUCUCAAUGAUUUUUUUCAAGAAUAUCGCUUACCAUGAAACGCACUAAACAAAACUCUAAAAUACAACUAUUCAUAUAUUGCUCGAACUCAAAUCGUUUUUUCCUCCAACCAUACAGACUCAAAAGCAACUUUAUUAAAUUGUUUAGGAAUGGUUCAUUCCUAAGUGCCCGUUUGACAUUGCUUAUUUGGGGUGAUAAGUGAUUUUUUCAAAAUUUUGGGAAGCCCCAGCCCGUUUGGUAAACUAUGAGAUAAUCACUUAUUGUUAAAAAUUACUAAGAGAGAAAGCUAUAAGGGAAAUCAGCUAAUAAGGUGCUUUUAUUUUGUCACAUCCUCGGGAUCGGCACCGAUGUAGCCCGAUAUUGUCUGCUUUGGGCCCCCCAUCUUUGCCCUCAUAGUUUUGUUUUUGGAAACUCACGAGCAACUUCCCAGUGGAUCACCCAUUCUGGGAUUGGUCUACCUCCAACUCGCUUAACUUCGGAGUUCUCAUGACUCCGAAGCCAGUGAGCUCCCAAAAGGCCUCGUAUUAGAUGGAGGCAGGAAUGUACAUAAAAGGCGCAUCACUCCCUCUCCGUUGAUCAAUGUAGGAUGUUACACAUUUUUUGAUUAUGCGAGAAUCAGUUUCGAAGAGGCUAGUUUUAAUGAUUAUGCGGGAAUCAUUUUUCGAUUAUGCGGGAAUUAGUACCAACAACACUUAUAACAAAAAAUUUACCAAAUGUCAAACUACUUUCUCUCACAGUUGAUUUCUUUUACAGCAAAUCUGAUAGAGAUUAUUUUCACAGCACAGCAAUGCCAAACUGGUUUGUUUUGCCAUUAAGUUUACUUGACAAUUUUUUUGUUAGUAAAUUUAGGUUUUGCUCAUAAAAAAACUUUCACUUUUGGAAAAAGCCAAAGCUUUUUCAAAAAAGACAGAAAAAUCUCUCAACUUUCAAACCAAAGACAUGCAAAUGUAAAGGAUUCUUUUGGAAAUCAAAAAAUAAAUAAGGGCAAUUUUGUCCAUUUUGGUUUCUUUUAAAAAUUUUCUCUCUCCUUUGGUUUUUUCCAAAGUCUCCCUUUGUUGUUUCAUGAUUUAAUUUUCUAAUUAUUUUAACUUUAAAAAUUUUAAAUUCCAAAAUUAACAAGAAUGAAAGGAGAAUUACCAAAAUUAACAAAGUGAGAAUGAACAAAAAAUGAUUUUGGUGGAUUAUUAUAGCGUUUGGAGUGAGUUUUGGUGUUUGAUCUGAUUUUGAUUAUUUAAUAAUACUAUUUUGGCCACUGGAUUUGAUUUUGAGCCAUUGGAUUUUUUUUUGUAUAGUUGAAUUUGCUCAAAUUAAAUCUUAGCCGUUAGGUAUUAUAUAACGAUAGAAAUUAAAGAAAAUGAAACAGUAGUUUGAAGGAAGCCGUUGGAUUCCUACGAUCCUUUCAUCCCAGCUCAUUAUGUGUCCUGACGACAUGGGCCCCACGUCUUCUCAUCCAUUAAUCCCAACUCAAUGAACUUCAUUUUCAAACCCAACAAAAAUAAAUAAAUAAAUAGCCGAUCUGAUUUGAAUGCUCCUCUUUAUCAUGCAUUUUGUUCAGGAUAGCGGACUGAUUGUCUAGGCCAAGUGGGCACAAUAGUAGAGAUUUUAAAAUCAACUUUCUGAACGUAAAAUUAAAGUGGCGCGUUUAUGAAAAAGUUUCCCUCCUCCUUUUUCCCCCUCACUCCCCUGGAAGAAUACCGGUAUAUAUUUUUCAUUUUCCGAAUUUCCAUUUUCUCUCAACUCAAACAUCAUUUUCUCUUGUCAUCCUCCUCCUUCAAUACAACCCACAACCAUUUUUAGCUCGAAUCUUCUAAAACUACUACUUCGUUGUAAUUGGAUAUUAUUGAUUUGAUGGGUAGAGAGCGAGCUUAUGUCGAUGACGAUAUUGAUGAAAGUAAGUUCAAGACUUCGGAAGCAAUGAACCGCUACAAGAAAAUCUUCAGUGUUCAACGUGUGACGGUUGAGCGGGAGGUCAAAUUCAGUGACUUCAACGAUCUUGGGCUUCCCAGAAUCUUCAAAUCAAGAGGUUGGCUUUUGGCAAUGGGUCCUUCAGAGCUUGCUAAUAUCCAGAUUGUCCAAGAAUUCUAAGCAAACAUUCCUCCUUUCUCCGCCGAGCAGAAAACCCCACCUGGGUUGGGCCCUUUUGGUUCUUGUUUGUGGGAUGAGACUCUGCAUUUCUCCAGCGGUCGAGAAUACCCUGACUCAUUUGAUGUGUAUUUGCGAGGUAAGGUGUUGAAUUUCUCUGUUUUUGGCAUUGCCCAGUUGCUUAAACUUGCUAGGCCAAACCCAAAUGAAAAAUCACCUGGUUUUCCUGGGCUUCUUGUUGAUAACCUUGACUUGAAGUUGGUGAAAUCUACUUUGGGUUGGAACAAGAGGGUCAGGGUUUUGCUUGAACAUCGACUUAGUGAUUUGUACAAAGUGCUUAACAGCAUCGUGAGAUAUAAUAUCGAUCCUCCUUGUCACGUUAUCCCUUCUUUGCUGAGCCCUGAUAGAGCUCGCCUUCUUUAUGCCAUUGGGAACAAUGUGCCCAUUGAUCUGGCCACCUACAUUUUUCGUGCCAUCUGCCGUGCUGCAUUCCCAACUUCCAUGCCCGACUCCCUGCCUUUUACAUCCUUGAUCACGCACUUCGCCAUGGCUUCUCACGUGCCAGUUGAGCCUACGGAUAAGCUUUAUGCUCCUUGGUCGCCUUUGGACAACAUGGAUAUUUUUGGCUAUAGCUUUACUCCAUGUUCUCCAGCAGUCAAGCAGCCUCAAGCGGUGGUGAGCCAUACGCCCAGCAUGGCCCUACUUACCAAUGACGUUGCUGAGCACAGGGGUGAUGUGCACCCCGUUUCCACCCACUCGGUCAUCCCAUGUUCUUCGAAACAGCCAUUUGCAGGUCAGUCAAAUGUUAAUAGACAGACAUUAACGAGGCUUUAAUAGACAGAUAUUGAGAAUCCAUUUAAUAGACAGAUGUUAAGUUAUAUGUGUGUGUAAAAGAGUUUAUAAAGGAGGCUUAAUCAAAUGUAAUUUUCCUUAUAUUACACUUGGACAUUCAGCUUAUUACUGUAAAAUGCAUAGGCACUUAUUGUUUUUAAGUGCAGGUGGUAAAAAUUUCCGGGUUUUCGUUGGUAGCAUCGUAGUUAGUAACAGAGUUGAACAUAUAGUAAGCAAUUAGGCAUUAAACAUGUAAUGUUUCUGUGAGUAGUACUUAUGUCCUUCGAUUGUGUGUAUAUUAUUUCUGGAAUAUUUCUGUGGAAACCUUUAGAAGAUAAGUAUCUGUUUGAAAUCACAUCUGUAUUCUUUUGAGGUUUAGUGUGAAAGAUAAAUCAUGAAGUAGUCUACUAAUGCGAUAAUGGCUCAUAUUUUCACAUUUUCCUGUCUUCGAAAAUUAGUUGCCUCUGUUCUUGAAAACGUAUAAAGUGAUGGAGAGGUCUUUUUAUUUUUGGAAAAUUUUACAAUGUUCCCACAUCUCUGUAGUCUGUAUUUGACAAUGAGGUAUGAACUUCAUCACAUUUUGUCUCUUUCUGGUUAUAAUAGUCACGAUGCAUUUCACACCUUUGCUGGUUCAGUCAAUGCUGUUAUACUUCAGAAUUCAGAUAGAUUAGAAUCAGAUGUUUGCUUUCUCUCUGCUUUUUACCAAAUACUCUGUCAGUUUAACAUCUUUGUGUGUAAACAAUAUAAGAAAAACGAAUCUUUUCUCUUGUGCUGUUUUUGCUCUCUUUGAUGUGUUAGGAAAUAAUCAGUAAAUGUUUUAUACUAUAGGAUCACUAUUUUAUUGCACAACUCUUAAAAUAUAAACAGUAGCAAAAUUAUGAAAUCUGUAUAAAUGUGCAAAUAUAAAUGAAGUAUAGAAUACUGACUUUUAUUGAAGAUAGAGGCUUGCGUAUUCGCAAUGUCCUAAAGACAGAAUUUCGCCUCUUCUCAGUGCUUGAAGUUCAACAUGCGUCUAUCUCCCAAGAUUCAACUAUCUAUAAUUCAAGGGUCCAGCACCGGAUCCUUGAAUUCUGGCGAACGUUGGUGUGCUUCUCUCCAAUACAGUAGGUAACUUUAAAAUAGUAUGAGAUAGUUUAAGGAAAAAGAUGUACGUCUUAUGGCCUAGGACUUGUAGUUUUAUAAUAGAAUUACACCCCUUCAAAAUAGCAGUUAGUAUCAGUUAUACCUGUUCAAAUUCAAACAAAAAGAUAAGUCUUUCUGGUUUGAAUUUAACUUCUGCCAAAAGAAAUCCAAAAAAUAAAAAGUAAUUAUUUUAUUUUCGGGCUAGGUAUAUUUCUUUUAUUUUCCAGAGACCCCAAGAGCCCCAAGUCUUGAUUAUUUAAAUAUUAAUAUUAAUCAAGCAAGCCAACCAUGAUAGUCUUCACUACCAAGCCCAUCAGCCCACCAACCUUUAUUCAAUUGAUGUUAAGGUUUCAUGCUUAUAAAGCAUAUGGAACCUUUUGUUUUCUCCAUUGUGGGACAUUUGCUUUCAAACUUCCAACAUGAUGUUUACUUUCUCUCUGUGCUUGUGCUGAAGAAAUAAUGGAGGCUGAAGAAGAAAAUAACGGCAAUUUGAUUCCUAACUCGCAUGCUUGCAUAAAUCCGUUAACUUCAACUUCUGACUCGCAUCCAAAUAAGAAAGCGAAAAAAGAUACAUUGGAACAUGUAGCUGGUGAGGUGUCAAAGUUACUGCAGGAGUUUUUGGCGAGUCAAAUGAAACAGCUCAAAGGAGAGGAGGUCCUUGGAGUGGUUUCAAAGAUACCUAACCUCAGUAGAUUGCAAGUUUUUAAGGCUGUACGCAUAAUAUUGAGUGGUAACCCAGAAGAAUUCUCUCUAUUGAAAUCUCUUCCUGAUGUUGAGAAGACAGAGUGGAUACUCUUACUUAUUAGUCAAUCUAAAGGUAACUUUCUUAGACAUAAAGCCACUUAUCAACAUUUACUUUCUCUCAGGAAAAGAAGAAAGUUUGAGAUGCGCUAUCCCUUCUGGCCAUGGUACGGCUCUCUCUCUCUCUCUCCCCCUCUCUCUCUCCCUCUCUCUCUCUCUAACUCAAUUUCUAGUUCUGUAAGAUUCCUACGUCGUAUCUAGAUAGAAGAGCGUAUAUAUAUUAUUGCUUUAUCAAUCAUUGAUAGAGUAGUAUGACUAAUCUUUCUUUUUAUUCUUUUUCAUGUAUCAUUCUCAUUAUAUACUUGUUUUUGUCCUUGUUCUUAUUCACACUCACACUUCCAAGCACUACUGCAUAACGUCUUAUGUUGGUUACAAUUAGCUUCUUGACUGUUAGCUAUGAAUUACAUGCUUCAAGAACAUAACUUAUAAUCUAUUCAAGUUUUCUUGUUUCAUGUUUUGAAAGGAGCUUUUAGGGUUCAACUGAGAGAUUUGAACUGAAAUAUCCCAAUUCUAAAUCCUUCUACUCCAAAUUAAAGAGAAAAAAAAAGUAUGAACCAAUUGGAUAGAAUAUACUUGCACCUACUUCCUCCUUGAAUGAGUUUCAGUAAGAAAGCUAGUAUAGCCAAUUGGACAGAAUUUACUUGCACAUACUCCCUCCUUUGAGGUAGUUUUCAAGUGCAUCACCUUAUGAUACCUCUUCAAGUUUUUAAUUAGUACUGCCUUGUGACAUGCCAAUUUUCUUCAAUGAUUAUAUAAAGGGAGCGGAGUGGCCAAUUCUUUCCUUUCAUAAUUCAACAUGUUGUUCUGGGCACAUGGCAGAAGAUGCCUUUUUUGUAAACAGACUUUUUGUAUUUGGUUAGGCUUGCAAUGCUCUAUUUUGUGGAUUUUAAGAUUGUAUUAGGCUUACUUGUGAGCUGCAAAAUACCUUGUACCAAAAUUUAUGUAUAAAAUGUGUGCUAAAUGUGUGUGGAGUGCAAGAUUGAAGGUCUUCCUGGAAAAGCAAUCACAAGCAUUUUCCCUCUGUUCAAUUUGUAGAAAUGUUAAGUUCUUGCCCAUUACUCGCAGAUAUGUAGUGUUGUGUAGCAUAAAGUCUCCAUCAUAUGCAAUUCCAUCAAGGCCUGCAGGCCAAUCACUGCUUUCUCUUGGAUAUUACAAACAUUUGUAGAGCCAUAAUGAAAACUUCGUAGGCAAACCCAAAUACUCGCAUUGACCAUUUGCUUAAACUUGAUAGGCUAGCAAGGGCUUGUAGCUCAAACUGUUAAGAGCAUCUAUUCUUACACUUGAGGUCCUAGAUGUGAUUCCCUCCUCCCAAUAUCGCUUGUAACCAAAAACAAACAACAAAACUUGAUAGGCCAGACCCAGAUGAACCUGAUUUUCAUAAACUUGUUGGUCAGCUUGAUAGUGGCUUAUUAGAGUCCAAAUUGGUUGGCAAAGUAAUGUCCACUAGUUUUAGCAGAUACCCUUUGGGACAAUGUUGAACAGAGCACUUAACUUGAUUGUUAAUAACAAGGGCCCCAAGGGUAUGCUAGGUAUGUUACCUUAGGCCUAAAAUAACCCUUUUGUUGUGAUGAUCUUUGAAGGGUGACCAAGAACAUAGAAAAUUUUGUUCAUUAAACCGUAUUGUAAGCUGAGAAUGAAGGUGGAAAAAUAAGGCACAAAUGGGAAGAUAGCUUGCAUUAUUCUUAUUUGUAACAGACUUUUAUAUAUACCCAACAACGUAAACUAGAAAAUAAUUAUAUAAAAUAAUGAAAUUCCAAAACUCUUUUGGAUCUGAAAGUCUAAACGUUUUCAGUUCUUCAGUCUAAGGGCCUUUUUUUCAAAGAAAAUGAAAUCAAUCAAUGAUGGAGAUAGGUGACCAAAGAAAAAUAUUUUGAUGAAUUAGAGAAUGGUAUUUUUGGGAAGAGUUAGGUGUCCAGAGAAUGUUGAAAAUAAAAAUAGAAACCCAUUGAAACACUAAGUGUAAACAGAAAUCUUGGUAAUAUGAAAUUGCUUGGUAAUAUGAAAUUUCUCUUUCACAUCCGAGCAGUCAAAUCACAUGAAAAGUUUAAGAAGGAAUUAUGUUGUAACUGUUCUUAAUCACUUGAGCUAUACGUGUCAUGAGAAGAGUGUUUAUACAACAGUCAUAUGUAAAAUUUAACCUUUUGUUGGACCUAAAUGUUGAAACCCCACAAACUGAAACCACCAAAUAAAGAAUGCCCAAUUGAUACUCCGAUUUUCAUUAAAGUCAACCUUUUUCAGCAACAAAGUUAGGUUAGCUUUGCUGGGGCGCCGUUCAAGCAAACUACGGCCCUCUUAAGCUAAUGAGCUAACAACAUAGACUUGAGGACAAAUACUGUUUGUCUCUCACCAACUUCCCAUACCUUUUUUCUUUUAGAUGAGAUAUUCUAAAUUACUCAGAGUUACAUUGAGAGAAAUUCAAACUUGGAUACUGGAAAAUAGACACUACUAGAGUCAACUUGACUAACUUACAUAUGUCGUAUAUGUAUUUUUCACACUGACAAAUAUGAAAUAUACAAUAUUUCAUAUUUCAUAUUAUUAUUGUUUUCGUUAUAUAGUUUUAUGUGUUUUGGUCUUCUAGUAGUAUUUUUCUAUUCAAUGUUCGAAGUCUCAAGUUCCAUUAAUAAAAAAAAAAUAAAAAUAAAAAUUCAAAUAAAAAUAUACUCAAUGUAAUAUGAUCUGUAUCUCCUUGAACAGGAAAUUAUAUAUUAAUUAAUCUCUUGGCCUCGUCAUAUAAAGUGGCUUGGUUGACUUUGAAUUGGAAUAACCAUCUACCACGCAACACAUGUAUAUGCAAUGAGAAAAAUCACAAAAUAAUUUGAUUUCACUCAUUCUUUGAAUUGAGAAACAAGAUUUCUUGCUUCAUUUCUGCUUCUCCGUUUCAAGAGUGUCUACACUUGGGAGUAGUACUUGUUUACCAAAUACAAUAUUGGCAGUACUUCUUCUCGAGUUCUCUGAUUCCCCCCUCUCUUCGCGAUCUACCUCUCCUUCGAGAGGCUUCUCGAGUCCAGGCCCUGCGAUGCCGAUCAGACCUAGCUCAUCGAUCGCUCUCUCCAAUUGGGCUCUGUGCUCCUCGAGGCUGCUAAUCGUUCUGCGAGAAAACGAGCCUCCAAGCACAACUCUCUCACCUGUACUCUCCCCCCAAACCCCCCUCCAAGUACAAUUUGUAUAUAUUGAUAGGGAUGGGGAGCUGGGAGCCAAGUACAAUUUGUAUAUAUUGAUAGGGAUGGGGAGCUGGGAGGAGAGUGGGACGGAGAGAGAGAGUGGGGGACGGAGAGAGAGAGUGGGGGACGAAGAGAGGGAGAGUGCUCUGGUGGGGAAGAGGCAGGUGCGCCGCUAUCACGAACACAUUCAGACCACGAGCUGACGCAAGUUGAAAUCAUGCUUCUCUGUUUUUCUAGUUCUGUAGUCGCCGCUAAUCAUGCUACUUUGAUUUUCCAUUGAUGUUUGCUUUGUUACUCUCAAAAAGUUUCCUUCCUUUAUUUUUUAUUUAUUUCGAUAAUGAAAUUUGAAAUUUGAAUUGUGUGUUGCUUUGUUACUCUCAAUAAAUCUUCCUUCUUUUUCUUUUUUCUUACAGGAAUUGGGUUUUGGUGUUUCACCGACGAUGUGACGCCAGAGAGAGAGGGAUGGGGUUGGUGUGGGUGCGAGUGGGGGGUGAACAAGGGGUACUGGGUUUGUUGGGCUGAGGAGGGGCUGGGAUUUUUUAAGGUAUUUAUUUUAAUUUUAUUUAAUUUUAUCAUUUUAUAUAAAUUUGUUUAGGAACUGAUUAGUUAAUGGGUGCGUCCCGAUUGCCCAUAUUGAGAAUGACCCCAAACGUUUUUUGAUGUUAGCUCAUUUCUAAAUUUGUAGAGUGAGGGAGUGACCACAGUUUUGAUAUAUUGGUGUCUACUUUUGUUGGAGCUGGUUUUGUUUGCCUAACCUUACCAACACUCAGGGUAGAUUCCUGGUAAAUAAUAUUGCAACUCUUGCGCUUUUAGAAAUUGUGUGUAUAGUUUUGAGAAAUAGUCCUAGAGAAACUAACUUUUAAGAUAUAUCAACUGUGUGGCAGUGUUUUAAUUUUAGAACUUAUUUAUUCAUAACAAAUAAGAUAUUGUCAUAUAUUAGUUGACACUUAAAAGUUGGUGUAUCUCUAGUACUACUGUGGAAAACAACACACAAAAUAAGAGUAAGACAAAAGAAAACUAAUAUUACACAAAAUGGGUCAUGUAAUUUUAAUAUAAAAUUGCUACAAACUCUUGUCAACCCUGGAAAGUUCAGUCCAAGUGGACGAGACAUGCUCUCUCUUAUUAAAAAUGCUAUACAUGUACACCAUACUUUUGUCCUCAAAUUUGGACUCGUUAUACAGUAUAGACUACUUUAUUUAUAUACUUGACUAAGAGUUCGAUUAUUUUCCUCCCCUUCUCUUAAAUGGAAAUCAUCUCUAGUUCUUUUCACCCCUAACAACAUAUGGAACUGCUGAGUUCAUAACUUUUCUAUUGUUUAUCUUUUAAUGCAUAAAAUUAUAUCUUGUUUUUUUACUGGGUAAUUCAAAACUUGGAAACUCCUUCGACGACUUUACAAAAAAGGAUUUAGGUUUUUUUUGCUAAAAAGUCAGUAUAGUAUGAAUACCUAUUUCAUACGAUAUAGGUUUUUUUUUUUUAAAUUUAAAAAUUUAUUGAAAGGAUUUUUAAUUAUUUGUAUUGGCACUAUUAAUUUUGCCACAGAAUUCUCAGAGGUUUAAUAAUUUGCUUUUACAAAUACCAUGAUCGUUUUGGGAAUCUCUCUUUCUGGAGGCAGAUUCCAAAGCCGUUUAAGGGAAAUUCGUAGUCGAGCUACUGAUGUUCAUGAUAAGGAAAAGGGAAUCAAGAUUACUGAGAAGGAUUGGGAAAAGUUGAAUGCACAAUUGCUUCAUACAACAAUUUUCCUACUGCUGCUGGAUUGGCUUCCUCAGCAGCUGGUUUUGCAUGUCUUGGUAACGGAUAAUACCCUAUUUUGGAUCAUAUUAUUGUUAAUUUGUUAUAUGAUUAGGGCCUUAACUUUGAGAACUCAUGACUCUGUUAAUAAUGUUACUUGGGUACUGGAUUAAUCAUUCUUUGCCAAUAGAUAGUAGUUAAGCAAUGGGCAUAUCAUAGCUAAGCCUCUGUUUCUACUUGUAGUUUUUGCCCUCGCAAAGUUAAUGAAUGCGAAUGAAGAUCACAGCCAGCUUUCUGCUACUGUAAUCAAUCUGAGAUUUUAAUAAGCCAUCGCAAUCUGACUAAGUUUUACAGAAUACUUAACACAAUAGUAAGUGCUGAUAUCGACCCUGAAGAACGUCUCCUUGACAGUAGCUUAAUUGAUUUUGACAGAGCAAGCCUCCUUUAUGCCAUUGGGAAUAAUAAUGUGUCCAUUGAUCUGCCCGCCCACAUUUUCCGAGCCAUUUGCCUGGCUGCAACCCCAGACGACUACUACGAAACUCAUUCCCUGCCUUUUGGGUCGUUGAUCACUAGGUUUGCCAUGGCAUCUAAGGUGCGAAUUGAUCCUACGGAUCAGCUUAAACAACUUAUGCCACCUAUCAACUAGAUGAUGUUUCAUAAUGAUGAGACAGAUGAAACAAGUGAAGAAUCUGUUGUUGGAUUUACUCCUCCUCCUGCACCUGCUUCGGAGCCAAGUCCUCCACAGCUUAAUCAGCCUCCUCUGUCCCAGACGAAAAGCUUUGAGAAGUUUUCUAUAAAGCUGAGAAAGCGCAUGGCCCGACUUGCCAAUGAGGUCGUUAAGCUCACCGGUUGCGUACAUUCGGGCAUCCCAUUGAACGAACCAUUUACAGGUCAUUCUAAUGUUGAGCUUUCUUUAGUUUAUAUGUGUUUUUGUCCUUUUCAGCUUUGUUAAACCCUGUCUUCAACUUUCAUUUCUAAUCCAUUGAUUAUCUAUGAAUUGUUAGGUUUUUGUUUCCAUUUGUUUAUUCAGUUGUUCUUCUUUUAUACCCUCUCAUUGGUUUCUGCUCCUCUGUCUUAUGAUUUUCCACUUCCACUUAUCACUCCCUUGUCAUACACACUUGCAGUACAAGAUAAAUAGAAUCUGAAGUUUGCCUUGUUCUGGAUGAUAAAUAGAAUUCUAUUUAGUUAUAUAUUUUCAAAGAUACAAGUUAAAUAAAGACGAUGUAGCGAGCACCAUAAGCUUCAAAAGAAUUUUCCUAGUUCUAGGCUUAAGUAUAUUUUUUAUCUAAAGGACCUCUGAGUUGACUGCAGGAACUGAUUCAGCCUAAUACUGUAAAAGAAUUGUCCCUUGAAUAUCUUUUUAUGUACAGCUGGUAAGAAAAUUUUCAGGUUUUUACUGGUGGAAGGAAAGUAAUAAACUUGAAGUUAGCAACUAGCACCAAAUGCUUCUGUGGUUAGUGAUUUAGUAUUGAAGAGAAGCUCUGUUUCUGAUCAUAUAUGUAAGAUUGAUUUUGAUUGCAUUAAUUAGUAAAAAAGAUCAGCUCUGUUUCAGAUCAUAUAUGUAUUCUUUUAGUCAACUAAUGAGAUGGGGUGGUUAACAUUUAUUUAAGUGUGACUGGAACAGUUUUGAGUGAUGAAUUUUCCUAUUUUCACUAGGGAGCUGCCUUUGAAUUUGAUAUUUUCAGGAGUGAUUCGAUGCUUUUCUCUCUUUCGAAAACUUAACAAAAUUAAAUAUUCACAAUAUUCCCCAUCUUCUGUAUAAUAAAAAUGAAACUGCUUCUAUGUGAUUAUGAACUCCAACACAUCUUGUGUCCUUGUGGUUGUAAUAGUCAGCAGUUAAUGCACUUCUUUGCUGCUUUAGUGGAUGUUUUUUAUGCUUUACUUUCUCUCUGUUAUUGUGCUGAAGAAAAUAUGGAGGUUAAACAAGAAAAUGAUGAGAAUUUUAUUCCCAACUCACAUACUUCGACACAUCUAUCAACUUCAAUUUCUGGGUUGCAUCCAAAUAAGAAAGCGAAAAAAGAUCCAUUGGCACAAGCAAUUGGUGAGGCGGCAGACUCACAAAAGGAUUUUCGGCAAGUCAAAUGAACCGCAACUCAGAGGAGAGGAUGCACUUGCAGUGGUCUCAAAGAUACCGAACCUCAGUAGAUUGCAAGUUUUGAAGGCCGUACACAUGUUAUUGAAUACUAAUCCAGAAGAGGUCUUUCUACUCAAAUAUCUUCCUGAUGAUGAGAAGACAGAGUGGAUAAUACUGCUUAUUAGUAAAUCCUGGGUCAAACUUUCUUGAUAAAUGAUACUGAGCCAAUUAUUUCUCAGGGGUUUAAACUUUUGCAUAGAGAGUCACUUAUCAGCAUUUACUCUCUCUCUCUCUCUCUCUCUCUCUCAUUGAUCCAGUAUUAGGAGCGAUCUUGCUUUUUAUUCUUUUCAUAUACAAUAUUAUUUAUAUCCUUUUAUGCCCUUUUACACACACUGAGCUUCUUGACAUGUUAUGGGCUUUUAAAUUUUAAUCAUGCUUCAAAGACAUACUUUAAAUCCAUUUAUAUAUCUUCUUUAUCUAUUUAUUUCUCUUGUUUGAGAGGAGGUAUUAUUUCUCUUGUUCAUUAUACUAAUGUAAUUUACACGGAAAGGGGUUUGAACUUCGGUGUAAGGGGUAAGCUCACUGUCUUAUCCAAUUAGCCUAACCCACAUUUGCAGAUGUAUACAAAUACAAUGAUAUAGUCCAAACUACUCUAAAUCUAAACUACUAUAUUACUUUCCUUUUGUUGUCAAUAUAUAUGACUUUUGCCCUUCAAACUAAUUAUGUCUUACCUACAACCCAUUAUUUUAUUUUAUUUAUAAAUAAAACCCAAUGAUUGGAUUUGACUCAUCUAUUUACCUAAUUAAACUUAAAAAUCUGAUUUAUUGUACUUUUUUUAGAUUAAAAAAAAUAAUUAUGGCUAAUUAAUCUACCUAUACAAUCUCGGCAAAUUGGUACCCUUUUUUAAUUUUAUAAAUAACGUGCCUAUUUUUUCAUAACUAAUAUACCUAUUUAUUUUAUAGAACUAAUUCAAUAGCAACGUUUUUAAAAAAUAUAGAAAUAAUGUACCUACCCAAUCAAUAUGCAUCUCACCACCCAAGCUCUCUUUCUUCACUGGGACCGUGUUUUGUUCUUCAGUUUUUUUUUUUUUUUUUUUCAUUUUAGUUGUUUAAUUUUUAAACUUGUGUUUUUUAAUAACCAUUAUAUUAUCAUUUAUAUUCAAGGGUGGGUGACCGCAAAUUUCUUGGAUCACAAGAGUCCAGAAGAACGGGACCGAGUAAUUCAUAUACUAAUCAUUUAACGAGAAACAAAACAAAUCAAAUCAAAGAAUCCGAAUGCAAAAUGAAGGAAGCUGCUCCGAAACUCUAUGGUUAGAUAUCCAACACUAAAUCUACUUAAGUGUUUCGUGAUCAUCACUAUAAUAAGAGAAACUUUCGUGUGUAAUUGUAAGACCCCAUGUUUAACCUAAAUUAUAGGGGCAUUUCAAAAUAGACUUGGUCAAUAACCAAACUCUCAUAUUAUAGUUGUUGAAUAAAAACCCACUAUUCAUUUAUUAGUAUCAAUAAAUAUAUAGGUAUUAUAUUAAUAUUAGAUUGAGUAGAGAUAUUUCCACAUGUUUCACUUAAGUCAAGUUCACAUUUGCAAGAAGAUAUUUGUAACUUGUGCCCAGGGGAUGGGAUGCAAAGCCAUUGAUUGAGUGGACACGGGAAGGCACCUUACCAAGUCAAGUCAAGUUCACAUUUGCAAGAAGAUAUUUGUAACUUGUGCCCAGGGGAUGGGAUGCAAAGCCAUUGAUUGAGUGGACACGGGAAGGCACCUUACCAAGUCAAGUCAAGUUCACAUUUGCAAGAAGAUAUUUGUAACUUGUGCCCAGGGGCUGGGAUGCAAAGCCAUUGAUUGAGUGGACACGGGAAGGCACCUUACCAAGUCAAGUCAAGUCAAUACCUGCAAGUCAGUUGGAGCACGUGUUGAAGGGCAAAUCACCAUAUCAAGUCACAAGUCUUUAUUUAUCUUUUUCCACAUAGUGACAUGAAUUAAAGUGGUGAGUCUCUCUUCCUUUUGUUCACCCGUGUCCUUCGUAUUCACUUUUCAGUCUUUCAUUUGAAAACACUACAAUAGCACACUUUCCAAAGAGAUUCCCAAGCAACUUAUUGGCCUUUCAAGUUCGGGGAAAUUAGCAAGUGGAAAAACAAUUUUCCGGAGCCUUGUCUCUACGACAAGUUGGCUUUCCAAAAAAUCGAAAAGACUUUACAGUCUUUUUGUGUGAGUCAGUCAUCAUGAGUUUGCAUACGAAGACUUCAAAGUGAAACUAAUUAUGUUAUAGCCCUUCAAACUAAUUAUGUCUUACCUACAACCCAUUAUUUUAUUUUAUUUAUAAAUAAAACCCAAUUUUUAUAAGUAAAACCCAAUGAUUGGAUCCGACUCAUCAAUUUACCUAAUUAAACUUAAAAAUCUGAUUUAUUGUACUUUUUUUAGAUUAAAAAAAAUAAUUAUGGAUAAUUAAUCUACCUAUACAAUCUCGGCAAAUUCUUAUACCUACAAAAUAUAGGUAAAUUGGUACCCUUUUUUAAUUUUAUAAAUAACGUGCCUAUUUUUUCAUAACUAAUGUACCUAUUUAUUUUAUAGAACUAAUUCAAUAGUAACGUUUUUUUUUAAAUAUAUAAAUAAUGUACCUAUUUUCUUAUAAUUAAUGUACCUAUUUUCUUUAAAAAUAUUUACGUAUUCAGAAUCACGCUCCUAUUCUGAUUGAGAAUUGUUCCUCAACCAAUCAAUAUGCAUCUCACCACCCAAGCCCUCUUUCUUCACCGGGACCGUGUUUUGUUCUUUAGUUUUUUUUUUCAUUUUAGUUGUUUAAUUUUUAAACUUGUAUUUUUUUAAUAACCAUUAUAUUAUUAUUUAUAUCCAAUUGUGGGUGACCACAAAUUUCUUGGAUCACGGGAGUCUAGAAGAACGGGACCGAGUAAUUCAUAUACUAAUCAUUUAACGAGCAACAAAACAAAUCAAAUCAAAGAGUCCGAAUGCAAAAUGAAGGAAGCUGCUCCGAAACUCUGUGAUCAAAUAUCCAACACUAAAUCUACUUAAGUGUUUCGUGAUCAUCACUAUAAUAAGAGAAACUUUCAUGUGUAAUUGUAAGACCCCAUGUUUAACCUAAAUUAUAGGGGCAUUUCAAAAUAGACUUGGUCAAUAACCAAACUCUCAUAUUAUAGUUGUUGAAUAAAAACCCACUAUUCAUUUAUUAGUAUCAAUAAAUAUAUAGGUAUUAUAUUAAUAUUAGGUUGAGUAGAGAUAUUUCCACAUGUUUCACUUAAGUCAAGUUCACAUUUGCAAGAAGAUAUUUGUAACUUGUGCCCAGGGGAUGGGAUGCAAAGCCAUUGAUUGAGUGGACACGGGAAAGCACCUUACCAAGUCAAGUCAAGUCAAUACCUGCAAGUCAGUUGGAGCACGCGUUGAAGGGCAAAUCACCAUAUCAAGUCACAAGUCUUCAUUUAUCUUUUUCCACAUAGUGACAUGAAUUAAAGUGGUGAGUCUCUCUUUCUUUUGUUCACCCGUGUCCUUCGUAUUCACUUUUCAGUCUUUCAUUUGAAAACACUACAAUAGCACACUUUCCAAAGAGAUUCCCAAGCAACUUAUUGGCCUUUCAAGUUCGGGGAAAUUAGCAAGUGGAAAAACAAUUUUCCGGAGCUUUGUCUCUACGACAAGUUGGCUUUUCCAAAAAAUCGAAAAGACUUUACACUCUUUUUGUGUGAGUCAGUCAUCAUGAGUUUGCAUACGAAGACUCCAAAGUCUGCUUGAUGAUAGCCGUCCACAGCAAGCUCCCAACGUUAUAAAUUACUAAGAUGGUCAAAUGCUCAAUAAAAUUUAAUUAGGAUAAUUAGUUGAUUUAAGGAAUAUCUCUUUUUCACGCGUCAUUUUUUAUUGACCAGAGAAAUAUGUGUAUCCGCAAAUUGUGCAUUGAUUGUCUUAGUAAUUUCCUUUGCAUCUAAAAAAAAUUUAUUUAACCCUAAAAAAAAAAUUAUUACUCCAUCUUGAAAUGUUUCCCCUUAAACUUGUUUGCCACACUAAUCACAAGGUAUACUAGUAAAUGUUUCAGACUACCUAGGAUAAUUUUUUGGGAGAUUCACUAUUAUACCCAAUAUAAGAGCUUAAAUAAAAAGAAUAUGAAAUGGGCUUUAGAACACACCCAAAACCCAUUUACAACAUAACAAAAAGGUUUUGAACUUCUUUUAAAGUACAAAACUGUCAUUGAUUUCUUAAAACAAACUCAACCCAAAAACCUCAUAAAAAAAGCCUAAAAUACUCAAUAGGGUAUCAAAGUAAUUUAAUAAUCAAAAUUAAAUUAAAUAGAUCCGGCUGUCAUUUUUUGAGUUUAUUUACAAAAAUUAAAUGGUGUGGGGUUUAUUUAUAAUUUUAAUGCUAAGAAUGGGUAAAUAUUUAUAAUUUUUUCAAGCAUUAUUGUAGACAUAGCAAUAUAGUGCUAUUCCCGUUACAAAAAAUGUUUUUCCUUUUGAAUGAUACAUUCAUAUGUAUUUGAAAUUGAACCUACAUAUACAAGGUGGUUGUCCACAUGGCAUUGUAUGAGAGCAUCAUUGAGCUAUGUCACUAUUCAGCAAAACAGUACGUUGUGUCACCGAGCGUGCACAAUUCUUUUUAUAUUAAAAAAUUAACCAAAAUUUUAAAAAUAAUAUUUUUAUUUUAUUGAAAUUAAAAAAUAGUAGUAUGAACACUACAUUUAUCAUCCUCCUUUUUCCAACAAAAGAAAUCUUAGUAGAUCUUUCUCUGCAAACUCUUCAUCAUUUCUAACUAGUCUAAUCGGACAGUCAACACCUACUUGACGUGUGGCUGUGGAGACUUAAAAGUCUUUGAAAAUUCUACAGUGCUCUACGUGCAUCAAUCCGACAUAAGUGAAAUUGACAUUCUAGUCUCAUUGUGAUUGACGUGUGUUUUCCAUAACAUUAAUUAUGGUUUUACUCCUUUAUAUGGUUUUGUCUUAUAUGAAUGUGUGGCACUGUUUUAGCUAAACCGUGUUUUUCUUUGUAAAAGCUUUCUUCCCUUUUUUCCUAUAUAUAUAGUUAGUGUGUAAUUAUAAGACCCUAUAUAAUAUUAACCUAAAUUAUAGGGGCAUUUCAAAAUAGACUUGGUCAAUAACCAAAGUGUUUUGAAAAGCUCUCGUAUUAUAGUUGUUGAAUUAAAACCCAAUUUUCAUUUAUUAGUAUCAAUAAAUAUAUAGGUAUUAUAUUAACAUUGGGUUGGGCAGAGAUAUUUUCAUAUGUUUCACUUAAGUUAACCCCACAUUUACAAGAAGAUAUUUGUAACUUGUGCCCAGGGAGAGGGAUGCAAAGCCAAUGGUUGAGUGGACACUGGAAGGCACCUUACCAAGUCAAGUCAAGUCAAUACCUGCAAGUUAGUUGGAGCACGCAUUGGAAGACAAAUCACCAUAUGCAGUCUAUGUCACAAGUCUUCAGUCUCAUCCAUUAAUUUCUUCAAUGUUCAUUAAUUUACUACUUGUUUACUUGGACCACUAACAAAUUUUUCUUCAAAUAUCUUUUUCCACAUAGCGACUUGAAUUAAAGUGAUGAGUCUCUCUUCUUUUUCUUCACCCGUGUCCAUAUUCACUUUUCAAUCUUUCAUUUGAAAACACUACAAUGGCACACUUUCCAAAGAGAUUCCCAAGCAGCUAUUGGCCUUCCAAGUUUGGGGAAAUUAGCGAGUGGAAAACAAAUUUCCGAAGCUUUGUUUCUUCGACCAGUUGGCUUUUCAAAGAAAGAAAAAACAUAAAAAUGGUAAAAUAAAGUAAUUGAGCAAUUAAAAAAGCAAAAAAAAAAAAAAAGGAAUUACCGUUUGUUGACGUUUGAGUUAAAUGUGGAUCUGCAACGACUUAAAAGUCUAGUUUACACUCUUUGUGGAACCAAAAAAUUGAAAAGGCUUACCAGUCUUUGUGUGCGUCAGUCAUCAUGAGUUUGCAUAUGAAGACUUCAAUGUCUACUUGAAGACAGUUGUCCACAGCAAGCUCCCUACCCAAAGUUACAAAUUACUAAGAUGGACCAAUGCUCACUAUGACAGGACCCGCUCCGAAUUUCUCGGAACCUGAGACGAAUCCUGUGAAAAACUCGUACAUCCCUCCAAUGUCAUGCCCACUUACCAAAACUUUAGCCUAUUUUCCAAAUUAAGGAAAAAAGAUACAAGACUUUUUGCCAAAAAUUUGGCAGAGUCUUCCCUGUAAAUUGGACUUUCCCCAAAUUUUUUUCACCUGUUAAAAAUACAAUUAACAUCCACAACUAGUAGCAUGCAAAUUGGUAGCAUGCACAAGUUAACCUUUAAGCAGUUUACAAACUAGGCCUCUGGCCUUUAACAAUUCAGUCAGUUGGGGCACGCGUUGGAAGACAAAUCACCACAUUAAGUCUAAGUCAGUAGUUGGUUUGAAAGGCAAAUAACCAUAUCAAGUCGAAGUCACAAGUCACAAGUCUUCGCGAUCUCAUCCAUUAAUUUCCCCAAUAUUCAUUGAUUUAUUACUUGUUUACUUGGACCACUGACAAUUCUUUCUUCCAUUAUCUUUUUCCACAUAGUAACAUGAAUAAGAGUUGGUUGUACCUUGUACAUUUUUUUUCUCCUUCUUUUUCAAAAAUUUGGUAUAGUCCAGUUCUAAUGACAUAAGUGAAAUUAAACCUAUAUCUAAGAGCUCCUUUCAAAGAAAAAACAUAAAAAUGGUGAAAUAAUGUAAUUGAGCAAUUAAAAAAGCAAAAGGAAAAAAAAUAGGAAUUACCAUUUGUUGACGUUUGAGUUAAAUGUGAAUGUGCGAAGACUUAAAAGUCUAGUUUCCACUCAAGCAAACCAGAAAAUUGAAAAGACUUUACAAUCUUUUUGUGUGAGUCAGUCAUCAUGAGUUUGCAUACGAAGACUUCAAAGUCUACUUGAAGAUAGGUCCACAACAAGCUCCUUGCCCAAAGUUACAAUUACUAAGAUGGACCAAUGCUAAAUAGGAUUUAAUUAGGAUAAUUAGUUGAUUUAAGGAAUACCUCUUUUUCACGUGUUAUUUUUUUUAUUGACCGGUGAAAUAUGCGUUUCCAUAGAUCCUGCAUUGAUUGGCUUAGUAACUUCCUUUGCAUCUAAAGAAAAUUUAUUUAACCCUAAAAAUAAUGUUACUCCAUCUUGAGACGUUUCCCCUUAAACUUGUUUGCCACACUAAUCACAAGGUAUACUAGUAAAUGUUUCAAACCACCUAGGAUAAUUUUUUAGAAAAUUCGGUAUAAGUCCAAUUCUUAUGACAGAAUUUGGGUGCAAUCCACACAUUUGUUGUUAGUAAUUCAAGUCCUUUGACUUUUGUGCCAUGUAGGAUUACUUACCUUUUUUUAAUUUCUAAGGUUUAUAUUUUAAUUUCUUAAUUUUUUAAUUUAUGUUGUGCUUCCAAUUUUGCCCCUAAGAUAGAAAUCAGGUAACCUAAAAGACAGCAAAAUAUCAAAAUCGCAUUAAACAAUCCUCAGAGACCAAGAAUAGAAAGAAUCGAAAAAUCAUAUCUUCCACAAUCAAUUAUGGAGAAUGUUUUUGUUGGAUAUUUAUUGGAGAAUUUUUGCUCAUAUAUAAACAGACUAAUCUGUUCAUUUGCACGCUGUUUAACAGUUACACUCUCACGCUUGUUCUGGGUUUACAACCUAUUGUAUAGGUAAGCUCCUGUCGUAUAUGUAAUCGUGAAUUAUUAGAAGGAACCCACAAAUCUUCCUAUUAAGGAACCAAAAAAUCAGUGAAAAUUGGCAAAAACAGAGCAUUACUUUUGGGAUUUCUGCGAUUUGGGGGAUCUGAGAUAUGCAAUUUGGUGAAACCUUCUACUUUCCGUUUGUAUAUAAUGGCAGUAGUUGUAAAUAAAUUAAAAUUUGUGGUCACACUAUUUGCUUAGGUGGCUGCAUGACUGGGCUUUAGAACUGGAAUAAAUAGGUAACAAUUACUGUCCUGCAAUCAAACUGUAUUCUUCAAAUUGGACCCAUAUCUAAGAGCCCCUAAUUUUUUCAAGCAUUAUUGUGGAGAUAGCAAAAUAAUAUUAUUCCUGUUACAAGAAAUGUUUUUCCUUUUUGAAUGAUACAUUCAAAUGCAUUUGAAAUUGAAUCUACAUAUACAGGGUGGUUGUUCACAUGGCAUGGUAUGAGAGCAUCAUUACUCCUUUAUAUGGUUUUGUCUGUUAGGAAAAUAAUCAGUAAAUGUUUUAUACUAUAGGAUCACUAUAUUAUUGCACAAUUCUUAAAAUAUAAACAGUAGCAAAAUUACGAAAUCUGUAUAAAUGUGCAAAUAUAUAAAUUAAGUACAGAAUACUGACUUUUAUUGAAGAUAGAGGCUUGCGUAUUUGCAAUGUCCUAAAGACAGAAUUUCGCCUCUUCUCAGUGCUUGAAGUUCAACAUGCGUCUAUCUCCCAGGAUUCAACUAUCUAUAAUUCAAGGGUCCAGCACUGGAUCCUUGAAUUCUGGCGAACGUUGGUGUGCUUCUCUCCAAUACAGUUGGUAACUUUAAGAUAAUAUGAGAUAGUUUAAAGAAAAAGAGAUCCGUCUUAUGGCCUAGGGCUUGUGGUUUUAUAAUAGAAUUACACCCCUUUAUACAUGUUCAAAUUCAAACCGAAAGAUAAGUCUUUCUGGUUUGAAUUUAACUUCUGCCAAAGAAAUCCGAAAAAUAAAAAAUAAUUAUUUUAUUUUCGGGCUAGGUAUAUUUCUUUUAUUUUUCAGAGACCCCAAGAGGCCCAAGGCCCAAGUCUUGAUUAUUUAAAUAUUAAUAUUAAUCAAGCAAGCCAACCAUGAUAGUCUUCACUACCAAGCCCAUCAGCCCACCAAUCCUUAUUUAAUUGAUGUUAAGGUUUCAUGCUUAUAAAGCAUAUGGAACCUUUUGUUUUCUCCAAUGUGGGACAUUUGGCUUUCUUCCUUUUUUUCCUAUAUAUAUCUGAUGCAAGCUAGCAUAUAUCAAUAUACACUUGCAGUGUUUUUGCAUGUGCAUGUGCUUUUGAUCAAUUAACAUGAAGGGCGACGGAAGGUGCUUGAAACUCUUUCUUGCAUUAUCGAUCCUUUUCCUACAAAACGUAAAAGGAGGAGAAGUUGGCCACAGCCACAACCACAGCCACAGU